rnacentral:lncRNA from 1 species
UCGUCCCCGAAGUGCCACACCCCGUGGUGCCCGAGGUGCCAAAGCACGAACUGCCGCCGCACCCUGCUAUGCCCGAGCUCCCGAAGCCUGAACUCCCGCAUCCGGUUGUGCCUGAGGUGGCAAAGGAGCCUGAAGUGCCAGUGCCACACCCCGUGGUGCCGGAGAUGCCAAAGCACGAGCUGCCACCGCACCCUGCUAUGCCCGAGCUCCCGAAGCCUGAACUGCCGCAUCCGGUUGUGCCUGAGGUGGCAAAGGAGCCUGAAGUGCCAGUGCCACACCCCGUGGUGCCGGAGAUGCCAAAGCACGAGCUGCCACCACACCUUACUAUGCCGGAGAUCCCGAAGCCUGAGCUGCCGCAUCCGGUUGCCGAGGUGCCAAAGGAGCAUGAACUACCACACCCCGUCAUGCCGGAGGUGCCAAAGGAGCACGAGCUGCCGCACCCUGCCAUACCAGAGUUGCCGAAGCCUGAAAUGCCACACCAUGCCGUGCCAGAGGUGCCAAAGGAGCCCCAUGUGCCGCACCCCGAGGUGCCAGAGGUGCCGAAGGAGCACGAGUUGCCGCACCCUGCUGUGCCAGAGGUCCCGAAGCACGAAAUGCCGCCGUUUCCCAAAGCCGAGUUGCCCUUGCCCCCGAAGCCCGUGUUCCAUUUUCCUGAGCCAGAGGCCAAGCCAUGAUCGGAGUAGCUACAACCGCACAGUGUCCGUUAUCUAAGUAUUAUCAAACCCAUACUAUACAUGCGCGCGUGUGUUGUACAUGUCGUUAGAGCCCGCACUACUCUACUUCGUGACGAGAGCAUUAUGUAUGAGUGAUACUGCAUGGUGCAGCUGCUCAAUCUGUUCCUUUUAUGUAUAUUCAUGAUGUAUAUGCAUGAUAUGCACAUGAAUAAGUAUGUUUCUGUUUGGAAUUUUUAUGUUGCAGUUGUGUUUGUAUUUCAUCGGCAAAAAAAAACCCCCCCCAGAAUCCGUGUUUGUGUUUACUUAGAAGUACAUCACUAGAGACUUCCCAUGUUUUGCUACAUUAUCUUUUAAUCCGUGUUUGUGUUUUCAAAACGUUUUAUCUUUUGAACCGUGCGUCCAAAUCUCGAACCGUUUACAUCGUUGGGUUUUUUACGUCCAGAUCUCAUAUUGUUAGGUUUUGAUGAACUUUGUUUUUCACCAAAAACAGGACGGAAAGAGGUCCGGAAAACCAUGCCUCUCGCGAUAGAGUAAUAAAUAGAAAACAGUGCCUCUCGCGGAAGCACAACCGUGCCACUCACGAUAGAAAAAAACCAAAAAAACACGUUUUUUUCAUUUCCGAGAGGCACGCGCCUCUCGCGAAGGCAAAACUGUACCUCUCACGAAGGCAAAACCGCGCCUCUCGCGAAGACAAAACGCAUCUCUCGCGGAAGUAAAACUGUGCCUCAUGCAAAAAAGACAACGAGAAAACGCGUUUUUUCUCUCGUGAAAAAAAACCGAAAACACGUAUUUCCAUGCAUUUUUUUUAUUCGUCAGAAAACUAAGAAAAACCGGUGAAAAACUGAAACAUAAAAAAACCAGAAAAAACCAAUCUAAAAAGCCCAAAACGCGUGCGAAAAAAUAAUAAAAUCCGAAGGAAACUAUGAGUGUGCGAUAUGUGGCGGCGGCUGAAAAUGCGCCAAGUGAGGGCAUGUGUGAGUGAUCACAAGGCUUUCAAAGAAGUGCUCGCUAACUAGCUAUUCUCAUAUUAUGCGCUUAGAGAAUAAAAUUGUUCUUUUUUUGUAUUGGCGGAGAAGGCCCAAGAGGCCAUGUUUGAUCAGAAGCAUAUAUAUAUAUACACACUAUAAGAUAGUUUCUCAAAAAAAAUAAAAUUACUAUAAGAUAAAAAAGACGUUAUCCAAAAUCUAGCAAUGGUUCAGAAAAUAACAAUUCAAAGGGCUUCUUACAUAUAAGAGAAGUGAAAUAGCAUUAGCAUGUGUUGCUGUCAUAGACAAACUACCACUAAUAGAAAAGAGGGCUUUGGUCCAGGUCCUGAAAUCCUAUUAGUCCCGGUUCAUAUACGAACCGGGACAUAUGGUGACAUUGGUCCCGGUUCGUCUCGCCCCUUUUAUCUCGGUUCUAGUCAAGAACCGGGACUAAUAGGCCGACAACCGUUCGUAUCCCCUUUAGUCCCGGUUGGUGGAUCAAACCGGAACUAAGGUGUGGUGGCGGGCGUUCGUACAACCGUUCGUAUCCUCCUUUAGUCCCGGUUGGUGGAUCAAACCGGGGAUGGUGGCCCUUCGAAUCACCCCUUUAGUGCCGGUUUGUCGUCCAACCCGGGACUAAAGGCCCAAACGGUUCGCCCUCCCGCUUCGUUUCCAGCGAUGAAAACAGCAACCGAAGCAGAAUCUAUCGCCAUUCUGUGUUCUUCUCCUCUCCUAUGUUCUUCUUCUUCCUCUCUUCUUCCCCUCUCUUCUUCCAUUCUUCUUCCACCAUGACAUAUGAUACCGGAGAGGUGCUCGCACAUGGCACGACCUGGCUCAGGGUCGGGUACACGAACGAGAGCAGGGUCGUGCCAAAUUUUCGGUCACCGUUCUGAGAGUGGGUUGACGCCGCGCCCAACCAUAAAGGUGUUGCCGUUAUCCAGCUGUGUUUCAAACAACAUGUCUUGAUCUUCUAAUGGACGAGGUAAGUUUUGUAUCUUUCUUUGAUCCAAGGUUAUGAAAAUUGCAUGUAUUGAUCUUCUCUAGGUUUCAUUUGAUAGCAAUAUGGAGUUUCUAUAUACGUUCCAUUGGAUAGUUAAUUGAGGGUUUCUUAAUCAAUUCAUAGGAUAUGAAAAGUGCAUAGGAUAGCAAUAUGUGUUACAACAUUGGAUAUAUUGAUCUCCCUAGGUUCCAUUGGAUAGCAUAUAUUGAUCUUCCUAGGUUUCAUUGGAUAUAUUACAACAUAGGCUUUCUUUGAUCCAAGGUUAGGAUAUGAAAAAUUAAGACAAUCUGGGUACAUUUUUAUAUGAAUAUUGUGUAAAAAAUUGAGAUCAAAAGCACGUUCCAGUGAAUUUCAAAAAUUCCUGGACUGAGGCCGAAAGUUUCUAUUUUUUCAGCAAAAUUAAAUUGCAAACACCAUACACCAUCCCAAAGUUCUUACUUGCGCAAACACAAAAUGCUAUGUGGGUGAAAUGAUGAUACCAUGCCAACUUUCAACCUAUUCAGAGUUCACUUGUAGUGCUUUUCAAUUUCUGGGUCAUUUAGCUCAAAAAAUGAGUGAAUGCAUGAAAAAUAGCAAAUGAAGUCAGAAAUAGUUGAAAAUUGAUGAUGUGGCCUUGAAUGAUGCAUUUUGAACACACAAAAGGUGUGGAGUUCAAAUAAUUCCAAAAAAUGAAAUCCCUUUUGUCACAGAUUUGUUUUCGUAUGAAACCCUCAUACUUCGAAAGAGAUUGUCCGAUUUAUACACGAAAUGCGUCCAGUUUUUUCCGCAACCCUCUCACCUUUUUAGCACAUGCUAUGUGGGUGGAAUGAUGAUACCAUGCAAACUUUCAACCUAUUGAGAGUUCAUUUGUAGUGCUUUUCAAUUUCUGGGUCAUUUAGCUCAAAAACUGAAUAAAUGCAUGAAAAAUACCAAAUGAAGUCAAAAAUAGUUAAAAAUUGAUGAUGUGGCUUUGAAUGGUGCAUUUUGAACACACAAAAGGUGUGGAGUUCAAAUAAUUCCAAAAAAUGAAAUCCCUUUUCUAAGAGAUGAGUUUUCGUACGAAACCCUCAUACUUCCAAAGAGAUUGUCCGAUUUGUACACGAAGUGCGUACAGUUUUUGCCGCAACCCACUCAACUUUUUAGCACAUGCUAUGUGGGUGAAAUGAUGAUACCAUGCCAACUUUCAACCUAUUCAUAGUUCAUUUGUAGUGCUUUUCAAUUUAUGGGUCAUUUAGCUCAAAAAAAUUCAAUAAAUGCAUGAAAAAUACCAAAUGAAGUCAGAAAUAGUUGAAAAUUGAUGAUGUGGCUUUGAAUGGUGCAUUUUGAACACACAAAAGGUUUGGAGUUCAAAUAAUUCCUAAAAAUGAAAUCCCUUCUGUAACAGAUGAGUUUUUGUAUGAAACCCUGAUACUUCGAAAGAGAUUGUCCGAUUUGUACACGAAGUGCGUCCAGUUUUUGUCGCAACCGUCUCAAUGUCUUAGCACAUGCUAUGUGGGUGCCAACUUUGAACCUAUUCAGAGUUCAUUUGUAGUGCUUUUCAAUUUCUGGGUCAUUUAGCUCAAAAAAAUCAAUAAAUGCAUGAAAAAUACCAAAUGAAGUCACAAAUAGUUAAAAAUUGAUGAUGUGGCUUUGAAUGGUGCAUUUUGAACACACAAAAGGUCUGGAGUUCAAAUAAUUUCAAAAAAUGAAAUCCCUUUUGUAAGAGAUGAGUUUUCGUAUGAAACCUUGAUACUUCUAAAGAGAUUGUCCGAUUUGUACACGAAGUGCGUCAAGUUUUUGCCGCAACCCUCUCAACUUUUUAGCACAUACUAUGUGGGUGAAAUGAUGAUACCAUGCCAACUUUCAAUAUUUUCAGAGUUCAUUUGUAGUGCUUUUCAAUUUCUGCGUGGUCUGCUUGUCGCCAUCGCUGCCCCUGCAUAUUGUUAUUCAUACAAAUUUUCUUCAUAUAUAGAUUAAACUAGAGAUGUAUUCGAGAUUAAAUUCGAGAUGUAUUAAGUUGAUUAUUGGUUCUAACUGAAAGAAAACCUUUUUGCCUCUUGAGACCUAUUGCAUUAUAUAUCAUAACGUACAUCUAUGAACUAUUCAACAUUUGGAAAUGAAAUAUCAAAAAGUUUGUGCAUGUUUAAAACAUAGAAGUUCGUGUAAUUCGGUUAUUCGUACAAGGAGCUGAAAUAUUUGCAGAAACUAUAUGGAUCAAAGAGAACAAUUGUUGGGGGAGAUAAUGGUCAGUGAUUAUUUGUCGUAUCUCAACGACACCGAUGGCCUGGAAGGAGAGGAUGACGACUCGGAUGAUCGAACAAUGGAGGAGGAAGGACAUGAUCAUGAUGGCUCCGUUGACCGAAGGUCGGAGGAAGAAAGAGACCAUGAUGACGUCUCCAGUGACCGAACGAAGGAGGGAGAUGUUGCAAAGUCCGGCGAGGUAUAUAUAUUAAUUAAGCCCCAAGGUAUGUACAUAUAUUAGCACUUCAUUCUUUCUUGUUUUAUAGCCCUCCGGAUCGAGCCAAAGUUCGGUAAAGAGACGAGGCCCGAAGAGAAGGUUGCGCAUGGAUGAAAAGGUCACAAUCACAACAAUCGCAGCUGAUGGCCUACCGAUUGAACCCAAGCUGACCAAGGACACAUUUUCUGCUUAGUGCGGAGCUAUUUUUAGGGACAACAUCCCAAUCAGCGUCGAGCAAUGGAAAAACCCUAAGGGCGACGACGUCCGUGAAGGUGAUUAUGUCACCGAUAGGCAGAAAGAUGAUCUUUGGACCGUGUUGAAGGAAAAUUUCACCCUACCGCCAGAGGAAGAUCCGAAUAAACCAGUUAUAGAGCCACUUGUCAAGGCGUGUGCUCUUAAGAAGAUGGCACAUUUAUUCGGGAAGUGGAAGAAUGAUUUGAAAUCAAUGUUUGUCGACAAAGGGAAGACUCCAGAAUUCGUUGGCCAAUUUGAGAAGAUAAGAGAUCACUGGCCCGCAUUUAUGGCCUACAAGUCAUCGGAGAAGAGUAAGAAAAUGUCCGAGACAAACAAGAACAAUGCCGCAAAGAAGCAGUAUCACCAUCACACGGGGUCAGGUGGCUACCUCAAAGCUCGGCCAUUCUGGGACAAAGAUGAAAAUGACCUGAUUGCUAAAGGGGUCCAACCACAGACAUUGAACUGGCCAGAGCGUUCAAGGACUUGGUUCUUCGGGGUUGGGGGAACUUUGGACCCUCAAACAGGGAAGUGAUGGUGGACAGAUGAGCAACUUGCAAUACCCAUGAUCAAGCUUCAGAAGUGUAUUGCCGCGGCGCAGGAAGGGACGUUCAUUCCAGACAGAGAGAAUGAUGAGCUGUCUGAGGCCCUAGGGAAUGCUGAGCACCCUGGACGAACACGAGGCACACCAGGCUCCGUUCCGUGGAAGUUAGGGUUUCCUAUCGCAAGCGGUUACAGAAGCUGUGAGAGAAAGAGUAAAGCGGAGCUGAGCGACAUGCAGCAGAUCAAGGCAAGACUGCAAAAGCUAGAGGAACUUAAGAGCCAGCGAGCUACUGGCCAACCAUCUCAGCGGCACGAAGCUAUCCUAGAAGGUACCCCACAAUCUCAGCGGAGAAGCAGUGUGGCUUCCACGGAGCCCGUUCAGCAUGACUUCACGGCUCCUAGCUACCCCGUGGAUACUAUCACGAAGGCUCAACGUUGCGACCUUAUGAUGAAAUGUCGGAACCUCACUUUCAUGGCGGCUGUCGGCUCUGUUGAACCUCCUCAACCCAACGGAACUUUUCAUUGCCUUCCGAUUCCACACGGCUAUGAUGUUGUGAUGGUGGAUCAAGUAAUGGAGAAUUUUGAGCAGCUCGAGCUUGACCACCCUACAAGUGAAGGGGAGAUUCAGCUGGUUCGUGCUGUGGGGAGUACAUGUCCAUGGUAGAAGGAGUUCAUCAAGCUUCCAAACUGGAUGCCUCCUCCUCCUCCUCCCGCGAGUGAUCAGGGAACUCCGCCUCCUUCUCCAGNNNNNNNNNNNNNNNNNNNNNNNNNNNNNNNNNNNNNNNNNNNNNNNNNNNNNNNNNNNNNNNNNNNNNNNNNNNNNNNNNNNNNNNNNNNNNNNNNNNNCGACAUGAGGAGGUCGGGCGCUGCAGCACCUCGUGCAGGGGAACGAGGCGAGGCCGAGGGCGGCCUGGAGGCGAGGCGGCAGGGCACGGUGACCUAGGAGGCGCGGGGCACGGGGNNNNNNNNNNNNNNNNNNNNNNNNNNNNNNNNNNNNNNNNNNNNNNNNNNNNNNNNNNNNNNNNNNNNNNNNNNNNNNNNNNNNNNNNNNNNNNNNNNNNNNNNNNNNNNNNNNNNNNNNNNNNNNNNNNNNNNNNNNNNNNNNNNNNNNNNNNNNNNNNNNNNNNNNNNNNNNNNNNNNNNNNNNNNNNNNNNNNNNNNNNNNNNNNNNNNNNNNNNNNNNNNNNNNNNNNNNNNNNNNNNNNNNNNNNNNNNNNNNNNNNNNNNNNNNNNNNNNNNNNNNNNNNNNNNNNNNNNNNNNNNNNNNNNNNNNNNNNNNNNNNNNNNNNNNNNNNNNNNNNNNNNNNNNNNNNNNNNNNNNNNNNNNNNNNNNNNNNNNNNNNNNNNNNNNNNNNNNNNNNNNNNNNNNNNNNNNNNNNNNNNNNNNNNNNNNNNNNNNNNNNNNNNNNNNNNNNNNNNNNNNNNNNNNNAGGGCACGACAGGGGUUCGGGGCUCCUCGGCAGGCUGGCGAGCACGCGGGGAGGGGAGAGGGCGGCUCGGGGAGGCGACUGAGAGCGCGGCGGCGGGGCACGGGAGGCCAGGGAGGCCAUGGCGAGCGCGGGGACACAAGGGAUCGAGGGGAUGGGAGCGACGACGCACAUAGGAGGACGGGAUCGAGCACGGGGCUCUCCCUGGCGCUAGGGCCCCCCCCCCCCCCCGGCCUUGGCCCAAGUGGGCCUCUCCCUCUAUCUCAAAAUAUCCUCUCUUCUCUAUUUAAAUAAAAUAGAAGCUUGAGAGAAAAAAAUAAAAAUAAAGGUACGAUUGGGAAAUAGAUAGAGAUAAAUAUUUUCCUUGGAACCAGAAAAAAUGUGCAAAAUUCUAAAAAUGGUUGGAGGAAUUUUACAGACUAUAAAUUCAAACAAGUUUGAAUUUAAUUCCAACUGGUCUGUUUUUAAAACCCAACCAAACCAAAUCCGAAUGGCUUGCAAUUUCAGAGGGUGACCCUACAUAAUACAUAUGAUUUAUGGGCACAAUAGGAAAUUUUUAUUUGGGUCAGAUAAUAUUGGCAACAAAAAAGAAACGACUAGGAGGAAGUGGCAUAGAGAAUUUGGGAGGUAGGGUAAAGCAUUGUGCCUGAGAUCAAUGAAGUUGGUAAGACACACGAGGAUGCAAUGGAUUGAAAUAAGUUGAGAAUAGGAAAAAAAAUGAAGGGUCAAGGAGUGGCUAGGAGUAGCAGAAGAAGAAGAANNNNNAGAGGAAGAAGAAGAAAAAAACAUGAACACAAUAAGGGAAGCAAUCACAACAGAGAUGAUGGAGAUGAUGCAUGAUGCGUGAUGAAUGCAACAAACACAGUGCGACAACGAAUUAAAAGGGGAAUCUGGAGCGUCGGUGUCGGGCUGUCACACGAUACUUUCUGCAUCUACUACUAUUACUCCACACAUCGACCGCUAUCUAGCAUGCAUCUAGUGUAUUGNNNNNNNNNNNNNNNNNNNNNNNNNNNNNNNNNNNNNNNNNNNNNNNNNNNNNNNNNNNNNNNNNNNNNNNNNNNNNNNNNNNNNNNNNNNNNNNNNNNNCCCCUGCCCCCCGGAGCUCCCUCACCCUCGCCGGCGACGCCACCUCACCGGAGCUACCUCCACAGCCACGGUAGUUUUUCCAUCCCCCUGUUCUUUCUUUUUUUUUAACCCUUAGAUCUCUACUCAACGGUUUAGAUUAGAUCCUUAGGAUACCUCUUCGGUUUCGAGUAGAAAACCGGCGGUUUAUUUUUCACUUAUGUUUUAGCCAGCAAGUUUUGCUUAGCCUCGUCCGUUUGCUCCAAGCGCUCCAACAAACGCCCCCUCGGCCUAUAGUAGCAUGCCACGUGUACCCCCCCCCAUUAGUUAGCUAGAUUAGCUUCAGUUUUCUGUCUAAAUUGCAAAAACAGAAAGUUUCUAUUUUGUUUUGGCCACAACUUUUGAUCACGAAGUCCAAUGACAUUGAUUCUUGUUCCAGUAGACUCCAAUAUUUCUGUAGUUUUUAAAAACAUAUAAGUUGUCUAUGUGUGAAAUUUUCAAAUAUAAGUUAGAUCAGAUUUAGUUUAAACCUUGUUUUGCCUAUUCCAGGAGUUUCAAAAAUGAUUUUGAGUUGAUUCUUUUUGCUACUGCUUCCUAGUGAUAAAAUAUUUCUGUGGUAGAAGUUUCAAAAAUUUUAAAGUAUUUUUACUGGUGUUUUCAACAGAAACAAGUUUCUGCCAUAUCGGCGCAUGAUGAAUUCUUUUGCUUAGGCUUUCGCAAAUCCUUACUUGUGAUGUUAUUUUUACUUGUGGCUUGAUUGAAGUGCUUAUGGUGUGCUUUGUGUUUGUAUCGGUAGAUCAUNNNNNNNNNNNNNNNNNNNNNNNNNNNNNNNNNNNNNNNNNNNNNNNNNNNNNNNNNNNNNNNNNNNNNNNNNNNNNNNNNNNNNNNNNNNNNNNNNNNNGUGCUUCUCGAUCUCCAUCACCAAAGCACCGACACGAUCUUCUUGUCACCGGUGCCACACCAUGAUCUCCAUCAAUGUGUCGCCAUCGGGGUUGUCGUGCUACUCAUGCUAUUACUACUAAAGCUACGUCCUAGAAAUAUAGUCACGCAUGUGCAAGCACAAACAUUAGUUUAAGGACAACCCUAUGGCUCAUGCCGGUUGUCGUACCAUCGACGUGCAAGUCGAUAUUAACUAUUACAACAUGAUCAUCUCAUACAUCCAAUAUAUCACAUCACGUCGUUGGCCAUAUCACAUCACAAGCAUACCCUGCAAAAACAAGUUAGACGUCCUCUAAUUUUGUUGUUUCAUGUUUUACGUGGUGACCAAGGGUAUCUAGUAGGAUCGCAUCUUACUUACGCAAACACCACAACGGAGAUAUAUGAGUUGCUAUUUAACCUCAUCCAAGGACCUCCUCGGUCAAAUCCGAUUCAACUAAAGUUGGAGAAACCGUCACUUGCCAGUCAUCUUUGAGCAAAGGGGGUUACUCGUAACGAUGAAACCAGUCUCUCGUAAGCGUACGAGUAAUGUCGGUCCAAGCCGCUUCAAUCCAACAAUACCGCGGAAUCAAGAAAAGACUAAGGAGGGCAGCAAAACGCACAUCACCGCCCACAAAAACUUUUGUGUUCUACUCGAGAAGACAUCUACGCAUGAACCUAGCUCAUGAUGCCACUGUUGGGGAACGUCGCAUGGGAAACAAAAAUUUUCCUACGCGCACGAAGACCUAUCAUGGUGAUGUCCAUCUACGAGAGGGGAUGAGUGAUCUACGUACCCUUGUAGAUCGUACAGCAGAAGCGUUAGAGAACGCGGUUGAUGUAGUGGAACGUCCUCACGUCCCUCGAUCCGCCCCGCGAACAAUCCCGCGAUCAGUCCCACGAUCUAGUACCGAACGGACGGCACCUCCGCGUUCAGCACACGUACAGCUCGACGAUGAUCUCGGCCUUCUUGAUCCAGCAAGAGAGACGGAGAGGUAGAAGAGUUCUCCGGCAGCGUGACGGCGCUCCGGAGGUUGGUGAUGAUCUUGUCUCAGCAGGGCUCCGCCCGAGCUCCGCAGAAACGCGAUCUAGAGGAAAAACUAUGGAGGUAUGUGGUCGGGCAGCCGUGAGAAAGUCGUCUCAAAUCUGCCCUAAAAGCCCCAUAUAUAUAGGAGGAGGGAGGGGGACCUUGCCUUGGGGUCCAAGGGAUCCCCAAGGGGUCGGCCGAGCCAGGGGGGAGGACUCUCCCCCCCCCAAACCGAGUCCUACUUGGUUUGGUGGGAGGGAGUCCUUCCCCUUUCCCACUUCUCCUUUUUUUUCUUUCCUUUGAUUUUUUUCUCUCUUGGCGCAUAGGGGAUUGGUGGGCUGUCCCACCAGCCCACUAAGGGCUGGUGUGACCCCCCCAAAUGCCUAUGGGCUUCCCCGGAGUGGGUUGCCCCCCUCCGGUGAACUCCCGGAACCCAUUCGUCAUUCCCGAUACAUUCCUGGUAACUCCGAAAACCUUCCGGUAAUCAAAUGAGGUCAUCCUAUAUAUCAAUCUUCGUUUCCGGACCAUUCCGGAAACCCUCGUGACGUCCGUGAUCUCAUCCGGGACUCCGAACAACAUUCGGUAACCAACCAUAUAACUCAAAUACGCAUAAAACAACGUCGAACCUUAAGUGUGCAGACCCUGCGGGUUCGAGAACUAUGUAGACAUGACCCGAGAGACUCCUCGGUCAAUAUCCAAUAGCGGGACCUGGAUGCCCAUAUUGGAUCCUACAUAUUCUACGAAGAUCUUAUCGUUUGAACCUCAGUGCCAAGGAUUCGUAUAAUCCCGUAUGUCAUUCCCUUUGUCCUUCGGUAUGUUACUUGCCCGAGAUUCGAUCGUCAGUAUCCGCAUACCUAUUUCAAUCUCGUUUACCGGCAAGUCUCUUUACUCGUUCCGUAAUACAAGAUCCCGCAACUUACACUAAGUUACAUUGCUUGCAAGGCUUGUGUGUGAUGUUGUAUUACCGAGUGGGCCCCGAGAUACCUCUCCGUCACACGGAGUGACAAAUCCCAGUCUUGAUCCAUACUAACUCAACUAACACCUUCGGAGAUACCUGUAGAGAACCUUUAUAGUCACCCAGUUACGUUGCGACGUUUGAUGCACACAAGGUAUUUCUCCGGUGCCAGUGAGUUAUAUGAUCUCAUGGUCAUAGGAACAAAUACUUGACACGCAGAAAACAAUAGCACUAAAACGACACGAUCAAUAUGCUACGUUCAUAGUUUGGGUCUUGUCCAUCACAUGAUUCUCCUAAUGAUGUGAUCCCGUUAUCAAGUGACAGCACUUGUCUAUGGUUAGGAAACCUUCACCAUCUUUGAUCAACGAGCUAGUUAACUAGAGGCUUACUAGGGAAAGUGUUUUGUCUAUGUAUCCACACAUGUAUUGUGUUUCCUAUCAAUACAAUUAUAGCAUGGAUAAUAAACGAUUAUCAUGAACAAAGAAAUAUAAUAAUAACUAAUUUAUUAUUGCCUCUAGGGCAUAUUUCCAACAAUAGUUUCCUUAGGGUAUCCUAUGAAUACACAUUUCUUCGCUUUGGGUUCGAGCUUCUCUGGUUGAUGUUUCUUCACAUAAGCAUCGCAGCCCCAAACUUUAAGAAACGACAACUUAGGUUUCUUGCCAAACCAUAGUUCAUACGGUGUCGUCUCAACGGAUUUAGACAGUGCCCUAUUUAAAGUGAAUGCUGCAGUUUCUAAUGCGUAUCCCAAAAUGAUAGCGUAAGUCGGUAAGAGACAUCAUAGAUCGUACCAUAUCUAAUAAAGUGCGAUUAUGACGUUCAAACACUCCCUUGCAUUGCGGUGUGCCAGGCGGCGUGAGUUGUGAAACGAUUCCACACUUCCUUAGGUGUGUGCCAAACUCGUGACUCAAAUAUUCUCCUCCACGAUCAGAUCGUAGACACUUAAUUUUUCUGUCACGUUGAUUCUCAACAUCACUCUGAAAUUCCUUGAACUUUUCAAAUGUCUCGGAUUUGUGCUUCGUCAAGUAGAUAUACCCAUACCUACUCAAAUCAUCGGUGAGAGUGAGAACAUAACGGUAGCCACCACGUGCUUCAACGUUCAUUGGACCACACACAUCAGUAUGUAUUAUUUCCAAUAAGUCGGUCGCUCUCUCCAUUAUUCCUAAGAAUGGAGUCUUAGUCAUCGUGCCCAUGAGGCACGGUUCGCAUGUGUCAAAUGAUUCAAAGUCAAGAGACUCUAAUAGUCCAUCAGUAUGGAGCUUCUUCAUGCGCUUAAUACCGAUAUGACCAAGGCGGCAGUGCCACAAGUAUGUGGGACUAUCAUUAUCAACUUUACAUCUUUUUGUACUCACACUAUGAAUAUGUGUAACAUCACGAUCGAGAUUCAUCAAGAAUAAACCAUUCACCAGCGGAGCAUAACCAUAAAACAUAUCACUCAUAUAAAUAGAACAACCAUUAUUCUCUGACUUAAAUGAGUAGCCGUCUCACAUUAAGCAAGACCCUGAUACAAUAUUCAUGGUCAAAGCUGGUACUAAAUAACCAUUAUUAAGGUUUAAAACUAAUUUAGACGGUAGAUGUAGAGGUAGUGUGCCGACGGCGAUCACAUCAACCUUGGAGCCAUUCCCGACGCGCAUCGUCACCUCGUCCUUGGCCAGUCUUUGCUUAUUCCGCAGUUCCUGCUUUGAGUUGCAAAUGUGAGCAACAACACCGGUAUGAAAUACCCACGAGCUACUACGAGCGCUGGUAAGGUACACAUCAAUAACACGUAUAUCACAUAUACCUUUAACGUUGUCGGCCUUCUUGUCAGCUAAGUACUUGAGGCAGUUCCGCUUCCAAUGACCUUUUUCCUUGCAAUAGAAGCACUCAAUCUCAGGCUUGGGUCCAUUCUUUUUCUUCUUCCCGGCAUCUGGCUUACCGGGCGCGGCAACGGAUUUGUCAUCUUUCUUGAAGUUCUUCUUACCCUUGCCCUUCUUGAAACUGGUGGUCUUGUUGACCAUCAACACUUGAUGCUCUUUCUUGAUUUCUACUUCUGCAGACUUGAGCAUCGAGUACAACUCGGGAAUGGUCUUAUCCAUCCCUUGCAUGUUGUAGUUCAGCACAAAACCUUUGCAGCUUGGUGGGAGAGACUGGAGGAUUCUGUCAAUUAUAGCAUCAUCCGGAAGUUCGACUCCAAGUGAAGUCAGACGACCGUGUAACCCAGACAUUUUGAGUAUGUGCUCACUGACAGAACUGUUCUCCUCCAUCUUACAGCUAAAGAACUUGUCGGAGACUUCAUAUCUCUCGACACGGGCAUGAUCUUGAAAAACCAGUUUCAGCUCUUGGAACAUCUCAUAUGCACCGUGUUGCUCAAAACGCAUUUGGAGCCCUGUUUCCAAACUGUAUAACAUGCCACACCUAACCAGAGAGUAUUCAUCACUCCGCAUUUGCCAGAUGUUCAGAAUGUUCUGGGCUGCUGCGGGAGCGGGAGGGUCACCUAGCAGUGCAUCAAGGACAUAAGCCUUUUUAGCUGCUUCAAGGAUGAGCUUCAAGUUGCGAACCCAGUCCGCAUAGUUGCUACCAUCAUCUUUCAAAUUGUUUUUCUCUAGGAAUGCGUUGAAAUUGAGGUUGACGUUGGCCAUCUACAAUAUUUAUAAAGACAACUUUUAGACUAAGUUCAUGACAAUAAAGUUCAUUUAAUCAAAUUAAGUAUGAACUCCCACUUAAAUUGACAUCCCUCUAGUCAUCUAAGUGAUACAUGAUCCAUGUUGACUAACCCGUGUCCGAUCAUCACGUGAGACGGACUAGUCACCAUGGUGAGCAACUUCAUGCUGAUCGUAUUCAACCAUACGACUCAUGUUCUACCUUUCGGUCUCUUGUAUUCGAGGUCAUGUCUGUACAUGCUAAGCUCGUCGAGUUAACCUAGGUGUUUCGCGUGUGUAAAUCUGGCUUACACCCGUUGUAUGGGAACGUUAGAAUCUAUCACACCCGAUCAUCACGUGGUGCUUCGAGACAACGAUCGUUCGCAAUGGUGCACACUUAGGGGAAUACGCUCUCGAAAUGUUAAGAGGGAUCAUCUUAUUAUGCUAUCGUCGUUCUAAGCAAUAAGAUGAAAACCGUGAUAAACAUCACAAUGCAAUCAUAUAGUAACAUGAUAUGGCCAUUAUCAUCUUUGCUCUUUCGAUCUCCAUCUUCAGGCAUCGCAUGAUCAUCAUUUUCACCGGCGUGACACCAUGAUCUCCAUCAUCAUGUCUUCGUGAAGUCAUCACGCCAACUACUACUAUCACUACUACUAUAGCUAACUGUUAGCAAUGAAGUAAAAGUAGUAAGCACAUGGCGUUGCAUCUCAUACAAUAAAUUAAGACAACUCCUAUGGCUCCUGCUGGUUGUCAUACUCAUCGACAUGCAAGUCAUGAAACCUAUUACAAUAACAUGAUCAUCUCAUACAUCAUACAUGCAACAUCACAACUUUUGCCAUAUCACAUCACAUGUCAAACCCUGGAAAAACAAGUUAGACGUCCUCUAAUUGUUGUUGCAAGUUUUACGUAGCUGAUUUGGGUUUCUAGCAACAACGCCUUCUUACCUACGUGACAGCCACAAUGAUGAUAUGCCAAAGCUAUUUACCCUUCAUAAGGACCCUUUUCAUCAAAUCCAAUCCGACUAGAGUAGGAGAGAUAGACACCCGCUAGCCACCUUUAUGCAUGGUGUGCAUGUCUAUCGGUGGAACCAGUCUCACGUAAGCGUACGUGUACGGUCGGUCCGGGCCGCUUCAUCCCACAAUACCGCCGAAAAAGAAUAAGACUAGUAACGGCAAGCAAUUGACAAACCAUCGCCCACAACCUUUUGUGUUCUACUCGUGCAUAGAAUCUACGCAUAGAAAACCUGGCUCGGAUGCCACUGUUGGGUAACGUAGCAUAAAUUCAAAAAAAUUCCUACACAUAUUCAUAUCUUCCUAUGGAGAGACGAGAAAUGAGAGAGGGGUGACUGCAUCUUCAUACCUUUGAAGAUCGCUAAGAGGAAGCGUUGCUAGAACGCGGCUGAUGGAGUCGUACUCGCGGCCAUUCAGAUCGCGGUGUGAUUCCGAUCUAGUGCCGAACCAUGGCACCUCCGCGUUCAACACACGUGCCGCCCGGUGAUGUCUCCCGCACCUUGAUCCAGCAAGGAGGAGGGAUAGGUUGGGGAAGAUCUCCGGCAGCACGACGACGUGGUGUUCAUGGAGAGACGAGGUCUCCCGGCACGGAAUCGCCAAGCACCGCGAGAGGAGGAGGAAGGAAGGGGGCAGGGCUGCGCCGAGGGGAGAAAAAACCGUUUCAAACAGCCCCAAAACCCCCACUAUAUAUAGGAGGAGCGGAGGGGGGGUGCCACCCCUAGGGUUCCCCCCUAUGUGGUGCGGCAGCCCCCUAGAUGGGAGGUGCGGCGGCCAGGGCAGGGGGAGGGGGUGGCGCACCCCUAGGUGGGCCUUAGGCCCACCAGCGCCUAGGGUUUGCCCCCCUCCGCACCUCCUGUGCCUUGGGCCUCUUUGUGGGAGGCGCACCAGCCCACUUUUGGCUGGUUUCCCUCCCCCUUUUGGCCCAUGCUACCUCUUGGGCCUCGUGGCCCCUCCCGGUGGACCCCCGGGACCAUUUUCGGUGGUCCCGGUACACUACCGGUGACGCCCAAAACAUUUUUCGGUGUCCAAAAUUAUCCAUCCUAUAUAUCAAUCUUUACCUCCAGACCAUUCCGGAGCUCCUCAUGACGUACGGGAUCUCAUCCGGGACUCCAAACAACUUUCGGUAACCUCGUAUAAGAAUUCCCUAUAACCCUAGCGUCAUCGAACCUUAAGUGUGUAGACCCUACGUGUUCAGGAAGCAUGCAGACAUGACCGAGAUGUUCUCCGGCCAAUAACCAUUAGCGGGAUCUGGAUACCCAUGGUGGCUCCCACAUGUUCCAUGGUGAUCUCAUCGGAUGAACCACGAUGUCAAGGAUUCAAUGAAUCCCGUAUACAAUUCCCUUUGUCUGUCGGUAUAGAACUUGCCCGAGAUUCGAUCAUCGGUAUACCUAUACCUUGUUCAAUCUCGUUACCGGUAAGUCUCUUUACUCGUUUCGUAGCACGUCAUCGUCUGACUAACUCCUUAGUCACAUUGAGCUCAUGAUGAUGUUCUACCGAGUGGGCCCAGAGGUACCUCUCCGUCACACGGAGUGACUAAUCCCGAUCUUGAUUCGUACCAACCCAACACACACUUUCAGAGGUACCCAUAGUGCACCUUUAUAGUCACCCAGUUACGUUGUGACAUUUGAUACACCCAAAGCACUCCUACGGUAUCCGGGAGUUGCACAAUCUCACAGCCGAAGGAAAACACACCUUACAUUAGAAAAGCUUUAGCAUACGAACAAUACGAUCUAGUGCUAUGCUUAGGAUUGGGUCUUGUCCAUCACAUCAUUCUCCCAAUGAUGUGAUCCCAUUAUCAAUGACAUCUAAUGUCCAUGAUCAGGAAACCAUGAUCAUCUAUUGACCAACGAGCAAGCCAACUAGAAGCUUGCUAGGGACUCAUUGUGAUCUAUCUAUUCACACAUGUAUUAUUGUUUCCUGAUAAUACAAUUAUAUCAUGAACAAUAGACGAUUAUCAUGAACAAGGAAAUAUGAUAAUAUCCAUUUUAUUAUUGCCUCUAGGGCAUAUUUCCAAUAGACAACACUGGUGCGAUCGGGCUUUCUCCAUCUUUUCAUCAGUGUACUUCAUAACCCUUUCAUAGUAACAUGUGUUCAGAUUGUUUGUCAUCUGCUCCGCAGCAAUUUGACAUCUUUCUCUGAAAUACUUCACUGUGCCAUAGAAAAUGCCCUCGACGAUCGCUGUAAAUGGCAAAGCUCUGUUUCCUUUGAGGAAAAAAUUAUAUGUUUCAUCCAGGUUGGUAGUCAUGACACCGUACCUCGCUCCAUGUGUGUCAUGCAACAGAGACCACCUCUCCAACGGCUCAUGCUCUAUCCACUGAUCAAAGGUUUUAAUCGUCCUUGCUAGCCUUCUCCUUCUACCAGGAGGGUCAAAUCCUGGCAAGUCACAAAGCCCAAUCGGCUCUUCCUCCACGGUAGCAGAUCCAGUUGCUAGUUGUGCAGCUACUGCUUUAACAUGUGCCCUGACAGCAACAUCUCUUGCAGCUCUCCUGUCCCUAACAUGUCUCCAUGUGCAAACAUUUAGUCUAUUACGUAUCAACUCAUACUUCCAUUGUUGGUUCUUCUUGCAGAGUUUCUUGAAUAGAUUCAUGAGGUUCUUAUUUCUAAACCGCGAGAAGAAAUUUUCCCCUAGAUGGCGCAUGCACCAACGACUCUGAAUGUCUUGCCAAGGAGUUUGUUCACCGGGAGCAGGGUUUGACAAUGUCUUGAUCGUGCUGAAUAUACCUGCAUGCCUAUCAUGAAGGAUGCACACAUUCUGCUUAUCCUCCACAACAACUAUUUUCAACUGCCUGAAGAACCAUGUCCAACUCUCGAUGUUCUCGCUCUCCACAAAAGCAAAUGCAAGUGGGACAACUUGAUUUUGCCCAUCUCGACCUAUGGCUGUGAGGAUCUGACCCUUGUACUUGCCAGUGAGAAAUGUGCCAUCUACACAUAUCACCGGUCGACAAUGUCUGAAAGCUUCGAUGCAGACAUCGAAAGAGAAGAACAACCGAUGCAACACCCUAACCGUUGGGAACUCUGGCAGGUACAAGUCUUGGAUGUCAACAUACGUGCCAGGAUUCCAGUUUUGCAGUGUCUGGAGGAGCCGAACAAUAGAGUCAUAUGCAUCAAAAUACGAACCGAAUCUGGUCUCCAGUGCUUUCUGCUUAGCCCUCAAAGCCUUGCCAUAUGAUAUGUUGUACUUUAACCUGACGAAGACUUUUUUCUGUAUAGCCUUCACUUCCAUCGCCUUGCUCUCCACGAUCUCGUUGUAAAGAAAGCGAGCAAUCACAGUGGAAGUAAGGUUAGGAUGAUCUUGAGGGAUGCAUGGAAUAACACAAUUAUGACUAACUAUGUCACUUAUGACCCUGCUUGUGUCAUACUUAGGGAGAUAUCCAUGCACCCUUGCGAGACAACCCUGGUUUCUGUAUACCAUUGUCAACUUAUCCGGACAAGAAACUUGAGCUACAAAAACCCUUUCAGUGGACAUUGCCCAAUUAAGGAUGGCAUCCUUCAGAGCUUGUUUGUUCGGGUAGAGGGCACCUGUCGCAAUGUUGUUCUGGUGAUACUGCCAGGCAGAAUCAUGACCGUCGUUCACCAACAUUGCAGAUGAGAAGUCCUGAUUCCAUGGUGCAGGAAUAUGCACCUCAUGUGUGUUCUCUUCUCCAUCUGACUCGGCGGAUUCAUCGGAAAUAUCACCUGCUAUAUCUUCUUCAUGCAUCUGGUUUUGCAUGUGCCCAUCUAUCUCGACGGCAUCUGCCUCGCCGCUGACAUAAUCAUCUGCAUCUCCCCUUCUGCCCGACUACUCUAGUCUGCUUCGUAAACAUCAACUCCAGCAUGGGACGCAUGAAUUGACUUUGAAUCAUGCAUCCCUACACUGCUCUCACCAUACUCGUAGCUAAAUUCCACUUCAGGUUCAGUCAUCGGCUUUAGCACGGGGAGCAGUAAGGCCAGAGGAUGACAUCCCCUACGCUCGCAAGCUUUUAACCAGUGCACCCACUGGUCGUCCCUCUCUAUAUGCUUCAAAUACCAGAAAAUAUUUUCACUAGACCGGGUCCAUAAUGCAUGAACGCAGACGUUGUGAGUUUCAAUAUUGAACCCUAAACAUUUGGCCAGCCAUUCUAUCAACUGAUUAACAGACCACGUUUUAGGGAAAGACACUGGCACCUCAACGUACUGAAAUUCACUAAGAUCAGCUCCCAUCUCAUUUAUUCGAACAGUACCAGAACCAUAGUGCAAACAUAACUUCACUAAAUCAGGCAUCUCUGCUGACCUAAUAAAUUAUUCAACAAGUAAAAAUUUUAGAAGAAGUACAAACCUAAAUAUAUUUCCCAAAUGUAUGGGAGAACCUAAGAGAAUUGUGAGCUACUUAAUUCACAGGCCUAAAUAUAUCCGAAUGUAACUGGACAAACUAAAAUUAUUUAAACUACUAAAUGGUCUUACCUAAAUAUAUCCAAAAAAUUAAACUAUUUAAUUCACUAAACUAAAUAUAUGAAAUCUACUGCAGCACCUAAAAAUAUUUAAACUACUUAAUUCAAUAAACUAAAUAUAUACAAAUCUACCGAACCAACUAAAAAUAUUUAACCUACUAAAUUCAACUACUUAGUUCACUAAACAAAAAAUUACCCUUGAAGCAUGACAAACGACGAACGACGCUCGACCAACACCGACAAUAAUCACGAACGAGGAACCGGUAGCACCACCUCCAACUCCACCGCAACAACCACCUUCAUCCACACCUCCACCACCACUACUACUACCUCCACCUCAACCUCCACCACCACCACCAAAAAAUGCUUGAGAAAAACAACCAUGAACUACCCCAUCGCGAGUAAGACGGAUGGUUUGGCUGCCUUGACCUUACACAAUAAAACUACGGUGCAAAAUGUGAGAAAAAUGGGUAAGUAAGAAGAAUAUGAGAUUUUUGUGUGGGGGAGAAGGAAGGAGGAGAAAGAGAGAAAGGAGAUAAGGAAGAAUGGGAGGAAGGAGGAAGGAGGAANNNNNNNNNNNNNNNNNNNNNNNNNNNNNNNNNNNNNNNNNNNNNNNNNNNNNNNNNNNNNNNNNNNNNNNNNNNNNNNNNNNNNNNNNNNNNNNNNNNNGCUUCUGCUGUACGAUCUACAAGGGUACGUAGAUCACUCAUCCCCUCUCGUAGAUGGACAUCACCAUGAUAGGUCUUCGUGCGCGUAGGAAAAUUUUUGUUUCCCAUGCGACGUUCCCCAACAGUGGCAUCAUGAGCUAGGUUCAUGCGUAGAUGUCUUCUCGAGUAGAACACAAAAGGUUUUGUGGGCGGUGAUGUGCGUUUUGCUGCCCUCCUUAGUCUUUUCUUGAUUCCGCGGUAUUGUUGGAUUGAAGCGGCUUGGACCGACAUUACUCGUACGCUUACGAGAGACUGGUUUCAUCGUUACGAGUAACCCCCUUUGCUCAAAGAUGACUGGCAAGUGACGGUUUCUCCAACUUUAGUUGAAUCGGAUUUGACCGAGGAGGUCCUUGGAUGAGGUUAAAUAGCAACUCAAUAUCUCCGUUGUGGUGUUUGCGUAAGUAAGAUGCGAUCCUACUAGAUACCCUUGGUCACCACGUAAAACAUGCAACAACAAAAUUAGAGGACGUCUAACUUGUUUUUGCAGGGUAUGAUUGUGAUGUGAUAUGGCCAACGAUGUGAUGUGAUAUAUUGGAUGUAUGAGAUGAUCAUGUUGUAAUAGAAAUAUCGACUUGCAUGUCGAUGGUACGGCAACCGGCAAGAGCCAUAGGGUUGUCUUUAUACUAACGUUUGUGCUUGCAGAUGCGUUUACUAUUUUUCUAGGAUGUAGCUUUAGUAGUAAUAGCAUAAGUAGCACGACAACCCCGAUGGCAACACGUUGAUGGAUGAUCAUGGUGUGGCGCCGGUGACAAGAAGAUCUGCCGGUGCUUUGGUGAUGGAGAUCAAGAAGCACGUGAUGAUGGCCAUAUCAUGUCACUUAUGAAUUGCAUGUGAUGUUAAUCCUUUUAUGCACCUUAUUUUGCUUAGAACGACGGUAGCAUUAUGAGGUGAUCUCUCACUAAAAUUUCAAGACGAAAUUGUGUUCUCCCCGACUGUGCACCGUUGCUACAGUUCGUCGUUUCGAGACACCACGUGAUGAUCGGGUGUGAUAGACUCAACGUUCACAUACAACGGGUGCAAAACAGUUGCGCACGCGGAACACUCGGGUUAAGCUUGACGAGCCUAGCAUGUGCAGACAUUGCCUCGGAACACAUGAGACCGAAAGGUCGAUCGUGAAUCAUAUAGUUGAUAUGAUUAGCAUAGGGAUGCUUACCACUGAAACUAUACCCAACUCACGUGAUGAUCGGACUUGGGAUAGUGUAAGUGGAUCAUGAACCACUCAAAUGACUAGAGAGAUGUACUUUUUGAGUGGGAGUUGAGCAUAUAAUUUGAUUAAGUUGAACUCUAAUUAUCUUGAACAUAGUCUAAGUCCACUUUGAAUAUAUUUGUGUUGUAGAUCAUGGCUCACGCGACAAUCAUCCUGAAUUUUAAUACGUUCCUAGAGAAAGCUAAGUUGAAAGAUGAUGGAAGCAACUUUGUAGACUGGGCUCGUAAUCUUAAGCUAAUCUUACAAGUUGGGAAGAAGGAUUAUGUCCUUAAUGCUGCGCUAGGAGAUGAACCACCCGCUACGGCUGAACAGGAUGUUAAGAACGCUUGGUUAGCACGUAAGGAGGACUACUCAAUAGUUCAAUGUGCAGUCUUGUAUGGCUUAGAACCGGGACUUCAACGUCGCUUUGAGCGUCAUGGGGCAUUUGAGAUGUUCCAGGAGUUGGAGUUUAUCUUUCAGAAGAACGCCCGGAUCGAGAAGUAUGAGACCUCCGAUAAAUUCUAUGCUUGCAAGAUGGAGGAAAACUCGUCUGUCAGUGAACAUGUGCUCAAAAUGUCUGGGUACUCAAACCGUCUAGCUGAACUGGGGAUUGAACUCCCGCAAGAAGCUAUCACUGAUAGAAUCCUUCAAUCACUGCCGCCAAGCUAUAAAGGCUUUGUGUUGAACUACAACAUGCAAGGGAUGAACAAGUCUCCCGGCGAGUUGUUUGCGAUGCUGAAAGUCGCAGAGUCUGAACUCCGUAAAGAGCAUCAAGUGUUGAUGGUGAGCAAGACCACUAGUUUCAAGAGAAACGGCAAAGGCAAGAAAGGCAAUUCGAAGAAGAGCGGCAAGCCUGUUGCCAAUCCGCCGAAGAAACCCAAGGCUGGACCUAAGCCUGAAACAGAGUGCUUCUAUUGCAAGGGUAUGGGUCACUAGAAGCGCAAUUGCCCCAAGUAUCUGGCAGAUAAGAAGGCGCGCAAAGAAAAAUCAGGUAUAUUUGAUAUACAUGUUAUUGAUGUGUACUUAACCGGUUCUCGUAGUAGUGCCUGGGUAUUCGAUACCGGUUCUGUUGCUCACAUUUGCAACUCGAAACAGGAACUGCGGAAUAGACGGAGGCUGGCAAAAGACGAAGUGACGAUGCGUGUAGGAAACGGUUCCAAGGUUGAUGCAAUCGCCGUCGGCACCGUGUCACUUCAACUACCAUCGGGAUUAGUGAUGAACUUAAAUCAUUGUUAUUUAGUGCCUGCGUUGAGCAUGAACAUUAUAUCUGGAUCUUGUUUAUUGCGAGACGGUUACUCGUUUAAGUCUGAGAAUAAUGGUUGUUCUAUUUCUAUGAGUAACAUCUUUUAUGGUCAUGCACCGAAUGUGAGAGGAUUGUUCAUAUUGAAUCUUGAUAGCGAUACGCAUAUACAUAACAUUGAGACCAAAAGAGUUAGAGUAAACAAUGAUAGCGCCAUAUUUUUGUGGCACUGCCGCUUGGGUCAUAUUGGUGUAAAGCGCAUGAAGAAACUGUUGGGGAACGUCGCAUGGGAAACAAAAAUUUUCCUACGCGCACGAAGACCUAUCAUGGUGAUGUCCAUCUACGAGAGGGGAUGAGUGAUCUACGUACCCUUGUAGAUCGUACAGCAGAAGCGAUGUGAGAUCGCGGUUGAUGUAGUGGAACGUCCUCACGUCCCUCGAUCCACCCCGCGAACAAUCCCGCGAUCAGUCCCACGAUCUAGUACCGAACGGACGGCACCUCCGCGUUCAGCACACGUACAGCUCGACGAUGAUCUCGGCCUUCUUGAUCCAGCAAGAGAGACGGAGAGGUAGAAGAGUUCUCCGGCAGCGUGACGGCGCUCCGGAGGUUGGUGAUGAUCUUGUCUCAGCAGGGCUCCGCCCGAGCUCCGCAGAAACGCGAUCUAGAGGAAAAACUAUGGAGGUAUGUGGUCGGGCAGCCGUGAGAAAGUCGUCUCAAAUCUGCCCUAAAAGCCCCAUAUAUAUAGGAGGAGGGAGGGGGACCUUGCCUUGGGGUCCAAGGGAACCCCAAGGGGUCGGCCGAGCCAGGGGGGAGGACUCUCCCCCCCCCAAACCGAGUCCUACUUGGUUUGGUGGGAGGGAGUCCUUCCCCUUUCCCACUUCUCCUUUUUUUUCUUUCCUUUGAUUUUUUUCUCUCUUGGCGCAUAGGGGAUUGGUGGGCUGUCCCACCAGCCCACUAAGGGCUGGUGUGACCCCCCCAAAUGCCUAUGGGCUUCCCCGGAGUGGGUUGCCCCCCUCCGGUGAACUCCCGGAACCCAUUCGUCAUUCCCGAUACAUUCCUGGUAACUCCGAAAACCUUCCGGUAAUCAAAUGAGGUCAUCCUAUAUAUCAAUCUUCGUUUCCGGACCAUUCCGGAAACCCUCGUGACGUCCGUGAUCUCAUCCGGGACUCCGAACAACAUUCGGUAACCAACCAUAUAACUCAAAUACGCAUAAAACAACGUCGAACCUUAAGUGUGCAGACCCUGCGGGUUCGAGAACUAUGUAGACAUGACCCGAGAGACUCCUCGGUCAAUAUCCAAUAGCGGGACCUGGAUGCCCAUAUUGGAUCCUACAUAUUCUACGAAGAUCUUAUCGUUUGAACCUCAGUGCCAAGGAUUCGUAUAAUCCCGUAUGUCAUUCCCUUUGUCCUUCGGUAUGUUACUUGCCCGAGAUUCGAUCGUCAGUAUCCGCAUACCUAUUUCAAUCUCGUUUACCGGCAAGUCUCUUUACUCGUUCCGUAAUACAAGAUCCCGCAACUUACACUAAGUUACAUUGCUUGCAAGGCUUGUGUGUGAUGUUGUAUUACCGAGUGGGCCCCGAGAUACCUCUCCGUCACACGGAGUGACAAAUCCCAGUCUUGAUCCAUACUAACUCAACUAACACCUUCGGAGAUACCUGUAGAGCAUCUUUAUAGUCACCCAGUUACGUUGCGACGUUUGAUACACACAAAGCAUUCCUCCGGUGUCAGUGAGUUAUAUGAUCUCAUGGUCAUAGGAAUAAAUACUUGACACGCAGAAAACAGUAGCAACAAAAUGACACGAUCAACAUGCUACGUCUAUUAGUUUGGGUCUAGUCCAUCACGUGAUUCUCCUAAUGACGUGAUCCAGUUAUCAAGCAACAACACCUUGUUCAUAAUCAGAAGACACUGACUAUCAUCGAUCAACUGGCUAGCCAACUAGAGGCAUGCUAGGGACGGUGUUUUGUCUAUGUAUCCACACAUGUAAAUGAGUCUUCAUUCAAUACAAUUAUAGCAUGGAUAAUAAACUAUUAUCUUGAUACAGGAAUUAUAAUAAUAACUAUACAUUUAUUAUUGCCUCUAGGGCAUAAUUCCAACAGUCUCCCACUUGCACUAGAGUCAAUAAUCUAGCCCUCACAUCACCAUGUGAAUUACAUUGUAAUAAAUCUAACACCCAUACAGUUCUGGUGUCGAUCAUGUUUUGGCCGUGGAAGAGGUUUAGUCAGCGGGUCUGCUACAUUCAGAUCCGUGUGCACUUUGCAUAUAUUUACGUCCUCCUCCUCGACGUAGUCGCGGAUGAGGUUGAAGCGUCGUUUGAUGUGUCUGGUCUUCUUGUGAAACCUUGGUUCCUUUGCUAAGGCAAUGGCACCAGUGUUGUCACAGAACAAGGUUAUUGGAUCCAGUGCACUUGGCACCACUCCAAGAUCCGUCAUGAACUGCUUCAUCCAGACACCCUCCUUAGCCGCCUCCGAGGCAGCCAUGUACUCCGCUUCACAUGUAGAAUCUGCUACGACGCUUUGCUUGGAACUGCACCAGCUUACUGCACCCCCAUUAAGAAUAAAUACGUAUCCGGUUUGCGACUUAGAGUCGUCCGGAUCUGUGUCAAAGCUUGCAUCGACGUAACCUUUUACGGCGAGCUCUUCGUCACCUCCAUACACGAGAAACAUCUCCUUAGUCCUUUUCAGGUACUUCAGGAUAUUCUUGACCGCCGUCCAGUGAUCCACUCCUGGAUUAAUCUGGAACCUACCUGCCAUACUUAUGGCCAGGCUAACAUCCGGUCUAGUGCACAACAUUGCAUACAUGAUAGAGCCUAUGGCUGAAGCAUAGGGGACGGAGCGCAUAUGCUCUCUAUCUUCAUCAGUUGCUGGGCACUGAGUCUUACUCAAUCUCGUACCUUGUAACACCGGCAAGAACCCUUUCUUGGACUGUUCCAUUUUGAACCUCUUCAAAACUUUAUCAAGGUAUGUGCUUUGUGAAAGUCCUAUCAGGCGUUUUGAUCUAUCCCUAUAGAUCUUAAUGCCUAGAAUGUAAGCAGCUUCUCCUAGGUCCUUCAUAGAGAAACUUUUAUUCAAGUAACCUUUUAUGCUCUCCGAAAGCUCUACGUUGUUUCCAAUCAGUAAUAUGUCAUCCACAUAUAAUAUUAGAAACGCCACAGAGCUCCCACUCACUUUCUUGUAAAUACAAGAUUCUCCAACCACUUGUAUAAACCCAAAUGCUUUGAUCACCUCAUCAAAGCGUUUGUUCCAACUCCGAGAUGCUUGCACCAGUCCAUAAAUGGAUCGCUGGAGCUUGCACACCUUGUCAGCAAUUUUAGGAUCGACAAAACCUUCGGGUUGCAUCAUAUACAACUCUUCCUUAAGGAAACCGUUAAGGAACGCCGUUUUGACAUCCAUCUGCCAGAUUUCAUAAUCGAAAAAUGCAGCUAUUGCUAACAUGAUUCUGACGGACUUAAGCAUCGCUACGGGAGAGAAAGUCUCAUCGUAGUCAAUUCCUGGAACUUGUGAAAAACCCUUUGCCACAAGUCGAGCUUUAUAAACGGUCACAUUACCGUCAGCGUCCGUCUUCUCCUUAAAGAUCCAUUUGUUCUGAAUAGCCUUGCGGCCCUCAGGUAGUAUCUCCAAAGUCCACACUUUGUUCUCAUACAUGGAUCCUAUCUCGGAUUUCAUGGCUUCUAGCCAUUUGUUGGAAUCUGGGCCCACCAUUGCUUCUUCAUAAUUUGCAGGUUCAUUGUUGUCUAACAACAUGAUUGAUAAGACGGGAUUACCGUACCACUCUGGAGCAGCGCGUGAUCUCGUCGACCUGCGUGGUUCAACAGAAACUUGAACUGGAGUUUCAUGAUCAUCAUCAUUAACUUCCUCCUCAACCGGCGUCGCAAUCAUAGGGGUUUCCCCUUGCCCUGCGCCACCAUCCAGAGGGAUGAGAGGUUCGACAACCUCGUCAAGUUCUAUCUUCCUCCCACUCAAUUCUCUCGAGAGAAACUCCUUCUCGAGAAAAGUUCCGUUCUUAGCAACAAACACUUUGCCCUCGGAUUUGAGAUAGAAGGUGUACCCAACUGUCUCUUUUGGGUAGCCUAUGAAGACGCACUUUUCCGCUUUGGGUUCCAGCUUUUCAGGCUGAAGCUUUUUGACAUAAGCAUCACAUCCCCAAACUUUAAGAAACGACAACUUUGGUCUUUUGCCAUACCACAGUUCGUAUGGUGUCGUCUCAACAGAUUUUGAUGGUGCCCUAUUUAAAGUGAAUGCAGCUGUUUCUAAUGCAUAACCCCAAAAUGAUAAUGGCAAAUCAGUAAGAGACAUCAUAGAUCGCACCAUCUCUAACAAAGUACGAUUAUGACGUUCGGACACACCAUUACGCUGUGGUGUUCCAGGCGGUGUUAACUGCGAAACAAUUCCACAUUGUCUUAAGUGAGUACCAAACUCGAAACUCAGAUACUCACCCCCACGAUCAGACCGUAGGAACUUGAUCUUCUUGUUACGAUGAUUUUCCACUUCACUCUGAAAUUGCUUGAACUUUUCAAAUGUUUUAGACUUGUGCUUCAUCAAGUAGACAUAACCAUAUCUACUUAAAUCGUCAGUGAAGGUGAGAAAAUAACGAUAUCCGCCGCGUGCCUCUACGCUCAUCGGACCACACACAUCCGUAUGUACGAUUUCCAACAAGUCACUUGCACGCUCCAUUGUUCCGGAGAACGGAGUUUUAGUCAUCUUGCCCAUGAGGCAUGGUUCGCACGUGUCAAGUGAAUCAAAGUCAAGUGACUCCAAAAGUCCAUCAGCAUGGAGUUUCUUCAUGCGCUUUACACCAAUAUGACCCAAGCGGCAGUGCCACAAAAAUAUGGCGCUAUCAUUGUUUACUCUAACUCUUUUGGUCUCAAUGUUAUGUAUAUGCGUAUCUCUAUCAAGAUUCAAUAUGAACAAUCCUCUCACAUUCGGUGCAUGACCAUAAAAGAUGUUACUCAUAGAAAUAGAACAACCAUUAUUCUCAGUCUUAAAAGAGUAACCGUCUCGCAAUAAACAAGAUCCAGAUAUAAUGUUCAUGCUCAACGCAGGCACUAAAUAACAAUGAUUUAAGUUCAUCACUAAUCCCGAUGGUAGUUGAAGUGACACGGUGCCGACGGCGAUUGCAUCAACCUUGGAACCGUUUCCUACACGCAUCGUCACUUCGUCUUUUGCCAGCCUCCGUCUAUUCCGCAGUUCCUGUUUCGAGUUGCAAAUGUGAGCAACAGAACCGGUAUCGAAUACCCAGGCACUACUACGAGAACCGGUUAAGUACACAUCAAUAACAUGUAUAUCAAAUAUACCUGAUUUUUCGUUGCCCGCCUUCUUAUCUGCCAGAUACUUGGGGCAAUUGCGCUUCCAGUGACCCAUACCCUUGCAAUAGAAGCACUCUGUUUCAGGCUUAGGUCCAGCCUUGGGUUUCUUCGACGGAUUGGCAACUGGCUUGCCGCUCUUAUUCGAAUUGCCCUUCUUGCCUUUGCCGUUUCUCUUGAAACUAGUGGUCUUGCUCACCAUCAACACUUGAUGCUCUUUACGGAGUUCAGACUCUGCGACUUUCAGCAUCGCAAACAACUCGCCGGGAGACUUGUUCAUCCCUUGCAUGUUGUAGUUCAACACAAAGCCUUUAUAGCUUGGAGGCAGUGAUUGGAGGAUUCUGUCAGUGAUAGCUUCUUGCGGGAGUUCAAUCCCUAGUUCAGCUAGACGGUUUGAGUACCCAGACAUCUUGAGCACAUGUUCACUGACAGACGAGCUUUCCUCCAUCUUGCAAGCAUAGAAUUUAUCGGAGGUCUCAUACCUCUCGAUCCGGGCGUUCUUCUGAAAGAUAAACUUCAACUCCUGGAACAUCUCAAAUGCUCCAUGACGCUCAAAGCGACGUUGAAGUCCCGGCUCUAAGCCAUACAAGACUGCACAUUGAACUAUUGAGUAGUCCUCCUUACGUGCUAGCCAAGCGUUCUUAACAUCCUGAUCAGCCGUAGCGGGUGGUUCAUCUCCUAGCGCAGCAUUAAGGACAUAAUCCUUCUUUCCAGCUUGUAAGAUUUAGCUUAAGAUUACGAGCCCAGUCUACAAAGUUGCUUCCAUCAUCUUUCAACUUAGCUUUCUCAAGGAACGUAUUAAAAUUGAGGAUGACACUUGCGUGAGCCAUGAUCUACAACACAAAUAUAUUCAAAGUGGACUUAGACUAUGUUCAAGAUAAUUAGAGUUCAACUUAAUCAAAUUACAUGCUAAACUCCCACUCAAAAAGUACAUCUCUCUAGUCAUUUGAGUGGUUCAUGAUCCACCUACACUAUCCCAAGUCCGAUCAUCACGUGAGUCGGGAGUAGUUUCAGUGGUAAGCAUCCCUAUGCUAAUCAUAUCAACUAUAUGAUUCAUGAUCGACCUUUCGGUCUCAUGUGUUCCGAGGCCAUGUCUGCACAUGCUAGGCUCGUCAAGCUUAACCCGAGUGUUCCGCGUGCGCAACUGUUUUGCACCCGUUGUAUGUGAACGUUGAGUCUAUCACACCCGAUCAUCACGUGGUGUCUCGAAACGACGAACUGUAGCAACGGUGCACAGUCGGGGAGAACACAAUUUCGUCUUGAAAUUUUAGUGAGAGAUCACCUCAUAAUGCUACCGUCGUUCUAAGCAAAAUAAGGUGCAUAAAAGGAUUAACAUCACAUGCAAUUCAUAAGUGACAUGAUAUGGCCAUCAUCACGUCCUUCUUGAUCUCCAUCACCAAAGCACCGGCACGAUCUUCUUGUCACCGGCGCCACACCAUGAUCUACAUCAUCAUGAUCUCCAUCAACGUGUCGCCAUCGGGGUUGUCGUGCUACUUAUGCUAUCACUACUAAAGCUACAUCCUAGCAAAAUAGUAAACGCAUCUGCAAGCACAUAUGUUAGUAUAAAGACAACCCUAUGGCUCCUGCCGGUUGCCGUACCAUCGACGUGCAAGUCGAUAUUUCUAUUACAACAUGAUCAUCUCAUACAUCCAAUAUAUCACAUCACAUCAUUGGCCAUAUCAUAUCACAAUCAUACCCUGCAAAAACAAGUUAGACGUCCUCUAAUUUUGUUGUUGCAUGUUUUACGUGGUGACCAAGGGUAUCUAGUAGGAUCGCAUCUUACUUACGCAAACACCACAACGGAGAUAUAUGAGUUGCUAUUUAACCUCAUCCAAGGACCUCCUCGGUCAAAUCCGAUUCAACUAAAGUUGGAGAAACCGUCACUUGCCAGUCAUCUUUGAGCAAAGGGGGUUACUCGUAACGAUGAAACCAGUCUCUCGUAAGCGUACGAGUAAUGUCGGUCCAAGCCGCUUCAAUCCAACAAUACCGCGGAAUCAAGAAAAGACUAAGGAGGGCAGCAAAACGCACAUCACCGCCCACAAAACCUUUUGUGUUCUACUCGAGAAGACAUCUACGCAUGAACCUAGCUCAUGAUGCCACUGUUGGGGAACGUCGCAUGGGAAACAAAAAUUUUCCUACGCGCACGAAGACCUAUCAUGGUGAUGUCCAUCUACGAGAGGGGAUGAGUGAUCUACGUACCCUUGUAGAUCGUACAGCAGAAGCGUUAGAGAACGCGGUUGAUGUAGUGGAACGUCCUCACGUCCCUCGAUCCGCCCCGCGAACAAUCCCGCGAUCAGUCCCACGAUCUAGUACCGAACGGACGGCACCUCCGCGUUCAGCACACGUACAGCUCGACGAUGAUCUCGGCCUUCUUGAUCCAGCAAGAGAGACGGAGAGGUAGAAGAGUUCUCCGGCAGCGUGACGGCGCUCCGGAGGUUGGUGAUGACCUUGUCUCAGCAGGGCUCCGCCCGAGCUCCGCAGAAACGCGAUCUAGAGGAAAAACCGUGGAGGUAUGUGGUCGGGCUGCCGUGGAAAAGUCGUCUCAAAUCAUCCCUAAAACCUUCGUAUAUAUAGGUGGGAGGGAGGGGGGCCUUGCCUUGGGGUCCAAGGACCCUCAAGGAGUCGGCCGAGCAAAGGGGGAGGACUCUCCCCCCCAAACCGAGUUGGACUAGGUUUGGUGGGAGGGAGUCCCCCUCCCUUCCCACCUCCUCCCUUUUUUUUUCUUUUUCCUUUGAUUUCUUAUCCUUGGCGCAUAGGCCCCUUUUGGGCUGUCUCACCAGCCCACUAAGUGCUGGUGCGCCACCCUUAUGGCCUAUGGGCUUCUCCGGGGUGGGUUGCCCCCCCCGGUGAACUCCCGGAACCCAUUCGUCAUUCCCGGUACAUUCCCGGUAACUCCGAAAACCUUCCGGUAAUCAAAUGAGGUCAUCCUAUAUAUCAAUCUUCGUUUCCGGACCAUUCCGGAAACCCUCGUGACGUCCGUGAUCUCAUCCGGGACUCCGAACAACAUUCGGUAACCAACCAUAUAACUCAAAUACGCAUAAAACAACGUCGAACCUUAAGUGUGCAGACCCUGCGGGUUCGAGAACUAUGUAGACAUGACCCGAGAGACUCCUCGGUCAAUAUCCAAUAGCGGGACCUGGAUGCCCAUAUUGGAUCCUACAUAUUCUACGAAGAUCUUAUCGUUUGAACCUCAGUGCCAAGGAUUCGUAUAAUCCCGUAUGUCAUUCCCUUUGUCCUUCGGUAUGUUACUUGCCCGAGAUUCGAUCGUCAGUAUCCGCAUACCUAUUUCAAUCUCGUUUACCGGCAAGUCUCUUUACUCGUUCCGUAAUACAAGAUCCCGCAACUUACACUAAGUUACAUUGCUUGCAAGGCUUGUGUGUGAUGUUGUAUUACCGAGUGGGCCCCGAGAUACCUCUCCGUCACACGGAGUGACAAAUCCCAGUCUUGAUCCAUACUAACUCAACUAACACCUUCGGAGAUACCUGUAGAGCAUCUUUAUAGUCACCCAGUUACGUUGCGACGUUUGAUACACACAAAGCAUUCCUCCGGUGUCAGUGAGUUAUAUGAUCUCAUGGUCAUAGGAAUAAAUACUUGACACGCAGAAAACAGUAGCAACAAAAUGACACGAUCAACAUGCUACGUCUAUUAGUUUGGGUCUAGUCCAUCACGUGAUUCUCCUAAUGACGUGAUCCAGUUAUCAAGCAACAACACCUUGUUCAUAAUCAGAAGACACUGACUAUCAUCGAUCAACUGGCUAGCCAAGUAGAGGCAUGCUAGGGACGGUGUUUUGUCUAUGUAUCCACACAUGUAAAUGAGUCUUCAUUCAAUACAAUUAUAGCAUGGAUAAUAAACUAUUAUCUUGAUACAGGAAUUAUAAUAAUAACUAUACAUUUAUUAUUGCCUCUAGGGCAUAAUUCCAACAGAAACUCCAUGCUGAUGGACUUUUGGAGUCACUUGACACGUGCGAACCAUGCCUCAUGGGCAAGAUGACUAAAACUCCGUUCUCCAGAACAAUGGAGCGUGCAAGUGACUUGUUGGAAAUCGUACAUACGGAUGUGUGUGGUCCGAUGAGCGUAGAGGCACGCGGCGGAUAUCGUUAUUUUCUCACCUUCACUGACGAUUUAAGUAGAUAUGGUUAUGUCUACUUGAUGAAGCACAAGUCUAAAACAUUUGAAAAGUUCAAGCAAUUUCAGAGUGAAGUGGAAAAUCAUCGUAACAAGAAGAUCAAGUUCCUACGGUCUGAUCGUGGGGGUGAGUAUCUGAGUUUCGAGUUUGGUACUCACUUAAGACAAUGUGGAAUUGUUUCGCAGUUAACACCGCCUGGAACACCACAGCGUAAUGGUGUGUCCGAACGUCAUAAUCGUACUUUGUUAGAGAUGGUGCGAUCUAUGAUGUCUCUUACUGAUUUGCCAUUAUCAUUUUGGGGUUAUGCAUUAGAAACAGCUGCAUUCACUUUAAAUAGGGCACCAUCAAAAUCCGUUGAGACGACACCAUACGAACUGUGGUAUGGCAAAAGGCCAAAGUUGUCGUUUCUUAAAGUUUGGGGAUGUGAUGCUUAUGUCAAAAAGCUUCAGCCUGAAAAGCUGGAACCCAAAGCGGAAAAGUGCGUCUUCAUAGGCUACCCAAAAGAGACAGUUGGGUACACCUUCUAUCUCAAAUCCGAGGGCAAAGUGUUUGUUGCUAAGAACGGAACUUUUCUCGAGAAGGAGUUUCUCUCGAGAGAAUUGAGUGGGAGGAAGAUAGAACUUGACGAGGUUGUCGAACCUCUCAUCCCUCUGGAUGGUGGCGCAGGGCAAGGGGAAACCCCUAUGAUUGCGACGCCGGUUGAGGAGGAAGUUAAUGAUGAUGAUCAUGAAACUCCAGUUCAAGUUUCUGUUGAACCACGCAGGUCGACGAGAUCACGCGCUGCUCCAGAGUGGUACGGUAAUCCCGUCUUGACAAUCAUGUUGUUAGACAACAAUGAACCUGCAAGUUAUGAAGAAGCAAUGGUGGGCCCAGAUUCCAACAAAUGGCUAGAAGCCAUGAAAUCCGAGAUAGGAUCCAUGUAUGAGAACAAAGUAUGGACUUUGGAGAUACUACCUGAGGGCCGCAAGGCUAUUCAGAACAAAUGGAUCUUUAAGGAGAAGACGGACGCUGACGGUAAUGUGACCGUUUAUAAAGCUCGACUUGUGGCAAAGGGUUUUUCACAAGUUCCAGGAAUUGACUACGAUGAGACUUUCUCUCCCGUAGCGAUGCUUAAGUCCGUCAGAAUCAUGUUAGCAAUAGCUGCAUUUUUCGAUUAUGAAAUUUGGCAGAUGGAUGUCAAAACGGCGUUCCUUAACGGUUUCCUUAAGGAAGAGUUGUAUAUGAUGCAACCCGAAGGUUUUGUCGAUCCUAAAAAUGCUGACAAGGUGUGCAAGCUCCAGCGAUCCAUUUAUGGACUGGUGCAAGCAUCUCGGAGUUGGAACAAACGCUUUGAUGAGGUGAUCAAAGCAUUUGGGUUUAUACAAGUGGUUGGAGAAUCUUGUAUUUACAAGAAAGUGAGUGGGAGCUCUGUGGCGUUUCUAAUAUUAUAUGUGGAUGACAUAUUACUGAUUGGAAACAACGUAGAGCUUUCGGAGAGCAUAAAAGGUUACUUGAAUAAAAGUUUCUCUAUGAAGGACCUAGGAGAAGCUGCUUACAUUCUAGGCAUUAAGAUCUAUAGGGAUAGAUCAAAACGCCUGAUAGGACUUUCACAAAGCACAUACCUUGAUAAAGUUUUGAAGAGGUUCAAAAUGGAACAAUCCAAGAAAGGGUUCUUGCCAGUGUUACAAGGUACGAGAUUGAGUAAGACUCAGUGCCCAGCAACUGAUGAAGAUAGAGAGCAUAUGAGCUCCGUCCCCUAUGCUUCAGCCAUAGGCUCUAUCAUGUAUGCGAUGCUGUGCACUAGACCCGAUGUUAGCCUGGCCAUAAGUAUGGCAGGCAGGUUCCAGAGUAAUCCAGGAGUGGAUCACUGGACAGCGGUCAAGAAUAUCCUAAAGUACCUGAAAAGGACUAAGGAGAUGUUUCUCGUGUAUGGAGGUGACGAAGAGCUCGCCGUAAAAGGUUACGUCGAUGCAAGCUUUGACACAGAUCCGGACGACUCUAAGUCGCAAACCGGAUACGUAUUUAUUCUUAAUGGGGGUGCAGUAAGCUGGUGCAGUUCCAAGCAAAGCGUCGUAGCAGAUUCUACAUGUGAAGCGGAGUACAUGGCUGCCUCGGAGGCGGCUAAGGAGGGUGUCUGGAUGAAGCAGUUCAUGACGGAUCUUGGAGUGGUGCCAAGUGCACUGGAUCCAAUAACCUUGUUCUGUGACAACACUGGUGCCAUUGCCUUAGCAAAGGAACCAAGGUUUCACAAGAAGACCAGACACAUCAAACGACGCUUCAACCUCAUCCGCGACUACGUCGAGGAGGAGGACGUAAAUAUAUGCAAAGUGCACACGGAUCUGAAUGUAGCAGACCCGCUGACUAAACCUCUUCCACGGCCAAAACAUGAUCGACACCAGAACUGUAUGGGUGUUAGAUUUAUUACAAUGUAAUUCACAUGGUGAUGUGAGGGCUAGAUUAUUGACUCUAGUGCAAGUGGGAGACUGUUGGAAUUAUGCCCUAGAGGCAAUAAUAAAUGUAUAGUUAUUAUUAUAAUUCCUGUAUCAAGAUAAUAGUUUAUUAUCCAUGCUAUAAUUGUAUUGAAUGAAGACUCAUUUACAUGUGUGGAUACAUAGACAAAACACCGUCCCUAGCAUGCCUCUAGUUGGCUAGCCAGUUGAUCGAUGAUAGUCAGUGUCUUCUGAUUAUGAACAAGGUGUUGUUGCUUGAUAACUGGAUCACGUCAUUAGGAGAAUCACGUGAUGGACUAGACCCAAACUAAUAGACGUAGCAUGUUGAUCGUGUCAUUUUGUUGCUACUGUUUUCUGCGUGUCAAGUAUUUAUUCCUAUGACCAUGAGAUCAUAUAACUCACUGACACCGGAGGAAUGCUUUGUGUGUAUCAAACGUCGCAACGUAACUGGGUGACUAUAAAGAUGCUCUACAGGUAUCUCCGAAGGUGUUAGUUGAGUUAGUAUGGAUCAAGACUGGGAUUUGUCACUCCGUGUGACGGAGAGGUAUCUCGGGGCCCACUCGGUAAUACAACAUCACACACAAGCCUUGCAAGCAAUGUAACUUAGUGUAAGUUGCGGGAUCUUGUAUUACGGAACGAGUAAAGAGACUUGCCGGUAAACGAGAUUGAAAUAGGUAUGCGGAUACUGACGAUCGAAUCUCGGGCAAGUAACAUACCGAAGGAUAAAGGGAAUGACAUACGGGAUUAUAUGAAUCCUUGGCACUGAGGUUCAAACGAUAAGAUCUUCGUAGAAUAUGUAGGAUCCAAUAUGGGCAUCCAGGUCCCGCUAUUGGAUAUUGACCGAGGAGUCACUCGGGUCAUGUCUACAUAGUUCUCGAACCCACAGGGUCUGCACACUUAAGGUUCGACGUUGUUUUAUGCGUAUUUGAGUUAUAUGGUUGGUUACCGAAUGUUGUUCUGAGUCCGGGAUGAGAUCACGGACGUCACGAGGGUUUCCGUAAUGGUCCGUAAAGGAAGAUUGAUAUAUAGGAUGACUUCAUUUGGUUAGCGGAAGGUUUUCGGGCAUUACCGGUAAUGUACCGGGAAUGACGAAUGGGUUCCGGAUCUUCACCGGGAGGGGGGACCACCCACCCGGGAGGACCCAAGGACCUUGGGGGUGGCGCACCAAGUAGGUGGGGUCAGCCCAAGGCUGUCUUGCGCAAGAGAAAGAAAAACCAAAAGAAGAGAAAAAAAAGGAAAGGUGGGAAAAGAGAGAAGGACUCCACCUUCCAAUCCUAGUUGGACUAGGAUUGGAGGAGGACUCCUCCUCCCUUGGUGGCGCAGCCCUUGGGGCUCCUUGAGCCUCAAGGCAAGCCUCCCCUCCCCUCCUCCUAUAUAUAUGGAGCUAUUAGGGCUGAUUUGAGACAACUUUUGCCACGGCAGCCCGACCACAUACCUCCACGGUUUUUCCUCUAGAUCGCGUUUCUGCGGAGCUUGGGCGGAGCCUUGCUGAGAUUAGAUCACCACCAACCCCCGGAGCGCCGUCACGCUGCCGGAGAACUCAUCUACCUCUCCGUCUCUCUUGCUGGAUCAAGAAGGCCGAGAUCAUCGUCGAGCUGUACGUGUGCUGAACGCGGAGGUGCCGUCCGUUCGGCACUAGAUNNNNNNNNNNNNNNNNNNNNNNNNNNNNNNNNNNNNNNNNNNNNNNNNNNNNNNNNNNNNNNNNNNNNNNNNNNNNNNNNNNNNNNNNNNNNNNNNNNNNACAGAUACUGACGAUCGAAUCUCGGGUAAGUAACAUACCGAAGGACAAAGGGAGUGACAUACGGGAUUAUAUGAAUCCUUGGCACUGAGGUUCAAACGAUAAGAUCUUCGUAGAAUAUGUCGGAUCCAAUAUGGGCAUCCAGGUCCCGCUAUUGGAUAUUGACCGAGGAGUCUCUCGGGUCAUGUCUACAUAGUUCUCGAACCCGCAGGGUCUGCACACUUAAGGUUCGACGUUGUUUUAUGCGUAUUUGAGUUAUAUGGUUGGUUACCGAAUGUUGUUCGGAGUCCCGGAUGAGAUCACGGACGUCACGAGGGUUUCCGGAAUGGUCCGGAAACGAAGAUUGAUAUAUAGGAUGACCUCAUUUGAUUACCGGAAGGUUUUCGGAGUUACCGGGAAUGUACCGGGAAUGACGAAUGGGUUCCGGGAGUUCACCGGGGGGGGGCAACCCACUCCGGGGAAGCCCAUAGGCAUUUGGGGGGGUCACACCAGCCCUUAGUGGGCUGGUGGGACAGCCCACCAAUCCCCUAUGCGCCAAGAGAGAAAAAAAUCAAAGGAAAGAAAAAAAAGGAGAAGUGGGAAAGGGGAAGGACUCCCUCCCACCAAACCAAGUAGGACUCGGUUUGGGGGGGGGGGAGAGUCCUCCCCCCUGGCUCGGCCGACCCCUUGGGGAUCCCUUGGACCCCAAGGCAAGGUCCCCCUCCCUCCUCCUAUAUAUAUGGGGCUUUUAGGGCAGAUUUGAGACGACUUUCUCACGGCUGCCCGACCACAUACCUCCAUAGUUUUUCCUCUAGAUCGCGUUUCUGCGGAGCUCGGGCGGAGCCCUGCUGAGACAAGAUCAUCACCAACCUCCGGAGCGCCGUCACGCUGCCGGAGAACUCUUCUACCUCUCCGUCUCUCUUGCUGGAUCAAGAAGGCCGAGAUCAUCGUCGAGCUGUACGUGUGCUGAACGCGGAGGUGCCGUCCGUUCGGUACUAGAUCGUGGGACUGAUCGCGGGAUUGUUCGCGGGGCGGAUCGAGGGACGUGAGGACGUUCCACUACAUCAACCGCGUUCUCUAACGCUUCUGCUGUACGAUCUACAAGGGUACGUAGAUCACUCAUCCCCUCUCGUAGAUGGACAUCACCAUGAUAGGUCUUCGUGCGCGUAGGAAAAUUUUUGUUUCCCAUGCGACGUUCCCCAACAGUGGCAUCAUGAGCUAGGUUCAUGCGUAGAUGUCUUCUCGAGUAGAACACAAAAGUUUUUGUGGGCGGUGAUGUGCGUUUUGCUGCCCUCCUUAGUCUUUUCUUGAUUCCGCGGUAUUGUUGGAUCGAAGCGGCUCGGACCGACAUUACUCGUACGCUUACGAGAGACUGGUUUCAUCGCUACGAGUAACUCCGUUGCUCAAAGAUGACUGGCGGGUGUCAGUUUCUCCAACUUUAGUUGAAUCGGAAUUGACCGAGGAGGUCCUUGGAUGAGGUUAAAUAGAAAUUCAUAUAUCUCCGUUGUGGUGUUUGCGUAAGUAAGAUGCGAUCCUACUAGAUACCCAUGGUCACCACGUAAAACAUGGAAACAACAAAAUUAGAGGACGUCUAACUUGUUUUUGCAGGGUAUGCUUGUGAUGUGAUAUGGCCAACGAUGUGAUGUGAUAUAUUGGAUGUAUGAGAUGAUCAUGUUGUAAUAGUUAAUAUCGACUUGCACGUCGAUGGUACGGCAACCGGCAGGAGCCAUAGGGUUGUCUUUAUACUAACAUAUGUGCUUGCAGAUGCGUUUACUAUUUUGCUAGGAUGUAGCUUUAGUAGUGAUAGCAUAAGUAGCACGACAACCCCGAUGGCGACACGUUGAUGGAGAUCAUGAUGAUGGAUAUCAUGGUGUGACGCCGGUGACAAGAAGAUCGUGCCGGUGCUUUGGUGANNNNNNNNNNNNNNNNNNNNNNNNNNNNNNNNNNNNNNNNNNNNNNNNNNNNNNNNNNNNNNNNNNNNNNNNNNNNNNNNNNNNNNNNNNNNNNNNNNNNAUGGAGGUGACGAAGAGCUCGCCGUAAAAGGUUACGUCGAUGCAAGCUUUGACACAGAUCCGGACGACUCCAAGUCGCAAAUCGGAUACGUAUUUAUUCUUAAUGGGGGUGCAGUAAGCUGGUGCAGUUCCAAGCAAAGCGUCGUAGCGGAUUCUACAUGUGAAGCGGAGUACAUGGCUGCCUCGGAGGCGGCUAAGGAGGGUGUCUGGAUGAAGCAGUUCAUGACGGAUCUUGGAGUGGUGCCAAGUGCACUGGAUCCAAUAACCUUGUUCUGUGACAACACCGGUGCCAUUGCCUUAGCAAAGGAACCAUGCUUUCACAAGAAGACCAGACACAUCAAACGACGCUUCAACCUCAUCCGCGACUACGUCGAGGACGAGGACGUAAAUAUAUGCAAAGUGCACACGGAUCUGAAUGUAGCAGACCCGCUGACUAAACCUCUUCCACGGCCAAAACAUGAUCGACACCAGAACUGUAUGGGUGUUAGAUUUAUUACAAUGUAAUUCACAUGGUGAUGUGAGGGCUAGAUUAUUGACUCUAGUGCAAGUGGGAGACUGUUGGAAUUAUGCCCUAGAGGCAAUAAUAAAUNNNNNNNNNNNNNNNNNNNNNNNNNNNNNNNNNNNNNNNNNNNNNNNNNNNNNNNNNNNNNNNNNNNNNNNNNNNNNNNNNNNNNNNNNNNNNNNNNNNNCCAAGCUAUAAAGGCUUUGUGUUGAACUACAACAUGCAAGGGAUGAACAAGUCUCCCGGCGAGUUGUUUGCGAUGCUGAAAGUCGCAGAGUCUGAACUCCGUAAAGAGCAUCAAGUGUUGAUGGUGAGCAAGACCACUAGUUUCAAGAGAAACGGCAAAGGCAAGAACGGCAAUUCGAACAAGAGCGGCAAGCCGGUUGCCAAUCCGACGAAGAAACCCAAGGCUGGACCUAAGCCUGAAACAGAGUGCUUCUAUUGCAAGGGUAUGGGUCACUCGAAGCGCAAUUGCCCCAAGUAUCUGGCAGAUAAGAAGGCGCGCAAUGAAAAAUCAGGUAUAUUUGAUAUACAUGUUAUUGAUGUGUACUUAACCGGUUCUCGUAGUAGUGCCUGGGUAUUCGAUACCGGUUCUGUUGCUCACAUUUGCAACUCGAAACAGGAACUGCGGAAUAGACGGAGGCUGGCAAAAGACGAAGUGACGAUGCGUGUAGGAAACGGUUCCAAGGUUGAUGCAAUCGCCGUCGGCACCGUGUCACUUCAACUACCAUCGGGAUUAGUGAUGAACUUAAAUCAUUGUUAUUUAGUGCCUGCGUUGAGCAUGAACAUUAUAUNNNNNNNNNNNNNNNNNNNNNNNNNNNNNNNNNNNNNNNNNNNNNNNNNNNNNNNNNNNNNNNNNNNNNNNNNNNNNNNNNNNNNNNNNNNNNNNNNNNNCCAAGCUAUAAAGGCUUUGUGUUGAACUACAACAUGCAAGGGAUGAACAAGUCUCCCGGCGAGUUGUUUGCGAUGCUGAAAGUCGCAGAGUCUGAACUCCGUAAAGAGCAUCAAGUGUUGAUGGUGAGCAAGACCACUAGUUUCAAGAGAAACGGCAAAGGCAAGAACGGCAAUUCGAACAAGAGCGGCAAGCCGGUUGCCAAUCCGACGAAGAAACCCAAGGCUGGACCUAAGCCUGAAACAGAGUGCUUCUAUUGCAAGGGUAUGGGUCACUCGAAGCGCAAUUGCCCCAAGUAUCUGGCAGAUAAGAAGGCGCGCAAUGAAAAAUCAGGUAUAUUUGAUAUACAUGUUAUUGAUGUGUACUUAACCGGUUCUCGUAGUAGUGCCUGGGUAUUCGAUACCGGUUCUGUUGCUCACAUUUGCAACUCGAAGCAGGAACUGCAGAAUAGACGAAGGCUGGCGAAAGACGAAGUGACGAUGCGCGUAGGAAAUGGUUCCAAGGUUGAUGCAAUCGCCGUCGGCACAGUGUCACUUCAGCUACCAUCGGGAUUAGUGAUGAACUUAAAUCAUUGUUAUUUAGUGCCUGCGUUGAGCAUGAACAUUAUAUNNNNNNNNNNNNNNNNNNNNNNNNNNNNNNNNNNNNNNNNNNNNNNNNNNNNNNNNNNNNNNNNNNNNNNNNNNNNNNNNNNNNNNNNNNNNNNNNNNNNGUGGAAGAGGUUUAGUCAGCGGGUCUGCUACAUUCAGAUCCGUGUGCACUUUGCAUAUAUUUACGUCCUCUUCCUCGACGUAGUCGCGGAUGAGGUUGAAGCGUCGUUUGAUGUGUCUGGUCUUCUUGUGAAAACGUGGUUCCUUUGCUAAGGCAAUGGCACCCGUGUUGUCACAGAACAAGGUUAUUGGAUCCAGUGCACUUGGCACCACUCCAAGAUCCGUCAUGAACUGCUUCAUCCAGACACCCUCCUUAGCCGCCUCCGAGGCAGCCAUGUAAUCCGCUUCACAUGUAGAAUCAGCUACGACGCUUUGCUUGGAACUGCACCAGCUUACUGCACCCCCAUUAAGAAUAAAUACGUAUCCGCUUUGCGACUUCGAGUCGUCCGGAUCUGUGUCAAAGCUUGCAUCGACGUAACCUUUUACGGCGAGCUCUUCGUCACCUCCAUACACGAGAAACAUCUCCUUAGUCAUUUUCAGGUACUUCAGGAUAUUCUUGACCGCCGUCCAGUGAUCCACUCCUGGAUUAAUCUGGAACCUACCUGCCAUACUUAUGGCCAGGCUAACAUCCGGUCUAGUGCACAACAUUGCAUACAUGAUAGAGCCUAUGGCUGAAGCAUAGGGGACGGAGCGCAUAUGCUCUCUAUCUUCAUCAGUUGCUGGGCACUGAGUCUUACUCAAUCUCGUACCUUGUAACACCGGCAAGAACCCUUUCUUGGACUGUUCCAUUUUGAACCUCUUCAAAACUUUAUCAAGGUAUGUGCUUUGUGAAAGUCCUAUCAGGCGUUUUGAUCUAUCCCUAUAGAUCUUAAUGCCUAGAAUGUAAGCAGCUUCUCCUAGGUCCUUCAUAGAGAAACUUUUAUUCAAGUAACCUUUUAUGCUAUCCCAAAGCUCUACGUUGUUUCCAAUCAGUAAUAUGUCAUCCACAUAUAAUAUUAGAAACCCCACAGAGCUCCCACUCACUUUCUUGUAAAUACAAGAUUCUCCAACCACUUGUAUAAACCCAAAUGCUUUGAUCACCUCAUCAAAGCGUUUGUUCCAACUCCGAGAUGCUUGCACCAGUCCAUAAAUGGAUCGCUGGAGCUUGCACACCUUGUCAGCAAUUUUAGGAUCGACAAAACCUUCGGGUUGCAUCAUAUACAACUCUUCCUUAAGGAAACCGUUAAGGAACGCNNNNNNNNNNNNNNNNNNNNNNNNNNNNNNNNNNNNNNNNNNNNNNNNNNNNNNNNNNNNNNNNNNNNNNNNNNNNNNNNNNNNNNNNNNNNNNNNNNNNAAACUUUUUCACAUAAGUGUCGAAGCCCCAAACUUUCAAGAAACGACAGUUUAGAUUUCUCUAAACCUCACUCUAUACUGUGUCAUCUCAACGGAAAUACGCGGUGCCCUAUUUAAAGUGAAUGCGGUUGUCUCUAAUGCAUAACCCAUAAACGAUAGUGGUAAUUCGAUAAGAGACAUCUUAGUGUGCACCAUACCAAAUAGUGCGUGGCUAUGACGUUCAGACACAUCAUCACACCAUGAUGUUCCAGGUGGCAUGAACUGCGAAACAAUUUCCACAUUGUCUUAACUGCGUACCAAAACUCGUAACUCAGAUAUUCAUUUCUAUGAUCAUAUCGUAGACAGUUUAUCCUCUUGUUACGACGAACUUCACUCUGAAACGGAUUUGAACUUUUCAACAUUUCAGACUUGUGAUUCAUUAAGUAAAUACUCAUGUAUCUACUCAAAUCGUCAGUGAAGUAAGAACAUAAUGAUAUCCACUGCGUGCCUCAGUACCCAUUGGACUGCAUACAUCAAAAUGUAUCACUCCCAACAAGUUACUAUCUCAUUUCAUCUCAAUGAAAACAAGGCCUUGCUCAUGUGGUAUGGUUUGCAUGUCACUAGUGAUUCGAAAUCAGGUGAGUACAAAGAUCCAUCAGCAUGGAGCCUCUUCAUGCAAUUUAUACUAACAUGACUCAAGCGGCAGUGCCACAAGUAAGUGGUACUAUCAUCAUUAACUCGUAUCUUUUUGGCACUAAUAUUAUGAACAUGUGUAACACUACGAUCGAGAUUCAAUAAACCAUUGAAGGUGAUUAUUCAAGGAAAUAGAGUAACCAUUAUUCUCUUUAAAUGAAUAAUCGUAUUGCAAUAAACACGAUCCAAUCAUGUUCAUGCUUAACGCAAGCACCAAAUAACAAUUAUUUAGGUUUAACACCAAUCCCGAUGGUAGAGGGAGCGUGCGACGUUUGAUCAUAUCAACCUUGGAAACACUUCCAACACGUAUCGUCACCUCGCCUUUAGCUAGUCUCCGUUUAUGCCGUAGCUUUCAUUUCGUGUUACUAAUCACUUAGCAACCGAACCGGUAUCCAAUACCCUCAUGCUACUAGGAGUACUAGUAAAGUACACAUCAACAUCAUGUAUAUCUAAUAUACUUCUCUUGACUUUUGCCAGCCUUCUUAUCUACCAAGUAUCUAGAGUUGCUCCGCCUCAGUGACUGUUCCCCUCAUUACAGAAGCACUUAGUCUCGGGUUUGGGUUUUAUCUUGGGUCUCUUCAUUAGUGCAGCAACUGUUUUGCCGUUUCACGAAGUAUCCCUUCUAGCCCUUGCCUUUCUUGAAACUUAGUGGUUUUCCUUCUUGAUUUCUACUUUCGUAGUGUCAAACAUCGCGAAUCUCUCAAGGAUCAUUGUAUGUAUCCUUGAUAUGUUAUAGUUCAUCACGAAGCUCUCACAACUUGGUGGCAGUGACUUUGGAGAACUAUCACUAUCUCAUCUGGAAGAUUAACCCCCACUUGAUUCAAGCGAUUGUCGUACUCAGACAAUCUGAGCACACGCUCAACGAUUGAGCCUUUCUCCUUUACUUUGUGGACAAAGAAUCUUGUCGGAGGUCUCGUACCUCUUAACAAGGGCACAAGCAUGAAAUCACAAUUUCAUCUCUUUAGAACAUCACUUAUGUUCCGUGACGUUUUACAACGUUUUCGGCGCCUUGCUUCUAAGCCAUUAAGUAUUUUGCACUGAACUAUCGUGUAGUCAUCAGAAACGUGUAUGUCGGAUGUUCAUAGCAUCCACAGACGACGCUCGAGGUGCAGCACACCGAGUGGUGCAUUAAGGACAUAAUCCUUCUGCGCAGCAACGAGGACAAUCCUCGGUUUUACAGACCCAGUCUGCAAAGUUUUGCUACUAUCAAUUUUCAACUAAAUUUUCUCUAGGAACAUAUAAAAACAGUAGAGCUAUAGCGCAAGCUACAUCGUAAUUCGCAAAGACCAUUAGACUAUGUUCAUGACAAUUAGUUCAAUUUAUCAUAUUACUUAAGAACUCCCACUCAAAAAGUACAUCUCUCUAGUCAUUUGAGUGGUACAUGAUCCAAAUCCACUAUCUCAAGUUCGAUCAUCACGUGAGUCGAGAAUAGUUUCAGUGGUAAGCAUCUCUAUGCUAAUCAUAUCAACUAUACGAUUCAUGCUCGACCUUUCGGUCUCAUGUGUUCUGAGGCCAUGUCUGCACAUGCUAGGCUCGUCAAGCUUAACCCGAGUGUUCCACGUGCGCAACUGUUUUGCACCCGUUGUAUGUGAACGUUGAGUCUAUCACACCCGAUCAUCACGUGGUGUCUCGAAACGACGAACUGUAGCAACGGUGCACAGUCGGGGAGAACACAAUUUCGUCUUGAAAUUUUAGUGAGAGAUCACCUCAUAAUGCUACCGUCGUUCUAAGCAAAAUAAGGUGCAUAAAAGGAUUAACAUCACAUGCAAUUCAUAAGUGACAUGAUAUGGCCAUCAUCACGUGCUUCUUGAUCUCCAUCACCAAAGCACCGGCAGAUCUUCUUGUCACCGGCGCCACACCAUGAUCAUCCAUCAACGUGUUGCCAUCGGGGUUGUCGUGCUACUUAUGCUAUUACUACUAAAGCUACAUCCUAGAAAAAUAGUAAACGCAUCUGCAAGCACAAACGUUAGUAUAAAGACAACCCUAUGGCUCUUGCCGGUUGCCGUACCAUCGACAUGCAAGUCGAUAUUUCUAUUACAACAUGAUCAUCUCAUACAUCCAAUAUAUCACAUCACAUCGUUGGCCAUAUCACAUCACAAUCAUACCCUGCAAAAACAAGUUAGACGUCCUCUAAUUUUGUUGUUGCAUGUUUUACGUGGUGANNNNNNNNNNNNNNNNNNNNNNNNNNNNNNNNNNNNNNNNNNNNNNNNNNNNNNNNNNNNNNNNNNNNNNNNNNNNNNNNNNNNNNNNNNNNNNNNNNNNUCUUUUUGCGAACGAAUUUUUUUUUAAAAAAAACAAAGAAGAAAGACGUAUAAAUUAAAAAGAAAGAACAUUUUAUAUAGACAUAUUAUAUAUCAAAAUUUUCAGAAUAAAAUUUUCUAAAACAUGAACAUAUUUUCAAAACCAAAAAAAUACUUUUUUUAAAAAUUAUUUUUUUGCAAUAACUUUAAAAUGAAAAGGAAUUUGAAUUUCAAAUAAAUUGCAAAUACUUAAAAUUUGAAUCAAGACAUAGUCUCUGAUUUUGGAGGGUCAUUUUCCUCCUCUCGUUUGAUUUUUUUUUAAUCAAAGGGUUUUGAAAAUAUUCAAACUCAAAAUUGAAAAGGGAUUCAAAAUAUAAAAUUUUGGGAAAGUCAUUUUAUUCCCUCUCAUUUUUUUGAGAAGUUUCAAAUUCCACUCAAGUUUCAAUCACUCAAACAAACAAACAAUCAAUCUAAUAAUUAUAUUAACAUUCCAAAAUUUAUAAUUUUGGGAUGUUACGACCACCGCUUUAGUCAACAUGAGUUUGCCUUGCUCGGAUCAAAACAUCAGGCCUAAGAAAAUGAAGAGUGCAAGUUUGCCUCACGGGGUGGAAGCAGUUCGAUGUUGAUGCGGUGAUCUCUGCAAAGUGAAGGAGGUGACGAAUUUUUCAGAUUGGUUGGGCAUGAAGUUUUUCAUGUGCGCCAAUUAUGAAUCUGAUCCAGCCGAAUCUAUUUCUGCGUACAUCAGGCCUCCGGUAUGCUCAAGUCAUUCAGAAUAAAUGUGUUGUUGAUAUUAUUGUUUACUUGAUAUAUAUAUUAUUUUUUGGUAGUCUCCUCCUCCUCUCUGCAUGUACUAUCGUUGGAUUGACACGGAAAUGCCGGACUGGGCGGUGACCGAGAUUCAUGAAAGAGGUCGCCGUGCAUGGACUAGCUUGGACUUGCAAGAGCGCCGCGCGAAGGCUGAAGCAGAGGAGAAAGCAGCGGAGAAGAAAGAGUGGGAAGAGUAUUGUGUGGAGCAGAGGGCUUUUAUUGAUGAGAUGAAAAGGAAAAACCAAGAACAGAAACUUCGGUUGGAGGAGGUUUACACAUAGCGGGAGGAGGCCUGUGAAGCUGAGAGGGAGAGAAAGAGAGAAAGGGCUCGUGCGGCCAAGGCAGCAGAAGAAGCCGGUGAUGAAAAAGGAAAAUAUCCACAUUGAACUUAGUAGAUUUAUUUUAUUGUAUCCUAAAAUUGUUGAAUCUUAAAUUCAGCAAGUUAUAUCAGCACGUUGUAUCUUAAUUUCAGCAAGUUGUAUCAGCACGUUGUAUCUUAAUUUCAGCAAGUUGUAUUUUAAUUCCGGGAAGGUGUAUCAUACUUUGUUUGUAAUCUGAACUUCUUGGUAGUAUAUGUGUUAUCCACAAUGAACCAACUAGCAUAGAAAUAGAUAUAAAUAUGUCUCUUAGAAUACACAUAAGUCUCAUACAUAAAAUACACAUAAGUCUCAUACAUAAAAUACACAUAAGUCUCAUACAUAAAAUACACAUAUGUCUGAAGUGAUACAUAGAAGGGCAAGAGUCUGCUUCACUGACGGCGUCUCAGUUGGCGCUCUGGGGGUGUGGGAGGCGUACUCCAUCGCCACCUGUGGGGGGGGGGCUAAUGUUACGAGGAGGAAUCUCGGAUCCACCCUGGUCAUAGUGUGUAUCCUGUGUGGGCCAUGGUGGAGGAGUCGAAAACAUGUCCGACCACAUGUUUUGCUGCGAUGGUAGCUCUUCUGGUUCAGUCCCUAACCCGGAUAUGGACGCCGACGCAUCCUGAUAUGCAUAGGAUCCUGCAGGAGGGACCAUUCCUGUUGGAUGUGGAUGAAACAUGAAUCCAGGAGUUGGAUUGUGAUGUUGCGGAGUUGGCUGAAACAUGAAGCUCGAUGACGGAGCAUGGUGUUGUUGCUGAUGCCACGCCGAACUGCCAGGCUGGUUAGGUGGGGGUGGAUUUGGCGUCGGUUCCACUCCUUGUAGACGUGGACGCGGCUGAUGUCGAUGCACGGAGUGACGCGGCAGCUGUGUAGGCUGCGACUGGUGCUGCACAACAUCCGAAGUGCGGGUGCACGUGAUAGCUCUAUAGAUAUCUUUUAUCCUCUGCUCGAGCCGCUUCACCCAUGGUUGAAUCUGAGACCUAUGUACCAGAAGAGGUCCAGUUGACAAUUGUCGAUCAAAGUUCAUCACGUCAGUAUAAAGACUGUAUGCCAACUCACCCUGAAAUUGUCAUUAAGAAUAAUAAGUAUGGAUGACCCAGUACGUAACAACAAGUUAAAUGAGGUGAAGAUAAUAAAUAUAACCGCAUACUGCCUGCAUCGAGAAGUAUCAUAUGUCGGGUACGUAUCAGACGUAUGUGGGUCCGGAAUCUCAUAUGUAUUGGAGUGCUGAACAAUGCAUAAUCGUGUUCCUCUCAUGUACCCAUCCAAAUAUGCAUUGUAUUCAGCGAGAUCUAAUAUGCAUUGUAUUGGAGAUCCGAAUUUGUUGUUAGCUAAGCGGACCUCGAACCUCCGCUCUAGAUUUCCAAUGGCGACAAUGUUGGGUAAUGUAGCAUAAAUUCAAAAAAAUUCCUACGCAUAUUCAGAUCUUCCUAUGGAGAGACCAGCAACGGGAGAGGGGUGAGUGCAUCUUCAUACCUUUGAAGAUCGCUAAGAGGAAGCAUUGCUAGAACGCGGCUGAUGGAGUCGUACUCGCGGCGAUUCAGAUCGCGGUGUGAUUCCGAUCUAGUGCCGAACCACGGCACCUCCGCGUUCAACACACGUGCAGCCCGGUGACGUCUCCCACACCUUGAUCCAGCAAGGAGAAGGGAGAGGUUGGGGAAGAUCUCCGACAGCACGACGGCGUGGUGUCGAUGGAGAGACGAGGUCUCCCGACAGGGCUUCCCCAAGCACCACGAGAGGAGGAGGAAGGAAGGGGGCAGGGAUGCGCCGAGGGGAGAAGAAACCGUGUCAAAGAGCCCCAAAACCCCCACUAUAUAUAGGAGGAGGGGAGGGGGGUGCCACCCCUAGGGUUCCCCCUAGGUGGUUCGGUAGCCCCCCCCCCCCCNNNNNNNNNNNNNNNNNNNNNNNNNNNNNNNNNNNNNNNNNNNNNNNNNNNNNNNNNNNNNNNNNNNNNNNNNNNNNNNNNNNNNNNNNNNNNNNNNNNNNNNNNNNNNNNNNNNNNNNNNNNGGUGGCGCACCCCUAGGUGGGCCUUAGGUCCACCAGCGCCUAGGGUUCCCCCCCCCCUCUCCACCUCCUGCGCCUUGGGCCUCUUUAUGGGAGGCGCACCAGCCCACUUUGGGCUGGUUACCCUCCCCCUUUCGACCCAUGCUACCUCUUGGGCCUGGUGGCCCCUCCCGGUGGACCCCCGGGACCAUUUCCGGUGGUCCCGGUGGUCCCGGUACGCUACUGGUGACGCCCGAAACAUUUCCGGUGUCCAAAAUUAUCCAUCCUAUAUAUCAAUCUUUACCUCAGGACCAUUCCGGAGCUCCUUGUGACGUCCAGGAUCUCAUCCGACACUCUGAAGAACUUUCAGUAACCUCAUAUAAUAAUUCCCUAUAACCCUAGCAUCAUCGAACCUUAAGUGUGUAGACCCUACGGGUUCGGGAAGCAUGGAGACAUGACCGAGACGUUCUCCGGCCAAUAACCAUCAGCGGGAUCUGGAUACCCAUGGUGGCUCCCACAUGUUCCACGAUGAUCUCAUCGGAUGAACCACGAUGUCAAGGAUUCAAUCAAUCCCGUAUACAAUUCCCUUUGUCUGUCGGUAUAGAACUUGCCCGAGAUUCGAUCGUCGGUAUACCUAUACCUUGUUCAAUCUCAUUACCGGUAAGUCUCUUUACUCGUUCUGUAGCACGUCAUCGUGUGAAUAACUCCUUAGUCACAUUGAGCUCAUGAUGAUGUUCUACCGAGUGGGCNNNNNNNNNNUAGAUACCUCUCCGUCACACGGAGUGAGAAAUCCCGAUCUCGAUUCGUACCAACCCAACAAACACUUUCAGAGGUACCCGUAGUGCACCAUUAUAGUCACCCAGUUACGUUGUGACGUUUGAUACACCCAAAGCACUCCUACGGUAUCCGGGAGUUGCACAAUCUCACGGUCGAAGGAAAAGACACCUGACAUUAGAAAAGCUUUAGCAUACGAACAAUACGAUCUAGUGCUAUGCUUAGGAUUGGGUCUUGUCCAUCACAUCAUUCUCCCAAUGAUGUGAUCCCCAUAUCAAUGACAUCUAAUAUCCAUGAUCAGGAAACCAUGAUCAUCUAUUGAUCAACGAGCUAGUCAACUAGAGGCUUGCUAGGGACACAUUGUGAUCUAUUUAUUCACACAUGUAUUACUAUUUCCUGUUAAUACAAUUAUAGCAUGAACAAUAGACGAUUAUCAUGAACAAGUAAAUAUGAUAAUAACCAUUUUAUUAUUGCCUCUAGGGCAUAUUUCCAACAAUCUCCCACUUGCACUACAGUCAAUAAUCUAGUUACAUUGUGAUGUAUCGAACACCCAUAGAAUUAUGGUGUUGAUCAUGUUUUUCUCGAGGAAGAGGUUUAGUCAACGGGUCUGCAAUAUUCAGAUCCAUGUGUACUUUACAAAUAUCUAUAAGUCCACUCUUCACAUGGUCCUGGAUGGAGUGGUAGCGGCGUUUGAUGUACUUGGUCUUCCGGUGAAACCUGGGCUCAUUGGCUAUGGCAAUGGCCCCAGUGUUAUCACAGAAGAGCGUCAUUGGACCCGACGCGCUUGGAACCACUCCAAGGUCGGUGAUGAGCUCCUUCAUCCAAAUUCCUUCACGAGCCGCUUCUGAAGCAGCUAUGUAUUCCACUUCACAUGUAGAUGCUUCCACGACUUCUUGCUUGCUGCUGCACCAGCUCACUGCCCCACCAUUCAAAACGUAUAUGUAUCCGGUCUGUGACUUAGAGUCAUCCGGAUCUGUGUCGAAGCUAGCAUCGACGUAACCCUUUACGACGAGCUCUUCGUCAUCUCCAUAAACGAGAAACAUCUCCUUAGUCCUCUUCAGGUACUUAAGGAUAUUCUUGACCGCUGUCCAGUGUUCCAUACCGGGAUCACUUUGGUACCUCCCUACCAAACUUAUGGCAAGGUUUAUAUGAGGUCUGGUACAUAGAAUGGCAUACAUUAGAGAGCCUACGGCUGAAGCGUGGGGGAUAGUACUCAUCUUCUCUCUAUCUGCUGUCGUGGUCGGUGACUGAGUCUUACUCAAUCUCAUACCUUGCAAAACUGGCAAGAACCCCUUCUUUGAGUUUUCCAUAUUGAACUUCUUCAAUAUCUUGUUAAGGUAUGUACUUUGCGAAAGACCUAGGAGGCGUCUCGAUCUAUCUCUAUAGAUCUUGAUGCCUAAUAUGUAUGCAGCUUCUCCAAGGUCCUUCAUUCAAAAACUCUUGUUCAAAUAGGCCUUUAUGCUCUCCAACAUCUCUAUAUUAUUCCCCAUCAAUAAUAUAUCAUCCACAUACAGUAUGAGGAAAGCUACAAAGCUCCCACUCACUUUCUUGUAUAGACAGGCUUCUCCAUAAACCUAUAUGAACCCAAAUGCUUUAAUCACCUCAUUAAAGCGAAUGUUCCAACUCCGAGAUGCCUGCACUAGCCCAUAGAUGGAGCGCUUGAGCUUGCACACUUUUUUAGCACCCUUAGGGUCGACAAAACCUUCUGGUUGCAUCAUAUACAACUCUUCUUUAAGAUUCCUGUUAAGGAACGCUGUUUUGACGUUCAUUUGCCAAAUUUUAUAAUCAUAAAAGCCGGCAAUUGUCAACAUGAUUCGGACUGACUUUAGCUUCGCUACGGGAGAGAAAGUCUCGUCGUAGUCAACUCCUUGAAUUUGUCGAAAACCCUUUGCGGCAAGUCGAGCUUUAUAAAUGGUCACAUUACCGUUUGCAUCAGUCUUCUUCUUGAAGAUCCGUUUAUUUUCUAUGGCUCGCCGGUCAUCGGGCAAGUCCACCAAAGUCCAUACUUUGUUCUCAUACAUGGAUCAUAUCUCGGAUUUCAUAGCCUCAAGCCAUUUGUUGGGAUCCGAGCCCGCCAUUGUUUCUUCAUAGUUCGAAGGUUCACCGUUGUCUAACAACAUGAUUUCCAUCAUAGGGUUGCCGUACCACUCUGGUGCGUAGCGUGCCCUUGAGGACCUUCGUUGUUCAGUAGUAACUUGAUCCGAAGCUUCAUGAUCAUUAUCAUUAACUUCCUCUUCAGUUGAUGGAGGCGCCACAGGAACAAUUUCCCGUGCUGCGCUACUUUCCUGUUCAAGAGGGGGUGUAAUUACCUCAUCAAGUUCUACUUUCCUCCCACUUACUUAUUUCGAGAGAAACUAUUUCUCUAGAAAGGAUAUGUUCUUGCCAACAAAGGUUUUACCUUCGGAUCUAAGAUAGAAGGUAUACCCAAUAGUUGUAGGGGAACGUCGCAUGGGAAACAAAAAAUUUCCUACGCGCACGAAGACCUAUCAUGGUGAUUGAUGGCUGCUGUGUAUCCCCGGCAACGGCGCCAGAAAUAGUUGUGUCGACGGCACCAGGAAUCCUUCAGCUGCGGCUACUCCUUAAGGGACUUCCUAGGCAAGUAUGCAAAGGAUUUCCCCCGUGGCCUUGGAGCCUUGCAUUGGUGUUCCCUCGAAGCGGAAAGGGUGAUGUAGCACAGCGACGGUAAGUAUUUCCCUCAGUUUGAGAACCAAGGUAUCAAUCCGGCGGAGGAGUACCUCAAGAUCCUACACAAACACAAAAAGCUUGCACCCAACGCUAUGAAGGGGUUGUCAAUCCCUUAUNNNNNNNNNNGUUGGUGUUCCCUCGAAGCGAAAAGGGUGAUGUAGCACAGCAACGGUAAGUAUUUCUCUCAGUUUGAGAACCAAGAUAUCAAUCCGGCGGAGGAGUAUCUCAAGAUCCUGCACAAUCACAAAAAGCUUGCACCCAACGCUAUGAAGGGGUUGUCAAUCCCUUAUAGAUCGUUUGCCAAGUGAGAACUGAAAGCAAUAGAGUAACAAAGCGAAGUAAAAGCGGAGAUGUAAACAAUGGAUGUGAAUAGACCCGGGGGCCGUAGUGUUUACUAGUGGCUUCUCUCAUGAAAGCAAGUAGACGGUGGGUGAACAAAUUACUGUCGAGCAAUUGAUAGAACUUUGCAGAGUCGUGACGAUAUCUAUGCAAUGAUUAUUUCUAUAGGCAUCACGUCCGAAACAAGUAGACCGAUACUUUCUGCAUCUACCACUAUUACUCCACACGUCGACCGCUAUCCAACAUGCAUCUACUGUAUUAAGUCCAUAAGUACAGAGUAACGCCUUAUGCGAGAUGACAUGAUGUAGAGGGAUAAUCUCAAACCAAUGAUAAAAACCCCAUCUUUUUACCCUUGAUGGCAACUGCUGGAUGUGUGCCUUGCUGCCCCUAUUGUCACUGGGAAAGGUCACCACAUGACAGAACCCAAAACCAAGCACUUCUCCCAUUGCAAGAAUCAUAGAUCUAGUUGGCCAAACAAAACCCAAGACUCAGAGAGACUUACAAGGAUAUCAAAUCAUGCAUAUAAGAAAUCAGCAAAGACUCAAAUAUAUAUCAUAGAUAAUCUGAUCACAAGUCCACAAUUCAUCGGAUCUCGACAAACACACUGCCAAAGAAGAUUACAUCGAAUAGAUCUCCAUGAAGAUCAUGGAGAACUUUGUAUUGAAGAUCUAAGAGAGAGAAGAAGCCAUCUAGCUACUAACUACGGACCCGUAGGUCUGAAGUGAACUACUCACGAGUCAUUAGAGGGGCGAUGAUGAUGAUGAUGAUGAAGCCCUCCAACUCCAAAGUCCCCUCCGGCAGGGUGUCACGAAGGGUCUCCAGAUGAGAUCUCGCGGAAACGGAAGCUUGUGGCGGCGGAAAAGUAUUUUCGAGCCUCCCCUGAUUUUUUGCGGAAUAUUUGGGAAUAUAUAGGCGCAAGAUCUAGGUCAGCGGGCGGCCAGGGAGGCCACAAGCUUGCCCACCGCCGCCUCGCCUGGUGGCGGAGUGGGGGCUUGUGGGCUCCCUGGAGCCCACCUGGCUUGGCCCAAAAGCCCAUGGACUUCUUCCGUUCGGGAAAAAAUCAUUUCGGGAUUUUUCUUCCGUUUGGACUCCGUUCCAAAAUCAUAUCUGAAAAGAGUCAAAAACACGGAAAAAAAGGAACUCGCACUUGGCACUGAAUCAAUAAGUUAGUCCCAAAAAAGAUAUAAAAAGGUACAUAAAACAUACAAAGAAGGCAAGACAACAGCGUGAAACCAUCAAAAAUUAUAGAUACGUUUGAGACGUAUCAGUGAUGUCCAUCUACGAGAGGGGAUUUCCGAUCUACGUACCCUUGUAGAUCGCACAGCAGAAGCGUUAAUAAACGGGUUUGAUUCAGUGGAACGUCCUCACGUCCCUCGAUCUGCCCCACGAACCGUCCCGCGAUCCGUCCCACGAUCUGCUCCGAUCUAGUGCCGAACGGACGCCACCAACGCGUUUAGCACACGUACAGCUCGACGAUGAUCUCGGCCUUCUUGAUCCAGCAAGAGAGACGAAGAGGUAGAUGAGUUCUCCGGCAGCGUGACGGCGCUCCGGAGGUUGGUGGUGAUCUUAUCUCAGCAGGGCUCCGCCCGAGCUCCGCAGAAAUGCGAUCUAGAGGAAAAACCGUGGAGGUAUGUGGUCGGGCUACCGUGGCAAAGUUGUCUCAAAUCAGCCCUAAUACCUCCGUAUAUAUAGGUGGGAGGGGAGGGGCCUUGCCUUGAGCCUCAAGGAGCCCCAAGGGGGUCGGCUGAAGGGGGGGAGGAGGAAUCCUCCUCCAAUCCUAGUCCAACUAGGAUUGGAAGGUGGAGUCCUUCCCUUCCUUCCCACUUCCCCCUUUUUUCUCUUUGAUUUUCUCUUAUCCUACGCAGGGGCCUUCUUGGGCUUGCCCACCAGCCCACUAAGGGCUGGUGCGGCACCCCUAAGGCCUAUGGGCUUCCUCGGGGUGGGCUGCCCCCCGGUGAACAUCCGGAACCCAUUCGUCACUCCCGGUACAUUCCCCGUAAUUCCGAAAACUUUCCGGUAAUAAAAUAAGGUCAUCCUAUAUAUCAAUAUUCGUCUCCAGACCAUUCCGGAAACCCUCGUGACGUCUGUCAUCUCAUCCAGGUCUCUGAACAACAUUCGGUAACCAACCAUAUAACUCAAAUACGCAUAAAACAACGCCGAACCUUAAGUGUGCAGACCCUGCGGGUUCGAGAACUAUGUAGACAUNNNNNNNNNNNNNNNNNNNNNNNNNNNNNNNNNNNNNNNNNNNNNNNNNNNNNNNNNNNNNNNNNNNNNNNNNNNNNNNNNNNNNNNNNNNNNNNNNNNNGUGAGGAGGUGGCGCACUCUAUAUAAGCCACCCCCCUCCACAUAGCUAGGGACAGCUUUCUUCUUCUCCCCCUGCGGGCUCAUUCCUUCCCUGGAGCUCUGGUUCUCUCUAUACCGUGUAACUCAUGUCCAAGACAGAUAAAACAAAGCCUCUCCGGAGCACGAGACGUAGGGUUGUUAUCUCCACUAUGAGAGGCCUGAACUCACUAAAACCACCGUGUCACCCAUGUGCACCUUGAUAGAUCAUGCUCCGUUAUCGUACCCUCUUUCUAUUGUCGGAAUCGUUACCACGACACUGACUUAGUGUAAGUCACGGGAUCUUGUAUUACAGAACGAGUAAAGAGACUUGCCGGUAAACGAUAUUGAAAUAGGUAUGCAGAUACCGACGAUCGAAUCUCGGGCAAGUAACAUACCGAAGGACAAAGGGAAUGACAUACGAGAUUAUAUGAAUCCUUGGCACUGAGGUUCAAACGAUAAGAUCUUCGUAGAAUAUGUAGGAUCCAAUAUGGGCAUCCAGGUCCCGCUAUUGGAUAUUGACCAAGGAGUCCCUCGGGUCAUGUCUACAUAGUUCUCGAACCCGCAGGGUCUGCACACUUAAGGUUCGACGUUGUUUUAUGCGUAUCUGAGUUAUAUGGUUGGUUACCGAAUGUUGUUCGUAGUCCUGGAUGAGAUCACAGAUGUCACAAGGGUUUCCGGAAUGGUCCGGAGACGAAGAUUCAUAUAUAGGAUGACCUCAUUUGAUUACCGGAAAGUUUUCAGAAUUACCGGGAAUGUACCGGGAGUGACGAAUGGGUUUCGGAUGUUCACCGGGGGGCAGCCCACCCCGGGGAAGCCCAUAGGCCUUAGGGGUGCCGCACCAUCCCUUAGUGGGCUGGUGGGCAAGCCCAAGAAGGCCCCUACGCAGGAUAAGAGAAAAUCAAAGAGAAAAGAAAAAAAGGGGAAGUGGGAAGGAAGGGAAGGACUCCACCUUCCAAUCCUAGUUGGAGUAGGAUUGGAGGAGGAUUCCUCCUCCCCCCCUUGGCCGACCCCCUUGGGGCUCCUUGAGCCUCAAGGCAAGGCCCCUCCCCUCCCACCUACAUAUACAGAGGUAUUAGGGCUGAUUUGAGACAACUUUGCCACGGCAGCCCGACCACAUACCUCCACAGUUUUUCCUCUAGAUCGCGUUUUUGCGGAGCUCGGACGAAGCCCUCCUGAGAUAAGAUCACCACCAACCUCCGGAGCGCCAUCACGCUGCCGGAGAACUCAUCUACCUCUCCGUAUCUCUUGCUGGAUCAAGAAGGCCGAGAUCAUCGUCGAGCUGUACGUGUGCUGAACGCGGAGGUGCCGUCCGUUCGGCACUAGAUUGGAGCGGAUCGUGGGACGGAUCGCGGGACGGUACGCGGGGAGGAUCGAGGGACGUGAGGACGUUCCACUAUAUCAACCGCGUUUAUUAACGCUUCUGCUGUGCGAUCUACAAGGGUACGUAGAUCGGAAAUCCCCUCUUGUAGAUGGACAUCACCAUGAUAGGUCUUCGUGCGCAUAGGAAAUUUUUUGUUUCCCAUGCAACGUUCCCCUACAGUGGCAUCAUGAGCUAGGUUCAUGCUUAGAUGUUAUCACGAGUAGAACACAAUUUUUUUUGUGGCCGGUGAUGUGCGAUUUGCUGCCCUCCUUAGUCUUCUCUUGAUUCCGCGGUAUUGUUGGAUCGAAGCGGCUCGGACCGACAUUACUCGUACGCUUACGAGAGACUGGUUUCAUCGCUACGAGCAACCCAGUUGCUCAAAGAUGACUGGCGAGUGUCCGUUUCUCCAACUUUAGUUGAAUCAGAUUUGACCGAGGAGGUCCUUGGAGAGAGGUUAAAUAGCAAUUCAUAGAUCUCCGUUGUGGUGUUUGCGUAAGUAAGAUCCGAUCCUACUAGAUACCCAUGGCAACCACGUAAAACAUGCAACAACAAUUAGAGGACGUCUAACUUGUUUUUGCAGGGUAUGCUUGUGAUGUGAUAUGGCCAACGACGUGAUGUGAUAUAUUGGAUGUAUGAGAUGAUCAUGUUGUAAUAGUUAAUAUCGACUUGCACGUCGAUGGUACGACAACCGGCAUGAGCCAUAGGGUUGUCCUUAAACUAAUGUUUGUGCUUGCACAUGCGUGACUAUAUUUCUAGGACGUAGCUUUAGUAGUAAUAGCAUGAGUAGCACGACAACCCCGAUGGCGACACAUUGAUGGAGAUCAUGGUGUGGCACCGGUGACAAGAAGAUCGUGUCGGUGCUUUGGUGAUGGAGAUCGAGAAGCACAUGAUGAUGGCCAUAUCAUGUCACUUAUGAAUUGCAUGUGAUGUUAAUCCUUUUAUGCACCUUAUUUUGCUUAGAACGAUGGUAGCAUUAUGAGGUGAUCUCUCACUAAAAUUUCAAGACGAAAUUGUGUUCUCCCCGACUGUGCACUGAUACGUCCAUUUUGCAUCAUGCUUUCAUGUUGAUAUUUAUUGCUUUUUGGGCUGUUAUAUUACUUGUGGUACCAUAUUUAUGCCUUAUCUCUCUUAUUUUGCAAGGAUUAUUUGAAGAGGGAGAAUUCAGGCAGCUGGAAUUCUGGACUGGAAAAGGAGCAAAUCCUAAUCCACUAUUCUGAACAUCUCCAAAUGCCCUGAAAAUUUACGUUGAUUUUUUCUGGAAUAUAUUAAAAAUACUGGGCGAAAGAACUACCGGAGGGGGCCCACCAGGGCUCCUCAAGCUUGCCCACCGCCACCACCCCCCUGGUGGCGCAGGGCAGGCUUGUGGGCUGCCUGACGGCCCACUAGCUCCCCCCUUUUGCUAUAUGAAUGGUUUUGGUCUGAAAAAACAAUCGGGAGCUUUUUCGUGGUUUCGCCUCCGCCACGAGGCGGAACUUGAGCAGAUCCAAUCUAGAGCUCCGGCAGGACGAUCCUGCCGAGGAAACUUCCCUCUCGGAGGGGGAAAUCGUCGCCAUCGUCAUCACCAACACCCCUCUCGUCGAAGGGGAGGCAUGUUCAUCAACAUCAUCAUCAGCACCAUCUCCUCUCCAAUCCCUAGUUCAUCUCUUGUAACCAAUCUUCAUCUCACGACUCUGAUUGGUACUUGUAAGGUUGCUAGUAGUGUUGAUUACUCUUUGUAGUUGAUGCUAGUUGGAUUAUUUGGUGGAAGAGUUUAUGUUCAGAUCCUUGAUGCUAUUCAUUACACCUCUUGUCAUGAUUAUGAUUAUGUCUUGUGAGUAGUCACUUUUGUUCCUGAGGACAUGGGAUAAGUCAUGCUGAUAAUAGUCAUGUGAAUUUGAUAUUCGCUCGGUAUUUUGAUAUGAUGUAUGUUGUUUUUCCUCUAGUGGUGUUAUGUGAACGUCGACUAUAUAACACUUCACCAUAUUUGGGCCUAGAGGAAAGCAUUGGGAAGUAGUAAGUAGAUGACGGGUUGCUGGAGUGACAGAAGGUUAAACCCCAGUCUAUGCGUUGCUUCGUGAGGGGUUGAUUUGGAUCCACUAGUUUAAUGUUAUGUUUAGACUUUGUCUUAAUUCUUCUUUUGUAGUUGCGGAUGCUUGCGAGAGAGGUUAAUCAUAAGUGGGAUGCUUGUCCAAGUAAGGGAAGUGCCCAAGCGCCGGCCCACCCACAUAUCAAACUACCAAAGUAACGAACGUGAAUCAUAUGAACAUGAUGAAACUAGCAUGACANNNNNNNNNNCGUGUCCUUGGGAGCGUUUUUCCUCCUAUAAGACUUUGUUCAGGCUUGUCCCUUGCUGCAAAAGGGAUUGGGCCACUUGCUGCACCGUUGCUACUACAUGCUACUUGUUACUUUUCGCUUGCUACGUUUCACCUCACUACACCAUCACUUGUUACCGCUACUUUCAGUGCUUGCAGUUAUUACCUUGCUGAAAUCCAUUUAUCAGAGCCUUCCACUCCUCGUUGGGUUCGACACUCUUACUUAUCGAAAGGACUACGAUUGAUCCCCUAUACUUGUGGGUCAUGAAGACUCUUUUCUGGCGCCAUUGCCGGGGAGUGAAGCGCCUUUGGUAAGGAAACAUUUAUAUACUGUGCCGAAAUUUAUUGCCACUUGUCACUAUGGAAAUUGUUUCUUUGAGGAGUUUGUUCGGGGUAUAUUCACCACGAACGGAAGCACGAGGUGUUGCUCCUCAACCUGAGGUACCUACUGAAAAUAUCUUUUAUGAAAUUCCUUUGGGUAUGCUUGAGAAACUACUGGCUAAUCCUUUCACAGGAGAUGGAUCUUCACAUCCAGACUUGCAUCUAAUCUAUGUUGAUGAAGUUUGUGGUUUAUUUAAGCUUGCAGGUUUGCCCGAGGAUGAGGUAAAUAAGAAAGUCUUUCCUUUAUCUUCGAAGGAUAAGGCGUUGACAUGGUAUAGGCUAUGUGAUGAUACUGGAUCGUGGGGCUACAAUCGGUUGAAAUUGGAAUUUCAUCAAAAGUUCUAUCCUAUGCAUUUAGUACAUCGUGAUCGGAACUUUAUUUAUAACUUUUGGCCUCGUGACAGGGAAAGCAUAGCGCAAGCUUGGGGGAGGCUUAAAUCAAUGCUAUAUUCAUGCCCCGAUCAUGAGCUCUCGAGAGAAAUCAUCACUCAAAACUUUUAUGCUCGACUUUCUCAUGAAGAUCGUACCAUGCUUGAUACUUCUUGUGCCAGUUCUUUUAUGAAGAAGGAUAUUGAUCACAAAUGGAAUUUAUUGGAGAGAAUCAAACGCAACUUUGAAGAUUGGGAGCUGGAGGAAGGUAAGGAGUCAGGUAUGAAUUUCCAGUUUGAUUGCGUUAAAUCUUUUGUUGAGACAAACACUUCUAGAUAUUUUAGCGCUAAGUAUGGACUUGACUCUGAGAUAGUAGCUUCUCUAUGUGAAUCUUUUGCUGCUCAUGUUGAUCUUCCCAAAGAGAAGUGGUUUAAAUAUCAUCCUCCUGUAGAAAGCAACAUAGCCAAAACCAAUCUAGUUGAGGAGAAAAUCAUAGCUUUUAGUGAUCCUGUUGUUCCUUGUGCUUACACUGAGAAACCACCAUACCCUGCUAGGAUAAAGGAUUAUUCUAAAGCUCCAACUGUGAUACAUAGGGGUUACAUUAGAUCACUUGCACCCCCGUAAGAGAUUAGAGUUGAACCUAGUGUUGCUAUUAUCAAAGAUCUCUUAGCCGAAGACAUAGACGGGCAUGUUAUCAAAUUUUGUGAGGACUCCGCUAGAAUUGCUAAACCUCACGCGAAAGACAAACACAGACCUGUAGUUGGCCUGCCCGUUGUUUCUGUUAAGACAGGAGAUCACUGUUACCAUGGUUUAUGUGAUAUGGGAGCUAGUGUUAGUGCAAUACCCCGUUCUCUAUAUGAUGAAAUCAAAGAUGAGAUUGCACCUGCUGAGUUAGAACCCAUUGAUGUCACUAUUACGCUAACUAAUAGAGACACUAUCUGCCCUCUCGGAAUUGUGAGAGACGUAGAAGUCCUAUGUGGUAAGACGAAGUAUCCUACUGAUUUCCUCGUCCUUGGUACUACGCAAGAUAGCUUCUGUCCCAUCAUAUUUGGUAGACCCUUUCUCAACACUGUCAAUGCUCACAUUGAUUGCAUUAAGCAGACCGUCAUAGUUAGUUUCGAGGGUGUGUCUCAUGAAUUUAACUUCUCCAAUUUGCAAGACAACCCCAUGAAAGAGAGUCGUCUGGUAGGGAUGAAAUCAUUGCUCUUGCCUUUAUUGCCGUACCUCCUACGGAUCCUUUAGAGCAAUAUCUGCUUGAGCAUGAAAAUGAUAUGCAUAUGGAGGAGAGAGAUGAGAUAGAUAAAAUUGUCUUAGAACAAUAUCCUAUUCUCAAGAAUAAUCUUCUUGUUGAACUGCUUGGGGAUCCUCCCCCACCAAAGGGUGAUCCUGUGUUCGAGCUUAAACAGUUGCCUGAUACUCUUAAGUAUGCCUAUCUUGAUGAGAAGGAGAUAUAUCCUGUCAUUAUUAGUGCUCUCCUCUCAGAGCGCGAAGAGAAGAAGUUACUAAAAACUCUGAGGAAGCACCGCGCUGCUAUUGGAUAUACUCUUGAUGAUCUUAAUGGUAUUAGUCCUACUCUAUGUCAGCACAAGAUUAAAACUGAUCCUGACUUUAAACCAGUUGCUGAUCAUCAAAGGAGAUUAAAUCCUAAGAUGAAAGAGGUCGUUAGAAAAGAAAUAUUAAAGCUUCUGGAAGCAGGAAUCAUUUAUCCUAUUGCUCAUAGUGAUUGGGUAAGUCGAGUACAUUGCGUACCUAAGAAGGGAGGUAUCACCGUCGUUCCUAAUGAUAAGAAUGAACUAAUCCCACACAGGAUUAUUACUGGCUAUAGGAUGGUGAUAGACUUCCGGAAACUGAACAAGGCAACCAAUAAAGACCAUUAUCCUUUGUCGUUUAUCGACCAAAUGCUAGAAAGGCUAUCUAAACACACACACUUCUGCUUUCUAGACGGUUAUUCAGGUUUCUCGCAAAUACCUAUUACACAAUCUGAUCAGGAGAAAAGCACUUUCACCUGCCCCUUCGGUUCCUUUGCUUAUAGACGUAUGCCUUUUGUCUUGUGCAAUGCACCUCCCACCUUUCAAAGAUGUAUGAUGGCUAUAUUCUCUGACUUUUGUGAAAAGAUUGUUGAGGUUUUCAUGGAUGAUUUCUCCAUUUACGGUUCUUCCUUUGACGAUUGCCUCAGCAACCUUGAUCGAGUAUUACAGAGAUGCAAAGAUACCAACCUCGUCUUGAACUGGGAGAAGUUCCACUUUAUGGUUAAUGAAGGCAUCGUCUUAGGACAUCAAAUAUCUGAGAAAGGCAUUGAAGUUGAUAAGGCUAAGGUUGAUGCAAUUGAGAAAAUGCCUUGCCCCAUAGAUGUCGAGGUAUACGAAAUUUCCUAGGUCAUGCUGGUUUCUAUAGAAGGUUCAUUAAAGACUUCUCUAAGAUUUCUAGGCCUCUUACCAACGUCUUGCAGAAGGAUGUUCCUUUUGUUUUUUAUGAGGAUUGUGAGGAAGCUUUCGAAAUACUUAAGGCCUUAAUAACCGAACCUAUUGUUCAACCACCUGAUUGGAACUUGCCCUUUUGUAAUCAUGUGCGACGCUAGUGAUUAUGCUGUUGGUGCUGUUCUAGGACAAAGAGUUGACAAGAAGUUGAAUGUCAUCCACUACGCUAGUAAAACUCUAGACAGUGCCCACAGAAACUACGCCACUAUGGAGAAGGAGUUUUUAGGAGUCGUGUUUGCAUGUGAGAAGUUCAUAUCUUAUAUAGUUGACUCCAAAGUCACUAUUCACUCUGAUCAUGCUGUUAUUAAGUACCUUAUGGAGAAGAAGGACGCUAAGCCUUGGCUAAUCAGAUGGGUUCUCCUGCUACAGGAAUUUGAUUUGCAUGUUGUUGACCGAAAGGGUGCUGAUAACCCUGUAGCAGAUAAGUUGUCUAGGCUAGAGAAUGUCCUUGAUGACCCACGACCUAUUGAUGACAGCUUUCCUGAUGAGCAAUUGAAUGUCAUCCUCACUUCACAUAGUGCACCGUGGUAUGCUAAUUAUGCAAACUAUAUCGUAGCCAAAUACAUACCACCCAGUUUCACCUACCAGCAAAAGAAGAAAUUCUUCUUUGAUUUGAGACACUACUUUUGGGAUGAUCCUCACCUUUAUAAGGAAAGAGUAGAUGGUGUUAUUAGACGUUGUGUGCCUGAACAUGAACAGGGACAGAUCCUGCAGAAGUGUCAUUCCGAAGCCUACGGAGGACACCAUGCUGGAGACAAAACUGCUCAUAAGGUAUUGCAAUCAGGGUUCUAUUGGCCCACUCUUUUCAAGGAUGCCCGUAAGUUUGUGUGGUCUUGUGACGAAUGCCAAAGAAUAGGGAAUAUCAGUAAGCGUGAGGAAAUGCCUAUGAACUAUUCACUUGUCAUUGAACCAUUUGAUGUCUGGGGCUUUGAUUAUAUGGGACCUUUCCCGAGUUCCGAUGGGUAUACUCACAUCUUAGUUGCUGUGGAUUACGUCACUAAGUGGGUAGAAGCUAUCCCCACUAGAAAUGCUGAUCACCACACCUCUAUUAAGAUGCUUAAAGAAGUCAUUUUCCCAAGAUUUGGAGUCCCUAGAUAUCUGAUGACUGAUGGCAGUUCACACUUCAUUCAUGGUGUUUUCCGCAAGAUGCUCGCUAAGUAUGAUGUCAACCAUAGAGUUGCAUCUCCUUAUCAUCCUCAGUCUAGUGGUCAAGUGGAGUUGAGUAAUAGGGAGAUCAAAUUGAUCUUACAAAAGACCGUCAAUAGAUCUCGAAAGAAUUGGUCUAGCAAACUUGACGAUGCACUAUGGGCUUAUAGGACUACUUAUAAGAAUCCCAUGGGCAUGUCACCGUAUAAAAUGGCUUACGGUAAGGCCUGUCAUUUACCUCUUGAGCUGGAACACAAAGCUUAUUGGGCAAUCAAAGAGCUCAACCUCGAUUUCAAACUUGCCGGUGAGAAGCGGUUGUUUGAUAUCAGCUCAUUCGAUGAAUGGAGGGCCCAGGCAUAUGAGAAUGCCAAGUUGUUCAAGGAAAAGGUUAAGAGAUGGCACGAUAAAAGAACACAAAAACGAGAGUCCAAUGUAGAUGAUUAUGUCCUGCUAUACAAUUCUUGUUUAAGAUUCUUUGCAGGCAAGCUUCUCUCUAAAUGGGAAGGUCCCUAGGUUGUCGAGGAAGUAUAUCGUUCUAGUGCCAUCAAAAUCAAUAACACGGAAGGUAAUUUUCCUAGAGUGGUAAAUGGGCAAAGAAUCAAGCAUUACAUCUGUGGUACUCGCAUAAAUGUUGAGACCAAUAUCAUCAAUAUCAUAACUCUAGAGGAGUACAUAAGGGAUGUUUAUCAGCCUGUUUCAGACCCUGAAAACUAAGCGGUAUUUGUUUCGGUAAGUAAUUGGACUCCGAAACUUUUCCAAUAGGAAUUUUUCUCCGUUUUGGAAUUUAUGGAAAAUUAUAAAAAUAAAAAGCAGUCCGGAGAGCGCACGAGGCGGCCACAAGCUUGGUUGCCGCGGCCUCCCCCUGGCCGCGGCAACAGGGCUUGUGGGCACCUCGUGUACCUCCCGGACUCCAUUUUCUUGCGGAGCACUCCUUCUGGUCCAGAAAAAAUCAUUAUAUAUACGCCCGAGGGUUUUGAUCUCCGUAUCGCGCAGUUUUCCUCUGUUUUCGUUUCGAGCCUAUUUUUUGCCGCAGAUCUAUGUCAAGAUGUCUUCUCAGGAUUCAGAGGGGGAGAGCUAUGCGGCUGAUUACCUUGCUAACCCAAAGGUCUAUGGGGACUCGGAACUAUAUGGCUGGACCACUAAUGAGGAAGAGGACUAUGAUCCCAAGGGGAAGGAACAAAUGAGUUCCGAUGAAGAGGAGGCUCCUCUACCUCAACCUGGACGCACUCAUGUGGAGUUCAAGAAGUCAAGCCUCCCUGACCAAAGGAAGAAGCCUAAGACCCUGUUUAUCCCUUCUCAUUUCUUGCAGGAGAGUAAGCAGGAACUUUGCCAUACAGUGUUGAAGCUUGAGGAGGAAAAUGACGAUCUGAGGGAGCAGAACUUUAUGCUCAAGUGGAAAUUAGACAAGCUCAAGACUGCCUCAACAACUCCACCACCAUCACCACCAAAGGAAGACAACUAAGCAUUGGUAUGGGCAAUCCCCUUGGCUUUUUCCAAGCUUGGGGGAGUUGCCCUGGUAUUGUAUCACCUUUAUAUCUUUCGCUUUUCCCUAUGUUUUAGUUUUUUCCUUUUCAGUUUUAUUUCUUCUCUUAGUGGAAUAAGUCUUUAGUGUUUAGUUUGAGUCUUUUGCCUUGUGUCUCCCCCGAUGUAUUCGAGCUUGCGAGCUAUAUAAUAAAGAGUAUCUUAGUCAAGGGCUUUUCUUUGUGCCGUGAUCAAAAGUAUGAAAAGAACGAUAGCAUGAAAGAUCAUGAGAUGAUCUUAUGGAAAUUGAUAGCUUCACGUAUAACAAGUAUGAUGAUUGAAACUUGUUGAGAAUAGACCAACAUAGACCCCAGUCAUUGUUGCAAUUAAUAAGGAGUAAUAAGGAAAGAGAGGUUCACAUAUAAAUAUAUCAUCUUAGACACUUUCUAUAAUUGUGAGCACUCACCAAACUAUUACAUGCUUAGAAGUAGAUGUUGGACAAGGAAGACAACAUAAUGAAUUGUGUUUGCUUAGUUCCAAACAAUGUUAUAUGAUUAGAGAUCCCUUAGCAUGUGACUAUUUCUUCCACCUCAUAUUAGCCAAAACUCCCGCACCAAGUAGAGAUACUACUUGUGCAUCCAUAAACCUUCAACACAGUUUUGCCAGGAGUGUCCACCAUACCUACCUAUGGAUUGAAUAAAAUCCCUCAAGUAAGUUGUCAUCGGUGCAAGCAAUAAAAAUUGCUCUCUAAUAUGUAUGAUCUAUUAGUGUGUGGAAAAUAAGCUUUGUACGAACCUGUGAUGAGGAAACCAAAAAAGCGACAGACGGCAUAAUAAAGUUCUUUAUCACAGGAGGCAAUCUAAAGUGACGUUCCUCCACACUAAGAGGACACGCAUCCAAACCUCAAAAGCGCAUGACAACCUCUGCUUCCCUCUGCGAAGGGCCUAUCUUGUACCUUUACUUUUUACCUUUGUAAGAGUCAUGGUGGUCUUCACCAACUCCUUAUUUAGCCUUUUUCUUGGUGAACGUCAUAUGCUUGGGAAAGAUCUAUAUUCAUAUAUCAACUUGGAGCUGAGUACUUAUGCUUUAUUAUUGUUGACUUUACCCUUGAGGUAAAUGGUUGGGAGGCAAAACUAUAAGCCCCUAUCUUUCUCUAUGUCCAACUGAAACUUUCAUACCAUGAGUACCACGUGAGUUGUAAAAAUUGUGGAAAACAAAAGAGAUGAUUGAGUAUGUGGAUUUACCUUACAAGCUCUUAUUUGACUCUUUCCGUUGUUAUGAUAAAUUGCAAUUGCUUCAAUGACUAUGGAUUGUUGUUGGCUACUUCUCGGUAAGGUUUUUGUUUCAUACUUUGCUUUGUGAAGGAAUUGUUACUUUCCCAUAAGAAUCUCUAUGAUGUAUUGCUUUUCUAUGUGUGAUAAUGAUGCCCUCAUGUCCGUAUUUUGUUUUAUCGACACCUUCAUCCCUAAACAUGUGGACAUGUUUUGGGUCUUGGUUUUCGCUUGAGGACAAGCGAGGUCUAAGCUUGGGGGAGUUGANNNNNNNNNNCCAUUUUGCAUCAUGCUUUCAUGUUGAUAUUUAUCGCUUUAUAGACUGUUAUUAUACUUUGUGGAACCAUACUUAUGCCUUUUCUCUCUUAUUUUGCAAGGUUUAUUUGAAGAGGGAGAAUACCGGCAGCUGGAAUUCUGGACUGGAAAAGGAGCAAGUCUGAGUCCUCUAUUCUGCGCAACUCCAAAUGCCCUGAAAAUCAAUGUGGAUUUAUUUGGGAAUAUAUAAAAAAUACUGGGCGAAAGAAGUGACAGAGGGGAGCAGCCAGGGGCCCAAAAGCCUGGUUGUCGCGGCCUACCCGCCUGGCCGCGGCAACAGGGCUUAUGGGCAACCUGGUGGCCCCUUGGCCCCCCCUCUUUUGCUAUAUGAAGGGUUUCGUCUGAGAAAAAAUCAGGGUGGAGCUUUUUCAUGGAUUCGCCGCCACCACAAGGCGGAACUUGAGCAGAACCAAUCUAGGGCUCCGGCAGGAUGAUCCUGCCAGGGAAACUUCCCUCCCGGAGGGGGAUCGUCGCCUUCGUCAUCACCAACACUCCUCUCGUCAGAGGGGAGUCAUCUCCAUCAACAUCUUCAUCACCACCAUCUCCUCUCCAAACCCUAGUUCAUCUCUUGUAACCAAUCUCCGUCUCGCGACUCCGAUUGGUACUUGUAAGGUUGCUAGUAGUGUUGAUUACUCUUUGUAGUUGAUGCUAGUUGGAUUAUUUGGUGGAAGAGUUUAUGUUCAGAUCCUUGAUGCUAUUCAUUACACCUCUGAUCAUGAUUAUGAUUAUGCUUUGUGAGUAGUUACUUUUGUUCCUGAGGACAUGCGAUAAGUCAUGCUGAUAAUAGUCAUGUGAAUUUGGUAUUCGUUCGGUAUUUUGAUAUGUUGUAUGUUGUUUUUCCUCUAGUGGUGUUAUGUGAACAUCGACAACAUAACACUUCACCAUAUUUGGGCCUAGAGGAAGGCAUUGGGGGAGUAGUAAGUAGAUGAUGAGUUGCUAGAGUGACAACAGCUUAAACCCGAGUCUAUGAGUUGCUUCGUAAGGAGCUGAUUUGGAUCCACUAGUUCAAUUCUAUGGUUAGACGUUGUCUUAAUUCUUCUUUCGUAGUUGCGGAUGCUUGCGAUAGGGGUUAAUCAUAAGUGGAAUGAUUGUCCAAGUAAGGGCAGUACCCAAGCGCCGGUCCACCCACAUAUCAAACUAUCAAAGUAACGAAAGGGAAUCAUAUGAACAUGAUGAAACUAGCAUGACAGAAAUUCCCGUGUGUNNNNNNNNNNGUUUUUCCUCUUAUAAGACUUUGCUCAGGCUUGUCCCUUUAUACAAAAGGGAUUGGGCCACUUUGCUGCACUGUUGCUACUACUUUUCACUUGUUACUUUUCGCUUGCUACGUUUCACCUCACUACACCAUCACUUGUUAUUGCUACUUUCAGUGCUUGAAGUUAUUACCUUGCUGAAAACCGUUUAUCUGAGCCUUCUCCUCCUCGUUGGGUUCGACACUCUUACUUAUCGAAAGGACUACGAUUGAUCCCCUAUACUUGUGGGUCAUCAGGACUCCGUUUAAACUCCUCAUCUGAAAGGGGUCAAAAACAUGGAAAAAACAGGAACUGGCACUUGGCACUGAGUUAAUAGGUUAGUCCCAAAAAAUAUAUAAAAGGCAUGCAAAACAUCCAAAGUUUGACAAGAUAAUAGCAUGAAACCAUCAAAAAUUAUAGAUACGUUGGAGACGUAUCAGUCUACUAGUGGCGCGGGUUAGAAAAGCACGCCACUGAUAACUCGGUUAGCAGUAGCGCUAUCUAAGGGGCGACACUGCUAAACUUUAGCAGUAGCGUUGGGUAAACAAUUCGCUGUAGUGUCGUAGUAGCAGCGCGGGCACCCGCGCUACUGAUAGUUCAAAAACCCGCGCUACUGCUAGGGUUUUCCCUAGUAGUGACAAGACAAAUAUGUCAAAAGAUUAUGAAAAGUUUCAUGAAAUUCCUCCCUUCACAGUGAAGACUGACCCAACCAUCCCGUUAAAUGAAGAUUGUCCAUGGUUAUGGCACAAACGGACACACGUGAAGAAAAAAUUUUAUACCCCAAGAUCCCACUCUAGGAUGUGACCGGCUUCACCGUCAUCACUUUCUUGUGUAGUGAGUUUCCGGACUUAUUUGGAAAGUCCCACUUCGGACAAACCAAAGGGAAUCUUUGUGUAAGACUUUGGGUAUAUAUAUGUGUGUGUUUUGGCAUUUGAAACGCGCAGAAACAAUAUGUAGGAGUUAAUCAAUACAAUUAAGUGAAAACAAAACAUUUUUCAUGUAUUUAAUGUUUUUGAGCUAAAUGACCCUGAAAUUGGAAAGCACUACAAAUGAAGUCUGAAAAAUCUCAAACUUAGCAUGGUAUCAUCAUUUCAUGCACAUAACAUGUGCAAAAAAGUUGAGAGGGUUACUGCAAAAACUGGAUGAAUUUCGUGCACAAGUGGACAAUCUCUUUCGAAGUAUGAGGGUUUCAGACGAAAACUCAACUGUUACAAAGGAAUUUAUAUUUAAACUUAUUUUAAUUCCAGACUAUUUGUGCAUUCAAUAUGCAUCAUUCAAAGCCAUGUCAUCAAUAUUCAAUCCUUUCUAACUUCAUUUGCUAUUUUCAUGCAUUUAAUGAUCUUUUGAGGUAAAUGACCCUAAAAUUGAAAAGCAUUACAAAUGAACUCUGAAAAGCCUGAAACUUUGCAUGGUAUCAUAAGUUCAUAUACAUAGCAUGUGCUAAAAAGUUGAGAGGGUUACGACAAUAACUAGAUGCAGUUCGUGUACAAACUAGACAAUCUCUUCCGUAGUAAGAGGGUUUCGGACAAAAAACUCAUGUGUUACAAAGGCAUUUCCUUUUUUAAAACUUACCUUAAGUCCAGACAUUUUGUGCGUUCCAUAUGCACCAUUCAAAGCCACAACAUUAAUUUUCAAUCCUUUAUGACUUCAUUUGCUAUUUUUCAUCUAUUUAAUAUAUAUUUUUGAGCUAGCUAAAUAUCCCUGAAAUUGAAAAGCACUAUAAAUGAAUUCUGAAAAUUUUGAAACUUGGCAUGGUAUCAUCAUUUCAUGCACAUAGCAUAUGCUAAAAAGUUGAGAGGGUUACGGCAAAAACUGGAUGCACUUCGUGUACAAACUGGACAAUCUCUUUCGAAGUUUAAGAGUUUCGAACGAAAAUUCAUGUGCUAGAAAGGUAUUUCAUUUUUUUAACUUAUUUUAACUCUAUACUUUUGUGAGUUCAAUAUGCCCCAUACAAAGCCACGUCAUCAAUUUUCAACCCAUUCUCCAUUCAUUUGCUAUUUGUCAUCCAUUUAAUAAUUUUUUGAGCUAUAAAACUAAAAGAGCUAAACAAAUCUCUUUUUUUUAUUAAAACACCCAUUUAAAACAACCUAAAAAUACCAAUUUUAAUAUAAUGAUAAAACACACUAAUAAUAAACAACAGGAUAAACAAUCACUCAAAAAUCUAUUUUUAAAGUGAAGUUAUUCACAAACUAGUGAUUCACACAAAUUUCUAAGAAUUCAAAUUUAAACUGUUCAAAUUUGAAAACUACUCGCACUAACAGAAAGUUCAUAAUUUUUGUGACCUAAAGCAAAAAGAUUCACUCAAAAACUCUAUGUAUUUGGUUGUAAGUAGAAAAAAAUGAGAAUAAAAAAAAUUCAAAACAAAAAAAACUAGAAAAGACCGUUAGUCCUAGUUGCCACCACAAGCCGGGACUACAAAUUAAAAAAAUAACAAAAAAUGCCGACCUACUAGGCCACCACGGCCUGCAUAUGACUAGAAACCCAACUACUAGUUGGGCGAGGAUGCAGGCCCGCGGGGCAAGUAAGGCCCAACAUGGCAGAGAGAGGUUCAUUAGGCCCAUAGGCUUGGUUUAGAGAGGAGCUCGAGGUUGCACCCGCGACGGGGUUUAUAAACAGGUCUGGGCGCCCUUCGCUUGGCGAGGUGGGACUAAACAUCCACCACACCUCGCCAUGCCAACACCAGGCCUUUACUCCCGGUUGGUGUAUCCAACCCUGACUAAAGGACCCCCUUUAGUCCCGGUGUGAGCCACCAACCGGGACUAAAGAGCUUGGGCUUUCCGCCGCUUGGCUUGGUCAAAUUCAUCUUUAGUCCCGGUUGGUGGCUCGCACCAGGACUAAAGGGGGUCCUUUAGUCCCGGUUGGAGCCACCAACCGGGACUAAAGCGUUUUGUAUAUAAGGCUGCACUUAGAAUUUUUUGCAAACAUAGAGUUCUCCAUUCUUUCGAUCGACGGUGAACCACGUCACGAGGCUGCUGCAUAGUCGCCUGCCCUGACGCCGUCGCCUCCCAUGUCGCCGAAGAUCGUCGCCACCCCCGGACGUCGGCCGCCCGCGCAUUCUCCCUGUCGCCGUCUGCGCCUCCUCCCCCCACUACUAGAAAAAGGUCUAUAGCUAAUAUGGACAUUAAUGGCACACCACAUACUGGUGUGCCAUUAAUGUCCAUAUUACUAAUGGCGCACCUUGUGUGUGGUGCCCCAUUACUAUCUUUGUCCUGACCCCACACCCUUUCCUACACUUAUCAGUGGCGCACCAUGGAAAGUGCGCCAUUACUAGUUUUAACUACUAAUGGCGCACCACAUCCACGGUGCGCCACUACUAACAUUUUUAUUUCGGUUUUUUUCAAAACUACUAAUGGCGCAUUCUUACCAGGUGCGCCAUUAGUAACUCUUGUUACUAAUGGCGCAUUCUUACAAGGUGCGCCAUUAGUCACCUGGGAGCAGUAGAUAUUUUUGACAGCCCCACUUCACACUCACUUUCCCCCCAAUUCACUCUCUCCACCUCUACCAACCUUGUUUGUCUCGGCUGCCUCCUCCUCCUCACCUCAUUUGCACCAUAGAUUCACCCAAAUUAAGUGGUUAUAUUUUCUUUUUUUGAUAGGUAAGUAAGGGGAAAGCUUUCUUUAUGUUCUAGAUCUACUUUUUUCUCCCUCCAAUGUGUACACACUUUUUAUGGCCUCGAUCUACGUAUGUUUGUGGUGUUGCAUAUGUUUGUGUUUGCACGUACCGGUAUUUCAAAUGCGAUAGUUGCCAAUAUUUUGCCGGAAUGUUGAUUCAUUUCCCUUUCGGCGCGAAUUUGGCACUAUGCAUUCUUUUUGUCUUAUUUUUAGGCAAAGUCAUGCCAACUUUUUUUUGGUUCUAACAUAUCGUUUUGCUCUACCCCGCAUGCGACCAUUGUCCGCACGAUGACCGAAGGCAUUGUGAAUAGGUUUUUGAGCUCCGCGAAGGCCGAGAUGCUUCAAAAGAACGAGACGGAGAUAAGAUGUCCAUGUCGAAGAUGCAAGCUGAAGAGCCUUAUGGACCCGGAUUCUAGACAGAUGCGGGACCACCCGCUUGUGCGUUGUUUCAUGGAUGGCUAUCGGUGGCAAGGUGAUGAAGAUGAUUAUGAAGUCGUCCAUGGGGGCUAGGCAAGAAAAAAGGAAGGGCUGCAAGACAAUAGCGGCGAGGGCGGGCGAGAAGACGAAGAAUCUCCAGGACAUGAUCAUGAAGUAGAUGCAGGACACAGUCAUCAUGUAGAAGAUGCCGGACAUGAUGAUGAGGCAGAUCAAGACAAAGGGCAUGAUCAUGAAGAUGAAGAUGCCGGAGCAGACGACGAUGGGCCAUCGAUGGGUUGGGUGCAGGACCCUCAUAUUCAAGAGCUGCUUCUCAAGCAGACGGGUAACGCAAGAGCUGCCGCUCGAGAGAAAGCCAAGUUGGAUCAACUGGAGAUAGACGUGGUUACUCCAUUGUAUGAAGGAUGUAGGCCCGAGGAUACCCGCCUGAAAGUAACGCUCAUGGCUCUGCAAAUGAAGGUAAAACACAAAAUGACUGACACAUGCUUCAACGAGAACAUGUCAUUCUGGCACGAACGUCUUCCCAUGGGGAACAAGUGCCCGAACAGUUUCAAAGAGGCAAAGAAAAUCAUCUGUCCUCUGGAUUUAACGCACGUGAAAUACCAUGUGUGCAUGAAUGAUUGCAUCAUUUAUCGGGACGAGCAUGCGGAGUCUACCAUAUGUCCGGUGUGCAGCGUCACUCGAUACAAGAAGAGGAAGAAAGCUCCUCGAAAAGUGGUGUGGUACUUUCCGAUCACUCCUCGUCUACAGCGGUAUUUCGCGGACCCUAAGCAAGCAGAGCUCCUACGUUGGCACGCGGAUAGGGAGGAGAAGAAGCGAGAAGAUGACGGAAAUGAUCCAGAGAUAAAUAAAAAAGACAAGAUGCUGAGUCACCCUAAGGAUGCGAGCCAGUGGGAAGCGUUGAACUUCGAACACCCAGAAUUUGGGGACGAUCCAGGGAACAUCAUGUUGGGCGCAAGCACCGAUGGAGUCAAUCCGUUUGGCAUCAAGAGAAGCACACAUAGCACCUGGCAUGUGUUUGUGUGCAUGUACAACCUUCCCCCCUGGAUGUGCAUGAAGAGGAAGUACAUUCACAUGAGUAUGCUAAUUGAAGGGCCGAAACAACCAGGGAACGACAUCAAUCUGUAUCUGGGGCUGCUGAAAGAGGAGAUAGACACGCUGUGGAAAACGCCAGCCAAUACGUGGGACGCCGCAGCGAAACAAUAUUUCCCUAUGAGAGCCGCACUGCUCAUGAUGGUGCACGACUAUCUCGGUUACGGAUAUGUCGCGGGGCAGGUGGUCCAUGGAUUUUGUGCAUGCGUUAGGUGCAUGGAUGAUGCAACGUAUUGCCAGCUAGAUAGAGAUCCCGGGUCUUUGAAAACCGUGUUCAUGGGAGAUCGAAGGUGGCUUCGCGAUGAUGACGCAUGGAGAAAACACAAGGUUCUGUUCGAUGGUGAAACCGAACCCCGAAGACCCCCACGUAUGAGGAGCGACGAGGAAAUAGAUGAGCUGUUGAAAAAUUGGAAAGAGCGCCCACCGCCGGGAAAGAAGCGAAGGCGUCAGAGCCGCUUCUGAAGGUAUGGAAAACGAGGUCUGUUUUCUAGGACUUGCCGUACUGGAAGAUCCUCCGUGUGCCUCACAACCUUGAUGUCAUGCAUAUCACGAAGAACGUGUGCGAGAGUCUGCUUGGUACCCUGCUCAACAUGCCAGAGAGGACCAAAGAUGGGCCGAAAGCAAGGGAAGACUUGCAAUCAAUGGGCAUCAGGGAGGAGCUUCAUGCAAAACGCCCUAAUGAUGAUGAUGAUGAUGAUGAGGCGAAGGACAUGGAAAGUCAUCGCAAAGGCAAAAAGGCCAAGAAGAUCGAAUAUGACUGCCCUCCCGCGUGCUUCACUCUAAGUCUGAAGGAGAUCGAUCAGUUUUUCACCUGCCUCGUAGGAGUAAAACUUCCUUAUGGUUACGCGGGGAAGAUAAGCAGAUACCUAGACUCAGCGAAGCAAAAGUUCAGCAGGAUGAAGUCUCACGACUGUCACGUGCUGAUGACGCAGAUACUUCAAGUUGCAAUCCGUGGGAUCAUGGACGCGCACAUCCAUGAAACGCUAUUUGGCCUAUGCAAAUUUUUUGACGUCAUCUCUCGGAAGUUGGUUGGCGUGAGGCAACUCAGAAGGCUACAGGAAGAGAUCGUGGUGAUACUAUGCGAGCUUGAGAUGUACUUGUCGCCCGCAUUCUUCGAUGUUAUGGUGCAUCUGCUGGUCCAUAUCGUGGAGGAUAUCAUCCAACUCGGGCCGACGUUCCUGCACAACAUGAUGCCGUUCGAAAGGAUGAAUGGUGUCAUCGAAGGAUACGUUCGCAACAGGGCACGUCCAUAUGGAAGCAUAGCCCAGGGCUUUCUGACCGAAUAGUGCAUCUCCUUCUGCACGAAUUAUCUAGGCAUCGAGAACCCCAUUGGUCUGCUCGUCAUCAGGCACCUCGGCAGGCUCGCUGAAUGGGGUCACCGCGAGGGUUGCCGCGAAAUGCAUGUCGACUUCAAGGUUUGACUCGUUGACUUUGAAAGAGCAAACCUAGUCGCGCUACAACACAUAGACGUGGUCGAUCCUUGGGUGGUAGAGCACAAAACUUUAUUGAGAAGACGUAAUGACCGAGGCCAACAGAGCACGGACAGAGAUAUAAUCAAAGAGAACUCAUAUUUCAUCCAUUGGUUCAAGGACAAUCUUAUGUCGUACCCUUUACACGAGGAUUCUUCCACGGAAAAAAAAACUCAUAUUCGCCUUGUCAUAGGGCACCGAGCACAACCUGAUGACCUAUGAGGCGUACGAUAUCAACGGCUACACAUUAUACACCGAGGAAAAGGACAUGAAGAGCGAUUAUCAGAACUCCGGGGUAACGAUGGAAUCCUACACCAGUAACGACAAGGACAGAUACUAUGGAAGGAUCGAGGAGAUCUGCGAGCUGAGCUACGCUGGAGAGAAGGUUCCGAUGUUCCGUUUCAAAUGGGCCAAGAGCGUCCUAAAAGAAGACCGGUAUUUCACCACCAUGGUUAUACACGAAGCCAAAUCGAAGACCGCGGGCGAAAACGUCACCGCGAAAAAUGAGCCAUGGGUACUAGCUUGCCAAGUGGACCAAUGCAUCUUCAUUACUGACACAUCAAAGCCCAGUCGUGUUGUCGUGAAGAGAGGCAAAAGGAACAUCAUCGGAAUGGAUGGAGUCUCCAAUGAGCAAGAUUUCGACAAGUACGACGACCCGAAGAUGGAAGAUGACGACGACGAUGAAGUAGCACAUAGCACAAGAAGAAGCAGGACCACCCUACCUAAAGGACGUCCGUUCAAGAGAAGAAUUCAAGGGGUUCCGGCGCUAAAUUAUUCAACCGCGAGAAAGAAGGGCAAGAAGAUCAUUGUGAAAAGAUAGCUAAGAUCGAAUCACGACGUGUCGGCCACGUGUGUGUGUCAGUGGUAACCUCAAUCUUUGAUGACUCUUAUUUUACGUCACUUGAUUUCAACCAUGUCAUGUAAUUCUAAAUCUUUGCACAAUGUGAUAUCAACUCGCAGGGAAUAAAGUGAACAGUGCCGCCCUCACGAAGAUGAGCACGGCCCUGGCUACUUGCAGAGCCUCGGUGAAGAGAAGGAUUCUAAGAGGUGAUAGUUAUGAGAAGAUCAAGGGAAAAAAUCCUUCGAUCAACUAAGCUGACUACCUGGAGUUCAAGAUCAAGUGCGAGAGCAACGCAUCCGCGGAAUCAAGUCAGUGGGGGAAAGAUAUGCGGGACUUGAACUUAGGGGUCCAUAAACUCGGUCCCGGCGGUUACAGAGUGGCGGAACCUAAAUGGGACAAGGAGGACGCGGAGCAUGCCGAGCAAGGCCUACCGCCCCUCUUCGAUAAAUACCCUGAACAGCAGACCAGGAACUAUGUCACGACCCUGUACAAGGUGGACCCGGUAACAAAGGAGCUUACCACGGAUCCGAAGGUGAAGGAGCUUGAGCGUGUUCUGGUAAGGAAUACACCCCCGCGUAAUUAGCUCCAUAUGGUUGCAUUCUAAUUAAUGAAGCCAAAUUUCUAAAUGGUUCACGUUCCUUCCGCAGGAAACUGAAAGCAGUAGCGCGGGGUCUCGGAGCUCCCUGUCUGCCCCUUGGGAAAACACUUUAAAUAGGGCGUUGAACGUAAUGGAACACAAGGAUACGCUCAGUAAGCUGUCGUCAGCUGGUCGUGUGGCCGGUGAAGGCUUGUCCACGAAAUGGUCGGAAUACUAUAAGGCUGGGAAAAAGGACAGAAAGACCAUAUCGGAAAGCCAGGAGCGCGAGGUUAAAGAACUCAAGGCACAAGUGGCGUGGAUUCCGGAGAUAGUCCAAGAGCAAGUGCUAGACCAACUUGGAGCGACGAUCACCGCCAUUAUGCCUUCCUUGCUUGAGGGGCUGCGUGGGUGGAUUGCGAGCGGCCAACAGGGGCCGCCCCCGAUUCCCAGGUUCACGGGCAGCAACUCGCACAACGCGUCGGCAUCGGUGUCCCCGGCGGAGGCGGCAUUGCAGGUGCCUGCGGCGUCGGCGCCGGUAUUGGAGGUUAAUGCACCAGUGUGUGGGAAGAAUACGUCGGGCGGCACCUCGGCAUCAAGCGGCCCCUCCGUCACUUGCACGCCCGUCGUUGGCGGUGCCUCGACAUUAGCCGAGCUCGACGCCAUCACGGUAACUAUAAGCCUCGGUCGAUGACUUCAUCUCCUUGCCUUUUUGACUAGGCAUCCCUGAUGCCCUACAUGUUUUCGCAGGGCAUCGCCAACGUUCCAUGCACUCUCCUGCACUUCGUGGACGGCGAGUUGAUCGAUGUCGCCAAGGCCAAAAUCGUCGAACCAGGUAACCGCGUGUUCCACGAUAAUCCGAUGCCACCCACCGUGUAUAGGGUUCAACUGGUUCGGGUGCUGCGGGGCUGCGACGACUUGUUACCUCUGUAUCGAUCCGCUGGGGCCAACGAAGAUGAUGGGAUAACCCUCAGUGCCUGCUUAAACUGGUCCAUGCUUUGGCUGAAGAGCCAGAUUCGUUUGGGGGCGGGGGACACCACCCCACAGACAACACCGCCAGUCAUGUCGGCGCCAAGCCAUGGCAAGACCGCCGCAACGCUACCGCCGUCAGCUGAUCCGGACAUGCUUAUGGCACAGGAUCCAGAGGACGACGAUGAUACAAUUUCCAACAUCGAUAAGUACAUCAACAAACAUGGGUACGGUGACGAUGACGACUUGUUCGGGCCUCCUUGUCAGAACCCAACCCUGCAAAAGACGAUGGUGAUCUAGCUGGUACCGCGGAGAAACCCAAUUUCAACAAGCGUUGGUUGUUCAGUUCUCAGGAGACGCCCCCAUCUCCUGCCUUCACCGAGACUCAAAUAGGCGAGGUGCGAAAUAUUAUCAGCCCCAACAAACUCAAGAAGGUGGUCUCUGAGGAGAACUCGAUCCCAUUACAACAGAAGAAGCAGAAGGGACGGAAAUCAAAAAACUAACAAGGGUGCGAGCCAGCCGGCAGCGAGUACAAUCCGUGCUAAGGACGGGCCACCAAUAUCUAAGGAUAUUGAGAGGAGGAUGCAUGUGGCGGGUAGGCCGAUGCUACCGACUAAUCUGCUCAAUGCUGCAACCAGUGCUAUGCGGAGUCUGCAUGAUGCUGUUCUUUAUAUGGAGAAGCAACGUCUCUCCGACAAUGAUGUGGCAUACCCGGUUUUCGUGGCCAAGGUGCCAGAGGGCAAAGGCUUUGUCGAUAGCACCGUCGGGCGUAUGAUCGUCCUGCGGUUUGAUGACAUCUUCGCUAUGCUUAACCUUUAUCCGCUGCACUACACCUUCAUUCAGCUAUUUUUGCUCAGUAUGGAGAUGCGGAUCAUUAGAGACAAGACCCCGGACAUCGUGAUAGUCGACCCCUUCUACAUGUGUGCCAAGAUCUUGGACGGCGCUGGGGAACGGCAAGUCGCGAGUUCAUACCUCAAAGGCGUCAUUCUGGCGAACGCUGAUAAGGAUAACUUCCUCGUGCCUUACUUUUCUGAGUAAGUCAUCCCCUCAUCGCCUCGUAACAUAUGAUUUCUUAGAUUUCGAUUGUUCUUUUUUUUCUAACAUUCCAUGUUUUGUGCAGUGACACAAAUUGCACACUCAUCCUCUUAAGCCCGAAAUAUUCCAUGGCCACGUAUUUCGGCUCGGACCAUCAGUCGAAGAAAGACUACACAAAUAUCAAGAAAGUUCUUGAUGAUGUCCUCCCCGGCUACGCCAAAUCUGGAGGCACCUUCAGGAGGCCAAUUCUUAGGUAUGGCAAGCACGUGUUCACCCACGUAACGACGUUCCCCUGCGUGAAGCAGCCGCCUGGCAGUCAGAAGGAUGCCUACUACGCCCUCCAUCACAUGUAGGCGAUCGUACGGGACCAACAUCACCGUAUGCUACCAAAUGAUCUCAAAGAUUGGGCCGCACGCUUGUCGGCAAUCCAGGACGAGGACAUCAGACAAGAAUUCUUUCGCAUCCAGUCGGAGUUGGCGGAAAUCAUCUAUCAAGAUGUCCUUGCUAGAUUGGGGCAGUUCUACCUAAACUGUCAACCACCCAACAGUGAAAUUGACACAACGCUACAAAUGCAGGCUGACAACGACCACACAUUCAUGACCAUCACGAAAGACAGCGGGUUCAUCCACGCUCCGGUCCCUCAGUCGAGUCGAAAGUACUGAUGCUAUGUUGUAACUAAACUUUAAUGAACUUGUAUGUCUCUUUAGUUAGGACCGUCGUGCAACUUAUAUGUGUAGUCGAUGCUAUUUAUUAGUAGGACCAUGAAUCGUGCUAUUAAUGUGUUACUUUUCUCUUUCGAUCCUUUUGUUGCAUACUUAUAUAUUGCUUAUAUAUUAUCUGUGAAUUGCUUUUGUUUGUCUAGUGCAUAGAGAUGUCGUCGUAUGUCGUGUACAAGGGUGAGGUUCCCGGAGUCUACGACGACUGGGAGGAGUGUCGGAGACAGGUUCAUCGUUUCGGCGGUAACAGUUACAAAGGGUACAACACUAUGGCGGAGGCGGAAGCUAGAUACGCGCGCUAUCUAGCGGGAGAGAGGGAGCGGAGGAGGAACUGGAUGAAGAUCAGUUUCAUCGCGAUGAUGCACAUCGUGACUGUUGGGGAUAUUAUCUGUUGUGUGACCCGCCCUAGUUGGGCCGGGUCACCAAGUGGGUGACUCGUCCUUUGGCGAUUCAAGCUUUGGCCUGUGAGCCUAGGAGCUAGACGGCGGUUCAGGAUCCUCGUGGAGAAUCAGUCAUUCAGAAGGCCUCUAAGUCUUGGAAAGCACGGCGACUCAAAGGGCUUGACCUGUAUAUAAAGCCGAGUCCCGGGGAAGGAGAGGGCAGGUUAGAAAUCAUCGAGUGCUAGGUCAGGCGAGUUACGCCCUCCUUGUAAUCGAAACACCAUCAAUACAACACAAAGCAGGACGUAGGCUUUUACCUCCUCUCGAGGGGCCGAACCUGGGUAAAUCUCUGACUCGCUCCCGUUCAACCCCUUUGAGUAGCCACCAAGGUGCGAUGGCUCCAACACUAAGUCCUUUCACCAGGACAUCUGUCGUGACAAAACCAUAUCAGUUGGCGCCCACCGUGGGGCCUGCGCACGAUGGAGUUGAGUUCUCAAAGGGAGCCCUACCAGGGUCAGGGAGCUAUGCAGCAGGGCUCACGAUUCGGAGCCGCCGCGGGAAGUACUACAUCAAUAACUUGUUGUGGGGGCCCGAGGCCGAUUCAAUCGAAUCCGGCUACAGAAUCCCCUUCGGCAAGAUCAACAUCUUUGUCGGCAUGGUUGGAUCACCUAUGCCUGAGCCGGACAUCUUCACCGACAUCGUCGAGCCGGCCAGGUAUGUCCGCCCUGUCACGACGCCAAAUCUAACCCGCCCAGUCUUUGUUGGUUUCACACAUGGAUCUGAGGAACCAGAACGAUCGGCGACUCAGGAGACCACGCCGGUCAACACUGAUGACGAAUCAUCCAUGGGCGACUCAGAUUCAAUUCAGUCUCUACAUGGGGGCUGCCUCGGAGGCCUGUCAUUGGCAAUGGACCCCGAGGUUCUCGACCGGACCUGCCGUCGAUCGCCGUUUACAUGGCAGGGGCGACUCAGCCCCCGCAAAACCCUGCAGGCAACGAUGGGACUGGCGAAACAUCCAGAAGCACAGCUGCGAUCUUGGUGGAUUUGGCGGCGGAGAUAACAAGGCUCAUGGCGACUCCUGUAAAAGCAGAAAACCAGGACACGAUAAAUGUCGAGUUGACAAAGCUUAGAGAUGGGGUGGCAAAGGCUCAGCGAGAUGAUGAAACAGAAGCCGCCAGGAUCGAGUCCCGGCAAGCUCAAAUCAGCGCUGAGACGGCCCGCUUGAACACCGAAAACUGGCGGCUCGAGAGGCAUCAGCGCGCAUCUGACGCUGUCCAUCAACGGAGGCACCAGGGGCACUUACCCCCUGAUCUCAACCCUACCUGCCUAUUCGACACUCCAUGCACUCCCGGGGCAGGAGACGCUGCGGGAGGAGGGCCGGGCCAGCCGCCAAACCCGCCGCUUCAGCCAGCAGUUGAUCGCAUCCCUCGAUUCCAGACACCUCGGGGUCACUUUUCCAACCCGGUGGACAACGUGCUCGCUGCGACUCACCAUUUAGAAUCCCUUCCGAUUCAUGGCAACACGCCGGCCGAAAUAGAAGCAAGGAACGCCAUUGAGAUGUUGAAGACGGCGGUGGUUCAAAACGCCGAGCUCUCACACAGCCUCGAUCGGCUGCACUCCACCCCCCAAGCAAGCCGCACCAGGAGCCGGCCAAAGGACCAGCCCGCCAUAACCAGUGGACCGCGACCCCUUCCCCAGGUUAACCCGCCUGACCAUCGGGACCCGCCGGGUCGGGAUCACCCGGACAUCCAAACCGGCCCAGCACCGCUUGUUGGAGGCGGCAGGCAGGUAGGGGUGCCAUGCUUAGCCCCCGCCCUUCGUAAUGUGCAAAUGUCGAAGGACUUUAAGGGACCAAGAAAGGUGCCUAACUACACCCCGGACCUUGAGCCGGCGUCAUGGCUUGAGAUUUACGAAAUCGCCAUGGACAUGCUUGAUGUAAAUGAAGCAAUCUGCGCCAGGUACUUCACAAUGAUGCUCGAGGGAACGGCGCGUACUUGGUUGAAAAACCUGCCCCCCCAACUCCAUCCAAACUUGGGCUAAAUUGAAAGAGCGUUUCAUCAAAAACUUCCGGGGAACUUGCAAGCGCCCAAUGACAAUAGUCGAUUUACAGCACUGCGUUCAGCGCCCUGAUGAGUUGGCUCACCACUGGACGCGGCGGGUCGCGGAAAUCAUUCACUCGUCAGACGGCAUCAUGGCGGCUCAGGCUGUGCUGAUCUUGGAGCAAAACUACCACUAUGAGCCCUUGGUACAGAAGUUGGGGCUACUCAAGUGAAAGGUCCAGGAUAUGGGGGAACUAAUGGACACCCUCACUAGGUACGCCGAGGCGAACGAUACCAAAGAUCCAGGAGAAGAUGGCGGCAAGGCCAACUCGCCAAGGAAAGGCGAGUCAUCCAAAAAUCAUACCCGGCUUCAGGGACGCGCCUGCCACAAUCACGGAGGGAACGGCAAGAGAAGGCAGCGGGAAGAAUCAACAGACUUCGUCGCCAACACCAAUGCCAACAACGGCAACCAGCGCUAGAAGAAGAGGGCUUACAGUGGCAAGAAGCCGCGCAAUUAUAACGAGAUACUCAUGGGCCCCUGCCCGCACCACGCUACGACGGACGGACCAGCGACUCACUCCUGGGAGGACUGUUACGUGAUGCGGGAAUUUCGGGCGGAGGCGAUCAAAAAGGGCCAAAACGGUGACCCGGACCAACGGCAGGAACAGUUCGGUGUGCCUAACCAGCGAUAGAACCCAUUCGAUGGCUUCCCCGAACCGGGGCUCAGGGCGGCUCGCAUCCAAGCAGCGGCUAGUACCCAGUACAUAACCAACAGCGGUAUAACCCGUCCGGGGUUUUUCAGCAGCCACCCCACAGGGGGCUCCACGGGGGCAAGAUGAUCAUGGCGGGUUCCGCAACAAUCCCAAACAAUUAAGCAACGGGAAAUACCACGUCUUCACCACCAAUGUCUGCAAGUGUGAUAAAAAGGUGAAUCAUCGAGCAUACAGUGUAUCUGAACCGGCACUCCCUAGGUACCUCCACUGGUCCGAGCAGAUUAUAUCGUGGAGUAGGGAGGAUCACCCGCCCAGAGUUGACAACCCCGGAGAUUUAGCGUUGGUCGUGGCUCCUCAAGUCGGGGGAUAUACCUUGUUGAAGGUACUCAUGGAUGGUGGUAGCAGCAUCAACAUACUAUACUUCGACACUUUUUGAAGGAUGAACCUGCUGGAGAAAGACUUAAUGCUGUCAACAACGGUAUUCCAUGGAAUUGUCCCAGGUAAAUCGGCAUACCCCAUAGGCCGGGUUAAACUCACAUUUGCGUUUGGAACAGCAUCCAAUUACAGGAGUGAGUCGCUUAUAUUUGAGGUGGCUAAGUUAAAAAGCCCUUAUCAUGCGCUGUUUGGGCGACAGGCUUACGCGUGUUUCAUGGCUCGCCCCUCCUAUGUUUACCUUAAACUCAAGAUGCCCGGUCCUAAGGGGCCCAUCACGGUUGAUGGUGACAGGAGGAUAGCAAGAGAGUGUGAGGAAGGGGAUGCGGCUUACGCAGAAGUCACGUUCGCUGCAGAAGAGCUCAAAUAUCACCAGGCCAAUGUUGAUCUAGCAGAUAUGUCAUCUCUAAAGAAGCCAACAACAGACGCUGAGCCGCCCCUCAAGUUCAAACCAACGGAUGACACAAAGAUAGUGGAUUUCGUCCCCGGCGACUCAACCAAGCAGUUUACUAUCGGGUCGGGUCUGGACCCCAAAUAGGAAACCGCGCUCAUCGAAUUCAUCCGUGAGAAUCGAGACAUCUUCGCGUGGAAACCUUCUGACAUGCCAGGUGUACCGAGAGAAUUCCAUGAGCACCAUCUUAAUGUUGACCCAAAGGCAAAGCCGAUUCAGCAAUAUCUUCGCGGGUUCAAUGAGGAACGACGCAAGGCAAUCGGGGAAGAAGUCGCCCGUCUUUUGGCCGCUGGAUUCAUCGUAGAGGUCUUCCACGCCAAGUGGUUGGCUAACCCGGUCCUGGUGCUCAAGAAGAACGGAACCUUUCGCAUGUUCAUUGAUUAUACAGAUCUUAACAGAGCUUGUCCAAAGGACCCUUUCGCCCUUCCCCGCAUCGAUCAAAUCAUUGAUUCAGUGGCGGGCUGCGAGCGUUUGUGUUUCCUGGACGCUUAUUCCGGAUAUCACCAAAUCAAGAUGGUUGUGGAAGAUCAGGAGAAGACACCUUUUAUAACCCCCUUCGGGGCCUUUUGUUAUGUGUCCAUGCCAUUCGGGCUCAAAAGCGCUGGAGUGACUUACUGGCGUUGCAUCCAAAAUUGUCUCCGUGGCCAAAUCGGACGCAACGUCCACGCUUAGGUUGAUGACAUUGUGGUUAAAACUCGUAGGAAGGAGACGCUCUUGGAAGAUUUAAGGGAAACUUUUGACAACCUGCGGGUAUACCAGAUGAAGCUUAAUCCCACCAAGUGUGUCUUUGGCAUUCCCGCAGGAAAGUUGUUGGGAUUCCUGGUGUGUUAGCACGGCAUCGAGGCCAACCCGGACAAAAUCGAGGCGAUUACUUCGCUUGGGAAACCAGCGAAUAUCAAUCAAGCUCAACGGAUGGCGGGUCGUAUCACGGCUUUAAGUCACUUCAUAACCGCCUGGGAGAAAAAGCUAUUCCCCUCUAUCAAUUGCUUAAGAAAUCUGGCCAUUUUGUUUGGACAGACGAGGCCGAUGAAGCUUUUGAAGCCUUGAAGCAGCAGCUGGUCAGCCCGCCAUUUUUGGCCGCCCCGACUGAAAAGGAGCCUAGGCUUUUGUACAUUGCGGCAAACUCCAAGGCGGUGAGCGUGGCGGUGGCCGUCAAACGAAAGGAAGAAGGGAAGGAAUAUCCGGUACAACGCCCGGUGUAUUUCACUAGUGAGGUGCUAACUCUCUCCAAGCAACGAUACCCGCACUGGCAGAAGCUGGUCUAUGGGGUCUUUAUGGCAAGUCGAAAGCUCAAACACUAUUUCCAAGAGCAUCCCAUCAUGGUGGUUAGUUCCGCUCCUCUCGGGGACAUCAUCCAAAACCGAGAAGCGAUAGGGCAAAUCGCCAAAUGGGCGAUCGAACUUGGGCCGCACCACGUGCGAUACACCCCUCACACGGCUAUCAAGUCUCAAGCUUUGGUUGACUUCGUCAACGAUUGGACCGAAUUGCAGAUUCCGGAAGACAGGCCCGACCUCACGUACUGGACUAUUUGCUGUGAUGGGUCUAGGCAAUUGGAAGGCUCGGGGGCUGGCGGGGUGUUGAUUUCGCCCCAGGGAGACAAAUUCUGUUAUGUUCUCCGACUCAUGUUUCCAUGCACCAACAACGCUGCAAAGUAUGAAGCCUUGCUUCAUGGUUUGCGACUCGCCAAGGAGAUGAACCUCACGCGGGUCAGAUGUCUCGGCGAAUCUGAUCUGGUGGCUCAGCAAGUUUCAGGUACUUGGGAUUCUCGGGACCCCUUGAUGGCGGCUUACAGAAGGGUUGUGUCUGAUGUGGCGGGUCAUUUCCAUGGCUAUCAAGUUGAUCAUAUCGACCGACACCUUAACGAAGCAGCUGAUGCCCUUUCACGUCUCGGCUCACACCGUAAGCCGGUUCCUCCCAAUGUCUUUCUGGAUAUUUUGCAUAUAUAAUCCUGCCGUAAGUUUGCCUUCAGAAGAGGAGUUGGCAAUACCCGACCCUGAGUCCCAGAUUGUGGCGGCUCUCCAUGUUACGCCGGAUUGGGUUCUUCCGUAUUUGGCAUAUCUUGCACGAGGCGAGUUACCAUCGGAUGAGGUGUUGGCUCGCCAAAUUGUCCGUCGAAGCAAAUCCAUGGUCAUCAACAAUGGCGAAUUGUAUAAGCGAAGCACUUCUGGGGUAUUGCAAUGAUGCGUCUCUUCCGAAGAAGGAUGCGUGAUUCUGAAUGACAUCCAUGCCGGAGAUUGCGGGCAUCAUGCCAGGUAACGCUCCCUCGUCUCAAAGGUGCUCCGUCACGGAUUCUUUUGGUUGACGGCUCAUGCAGAUGUAGAAGAGAUAGUUCGUCGAUGUGAUGGUUGCCAACGUUACGGACGACAGGCUCAUGUGCCAGCUCAAGAACUAAGGAUGAUACCUAUUACUUGGCCUUUCGCGGUCUGGGGGCUAGACAUGGUUGGCCCCUUUAAGAUGUCGUCCAACAAAAAAACUCAUCUGCUGGUGGCGGUUGAUAAAUUUACCAAGUGGUUCGAAGCAGAACCUGUUGGUGCUUGUGAUGCGGAGACAUCGGUCAAGUUCUUGAAAAAACUGAUCUUCCGGUUCGGAUAUCCACACAGCAUUAUUACUGACAAUGGUACUAAUCUAUGACAAGGAGCGAUGCAGGAGUUUUGCCACCGUGAGCACAUCCAGCUUGAUGUCUCUGCAGUGGCUCAUCCACAAUCUAAUGGGCAGGCGGAACGGGCGAAUCAAGAAGUAUUGCGAGGAAUCAAACCCCGACUUAUGGUUCCCCUGGAAGGCACCCCAGGGUGUUGGGUUGAGGAGUUUCCUUCAGUACUGUGGAGCAUCCGGACCACCCCAAACCGUUCUAAGGGUUUUACUCCCUUUUUCCUGGUAUACGGAGCAGAAGAUGUUCUUCCCACUGACAUUAGGCAUGACUCGCCCAAAGUUGUUGCUUAUGUGAAACAGGACAACGAGUUGGCGCGUCAAGAUUCUUUGGACGCUUUGGAGGAAGCACGCGACUUGGCUGCCGCCCGAUCGGCUAUUUAUCAGCAGGAAUUGCGGCGUUACCACAGCCGCCGGGUCACGAGCCGAACCUUUCAGGAGGGCGACUUAGUGCUUCGAUUGAUCCAAGAUCGCACUCGCAUGCAUAAGUUAUAACCACCAUGGGAAGGACCGUUCGUCGUCAACAAAAGCCUUCGCAACGGGUCAUACUAUUUGGUGGAUCUUCGGCCUGAUCGGCCAACCACGGAGGCUGAGUCAACUCGCCCCUCAAACAUAGCCCACUUGCGGCCUUAUUACACUUGAGCUAUUGGCUCUGUUUUUUGUUCUGUUGAAAAAUUGUAAGUUUUUCAUUUUUAUGAAGCAAUAAAAUUGAUGCCCACAAACUCGGGGGCUUUCCUGCUAUUUCAUCUUAUUGAAAGUAUGGAUCUUUUAUUUUGCUCCUUAACAAGUCGCCCAAGCAUGGACUCUAUCCAUACCAGAGAGCAUAAGUUGCCAUGAUGCACUUAUUACAACAGUGGGUAUCGAUAAGCCAAAGAGGAUCAAGUCGCUACAAGCGCGUGAUUCAAACAUAGGCGCCAUAUAUGAUUUUGUGGCUUGGGCCGGCUUACUUGGGGGCUAUUUGUUCCCAAGUCGUUUUGUGGUAAGAGCGUAUACGCUUCUACAAUCCUAUGACCGGUCUUUCCCCUAAUCAUAGGUCACUUGGGGGCUUCCUCUCACUGAGAUCAGCCUUACUACCCAUAUGGCCUGCGAAAAAUUACCGCAUUACAAAUGGUUAUACUGGACCGUGUGUUGGCCUAAUCGCCAUAUGGACCCAUGAACUCUUGGCGAGUUACUCCGCUUUAUGGACCCUGAACUCGCCUUGGUUAAAACAUGUAUGGUACCGGCUAGCGCCCCACAUGGAAAAUAGAGAAACCAUUGGUUCAUUGAACCUGCUUCAUCGAAGCCUGACUCGUGCCUGAUCAGCCGGUCUAAAUACUUGAGCUUUUUAUACAAAAAGUCUCCCUCGGGUAGCACUUGAGUUUAUAUAACUCGUCCUAUACUGUCGCGACUUGAAUGAGCCGGCGAAAUUCCUACUUUUCACCUUCCUGCCACUGCCAAAAGGUUUUUCAAAUUUUUCCGACUCAUCCUAACAUCCUGAGUCGGUUAUUAUUUAUUAUUAUCAUCAUCCAUUACUCACUGAGGUGGUUUGAUGUAUGUUUUUAAGCAUAACAGGUUGAUGAUCAAAAUCAAUAUUGCCAUGGCGGGUCAAGCAUCAUAAGACGCCUCGAGGGCGACACAAGGGGUUUAAAGAAAUCACGGAACAAGGUUGUUUUCUAUGAAUAACUUACUACAUGGCUCUGAUGGCCAAAUCCAUGAAGAACUACUCCGUUGAUGUCCCCGGGUGAGCUUGCUUUGAUCUCUCACCGACUUCAAUCUGCAAGUCGCCCAAUACCCAAUUACACUUGGAUAAGGCGCCCAAUACUGACUUAACGUAGUCAAUACCCCUUUUCGAGGCAGCUGACCGGGUUAGCUCACCUAUCUGAGGCAGAAGGGUAGAUAAGCAGCCAAGCAUCUUUUUGAUUGAUGUUAUGGGUUCCUUGGCACCCAUGACUGUCUUCAUGGUCAGCACGCUUCCGGUAUACAGUUGCUCUGUUAAUGUGUAAAUCGCCUUCAGCAUCAGGACACAAUCAUUCAUAAGUUUGGCGGCUCUCGGACCUAUAUAAGAGAUAAUGAUGGUCAGUAACUUCUUCAUACUAAGUUAUUUUUUACAAAGUACAAGAUCACGGUUUUGCUUCUUACCAAAGAUAGCAUGUGCCAUGUUGGAGAUAUGUUGCUUUAAACCGGCCAUCUCUUGUUGCACGGCUUCCAAUUUUGCUUCAGCUUUUUCUGCUCGCUUCACCGCGGCGUCUUGAUCAGCUUGAGACUUCUUGUGGGCGGCCUUCAGCUCCUCCAUCUCAGAUAAGAUUACUUGAUAUUUUUCUUCUGAUUGUGCCCGCGCAUCUUGCUGGUCGGCUAAACUUUUCUUGAAGUCGUCAAAUGCCGACUCAGCUUGGGCAAGAGAUUCCUGGCAAAAUAUAUUAUCAAGGGGCAAGUCUCAGAAUUAUUGCAAGCAACAUCUCUGACACUUGGGGGCUAAUGUAUAAUUUUUUAGACAAAAUUAUACAAUAUCAAGACCCGUCUCAUCUUUCAAUAGAUGACCCGACCCUUGGGGGUUACAGGUCGAAAGAUUUUUUUUCAUAUCAAGACCCGGCUCAUCUUUCGAUAGAUGACCCGGCCCUUGGGGGUUACAGGUCGAAAGAUUUUUUCAUAUCAAGACCCGGCUCAUCUUUCAAUAGAUGACCCGGCCCUUGGGGGUUACAGGUCGAAAGAUUUUUCCAUAUCAAGACCCGGCUCAUCUUUCAACAGAUGACCCGGCCCUUGGGGGUUACAGGUCAAAAGAUUUUUUUCAUAUCAAGACCAGGCUCAUCUUUUAACAGAUGACCCCGCCCUUGGGGGUUAAUGAGGAUGGUAUGCGUUAAGGCGUACCUCAUGUCUAUUCUUCAUCAUAAGGAGAAGGCUCUUCUCCAUUUCAUAACUCGCCUCCAGGCGACUUGCAAAGCCGGAACAGAGUUCUUUAAAUUCAAGAUUCUCGUAUUGAGAUAGCUUGGCCUUGGAUAUCUCAUGUUCAAUAGAAGGCCGGGUUGAUGUUGAUACGUGCUUCGAGAAGACUGCCGGAGCCGGCUUAGAGAAGCUAGUACCAGUGAUGAUUACAACAUCUGGAUCCUCUGCUGUUGUCAACGGACUCGGUGGAUUGGGCGCUUCCGUGCCUUCCUUGGGAGAAUUCGGGAGAUCCACUUCGUCAUCAGAUUUAUCCUUUGCCGGGUUAUCAUGAGUCGGCGCUAGUCUUUCAAUAGUCUCUGGAACUGUGAUCGAAGUUGACCCGCCAGUUUUCCUUUUCUUCGCUUGCGCCCUAAAAAGAGAAGAGGAUGCGCUUAAAAAACAGACAUCAUCAUCAUCAGGACAAUGUAAGUAUUCUAAGAAUUUACCCUGGAACACGGAUCAUCGGCGGAAGGGCUGACAUCACUGAGUCGCCUGACGAAGGGGGAGAAUUCUGCAAAAGUAAUACCUCAAGACAUGAGCAAGUUAUAAGUAUGAUCCAAAAGGAAACGAAAGGGGACUCUGUUAAAAGGAUACCUCAUUCUGCCUCUUCUUGGUAGGAGUUUUCGUUGGUAACCCGGACACCAAGUCUCGAGAAUGACUCGAAGUUUUCCGAUUGGAAGCAUAUUGCGUUUUCUUCAAAAGGAAAUUAGGAUCCAAACAAGCAUUUGGGUGAGACAUGGGAACCUGCCCACAAAUCCGCCUGGCCAACUUAGGCGGAGGAGAAGAUGAGUAGGAGGAAACAUAAAUUACCUCUAUGGAGUCUUCUUGGCUUUCGUUGCCCUCAUUCUACACAAGAGAUACAGAGGUGUCAACACAAAAUUAUAGCAAUAAAUGGCAAGACAAAGAAGAUAGAAUUUUACCUCUGAAAGUACAUCGCCGACUUGGGAUUCGUCUGCAUCAGACGGUUCAGUAACGGCGGCUUUGCCUUUGCCCUUGGAUUUCUUCUUUGGGGGCGGCUUGGCUUGCUUCAGGGCCAUCUUUUUCGGCCUCUUUGGACCAGAAUUUGUCACCUUUCUGAAGUGGCAUUUUUAUUAUGAGAAUCAUAAUUCAAGUAAGUCGGAAGGGAUAAAGUAAAGGCGGUUAAGUUAUUUACCUUAGGUGCCGGGUUGAUCUUGCAGAAUGGCUUAAGACCUAUUUGGCCACACUUGGCCAAGGGCUCGCCGGUCAACUUCUUCAUGAUGGACAUGAUGUCAUUUUCUGUCAGUGUUGUACGGAAGUAGCACUGGGGAUGGUCCAAGGUGCCAUCAAACUCACACAUUAAUCCGUCUCGGCGACUUAAGGGGAGGAUGCACCAUUCAACCCAGCAGUGGAUCAAAUCAAUCCCGGUAAGACCGUUGUUUGUCAGAGAUCGUAACUCGGAUAGCGCCGGGAUAAAAUCUGACUCCUCUUCUUCAGUAAGCUUGUCUGGAAGUUUAAAGUUUGUAGGGAGGCGUUCCUCCCUAUAGCCAAGGAGCUUGUUUUCACCCUCAGGAGAAGUUUCUUGGCAAUAAAACCAAGACUCGCCCCAGCCUUUGGGAUGGCUUGGCAUGGUGAGUGAUGGGAAUGAGCUGUCCCUACGGCGUUGAACGUUGACGCCUCCAAGUUCCAAGCUAGGGCCAUUGGAAAAUUCGGUCUGGCGAUUCAAGUGAAAGAAAUACCAGAACAAAGGAACUGAAGGUUCCAUCCGCAAGUAGGCUUCGCAGAACACUUGGAACUGACAUAAGUUGCUAAUCGAGUUAUGUCCUAAGUCUUGGAGGCGGACGUUCAUGAAAGUCAUGGCAUCUCUGAGGAAUUUUGACCCUGGCGACUUAACCCCCGUUCGAGGUGCUCAGCAAAGACAACUAUUUCCCCUUCCUUCGGGUUGGGAAUUUCUUCUCCAAACCCGGAUCGCCAUCCGAUAACCUCUUGCGGAUCGAGAUUUCCCGUCUUCACACAGUCGUUGAGAAAAGCAUCAUCAACUUUGGUCGGGAGCCAAUCGGCUUUGAAAACGGUACCCAUGGCUACAAAGGAAAAGAUUACAGGUAAAUUAACUCGCCGAGCGCUUGCUGAGUGGUUAAAAGAUCAAUUAACUCGCCGAACAUUUGUCAGGUGACUAAGGGAGUCUGCUAACUCGCCAACAAGGGGCCAGGUCAGAAUACAAAGGCGAUUUAGGAAUUUCCUACUACCUAAGAGGGACGACUCAGAGCUUCAGAGAUGUUCGUUAAAAUGGUGAAGUACGGAUCUACAAACAGGUUUUAUACAGCAGGCAGUAACACAUAGAUCUACGGAGCAGGCGAAAGUGAAUGGAAAAAGGCCUGGAUAACGUAAAAACAGCCUAUGGCUAGGGUAAGAACAGUAAAGCUGAUUUGACAGAAGCCUUUUUAGAUCCUCAAGCAGGAGCUAAUCAACUAAGGAUCUCGUCGAUGCUACUAUACCCACUAUUAUCGUUGUGAACUAAUCAGCGAUUAUGGGGCAUUCGAGGUGUUCUAAGAAACCGGCAAGCAAUGAACCUCAGAUCUACCUCUAAUGGCAAAGGGCUGACCUGGCGAUGGUGACCGGAGGUGACCGAGGAAGAUCCGCAGCGAGUGUUGCUCGCUUAGUCAGCCUCGGGAUGCGUCGGACGCGGUAGCCAGAGACGGAGAUCUUCGGGCGGCGAUGGAGUUCUUGGUGCAGUCGCGAGGAAGAAGGGGACGACGAAAUGGGUAGGUGGGAAUGUUCCCUGCCCCCUUCCCCCGACCUAUUUAUUGGGUUGGGUGCUGGAAUCAAGGCGCCUCGCGCGGGAACUGACGACGGGUUAAAGAUUCGCUAUAAUGGCGCCGAAAAUUUUCGGGAUAUCUGUGCCGAAGGAUCCGUUGGUCAUUGCGUCAUCAUCUCUUCCGAGAUUAAAGGGAUAAGAUGAUGUCAACAAGAAGUGGUUCGGCGACUUGGGUAUCUCCAUGAUAGGGUGGCAGAUGAAGCGUAUGAUGCGUAAAAAGGGCAGAGUGAGUCGGCCAUGGCUACGUGAGAGUUGACAUGAACUGAUUCUGGUUGAUCUGGGGCCUAAUGUUGGGGAUAUUAUCUGUUGUGUGACACGCCCUAGUUGGGCCGGGUCACCAAGUGGGCGACUCGUCCUUUGGCGAUUCAAGCUUUGGCCUGUGAGCCUAGGAGCUAGACGGUGGUUCAGGAUCCUCGUGGAGAAUCAGUCAUUGGGAAGGCCUCUAAGUCUUGGAAUGCACGGCGCCUCAAAGGGCUUGACCUGUAUAUAAAGGCGAUUCCCGGGGAAGGAGAGGGCAGGUUAGAAAUCAUCGAGUGCUAGGCCAGGCGAGUUACGCCAUCUUUGUAAUCGAAACACCAUCAACACAACACAAAGCAGGACGUAGGCUUUUACCUCCUCUCGAGGGGCCGAACCUGGGUAAAUCUCUGACUCGCUCCCGUUCAACCCCUUUGAGUCGCCACCAAGGUGCGAUGGCUCCAACACUAAGUCCUUUCACGAGGACAUCUACCGUGACAAAACCACGAUAGUGACCACAACCCUCUUCUAUGUGAUGGUAGUUUAGAUAUCGACUUGUAAUGUGAAGAAAAACUCGCUACUCGCGGUCUUGAGACUUGUAAUGUACUAACUUUGUUCGUUAUUUUGAAUUCGAAGACUAAUAUGAUGAAUUGUAUUUGGAGACUAAUCUUCUAUUGUAUUUGAUAAAUCUGCUAUUUAUAUAUAUGUUUUGUUGUUUAUAUUAUGUGCUAUAAUGUAUAUUUUAAUCUCUAUAAAUACCAAAAAAGAAAAAAAUCCUAAUAUUCAUAGUAGUGGCGCACCAAGUUGAACUCUAGUGGCGCACCAGGAGGUGCGCCAUUAGUAUCUGGGAUAGUAAUGGCGCACCAGGUGGUGCGCCAUUAGUGUCUGGGAUAGUAAUGGGGCACGAGGUGGUGCAUCACUGUUAUGUAUAUUAACAGUGAUGCACCAUGAAUACACAAUUACUAUUUAUUAGUAGUGGUGUGAUAAUAAUGGCGCGCCUAUAGUGUGCCAUUAAUAGACAAAGCAGGUACGCCACUAAUAGCCCUUUUUGUAGUAGUGCCCGGCCGAGACCCGACGACGUCGCGCCCCCGCGCCCUCCUUCCCGACCGAGUCACGCCAUCGCCUCGACCUCGCCGUCGCCUACCUCGCCCGCUAUGAGCUCGCCACCCCUCGAUGUGCGGUGAUUUUUUUCACUAGAUUGUUUCUUUUUCACUAGCUAGUUUUUCGUUCUUCUAUUUUUUAGGUUUUUAUACUUUUAGUGUUGUAGUAUAGAAAAAGUUUGCAUAGGAAAAAGUUGACCAUAUAUUUGUAUAGUAUAGAAAAAAAACUGCAUAGAAAAACGUUGCAUAGGAAACAGUUCACCAUAUGUAUAGUAUAGAAAAAAUUGCAUAGAAAGAAGUUGGAUAGAAAACAAUUGAGGAAUUUUGACCAAGCGUAGAAAAUAAUUGCAUAGAAAAAAGUUGACAAUGUAGUAAACAUAUUUUAAUGUUAAUAUCUUAAUGUUGUAUUUUCAAAAGUUAGUCAUGUAUUUGCAAAAUCAAGUGAACAAGAAUUACAAAAAUCAUAAUCAAGGAUUUAAAAAAUGUUAAAUUUGUAUAGAAACAUUUUUGGCGUCGAAGAUGCCCGGUUCGCAUCCUCGUCGUCGAUUCAGUGGCGAUAACCUUUUUGAGAGGCGCCUUGUCCGGGACUGAACUCCACCGAGCUGGCACUGGGGUGCGCAUCUUGGUGAGGAACCAGGCUCACGUCGUCGACCCGGAGCUUUUGAAUGUACUAAGUACCCAAAUAGAAAUAACCAACGAGAAAUAGUAUUUCCUUACAACUUGAGAUAUUUUAAGGUACUAAAUACCCAACCGGAAAUAGUAUUUCCUUACAACUUCAGGUGAGUGUUACUGUCUUGUACUAUAAAUUCUGUUUUAGUUACUCGAUGUUAAGUGUACAUAGUACUUAAUGAGUUAUGCAUUCCCGCUUAUACAACGUAGGUUCUAGUGGAUAUUGCUAAUCAUUAGGGUUGACGAGGGAAAAGUUGAAGUAGUGGACUCACUAACUAAACACAGUGAAGAGUACAUGAACCUGAAGUUGAUGCUCGGCAGGUAAUUUCAAUCAUUAUCCCACUAUCUCGGCCUCUUUACUUCAUUUCCUGAUAUCAAGUAAUCAAUGAUUCCUUUAUUCUUUUUCUUUACCAGGCAAGGUCUGGGCACGGUUAAUCCACGAGAUUGUCGUCCCAUGGUAAUUAAGUAGUACUAGCUGUGUUCCUGCAUCUCUUUAGUUCUAGUUUCAAUACCAUUAUCAUGCUUGAUUAUUAUCUGACUGAAUUCUAUUCUCGUAAAGUGGUGAAUGAAGCAGGAACAGGAGAUUAACACAUGUACAUACAUUGUUUGCGAGAACAUUUGGAUUAUGACCGAAAGGGGCAGACAUAAAACAAUUCUUGGUGUACGUAGACAAUAUUCACAAUUUUUUUAUCAUGAUCUAAUUUAUACACACAUAAUUAAUAUAUUCAUAUUGAUAUCCUUCUUUAAUUAAAGAUGCUGGAGAAGCCGGGUAGGCUCAUACGAAAGGGCCGGGUACGAGCACUUCACGAUGAAAUGGCGGGGUUUUUGCUUGACGAGGUCAUAGCUCCCAACAGAGAAUACUACUACACGUAAUGCCUGCAUGUAAUGAUAUGCAAGUUGUAAAAGAAAUUAUAUAUAUACACAUACAUAUAUAUACAUAUAUAUAUAUCUGUGUGUGUGUGUAUGCAUAUGGUCAUAUGAGAAAUUCUAUGAUAUAUGAUUGGUCCUGCAAGAAAUUCUAUGUUAUAUGNNNNNNNNNNNNNNNNNNNNNNNNNNNNNNNNNNNNNNNNNNNNNNNNNNNNNNNNNNNNNNNNNNNNNNNNNNNNNNNNNNNNNNNNNNNNNNNNNNNNAUUACUAGGCUUAGCAUCAAGCUAUGGAGGACCAGCAAGGCACUUAGAGUGUGGAGUAAAACCUUUGUGGGUGACGUACAAAAACAAAUGCUAAUAGUCAAUGAGAUGGUGCUGCAGCUUGAUGGGGCCCAGCAUAUUAGAGACCUAUCACUACAAGAAAAGGAGUUGCGUACUAAGCUGAAAUCGAGAACAAUGGGACUGGCUGUUCUGCUCAAAAUCAAGAGACGCCAACGAAGCAGAGUGACAUGGCUCAAGGCUGGAGAUGCGAAUACUAAGUUCUUCCAUAGGAAGGCAAACGCGCGCCGCAGGCGCAACACCAUCCAUGUCCUACAUGAUAGUGCGGGUGCAACAUCUGCAACAUCCACCUGCGCUAUGACUGAGCUGGAAAAACGACACUUCUCGACCAUUUUUGGUACUGCGGAUAAACUGACCUCAGCUAUUAAUUGGGACGAGCUAGGGUUCGAGCAGACGGACCUGACUGACCUUGAGGGAGAAUUCACCUUACAAGAGGUAAAAGCUGCCAUUGACGCUAUUCCACAAGAUAAGGCGCCGGGUCCAGAUGGGUUCUCAGGUGGUUUUUACAAGNNNNNNNNNNNNNNNNNNNNNNNNNNNNNNNNNNNNNNNNNNNNNNNNNNNNNNNNNNNNNNNNNNNNNNNNNNNNNNNNNNNNNNNNNNNNNNNNNNNNNNNNNNNNNNNGACUUUCGGCCAAUCUCCUUGAUUCAUAGCAUAGUCAGGAUUUUCACCAAGAUCCUUGCAAGUAGGCUCGCCCCUAAGCUGAACUCGCUGGUUGAUCACUGCCAAAGCGCGUUCAUAAAAAAUCGCAGCAUCCAUGAAAAUUAUGUGUAUGUACAAAACACGGCCCGGUAUCUCCAUAAACACAAGAGACCGGCCGUGCUGCUGAAGCUUGACAUAGCCCAAGCAUUUGACUCCGUCUCAAGGGCUUAUAUACUCGAUAUGCUUGAGGCACGCGGUUCUAGUCAAAGGUGGCGCGAGUGGAUAGCAAUGCUUCUCAGAACUUCCACCUCGCAAGUGUUGAUUAACGGCUCAAUAUCUGAUUGCAUCUAGCAUGGAAAAGGACUGCGGCAAGGGGACCCAUUGUCCCCAUUUCUUUUCAUUCUUGCCAUGGACCCCUUACAACGGAUUUUGCGGUUAGCCACAGAGACACAACUCCUAUCAGUAAUUCCAGGCCGCAGGCAGCUGAUGAGAUGUGCAUUCUACGCCGAUGAUGUGGCGCUCUUUAUGCGGCCUUCAUUGUCCGAUGCACAAAUGAUAAAACUGUUCUUGACUUCUUUGGAAAUGUCUCAGGGCUUCGCACAAACAUGGCCAAAAGCUCAGCCUUACCCAUCAACUGUGAAGGGCUAAACCUGGCCGCCAUCUUACGUCCUCUUGGCAUUCCUUUGAAGACAUUUCCAUGUGUGUACCUCGGCAUGCCGCUAUCGCUAAAACGUCUUCGCAAGAUUGAUUGGGACCCAUGGCUACAUAAAUUUGCUAACAAGACUGCGGAUUGGAAAGGGAGGUUGAUGGCCAAAAGUGGGUGACUGGUACUGCUUAAUGCAGCCUUGUCAUCUCUGGCCAUUUACAUGAUGACGUCUCGCAAACUACCGGCUUGGGUUCUUAAACGCCUAGUUCAAAUAUGACGAGCCUGGCUAUGGAGUGGAGAGGGCACGUGCAAUGGAGGCAAAUGCAGAGUUAAUUGGUCUGCCCUAGCACGCCCUAAAACCUUGGGUGGCUUAGGGGUUCUCGACCUGGAAAAAUUUGCAGGGCCCUUCGGAUUAGAUGGUUAUGGAUGGCCUGGAAGGAUCAGACUAGACCAUGGGUUGGUCUAGAACUGCCUUGUGAUGCCUCGGACCGUGCCCUUUUUUCGAUGUCCACGACUAUCACCAUACAAGAUGGCUGCACCGCGCGGUUUUGGCAUGACAGAUGGCUACAAGGCAUGUGUCCAAAAACAAUGGCGCCGGACCUUUACAAGAUCUCAUUUAGGAAAAACCGCACAGUGAAAGAAGCAUUAACUGCUGAAAAAUGGCUGACGGACUUGGCACACGGGCUGACAGAAACGAUGGUACCUCAGCUGGCCUGCCUGGCGGCAUGUCUCGAACAGAUUGAACUCACUCCCGAUAGGCCAGACACUGUAGAAUGGCGUUACAACUCCGAUAAAAGAUAUAGUGCAAAAUCCACCUACCUGCUGCAAUUCAAUGGCUCGACAACCAUGGAAGGAGCAAAAUAUAUCUGGACGGGUUGGGCACCGGGCAAAUGCAGAUUCUUUUUAUGGACAGCCGCAUUAGGGAAAAUACUAACGGCAGACGUGUUGUUGCGGCGAGGACGGGAGAACAAUUAUUUCUGUCCUCUAUGCCAGAGAAAUCUGGAGACCGUUUUCCACCUUCUCGUGGAGUGCUCUUGGACCCGGAAAACCUGGGAUGCAAUCGCAACCUCAGCUGACCUACCAUCACUGAGACCAAUCUCAUGGAUGGGACUGAACAAUAUCAAAGGAUGGAUGCAUAACUGUUGGCAAAAUGCACCCAUAACACGAAGGAAAGGAACUCAGUCGCUCCUACAUCUAAUAUCCUCGGAGAUCUGGCGCGAACGAAACACGCGGCUGUUCGAUCACAAAAGCAUGGACACUGAAACUUUGGUGAGAAGAAUUAGGGAUGAAAUUAGAGUCNNNNNNNNNNNNNNNNNNNNNNNNNNNNNNNNNNNNNNNNNNNNNNNNNNNNNNNNNNNNNNNNNNNNNNNNNNNNNNNNNNNNNNNNNNNNNNNNNNNNCUACAUUAUGGCUAGGCAGCAUGCAAGGGAGUGGAGUCCCAAUAAACACCAACGGCCCAAUUGCAUCCUGCCUAGGUACUCGCAUAGGAUGGUAGAACUACGAUGCAUAAAACAUAGGUGAUAGUAUGAUCAAAGUGACUUGCCUCGUAUUACUUGAUGAAGAUAGUCGCUCUCAAAAUCCUGAUAAUUCUACUCGCCACACUCUGAGCAAUCUAUCGUAAACAAAUAGCAUUCAAUAAACAUUCAUGCCAAAAAGGAAGAACCAAAAGAACAUAAGAACAAAACAUGUCUUUGUGCAAAAUAACAACAUACUAAGGUUUAAUAAAAAAAUAGGUUCUAAGUGUGUUGUAAAGUUAAGGUGCAUGAAUGAGAUCAAAAAGAGGUAAUGGACGAUGAACUAUUGCUAUAUAAGCUCGAAUUGCAUACACUAUGGGAGAUGAUCAAAAAUAUUGGGAGAACAACAUGAAUGUUGUUUGACAAAUAGUAUAAGAUAUAAGAAUUUAUUUGUAGAAAGAAUUUCUUGAAAUGGAGCACUACAACGCAAGUUAUAGCGAAUUGAAGUAUGAAUUGAAUUUGCAUUCAAAAGGUCAAGAGAAGUUGAACUGAAGUACGAUGGUUACGUACAAAAAUAUAUGACAUGNNNNNNNNNNNNNNNNNNNNNNNNNNNNNNNNNNNNNNNNNNNNNNNNNNNNNNNNNNNNNNNNNNNNNNNNNNNNNNNNNNNNNNNNNNNNNNNNNNNNUGAGGACUUAGUUGCGACUCCGUAUUGCCUAAGUUAAGAACAACUCUGAGUGCGGACAUGCUCCGCACUCGGAGGCUUAGAUGCGACUCUGUAUCGCCUAAGUUAAAACAACUCCGAGUACGGACACGCUCCACACUCAGGGGCUUAGCUGCGGCUCCGUAUCGCCUAAGUUAAAAACCUACUCCGAGUACAGACAGGCUCCACACUCGGGAACUUAGCUGCGACCCCGUAUUGCCGAAGUUAAAGACAACUCUUAGAGACUUGACUUUGAUAUAGAAAUCAUAUAAUGCAGAUACAACAAAUAUUCAACAUGACGAGCAUUGGAUGACUUAAACCCUCUGCCGGACUCAUCUAGUGCGACAGAGGCUCGGGGACUACACCCAGUGGGUGCACUUAGCGUGCCACCAGUAGAAGAGAAAAACAAAAAAGAAACAUUCUGCUUGGUCAGGUCCACCAACAACAUCCAAGUUCAACAGAUUCAACAGAUUCCAACCGACUACCAGCAGUCAGUCACAGUCUCAAGAUCCUAUUGGUCACUCGGAUCUACUUCAAUUCUUAAGUUCACUCGGACGUACUACUCAGCGGAAUUGAUCAGGGCAAAUGAUGAAGACUUCAAUCAACGCAUAAUUUUGCAAGGCCCUGAAGCACGGUCAAGUUCGGUCUGCUGCUACAAGAUUUACAUCGACACCUUCACCACUCGGACCCUGAUCCAUUCGGGGGCUAAUGACGGGGAUAUAGCCCUAGGGUAGGGUCAUAGGUCUGACCAAUACGUCCUACCCAAGGGCACCUCAUUAUUAGUUUAAGGGUUACAAGGGAAAUUCCUACUGGAUCGUGACAACAUCUAAUCCACUCGGUACGGAUCCACUCAGACAAGUACAUUCCAUCCACUCGGAUGACAGUCAACCACCCGUCCGUAUGACUCACUCGGUCAUGCGGAUACCAACAGUCGGCAAGACAUCUGUAGUGGGCUGACAUUAUNNNNNNNNNNUAUUAUUAGUUUAAGGGUUACAAGGGAAAUUCCUAAUAGAUCGUGACAACAUCUAAUCCACUCGGUACGAAUCCACUCAGACAAGUACAUUCCAUCCACUCGGAUGACAGUUAACCACUCGGCCGUAUGACUCACUCGGUUAUGCGGAUACCAACAGUCGGCAAGACAUCUGUAGUGGGCUGACAUUAUGACAUCAAUGCCCCAUAUUGUAACAUAAUAGGUGAGGAGGUGGCGCACUCUAUAUAAGCCACCCCCCUCCACAUAGCUAAGGACAACUUUCUUCUUCUCCCCCUGCGGGCUCAUUCCUUCCCUGGAGCUGUGGCUCUCUCUAUACCAUGUAACUCAUGUCCAUGAUAUAUAAAACAAAGCCUCUCCGGAGCACGAGACAUAGGGUUGUUAUCUCCACUUUGUUAUCUCCGGAGCACGAGGCCUGAACUCGCUAAAACCACCGUGUCACCGAUGUGCACCUUGAUAGAUCAUGCUCCGUUAUCCUACCCUCUUUCUAUUGUCAGAAUCGUUACCACGACAGUUGGCGCCCACCUUGGGGCAUGGCAUCUAUCGAGCCAUGAUGCAUAUGGUUUUUCAUUCAUAUAUGUUUAAUCUCCUAUUCAUGCAGUUCAUCAUCCGUGCGUGCAAUAAGUAUUGAAGCAUCAAAAAAAUGAGGAGAAAAGAUACAUCUUUAUUUGAUGUCAUAGAGGCACUAGUCCGGCCGGCGACGGAGGGCUCCUCCGCCUAAUCGCUUGCCCGGCUUCCAUGCUACGGAAGCACUGGCCUAGCUGUCAGUGCAGGGCUCCUCCGACAGCUCGCCUACCCAACGGCGACCUCCACGCCACGAGGUUCCCCAGCUGAUCGUGUGCUCAACAGUGGCGUCCGCCCGUGGUGCUCUUCUGCCCGGUCUUGCAUUCGGCAGUGAGCUCCAUGGUGGAGGCGCACCUCGCGCGUGGUGCUCUCUGGCAUUGCCGGCUUGAUGACGGUCUGUAGAGGGGAAUGCGUCCUUCAGGCCGCCCCGCAUGAGCGCUGACGCAACUCUUCUGCCCUCAGACGCACUCGAUGGCCCAUCACCGCGCUCAUCCGCCUAGCAACGUGCUCGUCGAUGCCGCCCUGCGACGCGCUCGCUCGGUGCCGCCUCGCAACACGCUCCUCGGCCCUCGCUUGCAUCGCCGACAGCACGCUCUACCCGGCUGCGUGGGUCUCAUUCACCUGCAUCGCCUACAUCGUACGGUAAGCAUUUUCAGCCUGAGUUAAGUCUGCACACAUGCAUGCAUAACCGACCGUCAUCAUGGUCAUCAUGGUCAUGCGUUGAGAACGCAUAAUGACGCCCUCAUAAUCCUUCGUAAAGAGGGCUGGUCGUUUCAUGUACUUAACCACGUCAUUAUGUCCCUCAUCAGGUAAGCAUUUUCAGCCUGAGUUAAGUAUGCACACAUGCAUGCAUAACCGACCGUCAUCCUGGUCAUCAUGGUCAUGCGUUGAGUGCCCGUUACAUGGCCGCUGCAUGCAUCACCACUCGGUGAGACACGGCUUCAUCACUCGGCCGCCCCGCGCGUCGCCACUUAGUGUGACACGUCGUCAUUAAUCGAUCGCCCCGUGCGUCGCCCCUUAGUCGUACAGCUAAGUCAUUCUUCACUUUGACACUACAUUGUAUUAAAUAAUUAUUUAUGCAUUGCCGAGUGUCAAGUAAGUCACAUAUGACGUUCACUCGGGGGCUAGGUGUAAUUUACACGAAUUAUUUCAAUGAAAAAUAAAUUACUUUGAGAAUUUUUUAUGUCAGCUUGUGUUAUUUUUCAUACACAGGUUACCUGGACGCCUCUGUACGCCAUUCUCGACAACAUUAUCGACUCAGCCGCCUCUGUGCGCCCUUCUCGAUUACAUACCGGAUGCUCCUUCGUCGCCCGGCCGCUCCACGCGUUGUCACUCGACUGGAUGCUCCUUCGACACUCGGCAGCUCUACGCACCGUCACUCGACUGGACGCUCCUUCGACACUCGGCAACUCUACGCGCCGUCACUCGACUGGACGCUCCUUCGCCACUCGACCGCUCCAUGCGUCGUCACUCAAAUGGACGCACCUUCGUCAGUCAGCCAGACACACCAUCCUCACUCGGUUGGAGACUCCUUCGUCACUCGGCAGCUCCGCGUGCCGCCACUCGAUUGGACGCUCCUUCGUCACUCGACAACUUCACACGUCGUCACUUGGCUGGAGGCUCCUUCGUCACCUGGUUGCUCUACGCGUCGUCACUCGGUCGCCCCGCGUGUUGCCACUCAGAUAGACGCGUCUUCAUCGCUUGACAGCCCAACACGUCGCCACUCAGCCGAACGUGUCUACUUCGCUCAACCGCCCCGCGCGUCGUCAAGCAGCCAAGUCAUUUUUUCACAGACUGCAUUCUAUUAAAUAAUCGUUUCUACAUUACCGAGUAUCGAGGAAGUCGCACAUGACGUUCACUCGGAGGCCACGCCACCGAGUGUACCUCUGCACUCGGUUGUUUAUUUUUAUGUGGGAACACUUCACUUCCGCUUCGUUUUGGUCCAGUACUCAAACGAGUUCAGUCGAAUCUUUCACUUGCAUAAGUACAGUCGGAUCAUGCACAAGUACAACCACCUGGCACACCCAGUGGGUGUCUAUGGGUGUUAUUUACACAAACUAUUUCAGAAAAGAUCAUAUUACUUUGAUAAUUUUUUAUGCUGGCUUGUGCUAUUUUUCAUACACAGGUUACUCGACGCAUCCGUGCACCAUCCUCGUCGCUGCUCAGGCUCAGUCGCCGCAACGAUCAUUCAUGCGUUUUCACGUGUUCGGAAGCCCCUUCAAUGACAUAGUGGACACGGCCGCCCCGCGGGCCGUUAGUGGAUCAAACGCCUCCUCGACAUACAUCACUUGGCCGCCCCGCGCCUUGCCACUCAGCCAGAAUCAUCUACCUCACUCGGAUGCCAUGUGCAUCGCCACUCCGUGUGGCACAUCUUCAUCAUUCGGCUGCUCCGCGCGCCACGGCUCAGCUUAGCUGUGAUUCUGUAUCGCCUAAGUUAAAAACAACUCUGAGUGCGGACAUGCUCCACACUCGGAGACUUAGCGGCGACUCCGUAUCGCCUAAGUUAAAAACAACUCCGAGUGCGGGCAUGCUCCACACUCGGGGGCUUAGCUGCGACUCCGUAUUGCCUAAAUUAAAAACAACUCCGAGCGCGGACAUGCUCCACACUCGGGGGCUUAGCUACGAAUCCGUAUCGCCUAAGUUAAAAACAACUCCGAGUGCGGACAUGCUCCACACUCGGGGGCUUAGCUGCGACUCCGUAUCGCCUAAUUUAAAAACAACUCCAAGUGCGGACAUGCUCCACACUCGGGGACUUAGCUGCCACUCCGUAUCGCCUAAGUUAAAAACAAGUCCGAGUGCGGACAUGCUCCACACUCGGGGGCUUAGCUGCGACUCCGUNNNNNNNNNNNNNNNNNNNNNNNNNNNNNNNNNNNNNNNNNNNNNNNNNNNNNNNNNNNNNNNNNNNNNNNNNNNNNNNNNNNNNNNNNNNNNNNNNNNNCACUAUAGGGAGAGGAUCAUUGACAUUUCUGUCCACACAAAUACUUAAAUGACUAAGCAUAUGAGCAUUCUGUUCCAAUUGUCUGCUAACAUAAUCAUUGAAACUCUAUUGUUUCGCAACAAAGUUAUCAAAUUCAUCCAUGCAUAAGAUAGGAGGUUUAUCAAAAGGAAUAUCACUCUCAUCAAACCUACGCAGAGAAUUUACUUCUACUACCUGUAUCGGGUUAUCGAGACCAUGGAUCUCUUCGAUAGGUGGUAGAUUUUUGUCAUCUUCAGAUUUAAUGCCUUUCUCUCGCAUAGAUUUCUUGGCUUCUUGCAUAUAUUCAGGACUGAGGAAUAGAAUACCUGUUUUCUUCGGAAUUGGCUUAGGAGGUGGUUCGGGAAUAGUCCAAGCAUUCUCAUUGCACAAGAUGUUAUUCAAUAGAAUCUCAGCUUGUUCUAUAGUUCGUUCCCUAAAAACACUACCGGCACAACUAUCUAAGUGGUCUUUGGAAGCAUGGUAAGUCCAUUAUAGAAGAUAUCAAGUAUUUCGUUCUUCUCAAGAUGGUGAUCAGGCAAAGCAUUCAGUAGCUGGAUAAGCCUCCCCAAGCUUGUGGGAGACUCUCUUCGUCAGCUUGAGCAAAGUUGUAUAUUUCCUGCAAGGCAGCUUGCUUCUUAUGGGCAGGGAAAUAUUUUUCAGAGAAGUAGUAGUCCAUAUCCUAGGGGCUAUGCACACAACCAGAAGCAAGAGUAGUGAACCAUGUCUUAGCAUCAUCCUUUAGCGAGAAAGGAAACAGCUUGAUCAUAUAGUAGUGGUGGAUCUUUUCCUCACUAGUGAAUAGGGUGGCUAUAUCGUGCAGUUUGGUAAGAUGGGCUACAACCGUUUCAGACUCCUAACCGUGAAAGGGAUCAGAUUCGACCAGAGUGAUUAACUCAGCGUCAACAGAGAAUUCAUAAUCCUUAUCAGUCACAAAGAUAGGUGAAGUGUCAAACUUAGGGUCGUAUUUCAUCCUAGCGUUCAGAGAUUUUUCUUUCCACUUGCGCAGAAGUUUCUCAACAUCAUAGCUAUCCUUACACGCAAGAAAAUCUUCAGCUAUGUCUCCCUCCAUAACAUAGCCCGUAUCAGGCAUAACAGGCAAUUCACGCAUAGUAGCAGGUUCUACUUCAAUAGUAUCAGCAGUCUUAGAAGUAUCAUCACAUCUAGCAGCAACUCUAGAAAUUUCUGCAUCAAGGAAUGCACCUAGUGGCAAAGCAGUAUCAGGCAUAGCAUCAUAAGGCAGAGUAUCAAGCAUAGCAUUAUCAAGCAUAGUAUCAAGCAUAGCAUCAUCAGGCAUAGAAUCAAGCAUAGCAUCAUCAGGCAUAGUAUCAAGCAUAGCAUCAUCAUAAGCAUCAUGGGCAGCAGAAGUAGCAUCAUAAGGCACAUGCGACAUAUCAAGAUUUCUAGCAGGAGGCGAUGUCGCAAACUUACUCAUAACUGAAGGUGAACCAAGUGCAGAUCUAGAUGGCAGUUCAUUACCUCUCCUCGUAGUGGAAGGCAGGAUUUUAGUUCUUGGAUCUUUCGGAUUCCUCAUAGUGAUCAGCAACCGUCAAUCCCAAGUGACUCAGAGAAUAUAGCUGUGCCUCCCCGGCCACGGCGCCCGAAAAAGCCUUGAUGUCCCACAAGCGUAUGGGAUCACAGCAGUUUUCGAGGGUAGAGUAUUCAACCCAAAUUUAUUGAUUCACUCACAACGGGAAGCUAAAGAAUAUUCUCAAGUAUUAGCAGCUGAGUUGUCAAUUCAACCACACUUGAAAGAUUAGUGUCUGCAAGCAAAGUAUCAGUAGCAAGGUAGUAUGAUAGCAACGGCACCAGAAAAAGCUUUGACAAUCCCCAGCAAAGGUGCCAGAAAAAGCCUUGUUGACGAGAUGUUAGCGCCAACAAAGUCUUGCAACAAGUAACAGAUGAGUAGCAAGGAACAGUAGUAGCAGCAGCAGCAAAGUAACAAGUAACAGCAGUAGUGACACCAACAGCAAAGCGACAAGUAACAACAAUAGGACCAGUAGCAACAAAGUGGCAAAACGACUUCUGUUCUGGGAUUUUUGCGUCGCGGGUAAAAAUAGGAGCCGAAGUAGGGCACCAGAGGGGGUGGGCCCCACCCAGGUGGCCUCCUGGCACGGCCAGGGGGCAUGGCCGCGCCAGCAGGUCACAUGGGGGCCCUGUGUCUCCCCUUUGGCCCAUCUUCUGGCCCAUGGUUCCUCCCGGUCCGUGGAUUUUCUCUAUUUUUUAUGUGAAUUUUCCAGGACGUCUAAAUAUCCAGUUUCCUACGCAUAAGAAAACCAUACAAACAGCUCUGCUGAAAACAACGCUAGUCCGGGUUAGUUUCAUUCAAUUCAUGCAAGAAUGAGGCCAAAACAUUAGCAAAAGUGUUUGGAAAAGUCGAUACGUUUGAGACGUAUCAAGCGUGUAUGGGUAGACAAAAGAUACACCGGAGGCACGGGAGGACCAAAAACGUAUCCACGAAAAAGAUGGCAUGCAUCCAAAGUAGUAUCAUGGUGCUGCCAGCUACGCUCUUACCAAAGAAGAGAAGGAAAUGUUCUUUGAAUGCCUACUCAGUAUGAGGGUCCCAUUUGGCUACUCGUCGAAUAUAAAGGGAAUAAUAAAUAUGGCAGGGGAAAAUUCCAGAACCAAAAGUCUCAUGAAUGCCACAUGAUUAUGACACAAUUUCUUCCGGUUGCAUUGAGGGGUCUUCCACAAGAAAACAUCCGAUUAGCCAUGGUGAAGCUAUGUGUAUUCCUCAAUGCAAUCUCUGAGAAGGUAAUCGAUCUAGAAAUCCUAACAAGUUUACAAAAUGAUUUUGUGCAGUGUCAUGGUGUUCCCACCAUCCAUCUUCAAUAUCAUGACGCACGUCCUAGUUCACCUAGUCAAAGAAAUUGCAAUUCCGGGCACUGUAUUUAUACAUAGUACGUUCCCCUUUGAGAGGUUCAUGGGAGUCUUACAGAAACAUGUUCAUAACCAUGCCAGGCCAUAAGGAAGCAUCUCCAAGGGCCAUGAAACAAAGGAGGUCAUUGAAUUUUGCGUUGACUUUAUUCCUAACCUUCAGCUGAUUCGUGUUCCUGAAUCACGGCAUGAGGGCAGACUCGUUGGAAAAGGCACGCUAGGAAACGAUUCAGUAAUAUAUAGGGAGAGACAUUCUUGGGCAUGAUGUCCCACAAGCGUAUGGGAUCGCAUUAGUUUUUGAGGCUAGAGUAUUCAACCCAAAUUUAUUGAUUCGCUCACAAGGGGAAGCUAAUGAAUAUUCUCAAGUAUUAGCAGCUGAGUUGUCAAUUCAACCACACUAGAAAGAUUAGUGUCUGCAAGCAAAGUAUCAGUAGCAAGGUAGUAUGAUAGCAACGACACCGGAAAAAGCUUUGACAAUCCCCGGCAAAGGCGCCAAGAAAAGCCUUGUUGACGGGAUGUUAGCACCAACAAAGUCUUGCAACAAGUAACAACUGAGUAGCAAGGAACAGUAGUAGUAGCAGCAGCAAAGUAACAACUAACAGCAGUAUUGACAGCAGCAGCAAAGGGACAAGUAACAACAGUAGGACCAGUAGCAGCAAAGUGGCCCAAUCCCUAUUGUAGCAAGGGAUAAGCCUAGGCAAAGUAAUGUAGCGAGAACCAGUAGUAAAAGACUCGUAGGCAGUGGAUCGGUGAUGGACUAGUGUGACAGAUGUGAUUCAUCAUGUAACAGCUAUAACACGGAGAGAUAUGUAACUAGCUCCCAUUCAUCAAUCUAAUAUAGGCAUGUAUUCCGUAUGUAGUCAUACAUGCUUAGGGAGAAGAACUUGCAUGACAUCUAUUGUCCAUCCCUCCCGUGGCAGCGGGGUCCUAAUGGAAACUACGGGAUAUUAAGGUUGUCCUUUUAAUAAAGAACCGGACCAACGCAUUAACACGCGGUGAAUACAUGAACUCCUCAUACUAUGGUCAUCUCCGGGAGUGGUUCCGGAUAUUGUCACUCCGGGGUUGCCGGGUCAUAACACAUAGUAGGUGACUUCAACUUGCAAGAUAGGAUCUAAAACACACAUAUAUUGGCGACAACAUAAUAGGUUCAGAUCUGAAAUCAUGGCACUCGGGCCCUAGUGACAAGCAUUAAGCAUAGCCAAGUAGUAGCAACAUCAAUCUAGAACAUAGUGGAUACUAGGGAUCAAUCCCCGUCAAGAACUAACUCGAUUACAUGAUAGAUCUCAUGCAACUCAUCACCAUCCAGCAAGCCUACGAUGAGAUUACUCACGAACGAUGAAGAGCAUCAUAGAAUUGUCAAUGGAGAAAGGUUGAUGAUGACGAUGGCGACGAUUUCCCCUCUCCGGAGCCCAAACGGACUCCAGAUCUGCCCUCCAGAUGAAGAACACGAUGUGGUGGCGCCUCCGUAUCGCAAAACGCGAUGAAACUUUCUCUCUGAGUUUUUUCCAGGCGAAACAGAAGAUAUAGAGCUGAGAUUGGGGGAGGUGGUGCCACGUGGGACCCACAAGCCUGCAUGACGCGGCCAUAGGGCGUGGUCGCGGCCUGUGGGCUUGUGGCCCACUGGCACGCCCCCUCACGUGGAUCUUUGCGCAGGUAUUUUUCUUUUAUUCCAGAAAAAAUCUCUGUAAAUUUUCGAGACGUUCCGGGAACUUUUAUUUCUGCACAAAAACAACACCAUGGCAAUUCUGCUAAAAACAACGUCAGUCCAGGUUAGUUCUAUUCAAAUCAUGCAAAUUAGAGUCCAAAACAAGGGCAAAAGAGUUUGGAAAAGUAGAUACGAUGGAGACGUAUUAGGGCACAAGCAAAUGUUCUACAGAAUUCCACCUUGGUGGCUCCGUAUAUCGAGACACACAUGGAUAUUGUACGCUCCAAGAACCCGGAGUAGUCUGAGCCCUUGAUCAAACGAACACACAUGGCAUCAUUCAGCGGUUGGUUGCAAACAUGUCUCAUGUAUAUAUGACGAUGGUGUUGGAGAUGAGCUGUACUUGCUGGCCAACUCAACAUCUUCUACUAUAUUGACUUUCAAAGGGUACGAGAUAAAUGGAAAUACAUUUUGCACGAUCGUCCAAGAUAAAAACAGCACCAACCAAAACAGCGGUUUCCGCUUUGAUGCAGCAAACACCAAUAGGCCAAAGGGCACAUAUUAUGGUUACAUAGAGGAGAUAUGGGAUCUUGACUAUGGACGUGAUUUGUAGGUCCCUUUUUUUCGGUGCAAAUGGGUCAAUCUGAAAGGAGGCGGGGUAAAGGAAUAACUGCGGUACGGAAUGACAACGGUGGAUCUCAACAAUCUUGGGUGCACAAAUGAACCAUUCGUCCUAGCCAAUGCUGUGGCGCAUGUUUUCUAUGUGAAGGACAUGUCUACCAAGCCAAGAAAAAGAAAAGGUGAGAAAGCGAAUACAUCAUACGAUGAGCCAAAUCGCCACAUAGUUCUUUUAGGGAAAAUGAACAUCAUGGGGGUGGAGGACACACUACAGGGGAAAAACCUUAUACACAGAACAUUAGAAGUAGUGAUGGAUAUAAGAGGGCGCUACUGCUAUAUAUGAGUAGCACACGUCUACUAAAGUCGCUACUGCUAAAUAUUUAGCAGUAACGCUGUUUUAAGAAACAUGCUACUACUAAUAUUACCCCACCAUUUCUGAUAGGCUAGAUUUAGUAUUAGCACGCCCCAGAUACCGACGCUACUGUUAGUAGAAUAGUAGUAGCGCAUGUUUCUGACCCGCGCUACUGCCAAGUGGGGCAUUCACUUAUCCACUUUGUCGCCCCCGCACGCCCUCUCUCUCACCCUCUCCCUAUCUCCCUCUUCACACUCCGCACCCCCGCCGCCACCCCUUCCUCCCUCCCUCUCCACUCUGCCCGCCGCCCCGCCCCUCACUCCCUCCCUCUCCCCCUUCUCACUCUCUCCCUCUCGNUCUUGCUAGGAUUCUUGCUAGGGACUAGCUGAUGCCCCGAACAUUGUUGCGUAAAUAUUUUCAAUAUAUAUAUAUAUUGUGUUUUAUUAUUGUAUAUUUUGUGUCAUACUUGCAUAUUGAGAAAAAUAGGUAGUGGGCGCUAGCAAAAUUCAAAUGAGAUGAUUGUUGUACAAAUGAUAACUAGAAAGUAAAACAAUAAAUAAUAAGAAAAUUUUCUCAUAGGAAUUUGUCUCGACGUCGAUGAUGUCCGGCCUGCAUCCUCGUCAUCGGGUGGUCAGCAAGAGCGUGCUUGAUAGGCGCCAUGUCAAGCACUGGGCUCCGCCAGGCUGGCACUAGGAGGUGCUAACUUUCAGGGCGCGCACUGCUACUGAAAUAAAAGACCUUCCAACGGCGCCAAAAACAAGCGUGCUGACAGGAGACUAUUCUUGUCUUGAUACUCCUCAGCAACGGCACCAAGAAUCCUUCUGCUAUGGUUACGCCUUUAGGGACUUCCUUGGCAAAUAUGCAAAGGAUUCCCCCAUGGCCUUGGAGCCUUGCGUUGGUGUUCCCUCCAAGCGGAAAGGGUGAUGUAGCACAGUGGCGGUAAGUAUUUCCCUCAGUUUUGAGAACCAAGGUAUCAAACUAGCGAAGGAAUAUCACAAGUACCUGCACAAACACAAAGAGCUUGCACCCAACGCUAUGAAGGGGUUGUAAAUCCCUUAUAGAUUGUUUGCCAAGUGAGAACUGAAAGCAACAAAGUAACAAAGCAAAGUAAAAGCGAAAGUGGAAAUGAUAGGUGUGAAUAGACCCGGGGGCCGUAGUGUUCACUAGUGGCUUCUCUCAUGAAAGCAAGUAGACGGUGGGUGAACGAAUUACUGUCGAGCAAUUGAUAGAACCGCGCAAAGUCAUGACGUUAUCUAUGGCAAUGGUUAUAUCUAUAGGCAUCACGUCCAAAACAAGUAAACUGAUACUUUCUGCAUCUACUACUAUUACUCCACACGUUGACCGCUAUCCAGCAUGCAUCUAGUGUAUUAAGUCCGAAAGAACAGAGUAACGCCUUAAGCAAGAUGACAUGAUGUAGAUGGACAAUCUCAUAUCUACGAUAAAAGCCCAUCUUGUUACCCUUGAUGGCAACAACACGAUUCGUGCCUUGCUGCCCCUUCUGUCACAGGGAAAGGACACCACACGGUAUGAACCCAAAACCAAGCACUUAUUCCAUUGCAAGAAUCAUAGAUCUAGUUGGCCAAACAAAACCCAAGACUCUGAGAGACUUACAAGGAUAUCAAAUCAUGCAUAUAAGAAAUCGACAAAGACUCAAAUAUAUAUCAUAGAUAAUCUGAUCACAAAUCCACAAUUCAUCGGAUCUCGACAAACACACAGCCAAAGAGGAUUACAUCAGAUAGAUCUCCAUGAAGAUCAUGGAGAACUUUGUAUUGAAGAUCCAAGAGAGAGAAGAAGCCAUCUAGCUACUAACUACGGACCCAUAGGUCUGAAGUGAACUACUCACGAGUCAUUGGAGGGGCGAUGAUGUUGAUGAAGAAGCCCUCCAACUCCAAAGUCCCCUCCGGCAGGGUGUUGGGAAGGGUCUCCAGAUGAGAUCUCGCGGAAACGGAAGCUUGCGGUGGCGGAAAAGUGUUUUCGUGGAUGCCCUGAUUUUUUCUGGAUUUUAGGGAAUUUAUAGGCCAAAGAACUAGGGCAGGGGAGCGCUAGGGGGUCAAAAGCUUGGUUGCCGCGGCCUCCCCCCUAGCUGCGGCAACAGGGCUUGUGGGCCCCGUGUGGGCCCACUUUCUUGGCCCUCAAGCCUCCUGAGCUUCUUCUGUUUUGGAAAAAAUAUUUCGGGGAUUUUAUUCCGUUUGCACUCCGUUCCAAAAUCAGAUCUGAAAAGAGUCAAAAAUACAGAAAAACAGGAGAUGGCGCUUGUCACUGAAUUAAUAAGUUAGUCCCAAAAAAGAUAUAAAAGGUAAACAAAACAUCCAAAGUUGACAAGAUAAGAGCGUGAAACCAUCAAAAAUUAUAGAUACGUUUGAGACGUAUCAAGCAUCCCCAAGCUUAACUCCUGCUCGUCCUCGAGUAGGGAAGUGAUAAAGAAUGAAUUUUUGAUGCUUUCAUGCUACCUAGCAUAGAUGUCCUUUGUAACUCCUCUUAUAUGACAUGAAUGUUCGGAUCCAUUAGAUUCAAAACAAUAGUUUGCUAUUGACGUGGAAACAAUAAUACUCCAAGCAAACUAGCAAGGUAAUUAUGAAUUUCAAAAUAACAAGGCCAAAAGAAAGUUAUCCCUACAAAAUCAUAUAGUCUGGCUAUGCUCUAUCAUCAUUGCACAGCGAAUUUAAAUCAUGCACAACCCCGGUAUUGGCCAAGUAAUUGUUUUCACACCUUUACUUUCUCAAACCUUUUCAACUCUCACGCAAUACAUGAGCGUGAGCCAUGGUUUUAGCACUAUAAGUAGUGUGGAGUGUGGUGGAGGUUGCAAGACAAACAAGGAGAAGAUGGUCACAUUAACUAGGCAUAUCAAUGAGCUGUGGAGAUGCUCAUCAAUAGAUAUCAAUGUGAAUGAGUAGGGAUUGCCAUAAAAAUGAUGCACUAGAGCUAAGAGUAUGUGAAAGCUCUUAAAGAAAACUAGUGGGUGUGCAUCCAACUUGCUUGCUCACGAAGACCUAAGGCAAAUUUGAGGAAGCCUAUCAUUGGAAUAUACAAGCCAAGUUAUAUAAUGAAAAUUUCCCACUAGCUAUAUGGUAGUGACAAAACCAGAGACUCUCAAUCAUGAAGAUCAUGGUGCUUAAUAUGCACAAGUGUGAAAAGAUAGUAGCAUUGUCCCUUCUCUCUUUUUCUCUCAUUUUUUGUGGGCUCUUUGGCCUCUUUUUUUUGGCUGGCAUAUUUGGCCUCUUUUAUUUCCUCACAUGGGACAAUGCUCCAUCAAUGAUGAUCAUCACACUUACAACUCAAAACUUAGAGCAAUAAUGACUCAAUAUGGAAUGCCUUCGGUAGUGUACCGUGACAAUGAUCUAGCAUGGCAUGGACAUUAAUAGAAACAUCAUGCUAGCUAUCUUACGAUCAUGCAAUGGCAAUGUAGACGUGGUGGCACAUGUCAUAAUGGUAGUUGCAUGGCAAUAUAUCUCGGAAUGGCUUUGAAAAAGCCAUAGUAGGUAGGUAUGGUGGCUGUUUUGAGGGAGGCUAAUGGUUGGUUUUGUGCACCGGCGAAAGUUGCACGACACUAAAGAAGAUAGUGAUGGUGGAAGGUGAAAGUGCAUCUAAACCAUGGACUGAACAUUAGUCAUGAAUAACUCAUAUACUUGUUGCAAAAUUUUAUUAGUAAUCGAAACAAAGCAUUCAACGCAUACUCCUAGGGGAAGGGUUGGUACGUAUAAACCAUCGCGCGAUCCCGACCGCCACACAAAGGGUGACAAUCAAUAGACUAAUCAUGCUCAGACUUCAUCACAUAGCGGUUCACCAUACGUGCAUGCUACGGGAAUCACUAACUUCAACACAAGUAUUUCUAGAUCCACAACACCUUACUAAUAUAACUUCAAUACUACCAUAACCACAACUCAAAACUAGUUGAGAUGAAUCAAACUUCUCUAACUAUUCAAUGCACAUGAAGGUGGAAGUUUUCAUAUCCUUUUGGAUAACUACCCCUUUUGAGACUACUUUCAUAGCAUAGAUCAACUACCAAGCCACGCACCGCCGUGCUCUAAAAUAUAUAAGUGAAGCACAUAGAGCAAAAGCAACUAGCUCAAAAGAUAUAAGUGAAGCACAUGUGAGCUGGAUUGUCUACCAAAGGAUAUAAGUGAAGCUCGACAAAAUCACGGUGAGUGCAUGUCUCUCUCUCUAGGUGUGCAGCAAGGAUGAUUGUGACACAACAAAAAUAAAAUACUCCUACUUUACAAGACGCUCCAAGCAAAACACAUGAUAUGUGGUGAAUAAAAAUAUAGCCCCAAGUAAUGUUACCGAUGGAUUGAAGACGAAAGAGGGGAUGCCUUCCCGGGGCAUCCCCAAGCUUAGGCUUUUACGACAUCCUUGAAUAAUCUUGGGGUGCCUUGCCCAAGCUUGAGCACUUGCCACUCUUUAUCUUUUUGUCCAUAAGAACUUCACCCAAAACUUGAAAACUUCACAACACGAAACUUAAAGAGAAACUCGUGAUAACAUUAGUAUAAGAAAGCAAACCACCACUUCCUUAGGUACUGUAGCAAACUUAAAUUCUACUUAUGUUAAUGUUGGGUUACUGUAUUUUCAAUCUUCCAUGGCUAAUACCCCCCGAUACUAUCCAUAGUUUCAUCAAAAUAAGCAACCAACACAACAAAAACAGAAUCUAUUAACAGCAGACCAGUCUGUAGCAAUCUGUAUACUUCGUAUACUUUUGGUACCUCAAAAUUUUUGAAACAUUUCGACAGUCUGAAUAAUUUUUGUAGCAAUCAGCAGCAAAAAUAAUCAACUCAAAAGCUCUUACAGAAAAAAAAUGAAAAUUAUUUUCGUGAGCAGAAAGUUUCUGUCUUUUCCAGCAUGACCAAACGAUCAUCCCCAAGACUAAUAAUAACGGUUUUGCUUGGCACAAACGCAAAAAUAAACACAAAAAACACAAUCAUAACAGAAUUAUGAAAGUGUGGAAAACAGAAAACAGAAAGAAAAAGGAUAGAUUCGUUGGGUUGCCUCCCAACGAGCGCUAUUGUUUAACGCCCUUAGCUAGGCAUAAGGUGAUGGAAUCACGUAUAGUCAUCCUUGGUGCUCAAACCAUAAGUAGUGUGAUCAUUUGUCAUCUUAAGAUCUUCAUCUUUAUUGGAUGACUCACCACUAGCUUUAGGAACAAAAACAGACUUGACGGUCUUUUUGAGAGUGAGAUUUGGAGUAUUUUGCACAGUGGCAAAAGCGGAACCCAAGUUGGUUAUGACAUCCUCUAGUUUGCCAAUUCUAGAGGAAUCAUUAACUACAGGCUCCUUCUCCCUUAAAUUUUUCAAAACAUUUCCCACUUUGGAUCCGUAGUGAGUAAUUUGAUUGUGGAUCUUUCUAUCCAAACCCUCGAUAAGUUUAACUGUGGCAAUUUUGCUUUCAAUAGAGUGAAGCCUUUGCAUCACGUAUUCCAAGGUUAAGGUAGUUCCAUUAACCAUGAGCGGGGGUGAGCCUACCAAAUUCAUGAUAGCUCCAUAGGAGUCAACGGUAUGGCUCCCCAAAAAAUUCCCGCCUACGAUGGUAUCAAGAAUAUACCUAUUCCAAGGAGAGAUUCCAACAUAAAAACUGCGAAGAAGGAUGAUAGUGGAUUGCUUACGAGUGGAUCUACUUUGAGCAUUGCAAAUCCUGUACCAAGCAUCCUUUAAAUUUUCUUCCUCAUUCUGCCUGAAAUUAAGAACUUCGUUCUCAGGGGUAUUGUUUGGAGUAGUGGGUCUAGCCAUUGAUGGACUAUCACACACAAGAACGAGCAGGAAGAAAGCGAGUGAAGCGGGCCAAAGAGAACGACAAAGGAAUACAACAAAAAGGCAAAAGGCAAAGGAAAAAGGCGAAGGAAAAAGGCAAAUGAAAAUGACAAAUGUGAAGUGGGGGAGAGGAAAACGAGAGACAACUAGCAAAAAAGGUAAAUGCAAGAGAUGAGUUUGUGAGACCUACUUGGAUAGAUCUCUCCUUCCCCGGCAACGGCGCCAGAAAUACUUCUGCUACUGCAACAAAAGACCUUCCAACAGCGCCAGAAACAAGCGUGCUGACAUGAGAUUAUUCUUGUAUUGAUACUCCUCAGCAACGGCACCAGGAAUCCUUCUGCUACGUCUACGCCUUUAGGGACUUCCUUGGCAAAUAUGCAAAGGAUUCCCCCGUGGCCUUGGAGCCUUGCGUUGGUGUUCCUUGAAGCGGAAAGGGUGAUGUAGCACAACGGCGGUAAGUAUUUCCCUAAGUUUUGAGAACCAAUGUAUCCAUGCAGCGAAGGAAUAUCACAAGUACCUGCACAAACACAAAGAGCUUGCACCCAAUGCUAUGAAGGGGUUGUCAAUCCCUUAUAGAUUGUUUGCCAAGUGAGAACUGAAAGCAACAAAGUUACAAAGCAAAGUAAAAGAGAAAUGGAAACAAUAGGUGUGAAUACACCCAGGGGCCGUAGUGUUCACUAAUGGCUUCCCUCAUGAAAGCAAGUAGACGGUGGGUGAACAAAUUAUUGUCGAGCAAUUGAUAGAACCGCGCAAACUCGUGACGUUACCUAUGGCAAUGAUUAUAUCUGUAGGCAUCACGUCCAAAACAAGUAGACCGAUACUUUCUACAUAUACUACUAUUACUCCACACGUCAACCGCUAUCCAGCAUGCAUCUAGUGUAUUAAGUCCAAAAGAAUAGAGUAACGCCUUAAGCAAGAUGACAUGAUGUAGAUGGACAAUCUCAUAUCUACGAUAAAAGCCCAUCUUGUUACCCUUGAUGGCAACAACACGAUGCGUGCCUUGCUGCCCCUUCUGUCACUGGGAAAGGUCACCACACGGUAUGAACCCAAAACCAAGCACUUCUCCCAUUGCAAGAAUCAUAGAUCUAGUUGGCCAAACAAAACCCAAGACUCGGAGAGACUUACAAGGAUAUCAAAUCAUGCAUAUAAGAAAUCAACAAAGACUCAAAUAUAUAUCAUAGAUAAUCUGAUCACAAAUCCACAAUUCGUCGGAACUCGACAAACACACCGCCAAAGAGGAUUACAUCAGAUAGAUCUCCAUGAAGAUCAUGGAGAACUUUGUAUUGAAGAUCCAAGAGAGAGAACAAGCCAUCUAGCUACUAACUACGAACCCGUAGGUCUGAAUUGAACUACUCACGAGUCAUUGGAGGGACGAUGAUGUUGAUGAAGAAGCCCUCCAACUCCUAAGUCCCCUCCGGCAGGGCACUGGGAAGGGUCUCCAGAUGAGAUCUCGCAGAAACGGAAGCUUGCGGCGGCGGAAAAGUGUUUUCGUGGAUUCCUUGAUUUUUUCUGGAUUUUUAGGGAAUUUAUAGGCCAAAGACCUAGGGCAGGGGAGCGCUAGGGGGGCCACAAGCUUGGUUGCCGCGGCCUCCCCCCUGGUCGCGGCAGCAGGGCUUGUGGGCCCCCUGUAGCCCACAUGCUUGGCCCUCAAGCCUCCCGAUAUUCUUCCGUUCUGGAAAAAAAUAUUUCGGGGAUUUUAUUCCGUUUGGACUCCGUUCCAAAAUCAGAUCUGAAAAGAGUCAAAAACAUAGAAAACACAGGAACUGGCGCUUGGCACUGAAUUAAUAAGUUAGUCCCAAAAAAGAUAUAAAAGGUAAACAAAACAUCCAAAGUUGACAAGAUAACAACGAGAAACCAUAAAAAAUAUAGAUGCGUUUGAGACGUAUCACACACCUUGGUGAGGAAUCCGUGUCUCGUCGUCGACCCGAAGCUUCUUUGGUGGCGGUCGCGUGGGCCACUAUUGGUGCCGAGGGAGCCAGCACCCACGGAGGUGGUACGUCGCCGUGUCAGGGAGGAGGACGAGCACGUCCGUCGCUAGAUGGCUGCGUUGGAUGCCAGGUUCUCCAAUACCUGGCACGUUCUUCAGGGAUAUCACCCGAGCUAUGAUCCGGUGAUGGUUCAUUAUCUUUGGGUUGCCACCGCCUGCACCAUGAGACGUCAACUGGAUUUGUAUUAGUGAUAUUAUAUGAUAAUAUUCGAGAUGUAUUAAUGAUAAUAUCGGUCAUCUUUCGGUUUGUCAUUGCUCCUUGUAUGACUUUCAUGUGUGUUCUUGAUAGAGGAAUCCCGACUGUUGUCGUGGGGCGCACUUCCUCCUUCUUCUCUUCUUCCGAUAUAUACCUUGGGAAAAUGCACAAGGAGAGGAGAGGAGAAGCGCCCAUCACCGAGGUCGAACUAUUAGUGUGAGAAAGUGUCCACCAACAUAUACACACCAUCAGAUAUGAGAGUUAUUUAAGGAAAGCCUCGACUAACCGAAAGAUAACCGAUAUUUAAUUAGGUCUAUUUGGACAUGUGUGUAUGUUAUUAAAAGAGAAAGAUGAUGAUGUGGUAGAGGUCAUAUAUUUGAUUAAAGUGGAUGCAUGCAAGUGACCUAGUUGAAUUAGAGGAAAAUAUGAUUUCAGAACUGACCCAAAUUAUACAUUUUACAUGCCAUUAGUGCAUAGGUUGAAGGCGGAUGACAUUUGUUGAAAUAUCUUGGUAAGAGUUUGCUAAUUAAGUACACUCUACUAUUGCAUAAAUGAUGUUGAUUACAUUGGUAACUAGGUUAUUAUUAUGUUCUUCAACAAAAACUGCCAAAUGAUGUACCGUCUCUAUUGAUGCACGACAAAGGUCAUAUGACAAUUAAAAGCCCAUUGAGGGCUCAGUUUGAUGCUCCAUACUCGACUGAGCGCAAAUAAAAAGGCUCCAAAUUGAAGCAUGGAGAGAAAUAAAUAAGGAUCGCAAGCCACAAGUGGAAGACCACUGGAUCUCUCUGCUUCAUCACGGAGACAUAUGUGUUAUUCUGUUUUAUGACAUUUUACCUAGGAGAGAGGAUUAGGUCCUAUGAGAGAGAAGUUUUUCUAGUUUAUAUUAACUUGGCAUGAUCAAUUAGAAUGAUGAUUAUUAUGAUGUUUUUUAGUUUUAGGAAAUUUUAACUUAGUAUGAUUAAGAUGUUGAUGCGUUGUUAAAUGAGUAAGAUGAUGAUGAGUUAUAUGUCAUAUAUUUUAUUAAACUGGAUGGAUGCAAGUGACCAAGUUGAAUUAGAGGAAAAUAUGAUGUUGCGAUAGGCAACAUCAUAUUUUCUUCUAAUUCAACAUGAUCACUUACAUCCAUCCACUUUAAUCUAAAUAUAGUUGCUAACACAAUAAUUAUUGAUGUUGUAUAUUAAUAUGUGUAACCGUGUGUAAAUACAACAUAUAUAUAUAAUAAAUAUGUGCGGCUAUGCUACUUCUCAAACAACAACACCAAAAAUUGACACGUUGACGGAGACUUGCUUGCGUCGGUUUUUCCCUUGAAGAGGAAAGGGUAAUGCAGCACACGAGCAGUAAGUAUUUCCCUCAGUUUGAGAACCAAGGUAUCAAUCCAGCAGGAGAAUCUCGUCAAGUCCAGAGUACCUGCACAAACACAAAGAGCUUGCACCCAACGCUAUAAAGGGGUUGUCAAUCCCUUCAAGAUUGAUUGCAAAGUGAGAUCUGAAGGCGGAAAGUGCAACGAAGUAAAAGUGUAAGGCUGAAAAUAUGGUGUGGAGUAGACCCGGGGGCCAUAGUGUUCACUAGAGGCUUCUCUCAAAUUAGCAAAUAUUACGGUGGGUGAACAAAUUACUGUCGAGCAAUUGAUAGAACCGCGCAAAGUCAUGACGAUAUCUAAGGCAAUGAUCAUACAUAUAGGCAUCACGUCUGAGACAAGUGGACCGAUACUAUCUGCAUCUACUACUAUUACUCCACACAUCGACCGCUAUCCAGCAUGCAUCUAGUGUAUUGAGUUGAUGACGAACAGAGUAACGCCUUAAGCAAGAUGACAUGAUGUAGAGGGAUAAUCUCAAACCAAUGAUGAAAACCCCAUCUUUUUACCCUUGAUGGCAACAACACGAUGCGUGCCUCGCUACCCCUUCUGUCACUGGGUGAGGUCACUGCACGGUAUGAACCCAAAACCAAGCACUUCUCCCAUUGCAAGAAUCAUAGAUCUAGUUGGCCAGACAAAACCCACAACUCGAAGAGAAUUACAAUAUGGGGACCCGACUUACUAGUCGAGAAUCGCCGUGCUGAGGGAUCCCACAGAGCAAUGCUCACCGAACACAGAUACUGAAUAAAGAGUCUUACAUCCAAGUACUGAUUAUUACAAUACGUGACCGAAGGGUAAAGUUCACAAGAUAGGGCCUAAGGCCAAAUCACACGGAUACACUAAUAGCGGAAAACAUAGGGCUAAGCAGGUGCCCAUGCCAUCAAGCCUACACCGACAUGCAUUCUGACUCGGAAGCAUCCUAGUUCGCAGGGGUGUCGCCGAAGACGUACUAAUCUCCAAACUCCGGUCCUUCCAUGUCUGGUCAAUAACAUAACCAGUGGCAAGCCAAUGAGUACUUUGAAUGUACUCGCAAACAGCCCAUGAUAUGAACAUUGAAAGUGAAGGAUAACAAUAUCAUGCAUUUCUAGUAUAACUCAUCUGGGUAGAAUGAUCAUGAAUAUGCAUCAAGUUAAAGAAUUACUCUUGAAGAACAGGUUACAGAUACCACAUAUCUGCUAAGGGAUGAACCAUCCGAGUUCACCCUAUAUGCCAAGUCAUCGAACUUGGUCAUAUCCUCAAUGUAUCAGUUGAGGGCUAAACCAUCCGGAUUCACCCUAUAUGCCAAGUCACCAAACUUGGUCAUAUUGUUAUUACUUUUAUAACAUCACCUUUUUAACACCACACACACUCACUCACGCACACUUGGUUUAUGCGGAAAUAUCAGGACGUAGUUUAAGCAGGAUUACCCAACUGUCCUUGACUGUGGACACGACUAUUCGAAUAGUUUACACUCUGCAGAGGUAGUACGCUGGACCCACGAGAUCCGGGAAACUUCCGUGUUAUCCACGACUCGCGGUAUAUCACAUACCCGAGGUAAGUACCCGAUCAAUGACUUUCCCCUGACGAAACUAGACAAAGAGGUCCACACGAUUGGUACCCAGCCCACAUGUCGUACGUCUUACGAGCACCAACUCUGGACCGUAUCGACCAUGCGGGGACCAACGGUGUGAUUGGAACUCAUAAAAAUGGCAUAGUCGUCCUACCCGGCAUGACCCCAUCACGAGAGUGACUACAAUCACUCCCGCCACUAGUAAUGUGGCUCUUUGCUAGCACCGACCAGAGUAAUUAACAUAGCCCCGACCCAUAAGGGGUAACAUGGUCGUACUGGUAAGGUUGGGACGGUCGGCACAUCAUAAAUCUAAUCCCAUUUCCGAAACCUUACUCACACAAAUACCGGGUGCAUCACUUCACCAAAGUGACCACCAACUCAUCAUCACCCUCGGGCAUUAGUGGCACCCGACGGAGUUUUCAUAAACUCUUGUUUUGUGACAAAAACAUGCUCACGAUGAUACUACUUCUACCUUUACUUGUUGAUACGUCUCCAUCGUAUCUACUUUUCCAAACUCUUUUGCCCUUGUUUUGGACUCUAAUUUGCAUGAUUUGAAUGGAACUAACGUGGACUGACCCUGUUUUCAGCAGAAUUGCCUUGGUGUUAUUUUUGUGCAGAAAUCAAAGUUCUCCAAACGUCCUGAAAAUUUACGGGGAGCAGUUUUGGAAAAUAAGAAAAACAUUUGCGCCAAGUUCCACCUCAGGGGGUGGGCCAGUGGGCCACAAGCCCUUGCUCCGCCACCACCCCCUAGUGGCGGUGGGCAGGCUUGUGGGGCCCACACGGCUCUGCCGCCCCCAAUCUCAGGUCUAUAAGAUCCCUUUCGUCCCAGAAAAAUUAAAAAGAGAAGUUUUCGUCGCGUUUUCGAUACGGAGGCGCCGCCAGCACCUGUUCUUCAUCUGGAGGGUAGAUCUGGAGUCCGUCUUGGGCUCUGGAGAGGGGAAAUCGUCGCCAUCGUCAUCAUCAACCUUCUUCCCUCUCCAACUCCAUGAAGCUAUUCGUCGUUCGUGAGUAAUCUAUUUGUAGGCUCGCUGGGCGGUGAUGAGUAGGAUGAGAUCUAUCAUGUAAUCGAGUUAGUUUUGAUGGGGAUUGAUCCCUAGUAUCCACUAUGUUCUGAGUUUGAUGUUGCUACUACUUUGCCAUGCUUAAUGCUUGUCACUAGGGCCUGAGUGGCAUGAUUUCAGAUCUGAAAUUAUUAUGUUGUCACCAAUAUAUGUGUGUUUUAGAUCCGAUCUUGCAAGUUGUAGUUACCUACUAUGUGUUAUGAUCCGGCAACCCCGGAGUGACAAUAACCGGAACCACUCCCGGUGAUGACGAUAGUUUGAGGAUUUCAUGUGUUCACCAAGUGCUAAUGUGUUUAUCCAGUUCUUUAUUAAAAGGAGAACCUUAAUAUCCCGUAGUUUCCUUUUGGACCCCGCUGCCACGGGAGGGAUGGACAAUAGAUGUCAUGCAAGUUCUUUUCCCUAAGCAUGUAUGACGACACACGGAAUGCAUGCCUACAUCACAUUGACGAACGGGAGCUUGCCACAUAUCUCUCCGUGUUAUAGCUGUUGCAUGAUGAAUAUCAUCCAAACAAAUCACCGACCCAUAGCCUACGAGUUUGUCCUACUGCUGUUACUUGUCUUGCUCUGCUGCUGCUGCUACUACUGUUGCUACUGCUGUUACUUGUUUUGCUCUACUGCUGCUACUACUGUUGCUACUUCUGUUACUUGUUUUGCUUUGCUGCUUCUACUACUGUUGCUAUUACUAUCGCUUGCUACUAUUGCUACUUGCUACUGCUGUCACUACUGAUGUUCCUUGCAACUGCUGUUACUCGUUACACUGCUACUACCUGCUACAAUUUUGGUUCGCUGGUUGUUGACGGGAACUGACAACUUCCGUCAACGAGGCAACUUGGCGCCAUUGAUACAAUCGUUAGGAAUAGUCUGCCGUCAACAGAUCGUUUCUGACAUCGUUGUUAUCAUACUACUUUGCUGUUACUACUUUGCUUGCAGAUACUAAUCUUUCAGGUGUGGUUGGAUCUGACAAAUUCAGCUGCGAAUACUCGAGAGUAUUCUCUCACCUCCUGUCUGGCUUACCAACAAAUUUGGGUCGAAUACUCUACCCUCGAAAACUGCUUCGAACCCACGCGCUGGUGGGAUGUCAACAACAUUCUUCUAGUUUCAUUACUGGGGAGUGCUAUCAGCAUUCUUCUGGUGCCGUUGCAAGGCAAGGUUUGUUGUCAUAAGCAUUCGUCUAGCCAUCGCCAGAGAUUGCAAUCACUUGUCAACAUGGUAUUAGCAUCACCCUAAGGGGUAGAGUCAAGCUCAAUGCAAAUACUCCGGAGGAGCCUUCAGUAAAAUCAUAUCAAAUGAUUACUGGCACUUAUGAUCACAUGCAACGGAAAUACUUGCUUUCUAUCAUGAAAAGUAACAUAUGCUCCGUCAUGGUCAAAGGGCUGAUUGCCUUGGUCACCUAAGUAUCAGGGGUCUUUGAGGUCUUCCGCUCCGAUUCCCUCGUCACACGGGUUUUCUACCGUUGAUAAAACCACAAAUAAGAAAUAGCUCACACAGAAACAAUCCACAAAGUCAUUUUAAAAAUGUUCCCUAUUUCUGAUAAAUCUAAGAUAUCAUUUUAAAAAUAUUUGCCAUAAUUUUCCUUGAAGGAAUAUUUUUAAAAACAACCAAGCAGAAGCAAAACUAUUCCAUUUAGUCCUUUUUAUAUUGCAAAAUAGAAUAGUUGCUGGAAAAAUUCAUCUAAGCAUAUCAUUAAAUACUACACAUUUUUAGAAAAAUAACAGUUGAAGAAUUAUUUUUUGACACUGGUUAAAUGUUUUUAUAAAAAUCAUAGAAAUCUAGUUUUAAAAAUAAAAGAAAAACAGGCCAACUCCUGGCCUGGCUCGGCCCAGAGCUGGGCUGGCCCAUGGCCAGCCGACAGCCUGCCCAGGCGCGCGCGCCGUCAGGUUUCAACCUGAAGCGCGGGGCCCUGCGAUCAGCGGCCGAGGCCAGCGCGGGGCAGGAGGCUGGGCCACCGACAGGUGGGGCACACCUGUCGGGGUCGUCUCCUACCUCCAGCCAGAGAGGAGGAGGAGGACGCCGACGAGGCUGUCGACGUGCUCACGCCCUAAGGAACACGGGAAUGGGUUCGCCCGACCGUCGCCUACCUGCAGGUGGUCGAAACAACGACGGGGAUGCAGUGGUUCGCCGGCGACGAGGAGGCCGUGGCGGAGGGGUUUCAGGAAGUGGUCGAGGGGAUGGCUAGAGAUGCGGAAAAGCUCGGGCGAGUUGGGGGAAAUAUUCCUUGGGUCAAGGGGGUCAGUUUGGUGGGUCGAGGGGCACAUGAGCCGUCGUGUAGCCGAAGAUCGACCAGAGCUCCGAGGCGGAGGGGCCUCAGUCGAUCUCGAGCACCGGGGCUGUGUUGGGUUGCUGGGGUGGCUAGGGAGGUGCUAGUGGAUGCGGCGAAGCUAUCUGAAGGGUGCUGGAGCGAGGGGGAGGGCUAUUUAUAGGCCCACGACGGUGAGAAGACUCGGGAGCGCCGGUGACUCACCAAGGUGCGCAUGGGGGUGCAGAGAGAUGUUGGUGUUGAAACCACGGUCUUCGGACGUGGUAUUGGACUGCCCGAACCAUCUGCUGCGGAUAGAGAGAGAGAGGAGAGCUGCAUUCAUGGCCGCGCGAGCUUGGCCGAAUCUGGAGCGCGCGGGCACGCGUCGCGCGAGCUCUUGCGCGAGAGAGUAGGGUCCCUGAGGCUGGCCCGACGCAGAGGAGCUGUCGGGGAGGAGGUUGGACAUCUCGGGGGAGGCUGGAACUAGCCGAGGGCGUCGCCCCCACCUCGGGGACUCCCUGUAGCGCGCCCAAAGCGCAGUUUUGGCAUGCCAUGGCAUGCUGGUGCGCUCUGGGCCACUUUGGACGUGUCUAGCAUGUCCUGGCACUUGCUGGGGGUGUGGCUAGUCAUUUGGUUUUAGUGGGAGCUUCGGCUGGUCAAAGAAAUACUGGUGUUUUCAUUCAUGAACUGAGGUUUAAAUUGGGGUUUUUGGCCUUUCCACUUUGAACCAGUGAGGAACCAGUUGACUGGGGUUAGCUACUGGUGCUAGCUACUUAAUCUAAGAGUUUGAAGCAAAGGAGUUUGGUUUAGCUGUGGCUAAGGUGGCUUUUUUCUCUCUGUCAGAAGGUGUUCGACAGUGGUCACAGGGGGUUGCACCCCACCAGUGGUGUUGAGACUUAACAGGUUUGGUUUUGGGGGUAAACCAUGGAGUUCCACCAAAUUUGAGCUCCAAAGGAUAAGUUUAGCUUUGUAAACUUGAAAUCACUUCAAUAUGACCAGAUCUGUUCCUUCCAAAGGGAGUGUGGGCAAACUAAGUCUCACAAAUCCCAAUUUUGGUGUAGAACCCUCAUUUGAGGUAUUAGGCACUCCUGCAAAGUUUUAGCCUCAUUGGACGAACUUCGCUAUGUAGAGUUGCACUAACUUGAUUCUGGACAGACAGGGUUUUUGGGUUAUUUGGGGUCCUUAUCCACCUUUGAUCAAGGUGAAACUUUAUGUGUACACAAAACAAGGCUUAGGGACACUAUUGGAAUUUUCUAGGAAUUUAUUGAGAAUAUUUCCUAUCUCAAAAUGCCAAAACAAACAGAAAUAGCUUUUGUAGUUUUAAUCAAUAAAUAUAAUAUAAAAUUGGGUUUAAAAUCCUAUGUAUGGAAAAUAUAUGUCCUUGUGAUCAUCUCUAAAUUUAAUCAGAUUUUUCUAAAGCAGAAAAGUAUUUUUCCAUGUUGGAAUACCAAUUCUGACCUUAGAAAUGGACAGGUUAUUUAAUUAGGGAAAUACUCACAAAAAUAAUUAUUUUUGUGGUUUUGAAGUAUGAAGAUCGGUAAAAAUCAGAUUACCAAAUAUGAGUAAGGGUAUUGAUUGCUAUCAAGGACAUGAAGUGCAACUCAAGGUGGUUUUACUUUGGUUAUCAAGGGUUUUUGAAAAUCAGUAAAAUACCAAAAGAAAUUUAGGGUUUUGAAACCUCACAUGAUCAAGCAUACAAGCACACAAUGUCAAUCAUGGCACUCACAACAUUAGUCUUGAAAAAGUUUUAACAAGCUCAGAAUUUUACAACACAGACACGUGAUAGCAAAACAGGGUGUGACAUACAAGGAUAUGAAAUCAUGCAUAAGAGAGAUCAGAAGAAACUCAAAUAAGAUUCAUAGAUAAUCUGAUCAUAAAUCCACAAUUCAUCGGAUCUCGACAAACACACCGCAAAAGAAGAUUACAUAGGAUAGAUCUCCAUGAAGAUCAUGGAGAACUUUGUAUUGAAGAUCCAAGAGAGAGAAGAAGCCAUCUAGCUACUAGCUAUGGACCCAUAGGUCUAUGGUGAGCUACUCACGCAUCAUCGGAGAGGUCAUGGUGUUGAUGAAGAAGCCCUCCGUGUCCGAAUCCCCCAUCCGGCAGGGCACCAGAACGUGCCCCACAUGGGAUCUUGUGGAGACAGAACCUUGCGGCGGUGGAAAAGUACUUUCAAUGAUCUCCUGAUUUUUCUAGGAUUUUAGGGAAUUUAUAGGCGAAAGUCCUAGGGAAGAGGUGGCUGAUACGUCUCCAACGUAUCUAUAAUUUUUGAUGGUUUCAUGCUAUUAUCUUGUCAAACUUUGGAUGUUUUGUAUGCCUUUUAUAUAUUUUUUGGGACUAACUUAUUAACUCAGUGCCAAGUGUCAGUUCCUGUUUUUUCCAUGUUUUUGACCCCUUUCAGAGGAGAUUUCGAAACGGAGUCCAAACGGAAGAAAGUCCCCGAAAAGAUUUUUUUUUGGAGGGGGGGGGGGGCUGAAGAAGAUCGGGAAGCUUGUGAGCCAAGGCAGGGGAGCCUCAGGGGGGAGGCCAUGCCAUCCAGGCUUGUGGGCCACCUGGACGCCCUUUGCCCUAGGUCUUUCGCUUAUAUAUUCCCAUAAAUUCCAAAAAAACAGGAGAUCAUCGAAAGUACUUUUCCGCCGCCGCAAGCUUCUGUCUCCGCAAGAUCCCAUCUAGGGCACGUUCUGGUGCCCUGUCGGAGGGGAGAUUCGGAUACGGAGGGCUUCUUCAUGAACACCAUGACCUCUCUGAUGAUGCAUGAGUAGUUAACCAUAGACCUACGGGUCCAUCGCUAGUAACUAGAUGGAUUCUUCUCUCUCUUGGAUCUUCAAUACAAAGUUCUCCAUGAUCUUCAGGGAGAUCUAUCCGAUGUAAUCUUCUUUUGCAGUGUGUUUGUUGAGAUCCGAUGGAUUGUGGAUUUAUGAUCAGAUUAUCUAUGAAUCUUAUUUGAGUUUCUUCUGAUCUUUCUUAUGCAUGAUUUCAUAUCCUUGUAAAUCUCUUCGAGUUGUGGGUUUUGUCUGGCCAACUAGAUCUAUGAUUCUUGCAAUGGGAGAAGUGCUUGGUUUUGGGUUCAUACUGUGCGGUGACCUCACCUAGUGACAGAAAGGGUAGCAAGGCAAGCAUCCUGUUGUUGCCAUCAAGGGUAAAAAGAUGGGGUUUUCAUCAUUGGUUUGUGAUUAUCCCUCUACAGCAUUUCUUAUUGCUUAAAGCGUUACUCUGUUCGUCAUCAACUCAAUAUACUAGAUGCAUGCUGGAUAGCGGUCGAUGUGUGGAGUAAUAGUAGUAGAUGCAGAAAGUAUCGGUCUACUUGUCUCGGACGUGAUGCAUAUAUGUAUCAUUGUCGUAGAUGUCGUCAUGACGUUGCGCGGUUCUAUCAAUUGCUCGAUAGUAAUUUGUUCACCCACCGUAAUACUUGCUAUUUGGAGAGAAGCCUCGAGUGAACACUAUGGCCCCCAGGGUCUACUCCACACCAUAUUUUCAGCCUUACACUUUUUACUACAUUGCACUUUCCGCCUUCAGAUCUCACUUUGCAAACAAUCUUGAAGGGAUUGACAACCCCUUUGAAGCGUUGGGCGCAAGUUUUUUGUGUUUGCGCAGGUACUCUGGACUUGACGAGACCCUCCUUGUGGAUCAAUACCUUGGUUCUCAAACUGAGGGAAAUACUUACUGCUCCUCUGCUGCAUCACCCUUUCCUCUUCGAGGGAAAAAAAUGCAAGCCCAGCCUCCGUCAACGUGUCAAUUUCUAGCGCUGUUGUCUGUGGGAUAGCAGUGGCCGAGUGAACCCACAAGCCUGGGAGGCGCGGGCUCCCCUGGCUGCGGCUAGGGGGCUUGUGGGGUCCCUGCAGGCCCCCUCCCCCGAUUCUGAGGCUUCCCGAUCUUCUUCUGUUUCGGAAAAAAUCUUUUUGGCAGUUUCAUUCCAUUUGGACUCCGUUUAAUAUCCUCCUCUGAAAGGGGUCAUAAACAUGGAAAAACAGGAAUUGGCACUUGGCACUGAGUUAAUAAGUUAGUCCCAAAAAAUAUAUAAAAGGCAUGCAAAACAUCCAAAUUUGACAAGAUAAUAGCAUGAAACCAUAAAAAAUUAUAGAUACGUGGGAGACGUAUCAAGCAUCCCCAAGCGUAACUCCUGCUCGUCCUCGAGUAGGGAAGUGAUAAAGAAUGAAUUUUUGAUGUGGAAUGCUACUUAGCAUAGUUGUUCUUUGCAACUUCUUUCAUGUGACAUGAGUGUUCAGAUUCGUGAGAUUCAAAACAAUAGUUUUCUAUUGACAUGAAAACAAUAAUACUUCAAGCAAACUAGCAAGGUAAUUAUGAACUUUCAAAAUAACAAGGCCAAGGAAAGUUAUCCCUACAAAAUCAUAUAGUCUGGCUAUGCUCCGUUAUCCUCACACAACUAAUGUAAAUCAUGCACAACCCCGAUAUUGGCCAAGUAAUAGUUUUCGCACUCUUACUUUCUCAAAGUUUUUAUAACUAUCACGCAAUACAUGAGCGUGAGCCAUGGAUAUAGCACUAUAGGUGGAAUAGAGUGUGGUGGUGGUUGUGAGACAAAAAGGAGGAGAUGGUCACAUUGACUCGGCGUAUCAAAGGUCUAUGGAGAUGCCCAUUAAUAGAUAUCAAUGUGAAUGAGUAGGGAUUGCCAUACAAAGGAUGCACUAGAGCUAUAAGUAGGUGAAAGCUCAAAAAGUAGAACUAGUGGGUGUGCAUCCAACUUGCUUGCUCACGAAGACCUAGGGCAAUUUUGAGGAAGCCCAUCAUUGGAAUAUACAAGCCAAGUUAUAUAAUGAAGAUUCCCACUAGCAUAUGCUGGUGACGAAACGAGAAGCUCUCAAUCAUGAAGAACAUGGUGCUAUUAUGAAGCACAAGUGUGGAAAAAGAUAGUAGCAUUGUCCCUUCUCUCUUUUUCUCUCUUCUCUUUUUUUUAUUUGGGCUCUUAGGCCUCUUUUUUUCUUUUCUCCUUUUUUUGUUUUUGGGAUCUUUGGCCUCUUUUUUUCCUCGCAUGGGACAAUGCUCUAAUAAUGAUGAUCAUCACACUUUUAUUUACUCAAAGCUUAGAAAUGACUCUAUAGGAAAUGCCUCCGGCAGUGUACCGGGAUGUGCAACGAUCUAGCUUGGCGUAUGACGUUGAAACAUCUCGCUAGCUAUCUUACGAUCAUGCAAUGGAAACAUGAGAGUGAGGGCACAAGUCAUGAGACGGAACGGUGGGAGUUGCAUGUCAAUAUAUCUCGGAAUGGCUAUGAAAAUGCCAUAGUAGGUAGAUAUGGUGGCUGUUUUGAGGGAGGCAUUUGGUGGGUUUGUGCACCGGCGAGAAUUGCGCGGCACUAGAGAGGUUAGCAAUGGUGGAAGGUGAAAGUGCAUCUAUACCAUGGACUCACAUUAGUCAUGAAGAACUCACAUACUUGUUGCGAAAGCUUUUAUUAGUAAUCGAAACAAAGUGCUAAACGCAUACUCCGAGGGGAAGGGUUGGUAGGUGUUAACCAUCGCACAGUCCCGACCUCAACACAAAGGAUGACAAUCAAUACAUCAAUUAUGCUUCGACUUCCUAACAUAGCGGUUCACCAUACGUGCAUGCUACGGGAAUCACUAACUUCAACACACGUAUUUCUAGAUUCACAACACCAUACUAACAUAACUCUUAAUAUUACCAAAUCCACACCUCAAAACUAAUUGAGAGGAAUCAAAACUUCUCUUUCUACUCAAUGCACAUGAAGAUGGAGGUUUUUGUAUCCUCUUUGGGUACCUAUCACCUUUGGGACUACUUUCAUAGCAUAAGCCAACUACCAAAUCACGCACCGCCGUGCUCUAACAGAUCUAAGUGAAGCACAUAGAGCAAAAUUAUCUAGCAAAAUCACGAUGAGUGCAUGUCACUCUCUAAAGGUGUGCAGCAAGAAUGAUUGUGACACAACAAAAAGAAAAGACUCCUAAGAUACAAGACGCUCCAAGCAAAACACAUAUCAUGUGGUGAAUAAAAAUAUAGCUCCAAUUAAUGUUACCGAUGGAUUGAAGACGAAAGAGGGGAUGCCUUCCCAGGGCAUCCCCAAGCUUAGGCUUUCUCUUGUCCUUGAAUUUAGCUUGAGAUGCCUUGGGCCUACCCAAGCUUGAGCUCUUUCCACUCCUUAUCUCUUUGUCCAUGAGAACAUCACCCAAAACUUGAAAACUUCACAACACAAAACUUAAACAGAAACUCGUGAUAACAUUAGCACAAGAAAACAAAGUAUCACCUCUUUAGGUAGUGUAGCAAUCUUGAUUUAUAUUUAUAUUGGUGUUGGGCUACUGUAUUCUAACUUUUCAUGUCAAGUACCCCCCCCCCCCGAUACUAUCCAUAGUUUCAUCAAAACAAGCAACCAACUCAACAAAAACAGAAUUUGUCAAAAACAGACCAGUCUGUAGCAAUCUGUAUACUUCGUAUACUUCUGGUACCUCAAAAAUUCUGAAACAAUACGACUGCCUUGUAAAAAGGUGUACCAACCAGAAGCAAAAAGAAUCAACUCAAAAGCUCUUUCUGAAUAAAAAUGAAAAAUCAUCUCGUGAGCGAAACGUUUCUGUCUUUUUCCAGCAGGAUCAAACAACCAUCACCAAGACUAGUCAUAAACGUUUUGCUUGGCUCAAACACAAAAAGAAACACAAAAAACACAAUCAAAACAGAAUUAUGAUGGUGUCGACGCAACAAAACAGAAAGAAAAAGAUAAAUUCAUUGGGUUGCCUCCCAACAAGCGCUAUUGUUUAACGCCCUUAGCUAGGCAUAAGGAUUUUAAUGAUGCUCACAUAAAAGAUAGCAAUCAGACACGAAGAGAGCAUCAUGAAACAUGUGAAAAUCACAUCUAAGUCUAACAUACUUCCUAUGCAUAGGCAUUUUAUAGGAGAACAAAUUGGCAAGACAACCAUUAGUUACCAAAUGCAAGGAAGAAGAAAGAUACAAUAGUAAUCUCAACACAACGAGAGGUGAAUUAGUGAUAUGAAAGUUUCUACCACCAUAUUUUCCUCUCUCAAAAUAAUUACAUGUGGGAUCAUAUUCGAAUUCAAGUAUAUAAAAAUCACAUAGGAUAUUCUUUUCAUGAUCCACAUGCAUGCAAAGUUGACGCUCUUCAAAAAUAGUGGGAUUAUCAUCACCUAAAGUCAUGACUUCUCCAAACCCACUUUCAAUCUUAUUGCGAACAUCAUAUUCAUCAUGAGGCUUAAAUUUUUUUUCAAGAUCAUAAGAAAAAUCAUUACCCCAAUCACGAUCAUUGCAACAAGUAGUGGACAUAGCAAAACUAGCAUCCUCAAGCUUAGGGUUUUGCAUAUUUUUAGCAUGAUUGUCACUAAUAGAAUUUAUAGUGAAACCAUGGCAUCAUGCUUUUCAUUCAAGGAGCCCUCGUGAAUCACUUCAUGAAUUUCUUCAUCACAAUUUUCAGAUUCACGCAUCUCAAGAAAAACUCCAUAAAGAUAGUCAAGUGCACUCAACUCACUAGCAAUUGGAUCAACAUAAUUGGAUCUCUUAAAGAGAUUAACAAGGAGAUGAGGAUCCAUAUCAAUAGAUUUUCAGCAAGCGAAGAUGCAAACAUAUUGAAGACACAUGGCACACAAGCGAACAGAAAGCAAGCGAGAGAAAUGGGCGAACGAAAAAGGCAAAUAUUUUUUUGUAAUUUUUUGUUUUUUCGGAAGUGGGGGAGAGGAAAACGACAGGCAAAAAAAGUAAAUGCAAGAGAUGAGUUUUCGACACUUACUUGGAUGAGUUCUUGACUUGAUCCUCCCCGGCAACGGCGCCAGAAAUUCUUCUUGCUACUUCUCAAACAACAUCGCCAAAAAUUGACAGGUUGACGGAGACUUGCUUGCGUCGGUUUUUCCCUUGAAGAGGAAAGGGUGAUGCAGCACAGGAGCAGUAAGUAUUUACCUCAGUUUGAGAACCAAGGUAUCAAUCCAGUAGGAGAAUCUCGUGAAGUCCAGAGUACCUGUACAAACACAAAGAGCUUGCACCCAACGAUAUAAAGGGAUUGUCAAAACCCCUUCAAGAUUUAUUGCAAAGUGAGAUCUGAAGGCGGAAAGUGCAAUGAAGUAAAAGUGUAAGGCUGAAACUAUGGUGUGGAGUAGACCCGGGGGCCAUAGUGUUCACUAGAGGCUUCUCUCAAAAUAGCAAAUAUUAUGGUGGGUGAACAAAUUAUUGUCGAGCAAUUGAUAGAACCGCGCAGACCGCUAUCCAGCAUGCAUCUAAGGGAAUAUCUAAGGCAAUGAUCAUACAUAUAGGCAUCACGUCCGAGAAAAGUAGACCGAUACUUUCUGCAUCUACUACUAUUACUCCACACAUCGACCGCUAUCGAGCAUGCAUCUAGUGUAUUGAGUUCAUGAUGAACAGAGUAACGCCUUAAGCAAGAUGACAUGAUGUAGAGGGAUAAUCUCAAACCAAUGAUGAAAACCCCAUCUUCUUACCCUUGAUGGCAACAACAUGAUGCGUGCCUCGCUACCCAUUCUGUCACUGGGUGAGGUCACCGCACGGUAUGAACCCAAAACCAAGCACUUCUCCCAUUGCAAUAAUCAUAGAUCUAGUUGGCCAGACAUAACCCACAACUCAAAGAGAUUUACAAAGAUAUGAAAUCAUGCAUAAGAGAGAUCAGAAGAAACUCAAAUAAGAUUAAUAGAUAAUCUGAUCAUAAAUCCACAAUUCAUCGGAUCUCGACAAACACACCGCAAAAGAAGAUUACAUCGGAUAGAUUUCCAUAAAGAUCAUGGAGAAGUUUGUAUUGAAGAUCCAAGAGAAAGAAGAAGCCAUCUAGCUACUAGCUAUGGACCCGUAGGUCUAUGGUGAACUACUCACGCAUCAUCGGAGAGGUCAUGGUAUUGAUGAAUAAGCCCUCCGUGUCUGAAUCCCCCCUCCGGCAGGGCACCAAAACGUGCCCCAGAUGGGAUCUUGCGGAGACAGAACCUUGCGGCGGCGGAAAAGUACUUUCGAUGAUCUCCUGAUUUUUUCUGGGAUUUUAGGGAAUUUAUAGGCGAAAUUCCUAGGGCAGAGGUGGACCAGGGAGCCCACAAGCCUGGGAGGCACGGGCCCCCCUAGCCGCGGCUAGGGGGCUUAUUGGGUCCCUGCAGGCCCCCUGCCCUAAUUCUCAGGCUUCCCGAUCUUCUUCUGUUUUGGAAAUAUCUUUUUGGCAGUUUCGUUCCGUUUGGACUUGAUAUGUCCAUUUUGCAUCAUGCUUUCAUGUUGAUAUUUAUCGCUUUAUGGACUGUUAUUAUACUUUGUGGAACCAUACUUAUGCCAUUUCUCUCUUAUUUUGCAAGGUUUAUUUGAAGAGGGAGAAUACCGGCAGCUAGAAUUCUAGACUGGAAAAGGAGCAAGUCUAAGUCCUCUAUUCUGUGCAACUCCAAAGGCCCUGAAAAUCAACGUGGAUUUUUUUGGGAAUAUAUAAAAAAUGCUGGGCGAAAGAAGUGUUAGAGGGGAGUAGCCAGGGGCCCACAAGCCCGGUUGCCGCGGCCUACCCCCUGGCCACGGCAACAGGGCUUGUGGGCACCCUGGUGGCCCACUGGCCCCCCUCUUUUGUUGUAUGAAGGGUUUCCUCCAAGAAAAAAAUCAGGGUGUAACUUUUUCGUGGAUUUGCCGCUGCCACGAGGCAGAACUUGACCAGAACCAAUCUAGGGCUCCGACAGGACGAUCCUGCCGGGGAAACUUCCCUCCCGGAGGGGGAAAUCAUCGCCUUCGUGAUCACCAACACUCGUCUCGUUGGAGGGGAGUCAUCUCCAUCAACAUCUUCAUCAGCACAAUCUCCUCGCCAAACCCUAGUUCAUCUCUUGUAACCAAUCUCUAUCUCGCAACUCCGGUUGGUACUUGUAAGGUUGCUAGUAGUGUUGAUUACUCUUUGUAGUUGAUGCUACUUGGAUUACUUGGUGGAAGAGUUUAUGUUCAGAUCCUUGAUGCUAUUCAUUACACCUCUGAUCAUGAUCAUGAUUAUUCUUUGUGAGUAGUUACUUUUAUUCCUGAGGACAUGGGAUAAGUCAUGCUGAUAAUAGUCAUGUGAAUUUGGUAUUCGUUCAGUAUUUUGAUAUGUUGUAUGUUGUUUUUCCUCUAAUGGUGUUAUGUGAACAUCGACUACAUAACACUUCACCAUAUUUGGGCUUGGAGGAAGGCAUUGGGGAGUAGUAAGUUGAUGAUGGGUAGCUAGAGUGACAGAAGCUUAAACCCCAGUCUAUGCGUUGCUUCAUAAGGUGCUGAUUUGGAUCCACUAGUUUAAUGCUAUGGUUAGACGUUGUCUUAAUUCUUCUUUUGUAGUUGCGGAUGCUUGCGAGAGGGGUUAAUCAUAAGUGGGAUGCUUUUCCAAGUAAGGGCAGUACCCAAGUGCCGGUCCACCCACAUAUCAAACUAUCCAAGUAACGAACGCGAAUCAUAUGAACAUGAUGAAACUAGCAUGACAGAAAUUCCCGUGUGUCCUCGGGAGCGUUUUUCCUCUUAUAAGACUUUGCUCAGGCUUGUCCCUUGCUACAAAAGGGAUUGGGCCACUUUUCUGCACCGUUGCUACUACUUGUCACUUGUUAAUUUUCGCUUGGUACAUUUCACCUCACUACACCAUCACUUGUUACCGCUACUUUCAGGGCAUGCAGUUAUUACCUUGCUGAAAACCGUUUAUCUGAGCCUUCUCCUCCUCGUUGGAUUCGACACUCUUACUUAUCGAAAGUACUAUGAUUGAUCCCCUAUACUUGUGGGUCAUCAAGACUCUUUUCUGGCGCCGUUGGCGGGAGGAAAGCGCCUUUGGUAAGUGGAAUUUGGUAAGGAAACAUUUAUAUACUGUGCUGAAAUUUAUUGUCACUUGUCACUAUGGAAAGUGUUCCUUUGAGGAAUUUGUUCGGGGUAUCUUCACCACGAACGGAAGCACGAGGAGUUGUUCCUCAACCUGAGGUACCUACUAAAAAUAUCUUUUAUGAAAUUCCUUCGGGUAUGCUUGAGAAACUGUUGGCUAAUCCUUUUACAGGAGAUGGAUCUUCACAUCCAGACUUGCAUCUAAUCUAUGUAGAUGAAGUUUGUGGUUUAUUUAAGCUUGCAGGUUUGCCCGAGGAUGAGGUAAAGAAGAAAUUAUUUCCUUUAUCUUUGAAGGAUAAGGCGUUGACAUGGUAUAUGCUAUGUGAUGAUACUGGAUCAUGGGACUACAAUCGGUUGAAAUUGGAAUUUCAUCAAAAGUUUAAUCCUAUGCAUUUAGUACAUCGUGAUCGGAAUUAUAUUUAUAACUUUUGGCCUCGUGACAGGGAAAGCAUAGCUCAAGCUUGGGGGAGGCUUAAAUCAAUGCUAUAUUCAUUCCCCAAUCAUGAGCUCUCGAGAGAAAUUAUCACUCACAACUUUUAUGCUCGGCUUUCUCAUGAAGAUCGUACCAUGCUUGACACUUCUUGUACCAGUUCUUUUAUGAAGAAGGAUAUUGACCACAUGUGGAAUUUAUUGGAAAGAAUCAAACGUAACUCUGAAGAUUGGGAGCUUGAAGAAGGUAAGGAGUCAGGUAUGAAUUUCCAGUUUGAUUCUGUUAACUCUUUUGUUGAAACAAAGACUUCUAGAGAUUUUAGCGCUAAGUAUGGACUUGACUCUGGAUAGUAGCUUCUCUAUGUGAAUCUUUUGCUGCUCAUGUUGAUCUCCCCAAAGAGAAGUGGUUUAAAUAUCAUCCUCCUGUAUAAAUCAACAUAGUUAAACCCAAUCUCGUUGAAGAGAAAGUCAUUGCCUUUAGUGAUCCUAUUGUUCCUUGUGCCUACGCUGAGAAACCACCUUACCCUGCUAGGAAAAAGGAUUAUUCUCAAUCACCAACUGCGAUACGUAGGGGUUACAUUAGACCACUUGCACCCCCUGAGGAAAUUAGAGUUGAACCUAGUCUUGCUAUUAUCAAAGAUCUCUUAGCCGAAGACAUAGACGGGCAUGUUAUCAAAUUCUGUGAGGACUCCGCUAGAAUUGCUAAACCUCACGCGAAAGACAAAUACGGACCUGUAGUUGGCCUGUCUGUUGUUUAUGUCAAGAUAGGAGACCACUGUUAUCAUGGUUUAUGUGAUAUGGGUGCUAGUGUUAAUGCAAUACCCCGGUCCCUAUAUGAUGAAAUCAAAGAUGAGAUUGCACCUGCUGAGUUAGAACCCAUCGAUGUCACUAUUACGCUAACUAAUAGAGACACUAUCUGCCGUGUGGGAAUUGUGAGAGACGUAGAAGUCCUGUGUGGUAAGACGAAGUAUCCUAGUGAUUUCCUCAUCCUUGCCACUACACAAGAUAGCUUUUGUCCCAUCAUAUUUGGUAGACCCUUUCUCAACAUUGUCAAUGCUCACAUUGAUUGCAUUAAACAGACUGUCAGUGUUAGUUUCGAGGGUGUGUCUCAUGAAUUUAACUUCUCCAAGUUUGGACGACAACCCCAUGAAAAAGAGUCAUCUGGUAGGGAUGAAAUCAUUGUUGUUGCCUCUAUUGCCGUACCUCCUACGGAUCCUGUAGAGCAAUAUCUGCUUGAGCAUGAGAAUGAUAUGCAUAUGGAUGAAAGAGAUGAGAUAGAUAAAAUUGUUUUAGAACAAUAUCCUAUUCUCAAGAAUAAUCUGCCUAUUGCACUGCUUGGGGAUCCUCCCCCACCAAAGGGUGAUCCUGUGUUCGAGCUAAAACAGUUACCAGAUACUCUUAAGUAUGCCUAUCUUGAUGAGAAGGAGAUAUAUCCUGUUAUUAUUAGUGCUCACCUCUCGAAUCACGAAGAGAAGAAGUUAUUAAAAACUUUGAGGAAGCACCAUGCUGCUAUUGUAUAUACUCUUGAUGAUCUUAAGGGUAUUAGUCCCACUCUAUGUCAGCACAAGAUUAAAAUUGAUCCUGAUUCUAAGCCAGUUGCUGAUCAUCAAAGGAGCUUAAAUCCUAGGAUGAAAGAGGUCGUGAGAAAAGAAAUAUUAAAGCUUCUGGAAGCAGGAAUCAUUUAUCAUGUUGCUCAUAGUGAUUGGGUAAGUCGAGUACAUUGCGUACCUAAGAAGGGAGGUAUCACCGUCGUUCCUAAUGAUAAGAAUGAACUAAUCCCACACAGGAUUAUUACUGGCUAUAGGAUGGUGAUAGACUUCCGGAAACUGAACAAGGCAACCAAUAAAGACCAUUAUCCUUUGUCGUUUAUCGACCAAAUGCUAGAAAGGCUAUCUAAACACACACACUUCUGCUUUCUAGACGGUUAUUCAGGUUUCUCGCAAAUACCUAUUACACAAUCUGAUCAGGAGAAAAGCACUUUCACCUGCCCCUUCGGUUCCUUUGCUUAUAGACGUAUGCCUUUUGUCUUGUGCAAUGCACCUCCCACCUUUCAAAGAUGUAUGAUGGCUAUAUUCUCUGACUUUUGUGAAAAGAUUGUUGAGGUUUUCAUGGAUGAUUUCUCCAUUUACGGUUCUUCCUUUGACGAUUGCCUCAGCAACCUUGAUCGAGUAUUACAGAGAUGCAAAGAUACCAACCUCGUCUUGAACUGGGAGAAGUUCCACUUUAUGGUUAAUGAAGGCAUCGUCUUAGGACAUCAAAUAUCUGAGAAAGGCAUUGAAGUUGAUAAGGCUAAGGUUGAUGCAAUUGAGAAAAUGCCUUGCCCCAUAGAUGUCGAGGUAUACGAAAUUUCCUAGGUCAUGCUGGUUUCUAUAGAAGGUUCAUUAAAGACUUCUCUAAGAUUUCUAGGCCUCUUACCAACGUCUUGCAGAAGGAUGUUCCUUUUGUUUUUUAUGAGGAUUGUGAGGAAGCUUUCGAAAUACUUAAGGCCUUAAUAACCGAACCUAUUGUUCAACCACCUGAUUGGAACUUGCCCUUUUGUAAUCAUGUGCGACGCUAGUGAUUAUGCUGUUGGUGCUGUUCUAGGACAAAGAGUUGACAAGAAGUUGAAUGUCAUCCACUACGCUAGUAAAACUCUAGACAGUGCCCACAGAAACUACGCCACUAUGGAGAAGGAGUUUUUAGGAGUCGUGUUUGCAUGUGAGAAGUUCAUAUCUUAUAUAGUUGACUCCAAAGUCACUAUUCACUCUGAUCAUGCUGUUAUUAAGUACCUUAUGGAGAAGAAGGACGCUAAGCCUUGGCUAAUCAGAUGGGUUCUCCUGCUACAGGAAUUUGAUUUGCAUGUUGUUGACCGAAAGGGUGCUGAUAACCCUGUAGCAGAUAAGUUGUCUAGGCUAGAGAAUGUCCUUGAUGACCCACGACCUAUUGAUGACAGCUUUCCUGAUGAGCAAUUGAAUGUCAUCCUCACUUCACAUAGUGCACCGUGGUAUGCUAAUUAUGCAAACUAUAUCGUAGCCAAAUACAUACCACCCAGUUUCACCUACCAGCAAAAGAAGAAAUUCUUCUUUGAUUUGAGACACUACUUUUGGGAUGAUCCUCACCUUUAUAAGGAAAGAGUAGAUGGUGUUAUUAGACGUUGUGUGCCUGAACAUGAACAGGGACAGAUCCUGCAGAAGUGUCAUUCCGAAGCCUACGGAGGACACCAUGCUGGAGACAAAACUGCUCAUAAGGUAUUGCAAUCAGGGUUCUAUUGGCCCACUCUUUUCAAGGAUGCCCGUAAGUUUGUGUGGUCUUGUGACGAAUGCCAAAGAAUAGGGAAUAUCAGUAAGCGUGAGGAAAUGCCUAUGAACUAUUCACUUGUCAUUGAACCAUUUGAUGUCUGGGGCUUUGAUUAUAUGGGACCUUUCCCGAGUUCCGAUGGGUAUACUCACAUCUUAGUUGCUGUGGAUUACGUCACUAAGUGGGUAGAAGCUAUCCCCACUAGAAAUGCUGAUCACCACACCUCUAUUAAGAUGCUUAAAGAAGUCAUUUUCCCAAGAUUUGGAGUCCCUAGAUAUCUGAUGACUGAUGGCAGUUCACACUUCAUUCAUGGUGUUUUCCGCAAGAUGCUCGCUAAGUAUGAUGUCAACCAUAGAGUUGCAUCUCCUUAUCAUCCUCAGUCUAGUGGUCAAGUGGAGUUGAGUAAUAGGGAGAUCAAAUUGAUCUUACAAAAGACCGUCAAUAGAUCUCGAAAGAAUUGGUCUAGCAAACUUGACGAUGCACUAUGGGCUUAUAGGACUACUUAUAAGAAUCCCAUGGGCAUGUCACCGUAUAAAAUGGCUUACGGUAAGGCCUGUCAUUUACCUCUUGAGCUGGAACACAAAGCUUAUUGGGCAAUCAAAGAGCUCAACCUCGAUUUCAAACUUGCCGGUGAGAAGCGGUUGUUUGAUAUCAGCUCAUUCGAUGAAUGGAGGGCCCAGGCAUAUGAGAAUGCCAAGUUGUUCAAGGAAAAGGUUAAGAGAUGGCACGAUAAAAGAACACAAAAACGAGAGUCCAAUGUAGAUGAUUAUGUCCUGCUAUACAAUUCUUGUUUAAGAUUCUUUGCAGGCAAGCUUCUCUCUAAAUGGGAAGGUCCCUAGGUUGUCGAGGAAGUAUAUCGUUCUAGUGCCAUCAAAAUCAAUAACACGGAAGGUAAUUUUCCUAGAGUGGUAAAUGGGCAAAGAAUCAAGCAUUACAUCUGUGGUACUCGCAUAAAUGUUGAGACCAAUAUCAUCAAUAUCAUAACUCUAGAGGAGUACAUAAGGGAUGUUUAUCAGCCUGUUUCAGACCCUGAAAACUAAGCGGUAUUUGUUUCGGUAAGUAAUUGGACUCCGAAACUUUUCCAAUAGGAAUUUUUCUCCGUUUUGGAAUUUAUGGAAAAUUAUAAAAAUAAAAAGCAGUCCGGAGAGCGCACGAGGCGGCCACAAGCUUGGUUGCCGCGGCCUCCCCCUGGCCGCGGCAACAGGGCUUGUGGGCACCUCGUGUACCUCCCGGACUCCAUUUUCUUGCGGAGCACUCCUUCUGGUCCAGAAAAAAUCAUUAUAUAUACGCCCGAGGGUUUUGAUCUCCGUAUCGCGCAGUUUUCCUCUGUUUUCGUUUCGAGCCUAUUUUUUGCCGCAGAUCUAUGUCAAGAUGUCUUCUCAGGAUUCAGAGGGGGAGAGCUAUGCGGCUGAUUACCUUGCUAACCCAAAGGUCUAUGGGGACUCGGAACUAUAUGGCUGGACCACUAAUGAGGAAGAGGACUAUGAUCCCAAGGGGAAGGAACAAAUGAGUUCCGAUGAAGAGGAGGCUCCUCUACCUCAACCUGGACGCACUCAUGUGGAGUUCAAGAAGUCAAGCCUCCCUGACCAAAGGAAGAAGCCUAAGACCCUGUUUAUCCCUUCUCAUUUCUUGCAGGAGAGUAAGCAGGAACUUUGCCAUACAGUGUUGAAGCUUGAGGAGGAAAAUGACGAUCUGAGGGAGCAGAACUUUAUGCUCAAGUGGAAAUUAGACAAGCUCAAGACUGCCUCAACAACUCCACCACGCCACCAAAGGAAGACAACUAAGCAUUGGUAUGGGCAAUCCCCUUGGCUUUUUCCAAGCUUGGGGGAGUUGCCCUGGUAUUGUAUCACCUUUAUAUCUUUCGCUUUUCCCUAUGUUUUAGUUUUUUCCUUUUCAGUUUUAUUUCUUCUCUUAGUGGAAUAAGUCUUUAGUGUUUAGUUUGAGUCUUUUGCCUUGUGUCUCCCCCGAUGUAUUCGAGCUUGCGAGCUAUAUAAUAAAGAGUAUCUUAGUCAAGGGCUUUUCUUUGUGCCGUGAUCAAAAGUAUGAAAAGAACGAUAGCAUGAAAGAUCAUGAGAUGAUCUUAUGGAAAUUGAUAGCUUCACGUAUAACAAGUAUGAUGAUUGAAACUUGUUGAGAAUAGACCAACAUAGACCCCAGUCAUUGUUGCAAUUAAUAAGGAGUAAUAAGGAAAGAGAGGUUCACAUAUAAAUAUAUCAUCUUAGACACUUUCUAUAAUUGUGAGCACUCACCAAACUAUUACAUGCUUAGAAGUAGAUGUUGGACAAGGAAGACAACAUAAUGAAUUGUGUUUGCUUAGUUCCAAACAAUGUUAUAUGAUUAGAGAUCCCUUAGCAUGUGACUAUUUCUUCCACCUCAUAUUAGCCAAAACUCCCGCACCAAGUAGAGAUACUACUUGUGCAUCCAUAAACCUUCAACACAGUUUUGCCAGGAGUGUCCACCAUACCUACCUAUGGAUUGAAUAAAAUCCCUCAAGUAAGUUGUCAUCGGUGCAAGCAAUAAAAAUUGCUCUCUAAUAUGUAUGAUCUAUUAGUGUGUGGAAAAUAAGCUUUGUACGAACCUGUGAUGAGGAAACCAAAAAAGCGACAGACGGCAUAAUAAAGUUCUUUAUCACAGGAGGCAAUCUAAAGUGACGUUCCUCCACACUAAGAGGACACGCAUCCAAACCUCAAAAGCGCAUGACAACCUCUGCUUCCCUCUGCGAAGGGCCUAUCUUGUACCUUUACUUUUUACCUUUGUAAGAGUCAUGGUGGUCUUCACCAACUCCUUAUUUAGCCUUUUUCUUGGUGAACGUCAUAUGCUUGGGAAAGAUCUAUAUUCAUAUAUCAACUUGGAGCUGAGUACUUAUGCUUUAUUAUUGUUGACUUUACCCUUGAGGUAAAUGGUUGGGAGGCAAAACUAUAAGCCCCUAUCUUUCUCUAUGUCCAACUGAAACUUUCAUACCAUGAGUACCACGUGAGUUGUAAAAAUUGUGGAAAACAAAAGAGAUGAUUGAGUAUGUGGAUUUACCUUACAAGCUCUUAUUUGACUCUUUCCGUUGUUAUGAUAAAUUGCAAUUGCUUCAAUGACUAUGGAUUGUUGUUGGCUACUUCUCGGUAAGGUUUUUGUUUCAUACUUUGCUUUGUGAAGGAAUUGUUACUUUCCCAUAAGAAUCUCUAUGAUGUAUUGCUUUUCUAUGUGUGAUAAUGAUGCCCUCAUGUCCGUAUUUUGUUUUAUCGACACCUUCAUCCCUAAACAUGUGGACAUGUUUUGGGUCUUGGUUUUCGCUUGAGGACAAGCGAGGUCUAAGCUUGGGGGAGUUGAUACGUCCAUUUUGCAUCAUGCUUUCAUGUUGAUAUUUAUCGCUUUAUAGACUGUUAUUAUACUUUGUGGAACCAUACUUAUGCCUUUUCUCUCUUAUUUUGCAAGGUUUAUUUGAAGAGGGAGAAUACCGGCAGCUGGAAUUCUGGACUGGAAAAGGAGCAAGUCUGAGUCCUCUAUUCUGCGCAACUCCAAAUGCCCUGAAAAUCAAUGUGGAUUUAUUUGGGAAUAUAUAAAAAAUACUGGGCGAAAGAAGUGACAGAGGGGAGCAGCCAGGGGCCCAAAAGCCUGGUUGUCGCGGCCUACCCGCCUGGCCGCGGCAACAGGGCUUAUGGGCAACCUGGUGGCCCCUUGGCCCCCCCUCUUUUGCUAUAUGAAGGGUUUCGUCUGAGAAAAAAUCAGGGUGGAGCUUUUUCAUGGAUUCGCCGCCACCACAAGGCGGAACUUGAGCAGAACCAAUCUAGGGCUCCGGCAGGAUGAUCCUGCCAGGGAAACUUCCCUCCCGGAGGGGGAUCGUCGCCUUCGUCAUCACCAACACUCCUCUCGUCAGAGGGGAGUCAUCUCCAUCAACAUCUUCAUCACCACCAUCUCCUCUCCAAACCCUAGUUCAUCUCUUGUAACCAAUCUCCGUCUCGCGACUCCGAUUGGUACUUGUAAGGUUGCUAGUAGUGUUGAUUACUCUUUGUAGUUGAUGCUACUUGGAUUACUUGGUGGAAGAGUUUAUGUUCAGAUCCUUGAUGCUAUUCAUUACACCUCUGAUCAUGAUUAUGAUUAUGCUUUGUGAGUAGUUACUUUUGUUCCUGAGGACAUGCGAUAAGUCAUGCUGAUAAUAGUCAUGUGAAUUUGGUAUUCGUUCGGUAUUUUGAUAUGUUGUAUGUUGUUUUUCCUCUAGUGGUGUUAUGUGAACAUCGACAACAUAACACUUCACCAUAUUUGGGCCUAGAGGAAGGCAUUGGGGGAGUAGUAAGUAGAUGAUGAGUUGCUAGAGUGACAACAGCUUAAACCCGAGUCUAUGAGUUGCUUCGUAAGGAGCUGAUUUGGAUCCACUAGUUCAAUUCUAUGGUUAGACGUUGUCUUAAUUCUUCUUUCGUAGUUGCGGAUGCUUGCGAUAGGGGUUAAUCAUAAGUGGAAUGAUUGUCCAAGUAAGGGCAGUACCCAAGCGCCGGUCCACCCACAUAUCAAACUAUCAAAGUAACGAAAGGGAAUCAUAUGAACAUGAUGAAACUAGCAUGACAGAAAUUCCCGUGUGUCCUCGGGAGCGUUUUUCCUCUUAUAAGACUUUGCUCAGGCUUGUCCCUUUAUACAAAAGGGAUUGGGCCACUUUGCUGCACUGUUGCUACUACUUUUCACUUGUUACUUUUCGCUUGCUACGUUUCACCUCACUACACCAUCACUUGUUAUUGCUACUUUCAGUGCUUGAAGUUAUUACCUUGCUGAAAACCGUUUAUCUGAGCCUUCUCCUCCUCGUUGGGUUCGACACUCUUACUUAUCGAAAGGACUACGAUUGAUCCCCUAUACUUGUGGGUCAUCAGGACUCCGUUUAAACUCCUCAUCUGAAAGGGGUCAAAAACAUGGAAAAAACAGGAACUGGCACUUGGCACUGAGUUAAUAGGUUAGUCCCAAAAAAUAUAUAAAAGGCAUGCAAAACAUCCAAAGUUUGACAAGAUAAUAGCAUGAAACCAUCAAAAAUUAUAGAUACGUUGGAGACGUAUCAGUCUACUAGUGGCGCGGGUUAGAAAAGCACGCCACUGAUAACUCGGUUAGCAGUAGCGCUAUCUAAGGGGCGACACUGCUAAACUUUAGCAGUAGCGUUGGGUAAACAAUUCGCUGUAGUGUCGUAGUAGCAGCGCGGGCACCCGCGCUACUGAUAGUUCAAAAACCCGCGCUACUGCUAGGGUUUUCCCUAGUAGUGACAAGACAAAUAUGUCAAAAGAUUAUGAAAAGUUUCAUGAAAUUCCUCCCUUCACAGUGAAGACUGACCCAACCAUCCCGUUAAAUGAAGAUUGUCCAUGGUUAUGGCACAAACGGACACACGUGAAGAAAAAAUUUUAUACCCCAAGAUCCCACUCUAGGAUGUGACCGGCUUCACCGUCAUCACUUUCUUGUGUAGUGAGUUUCCGGACUUAUUUGGAAAGUCCCACUUCGGACAAACCAAAGGGAAUCUUUGUGUAAGACUUUGGGUAUAUAUAUGUGUGUGUUUUGGCAUUUGAAACGCGCAGAAACAAUAUGUAGGAGUUAAUCAAUACAAUUAAGUGAAAACAAAACAUUUUUCAUGUAUUUAAUGUUUUUGAGCUAAAUGACCCUGAAAUUGGAAAGCACUACAAAUGAAGUCUGAAAAAUCUCAAACUUAGCAUGGUAUCAUCAUUUCAUGCACAUAACAUGUGCAAAAAAGUUGAGAGGGUUACUGCAAAAACUGGAUGAAUUUCGUGCACAAGUGGACAAUCUCUUUCGAAGUAUGAGGGUUUCAGACGAAAACUCAACUGUUACAAAGGAAUUUAUAUUUAAACUUAUUUUAAUUCCAGACUAUUUGUGCAUUCAAUAUGCAUCAUUCAAAGCCAUGUCAUCAAUAUUCAAUCCUUUCUAACUUCAUUUGCUAUUUUCAUGCAUUUAAUGAUCUUUUGAGGUAAAUGACCCUAAAAUUGAAAAGCAUUACAAAUGAACUCUGAAAAGCCUGAAACUUUGCAUGGUAUCAUAAGUUCAUAUACAUAGCAUGUGCUAAAAAGUUGAGAGGGUUACGACAAUAACUAGAUGCAGUUCGUGUACAAACUAGACAAUCUCUUCCGUAGUAAGAGGGUUUCGGACAAAAAACUCAUGUGUUACAAAGGCAUUUCCUUUUUUAAAACUUACCUUAAGUCCAGACAUUUUGUGCGUUCCAUAUGCACCAUUCAAAGCCACAACAUUAAUUUUCAAUCCUUUAUGACUUCAUUUGCUAUUUUUCAUCUAUUUAAUAUAUAUUUUUGAGCUAGCUAAAUAUCCCUGAAAUUGAAAAGCACUAUAAAUGAAUUCUGAAAAUUUUGAAACUUGGCAUGGUAUCAUCAUUUCAUGCACAUAGCAUAUGCUAAAAAGUUGAGAGGGUUACGGCAAAAACUGGAUGCACUUCGUGUACAAACUGGACAAUCUCUUUCGAAGUUUAAGAGUUUCGAACGAAAAUUCAUGUGCUAGAAAGGUAUUUCAUUUUUUUAACUUAUUUUAACUCUAUACUUUUGUGAGUUCAAUAUGCCCCAUACAAAGCCACGUCAUCAAUUUUCAACCCAUUCUCCAUUCAUUUGCUAUUUGUCAUCCAUUUAAUAAUUUUUUGAGCUAUAAAACUAAAAGAGCUAAACAAAUCUCUUUUUUUUAUUAAAACACCCAUUUAAAACAACCUAAAAAUACCAAUUUUAAUAUAAUGAUAAAACACACUAAUAAUAAACAACAGGAUAAACAAUCACUCAAAAAUCUAUUUUUAAAGUGAAGUUAUUCACAAACUAGUGAUUCACACAAAUUUCUAAGAAUUCAAAUUUAAACUGUUCAAAUUUGAAAACUACUCGCACUAACAGAAAGUUCAUAAUUUUUGUGACCUAAAGCAAAAAGAUUCACUCAAAAACUCUAUGUAUUUGGUUGUAAGUAGAAAAAAAUGAGAAUAAAAAAAAUUCAAAACAAAAAAAACUAGAAAAGACCGUUAGUCCUAGUUGCCACCACAAGCCGGGACUACAAAUUAAAAAAUAACAAAAAAUGCCGACCUACUAGGCCACCACGGCCUGCAUAUGACUAGAAACCCAACUACUAGUUGGGCGAGGAUGCAGGCCCGCGGGGCAAGUAAGGCCCAACAUGGCAGAGAGAGGUUCAUUAGGCCCAUAGGCUUGGUUUAGAGAGGAGCUCGAGGUUGCACCCGCGACGGGGUUUAUAAACAGGUCUGGGCGCCCUUCGCUUGGCGAGGUGGGACUAAACAUCCACCACACCUCGCCAUGCCAACACCAGGCCUUUACUCCCGGUUGGUGUAUCCAACCCUGACUAAAGGACCCCCUUUAGUCCCGGUGUGAGCCACCAACCGGGACUAAAGAGCUUGGGCUUUCCGCCGCUUGGCUUGGUCAAAUUCAUCUUUAGUCCCGGUUGGUGGCUCGCACCAGGACUAAAGGGGGUCCUUUAGUCCCGGUUGGAGCCACCAACCGGGACUAAAGCGUUUUGUAUAUAAGGCUGCACUUAGAAUUUUUUGCAAACAUAGAGUUCUCCAUUCUUUCGAUCGACGGUGAACCACGUCACGAGGCUGCUGCAUAGUCGCCUGCCCUGACGCCGUCGCCUCCCAUGUCGCCGAAGAUCGUCGCCACCCCCGGACGUCGGCCGCCCGCGCAUUCUCCCUGUCGCCGUCUGCGCCUCCUCCCCCCACUACUAGAAAAAGGUCUAUAGCUAAUAUGGACAUUAAUGGCACACCACAUACUGGUGUGCCAUUAAUGUCCAUAUUACUAAUGGCGCACCUUGUGUGUGGUGCCCCAUUACUAUCUUUGUCCUGACCCCACACCCUUUCCUACACUUAUCAGUGGCGCACCAUGGAAAGUGCGCCAUUACUAGUUUUAACUACUAAUGGCGCACCACAUCCACGGUGCGCCACUACUAACAUUUUUAUUUCGGUUUUUUUCAAAACUACUAAUGGCGCAUUCUUACCAGGUGCGCCAUUAGUAACUCUUGUUACUAAUGGCGCAUUCUUACAAGGUGCGCCAUUAGUCACCUGGGAGCAGUAGAUAUUUUUGACAGCCCCACUUCACACUCACUUUCCCCCCAAUUCACUCUCUCCACCUCUACCAACCUUGUUUGUCUCGGCUGCCUCCUCCUCCUCACCUCAUUUGCACCAUAGAUUCACCCAAAUUAAGUGGUUAUAUUUUCUUUUUUUGAUAGGUAAGUAAGGGGAAAGCUUUCUUUAUGUUCUAGAUCUACUUUUUUCUCCCUCCAAUGUGUACACACUUUUUAUGGCCUCGAUCUACGUAUGUUUGUGGUGUUGCAUAUGUUUGUGUUUGCACGUACCGGUAUUUCAAAUGCGAUAGUUGCCAAUAUUUUGCCGGAAUGUUGAUUCAUUUCCCUUUCGGCGCGAAUUUGGCACUAUGCAUUCUUUUUGUCUUAUUUUUAGGCAAAGUCAUGCCAACUUUUUUUUGGUUCUAACAUAUCGUUUUGCUCUACCCCGCAUGCGACCAUUGUCCGCACGAUGACCGAAGGCAUUGUGAAUAGGUUUUUGAGCUCCGCGAAGGCCGAGAUGCUUCAAAAGAACGAGACGGAGAUAAGAUGUCCAUGUCGAAGAUGCAAGCUGAAGAGCCUUAUGGACCCGGAUUCUAGACAGAUGCGGGACCACCCGCUUGUGCGUUGUUUCAUGGAUGGCUAUCGGUGGCAAGGUGAUGAAGAUGAUUAUGAAGUCGUCCAUGGGGGCUAGGCAAGAAAAAAGGAAGGGCUGCAAGACAAUAGCGGCGAGGGCGGGCGAGAAGACGAAGAAUCUCCAGGACAUGAUCAUGAAGUAGAUGCAGGACACAGUCAUCAUGUAGAAGAUGCCGGACAUGAUGAUGAGGCAGAUCAAGACAAAGGGCAUGAUCAUGAAGAUGAAGAUGCCGGAGCAGACGACGAUGGGCCAUCGAUGGGUUGGGUGCAGGACCCUCAUAUUCAAGAGCUGCUUCUCAAGCAGACGGGUAACGCAAGAGCUGCCGCUCGAGAGAAAGCCAAGUUGGAUCAACUGGAGAUAGACGUGGUUACUCCAUUGUAUGAAGGAUGUAGGCCCGAGGAUACCCGCCUGAAAGUAACGCUCAUGGCUCUGCAAAUGAAGGUAAAACACAAAAUGACUGACACAUGCUUCAACGAGAACAUGUCAUUCUGGCACGAACGUCUUCCCAUGGGGAACAAGUGCCCGAACAGUUUCAAAGAGGCAAAGAAAAUCAUCUGUCCUCUGGAUUUAACGCACGUGAAAUACCAUGUGUGCAUGAAUGAUUGCAUCAUUUAUCGGGACGAGCAUGCGGAGUCUACCAUAUGUCCGGUGUGCAGCGUCACUCGAUACAAGAAGAGGAAGAAAGCUCCUCGAAAAGUGGUGUGGUACUUUCCGAUCACUCCUCGUCUACAGCGGUAUUUCGCGGACCCUAAGCAAGCAGAGCUCCUACGUUGGCACGCGGAUAGGGAGGAGAAGAAGCGAGAAGAUGACGGAAAUGAUCCAGAGAUAAAUAAAAAAGACAAGAUGCUGAGUCACCCUAAGGAUGCGAGCCAGUGGGAAGCGUUGAACUUCGAACACCCAGAAUUUGGGGACGAUCCAGGGAACAUCAUGUUGGGCGCAAGCACCGAUGGAGUCAAUCCGUUUGGCAUCAAGAGAAGCACACAUAGCACCUGGCAUGUGUUUGUGUGCAUGUACAACCUUCCCCCCUGGAUGUGCAUGAAGAGGAAGUACAUUCACAUGAGUAUGCUAAUUGAAGGGCCGAAACAACCAGGGAACGACAUCAAUCUGUAUCUGGGGCUGCUGAAAGAGGAGAUAGACACGCUGUGGAAAACGCCAGCCAAUACGUGGGACGCCGCAGCGAAACAAUAUUUCCCUAUGAGAGCCGCACUGCUCAUGAUGGUGCACGACUAUCUCGGUUACGGAUAUGUCGCGGGGCAGGUGGUCCAUGGAUUUUGUGCAUGCGUUAGGUGCAUGGAUGAUGCAACGUAUUGCCAGCUAGAUAGAGAUCCCGGGUCUUUGAAAACCGUGUUCAUGGGAGAUCGAAGGUGGCUUCGCGAUGAUGACGCAUGGAGAAAACACAAGGUUCUGUUCGAUGGUGAAACCGAACCCCGAAGACCCCCACGUAUGAGGAGCGACGAGGAAAUAGAUGAGCUGUUGAAAAAUUGGAAAGAGCGCCCACCGCCGGGAAAGAAGCGAAGGCGUCAGAGCCGCUUCUGAAGGUAUGGAAAACGAGGUCUGUUUUCUAGGACUUGCCGUACUGGAAGAUCCUCCGUGUGCCUCACAACCUUGAUGUCAUGCAUAUCACGAAGAACGUGUGCGAGAGUCUGCUUGGUACCCUGCUCAACAUGCCAGAGAGGACCAAAGAUGGGCCGAAAGCAAGGGAAGACUUGCAAUCAAUGGGCAUCAGGGAGGAGCUUCAUGCAAAACGCCCUAAUGAUGAUGAGGCGAAGGACAUGGAAAGUCAUCGCAAAGGCAAAAAGGCCAAGAAGAUCGAAUAUGACUGCCCUCCCGCGUGCUUCACUCUAAGUCUGAAGGAGAUCGAUCAGUUUUUCACCUGCCUCGUAGGAGUAAAACUUCCUUAUGGUUACGCGGGGAAGAUAAGCAGAUACCUAGACUCAGCGAAGCAAAAGUUCAGCAGGAUGAAGUCUCACGACUGUCACGUGCUGAUGACGCAGAUACUUCAAGUUGCAAUCCGUGGGAUCAUGGACGCGCACAUCCAUGAAACGCUAUUUGGCCUAUGCAAAUUUUUUGACGUCAUCUCUCGGAAGUUGGUUGGCGUGAGGCAACUCAGAAGGCUACAGGAAGAGAUCGUGGUGAUACUAUGCGAGCUUGAGAUGUACUUGUCGCCCGCAUUCUUCGAUGUUAUGGUGCAUCUGCUGGUCCAUAUCGUGGAGGAUAUCAUCCAACUCGGGCCGACGUUCCUGCACAACAUGAUGCCGUUCGAAAGGAUGAAUGGUGUCAUCGAAGGAUACGUUCGCAACAGGGCACGUCCAUAUGGAAGCAUAGCCCAGGGCUUUCUGACCGAAUAGUGCAUCUCCUUCUGCACGAAUUAUCUAGGCAUCGAGAACCCCAUUGGUCUGCUCGUCAUCAGGCACCUCGGCAGGCUCGCUGAAUGGGGUCACCGCGAGGGUUGCCGCGAAAUGCAUGUCGACUUCAAGGUUUGACUCGUUGACUUUGAAAGAGCAAACCUAGUCGCGCUACAACACAUAGACGUGGUCGAUCCUUGGGUGGUAGAGCACAAAACUUUAUUGAGAAGACGUAAUGACCGAGGCCAACAGAGCACGGACAGAGAUAUAAUCAAAGAGAACUCAUAUUUCAUCCAUUGGUUCAAGGACAAUCUUAUGUCGUACCCUUUACACGAGGAUUCUUCCACGGAAAAAAAAACUCAUAUUCGCCUUGUCAUAGGGCACCGAGCACAACCUGAUGACCUAUGAGGCGUACGAUAUCAACGGCUACACAUUAUACACCGAGGAAAAGGACAUGAAGAGCGAUUAUCAGAACUCCGGGGUAACGAUGGAAUCCUACACCAGUAACGACAAGGACAGAUACUAUGGAAGGAUCGAGGAGAUCUGCGAGCUGAGCUACGCUGGAGAGAAGGUUCCGAUGUUCCGUUUCAAAUGGGCCAAGAGCGUCCUAAAAGAAGACCGGUAUUUCACCACCAUGGUUAUACACGAAGCCAAAUCGAAGACCGCGGGCGAAAACGUCACCGCGAAAAAUGAGCCAUGGGUACUAGCUUGCCAAGUGGACCAAUGCAUCUUCAUUACUGACACAUCAAAGCCCAGUCGUGUUGUCGUGAAGAGAGGCAAAAGGAACAUCAUCGGAAUGGAUGGAGUCUCCAAUGAGCAAGAUUUCGACAAGUACGACGACCCGAAGAUGGAAGAUGACGACGACGAUGAAGUAGCACAUAGCACAAGAAGAAGCAGGACCACCCUACCUAAAGGACGUCCGUUCAAGAGAAGAAUUCAAGGGGUUCCGGCGCUAAAUUAUUCAACCGCGAGAAAGAAGGGCAAGAAGAUCAUUGUGAAAAGAUAGCUAAGAUCGAAUCACGACGUGUCGGCCACGUGUGUGUGUCAGUGGUAACCUCAAUCUUUGAUGACUCUUAUUUUACGUCACUUGAUUUCAACCAUGUCAUGUAAUUCUAAAUCUUUGCACAAUGUGAUAUCAACUCGCAGGGAAUAAAGUGAACAGUGCCGCCCUCACGAAGAUGAGCACGGCCCUGGCUACUUGCAGAGCCUCGGUGAAGAGAAGGAUUCUAAGAGGUGAUAGUUAUGAGAAGAUCAAGGGAAAAAAUCCUUCGAUCAACUAAGCUGACUACCUGGAGUUCAAGAUCAAGUGCGAGAGCAACGCAUCCGCGGAAUCAAGUCAGUGGGGGAAAGAUAUGCGGGACUUGAACUUAGGGGUCCAUAAACUCGGUCCCGGCGGUUACAGAGUGGCGGAACCUAAAUGGGACAAGGAGGACGCGGAGCAUGCCGAGCAAGGCCUACCGCCCCUCUUCGAUAAAUACCCUGAACAGCAGACCAGGAACUAUGUCACGACCCUGUACAAGGUGGACCCGGUAACAAAGGAGCUUACCACGGAUCCGAAGGUGAAGGAGCUUGAGCGUGUUCUGGUAAGGAAUACACCCCCGCGUAAUUAGCUCCAUAUGGUUGCAUUCUAAUUAAUGAAGCCAAAUUUCUAAAUGGUUCACGUUCCUUCCGCAGGAAACUGAAAGCAGUAGCGCGGGGUCUCGGAGCUCCCUGUCUGCCCCUUGGGAAAACACUUUAAAUAGGGCGUUGAACGUAAUGGAACACAAGGAUACGCUCAGUAAGCUGUCGUCAGCUGGUCGUGUGGCCGGUGAAGGCUUGUCCACGAAAUGGUCGGAAUACUAUAAGGCUGGGAAAAAGGACAGAAAGACCAUAUCGGAAAGCCAGGAGCGCGAGGUUAAAGAACUCAAGGCACAAGUGGCGUGGAUUCCGGAGAUAGUCCAAGAGCAAGUGCUAGACCAACUUGGAGCGACGAUCACCGCCAUUAUGCCUUCCUUGCUUGAGGGGCUGCGUGGGUGGAUUGCGAGCGGCCAACAGGGGCCGCCCCCGAUUCCCAGGUUCACGGGCAGCAACUCGCACAACGCGUCGGCAUCGGUGUCCCCGGCGGAGGCGGCAUUGCAGGUGCCUGCGGCGUCGGCGCCGGUAUUGGAGGUUAAUGCACCAGUGUGUGGGAAGAAUACGUCGGGCGGCACCUCGGCAUCAAGCGGCCCCUCCGUCACUUGCACGCCCGUCGUUGGCGGUGCCUCGACAUUAGCCGAGCUCGACGCCAUCACGGUAACUAUAAGCCUCGGUCGAUGACUUCAUCUCCUUGCCUUUUUGACUAGGCAUCCCUGAUGCCCUACAUGUUUUCGCAGGGCAUCGCCAACGUUCCAUGCACUCUCCUGCACUUCGUGGACGGCGAGUUGAUCGAUGUCGCCAAGGCCAAAAUCGUCGAACCAGGUAACCGCGUGUUCCACGAUAAUCCGAUGCCACCCACCGUGUAUAGGGUUCAACUGGUUCGGGUGCUGCGGGGCUGCGACGACUUGUUACCUCUGUAUCGAUCCGCUGGGGCCAACGAAGAUGAUGGGAUAACCCUCAGUGCCUGCUUAAACUGGUCCAUGCUUUGGCUGAAGAGCCAGAUUCGUUUGGGGGCGGGGGACACCACCCCACAGACAACACCGCCAGUCAUGUCGGCGCCAAGCCAUGGCAAGACCGCCGCAACGCUACCGCCGUCAGCUGAUCCGGACAUGCUUAUGGCACAGGAUCCAGAGGACGACGAUGAUACAAUUUCCAACAUCGAUAAGUACAUCAACAAACAUGGGUACGGUGACGAUGACGACUUGUUCGGGCCUCCUUGUCAGAACCCAACCCUGCAAAAGACGAUGGUGAUCUAGCUGGUACCGCGGAGAAACCCAAUUUCAACAAGCGUUGGUUGUUCAGUUCUCAGGAGACGCCCCCAUCUCCUGCCUUCACCGAGACUCAAAUAGGCGAGGUGCGAAAUAUUAUCAGCCCCAACAAACUCAAGAAGGUGGUCUCUGAGGAGAACUCGAUCCCAUUACAACAGAAGAAGCAGAAGGGACGGAAAUCAAAAAACUAACAAGGGUGCGAGCCAGCCGGCAGCGAGUACAAUCCGUGCUAAGGACGGGCCACCAAUAUCUAAGGAUAUUGAGAGGAGGAUGCAUGUGGCGGGUAGGCCGAUGCUACCGACUAAUCUGCUCAAUGCUGCAACCAGUGCUAUGCGGAGUCUGCAUGAUGCUGUUCUUUAUAUGGAGAAGCAACGUCUCUCCGACAAUGAUGUGGCAUACCCGGUUUUCGUGGCCAAGGUGCCAGAGGGCAAAGGCUUUGUCGAUAGCACCGUCGGGCGUAUGAUCGUCCUGCGGUUUGAUGACAUCUUCGCUAUGCUUAACCUUUAUCCGCUGCACUACACCUUCAUUCAGCUAUUUUUGCUCAGUAUGGAGAUGCGGAUCAUUAGAGACAAGACCCCGGACAUCGUGAUAGUCGACCCCUUCUACAUGUGUGCCAAGAUCUUGGACGGCGCUGGGGAACGGCAAGUCGCGAGUUCAUACCUCAAAGGCGUCAUUCUGGCGAACGCUGAUAAGGAUAACUUCCUCGUGCCUUACUUUUCUGAGUAAGUCAUCCCCUCAUCGCCUCGUAACAUAUGAUUUCUUAGAUUUCGAUUGUUCUUUUUUUUCUAACAUUCCAUGUUUUGUGCAGUGACACAAAUUGCACACUCAUCCUCUUAAGCCCGAAAUAUUCCAUGGCCACGUAUUUCGGCUCGGACCAUCAGUCGAAGAAAGACUACACAAAUAUCAAGAAAGUUCUUGAUGAUGUCCUCCCCGGCUACGCCAAAUCUGGAGGCACCUUCAGGAGGCCAAUUCUUAGGUAUGGCAAGCACGUGUUCACCCACGUAACGACGUUCCCCUGCGUGAAGCAGCCGCCUGGCAGUCAGAAGGAUGCCUACUACGCCCUCCAUCACAUGUAGGCGAUCGUACGGGACCAACAUCACCGUAUGCUACCAAAUGAUCUCAAAGAUUGGGCCGCACGCUUGUCGGCAAUCCAGGACGAGGACAUCAGACAAGAAUUCUUUCGCAUCCAGUCGGAGUUGGCGGAAAUCAUCUAUCAAGAUGUCCUUGCUAGAUUGGGGCAGUUCUACCUAAACUGUCAACCACCCAACAGUGAAAUUGACACAACGCUACAAAUGCAGGCUGACAACGACCACACAUUCAUGACCAUCACGAAAGACAGCGGGUUCAUCCACGCUCCGGUCCCUCAGUCGAGUCGAAAGUACUGAUGCUAUGUUGUAACUAAACUUUAAUGAACUUGUAUGUCUCUUUAGUUAGGACCGUCGUGCAACUUAUAUGUGUAGUCGAUGCUAUUUAUUAGUAGGACCAUGAAUCGUGCUAUUAAUGUGUUACUUUUCUCUUUCGAUCCUUUUGUUGCAUACUUAUAUAUUGCUUAUAUAUUAUCUGUGAAUUGCUUUUGUUUGUCUAGUGCAUAGAGAUGUCGUCGUAUGUCGUGUACAAGGGUGAGGUUCCCGGAGUCUACGACGACUGGGAGGAGUGUCGGAGACAGGUUCAUCGUUUCGGCGGUAACAGUUACAAAGGGUACAACACUAUGGCGGAGGCGGAAGCUAGAUACGCGCGCUAUCUAGCGGGAGAGAGGGAGCGGAGGAGGAACUGGAUGAAGAUCAGUUUCAUCGCGAUGAUGCACAUCGUGACUGUUGGGGAUAUUAUCUGUUGUGUGACCCGCCCUAGUUGGGCCGGGUCACCAAGUGGGUGACUCGUCCUUUGGCGAUUCAAGCUUUGGCCUGUGAGCCUAGGAGCUAGACGGCGGUUCAGGAUCCUCGUGGAGAAUCAGUCAUUCAGAAGGCCUCUAAGUCUUGGAAAGCACGGCGACUCAAAGGGCUUGACCUGUAUAUAAAGCCGAGUCCCGGGGAAGGAGAGGGCAGGUUAGAAAUCAUCGAGUGCUAGGUCAGGCGAGUUACGCCCUCCUUGUAAUCGAAACACCAUCAAUACAACACAAAGCAGGACGUAGGCUUUUACCUCCUCUCGAGGGGCCGAACCUGGGUAAAUCUCUGUCUCGCUCCCGUUCAACCCCUUUGAGUAGCCACCAAGGUGCGAUGGCUCCAACACUAAGUCCUUUCACCAGGACAUCUGUCGUGACAAAACCAUAUCAGUUGGCGCCCACCGUGGGGCCUGCGCACGAUGGAGUUGAGUUCUCAAAGGGAGCCCUACCAGGGUCAGGGAGCUAUGCAGCAGGGCUCACGAUUCGGAGCCGCCGCGGGAAGUACUACAUCAAUAACUUGUUGUGGGGGCCCGAGGCCGAUUCAAUCGAAUCCGGCUACAGAAUCCCCUUCGGCAAGAUCAACAUCUUUGUCGGCAUGGUUGGAUCACCUAUGCCUGAGCCGGACAUCUUCACCGACAUCGUCGAGCCGGCCAGGUAUGUCCGCCCUGUCACGACGCCAAAUCUAACCCGCCCAGUCUUUGUUGGUUUCACACAUGGAUCUGAGGAACCAGAACGAUCGGCGACUCAGGAGACCACGCCGGUCAACACUGAUGACGAAUCAUCCAUGGGCGACUCAGAUUCAAUUCAGUCUCUACAUGGGGGCUGCCUCGGAGGCCUGUCAUUGGCAAUGGACCCCGAGGUUCUCGACCGGACCUGCCGUCGAUCGCCGUUUACAUGGCAGGGGCGACUCAGCCCCCGCAAAACCCUGCAGGCAACGAUGGGACUGGCGAAACAUCCAGAAGCACAGCUGCGAUCUUGGUGGAUUUGGCGGCGGAGAUAACAAGGCUCAUGGCGACUCCUGUAAAAGCAGAAAACCAGGACACGAUAAAUGUCGAGUUGACAAAGCUUAGAGAUGGGGUGGCAAAGGCUCAGCGAGAUGAUGAAACAGAAGCCGCCAGGAUCGAGUCCCGGCAAGCUCAAAUCAGCGCUGAGACGGCCCGCUUGAACACCGAAAACUGGCGGCUCGAGAGGCAUCAGCGCGCAUCUGACGCUGUCCAUCAACGGAGGCACCAGGGGCACUUACCCCCUGAUCUCAACCCUACCUGCCUAUUCGACACUCCAUGCACUCCCGGGGCAGGAGACGCUGCGGGAGGAGGGCCGGGCCAGCCGCCAAACCCGCCGCUUCAGCCAGCAGUUGAUCGCAUCCCUCGAUUCCAGACACCUCGGGGUCACUUUUCCAACCCGGUGGACAACGUGCUCGCUGCGACUCACCAUUUAGAAUCCCUUCCGAUUCAUGGCAACACGCCGGCCGAAAUAGAAGCAAGGAACGCCAUUGAGAUGUUGAAGACGGCGGUGGUUCAAAACGCCGAGCUCUCACACAGCCUCGAUCGGCUGCACUCCACCCCCCAAGCAAGCCGCACCAGGAGCCGGCCAAAGGACCAGCCCGCCAUAACCAGUGGACCGCGACCCCUUCCCCAGGUUAACCCGCCUGACCAUCGGGACCCGCCGGGUCGGGAUCACCCGGACAUCCAAACCGGCCCAGCACCGCUUGUUGGAGGCGGCAGGCAGGUAGGGGUGCCAUGCUUAGCCCCCGCCCUUCGUAAUGUGCAAAUGUCGAAGGACUUUAAGGGACCAAGAAAGGUGCCUAACUACACCCCGGACCUUGAGCCGGCGUCAUGGCUUGAGAUUUACGAAAUCGCCAUGGACAUGCUUGAUGUAAAUGAAGCAAUCUGCGCCAGGUACUUCACAAUGAUGCUCGAGGGAACGGCGCGUACUUGGUUGAAAAACCUGCCCCCCCAACUCCAUCCAAACUUGGGCUAAAUUGAAAGAGCGUUUCAUCAAAAACUUCCGGGGAACUUGCAAGCGCCCAAUGACAAUAGUCGAUUUACAGCACUGCGUUCAGCGCCCUGAUGAGUUGGCUCACCACUGGACGCGGCGGGUCGCGGAAAUCAUUCACUCGUCAGACGGCAUCAUGGCGGCUCAGGCUGUGCUGAUCUUGGAGCAAAACUACCACUAUGAGCCCUUGGUACAGAAGUUGGGGCUACUCAAGUGAAAGGUCCAGGAUAUGGGGGAACUAAUGGACACCCUCACUAGGUACGCCGAGGCGAACGAUACCAAAGAUCCAGGAGAAGAUGGCGGCAAGGCCAACUCGCCAAGGAAAGGCGAGUCAUCCAAAAAUCAUACCCGGCUUCAGGGACGCGCCUGCCACAAUCACGGAGGGAACGGCAAGAGAAGGCAGCGGGAAGAAUCAACAGACUUCGUCGCCAACACCAAUGCCAACAACGGCAACCAGCGCUAGAAGAAGAGGGCUUACAGUGGCAAGAAGCCGCGCAAUUAUAACGAGAUACUCAUGGGCCCCUGCCCGCACCACGCUACGACGGACGGACCAGCGACUCACUCCUGGGAGGACUGUUACGUGAUGCGGGAAUUUCGGGCGGAGGCGAUCAAAAAGGGCCAAAACGGUGACCCGGACCAACGGCAGGAACAGUUCGGUGUGCCUAACCAGCGAUAGAACCCAUUCGAUGGCUUCCCCGAACCGGGGCUCAGGGCGGCUCGCAUCCAAGCAGCGGCUAGUACCCAGUACAUAACCAACAGCGGUAUAACCCGUCCGGGGUUUUUCAGCAGCCACCCCACAGGGGGCUCCACGGGGGCAAGAUGAUCAUGGCGGGUUCCGCAACAAUCCCAAACAAUUAAGCAACGGGAAAUACCACGUCUUCACCACCAAUGUCUGCAAGUGUGAUAAAAAGGUGAAUCAUCGAGCAUACAGUGUAUCUGAACCGGCACUCCCUAGGUACCUCCACUGGUCCGAGCAGAUUAUAUCGUGGAGUAGGGAGGAUCACCCGCCCAGAGUUGACAACCCCGGAGAUUUAGCGUUGGUCGUGGCUCCUCAAGUCGGGGGAUAUACCUUGUUGAAGGUACUCAUGGAUGGUGGUAGCAGCAUCAACAUACUAUACUUCGACACUUUUUGAAGGAUGAACCUGCUGGAGAAAGACUUAAUGCUGUCAACAACGGUAUUCCAUGGAAUUGUCCCAGGUAAAUCGGCAUACCCCAUAGGCCGGGUUAAACUCACAUUUGCGUUUGGAACAGCAUCCAAUUACAGGAGUGAGUCGCUUAUAUUUGAGGUGGCUAAGUUAAAAAGCCCUUAUCAUGCGCUGUUUGGGCGACAGGCUUACGCGUGUUUCAUGGCUCGCCCCUCCUAUGUUUACCUUAAACUCAAGAUGCCCGGUCCUAAGGGGCCCAUCACGGUUGAUGGUGACAGGAGGAUAGCAAGAGAGUGUGAGGAAGGGGAUGCGGCUUACGCAGAAGUCACGUUCGCUGCAGAAGAGCUCAAAUAUCACCAGGCCAAUGUUGAUCUAGCAGAUAUGUCAUCUCUAAAGAAGCCAACAACAGACGCUGAGCCGCCCCUCAAGUUCAAACCAACGGAUGACACAAAGAUAGUGGAUUUCGUCCCCGGCGACUCAACCAAGCAGUUUACUAUCGGGUCGGGUCUGGACCCCAAAUAGGAAACCGCGCUCAUCGAAUUCAUCCGUGAGAAUCGAGACAUCUUCGCGUGGAAACCUUCUGACAUGCCAGGUGUACCGAGAGAAUUCCAUGAGCACCAUCUUAAUGUUGACCCAAAGGCAAAGCCGAUUCAGCAAUAUCUUCGCGGGUUCAAUGAGGAACGACGCAAGGCAAUCGGGGAAGAAGUCGCCCGUCUUUUGGCCGCUGGAUUCAUCGUAGAGGUCUUCCACGCCAAGUGGUUGGCUAACCCGGUCCUGGUGCUCAAGAAGAACGGAACCUUUCGCAUGUUCAUUGAUUAUACAGAUCUUAACAGAGCUUGUCCAAAGGACCCUUUCGCCCUUCCCCGCAUCGAUCAAAUCAUUGAUUCAGUGGCGGGCUGCGAGCGUUUGUGUUUCCUGGACGCUUAUUCCGGAUAUCACCAAAUCAAGAUGGUUGUGGAAGAUCAGGAGAAGACACCUUUUAUAACCCCCUUCGGGGCCUUUUGUUAUGUGUCCAUGCCAUUCGGGCUCAAAAGCGCUGGAGUGACUUACUGGCGUUGCAUCCAAAAUUGUCUCCGUGGCCAAAUCGGACGCAACGUCCACGCUUAGGUUGAUGACAUUGUGGUUAAAACUCGUAGGAAGGAGACGCUCUUGGAAGAUUUAAGGGAAACUUUUGACAACCUGCGGGUAUACCAGAUGAAGCUUAAUCCCACCAAGUGUGUCUUUGGCAUUCCCGCAGGAAAGUUGUUGGGAUUCCUGGUGUGUUAGCACGGCAUCGAGGCCAACCCGGACAAAAUCGAGGCGAUUACUUCGCUUGGGAAACCAGCGAAUAUCAAUCAAGCUCAACGGAUGGCGGGUCGUAUCACGGCUUUAAGUCACUUCAUAACCGCCUGGGAGAAAAAGCUAUUCCCCUCUAUCAAUUGCUUAAGAAAUCUGGCCAUUUUGUUUGGACAGACGAGGCCGAUGAAGCUUUUGAAGCCUUGAAGCAGCAGCUGGUCAGCCCGCCAUUUUUGGCCGCCCCGACUGAAAAGGAGCCUAGGCUUUUGUACAUUGCGGCAAACUCCAAGGCGGUGAGCGUGGCGGUGGCCGUCAAACGAAAGGAAGAAGGGAAGGAAUAUCCGGUACAACGCCCGGUGUAUUUCACUAGUGAGGUGCUAACUCUCUCCAAGCAACGAUACCCGCACUGGCAGAAGCUGGUCUAUGGGGUCUUUAUGGCAAGUCGAAAGCUCAAACACUAUUUCCAAGAGCAUCCCAUCAUGGUGGUUAGUUCCGCUCCUCUCGGGGACAUCAUCCAAAACCGAGAAGCGAUAGGGCAAAUCGCCAAAUGGGCGAUCGAACUUGGGCCGCACCACGUGCGAUACACCCCUCACACGGCUAUCAAGUCUCAAGCUUUGGUUGACUUCGUCAACGAUUGGACCGAAUUGCAGAUUCCGGAAGACAGGCCCGACCUCACGUACUGGACUAUUUGCUGUGAUGGGUCUAGGCAAUUGGAAGGCUCGGGGGCUGGCGGGGUGUUGAUUUCGCCCCAGGGAGACAAAUUCUGUUAUGUUCUCCGACUCAUGUUUCCAUGCACCAACAACGCUGCAAAGUAUGAAGCCUUGCUUCAUGGUUUGCGACUCGCCAAGGAGAUGAACCUCACGCGGGUCAGAUGUCUCGGCGAAUCUGAUCUGGUGGCUCAGCAAGUUUCAGGUACUUGGGAUUCUCGGGACCCCUUGAUGGCGGCUUACAGAAGGGUUGUGUCUGAUGUGGCGGGUCAUUUCCAUGGCUAUCAAGUUGAUCAUAUCGACCGACACCUUAACGAAGCAGCUGAUGCCCUUUCACGUCUCGGCUCACACCGUAAGCCGGUUCCUCCCAAUGUCUUUCUGGAUAUUUUGCAUAUAUAAUCCUGCCGUAAGUUUGCCUUCAGAAGAGGAGUUGGCAAUACCCGACCCUGAGUCCCAGAUUGUGGCGGCUCUCCAUGUUACGCCGGAUUGGGUUCUUCCGUAUUUGGCAUAUCUUGCACGAGGCGAGUUACCAUCGGAUGAGGUGUUGGCUCGCCAAAUUGUCCGUCGAAGCAAAUCCAUGGUCAUCAACAAUGGCGAAUUGUAUAAGCGAAGCACUUCUGGGGUAUUGCAAUGAUGCGUCUCUUCCGAAGAAGGAUGCGUGAUUCUGAAUGACAUCCAUGCCGGAGAUUGCGGGCAUCAUGCCAGGUAACGCUCCCUCGUCUCAAAGGUGCUCCGUCACGGAUUCUUUUGGUUGACGGCUCAUGCAGAUGUAGAAGAGAUAGUUCGUCGAUGUGAUGGUUGCCAACGUUACGGACGACAGGCUCAUGUGCCAGCUCAAGAACUAAGGAUGAUACCUAUUACUUGGCCUUUCGCGGUCUGGGGGCUAGACAUGGUUGGCCCCUUUAAGAUGUCGUCCAACAAAAAAACUCAUCUGCUGGUGGCGGUUGAUAAAUUUACCAAGUGGUUCGAAGCAGAACCUGUUGGUGCUUGUGAUGCGGAGACAUCGGUCAAGUUCUUGAAAAAACUGAUCUUCCGGUUCGGAUAUCCACACAGCAUUAUUACUGACAAUGGUACUAAUCUAUGACAAGGAGCGAUGCAGGAGUUUUGCCACCGUGAGCACAUCCAGCUUGAUGUCUCUGCAGUGGCUCAUCCACAAUCUAAUGGGCAGGCGGAACGGGCGAAUCAAGAAGUAUUGCGAGGAAUCAAACCCCGACUUAUGGUUCCCCUGGAAGGCACCCCAGGGUGUUGGGUUGAGGAGUUUCCUUCAGUACUGUGGAGCAUCCGGACCACCCCAAACCGUUCUAAGGGUUUUACUCCCUUUUUCCUGGUAUACGGAGCAGAAGAUGUUCUUCCCACUGACAUUAGGCAUGACUCGCCCAAAGUUGUUGCUUAUGUGAAACAGGACAACGAGUUGGCGCGUCAAGAUUCUUUGGACGCUUUGGAGGAAGCACGCGACUUGGCUGCCGCCCGAUCGGCUAUUUAUCAGCAGGAAUUGCGGCGUUACCACAGCCGCCGGGUCACGAGCCGAACCUUUCAGGAGGGCGACUUAGUGCUUCGAUUGAUCCAAGAUCGCACUCGCAUGCAUAAGUUAUAACCACCAUGGGAAGGACCGUUCGUCGUCAACAAAAGCCUUCGCAACGGGUCAUACUAUUUGGUGGAUCUUCGGCCUGAUCGGCCAACCACGGAGGCUGAGUCAACUCGCCCCUCAAACAUAGCCCACUUGCGGCCUUAUUACACUUGAGCUAUUGGCUCUGUUUUUUGUUCUGUUGAAAAAUUGUAAGUUUUUCAUUUUUAUGAUGAAGCAAUAAAAUUGAUGCCCACAAACUCGGGGGCUUUCCUGCUAUUUCAUCUUAUUGAAAGUAUGGAUCUUUUAUUUUGCUCCUUAACAAGUCGCCCAAGCAUGGACUCUAUCCAUACCAGAGAGCAUAAGUUGCCAUGAUGCACUUAUUACAACAGUGGGUAUCGAUAAGCCAAAGAGGAUCAAGUCGCUACAAGCGCGUGAUUCAAACAUAGGCGCCAUAUAUGAUUUUGUGGCUUGGGCCGGCUUACUUGGGGGCUAUUUGUUCCCAAGUCGUUUUGUGGUAAGAGCGUAUACGCUUCUACAAUCCUAUGACCGGUCUUUCCCCUAAUCAUAGGUCACUUGGGGGCUUCCUCUCACUGAGAUCAGCCUUACUACCCAUAUGGCCUGCGAAAAAUUACCGCAUUACAAAUGGUUAUACUGGACCGUGUGUUGGCCUAAUCGCCAUAUGGACCCAUGAACUCUUGGCGAGUUACUCCGCUUUAUGGACCCUGAACUCGCCUUGGUUAAAACAUGUAUGGUACCGGCUAGCGCCCCACAUGGAAAAUAGAGAAACCAUUGGUUCAUUGAACCUGCUUCAUCGAAGCCUGACUCGUGCCUGAUCAGCCGGUCUAAAUACUUGAGCUUUUUAUACAAAAAGUCUCCCUCGGGUAGCACUUGAGUUUAUAUAACUCGUCCUAUACUGUCGCGACUUGAAUGAGCCGGCGAAAUUCCUACUUUUCACCUUCCUGCCACUGCCAAAAGGUUUUUCAAAUUUUUCCGACUCAUCCUAACAUCCUGAGUCGGUUAUUAUUUAUUAUUAUCAUCAUCCAUUACUCACUGAGGUGGUUUGAUGUAUGUUUUUAAGCAUAACAGGUUGAUGAUCAAAAUCAAUAUUGCCAUGGCGGGUCAAGCAUCAUAAGACGCCUCGAGGGCGACACAAGGGGUUUAAAGAAAUCACGGAACAAGGUUGUUUUCUAUGAAUAACUUACUACAUGGCUCUGAUGGCCAAAUCCAUGAAGAACUACUCCGUUGAUGUCCCCGGGUGAGCUUGCUUUGAUCUCUCACCGACUUCAAUCUGCAAGUCGCCCAAUACCCAAUUACACUUGGAUAAGGCGCCCAAUACUGACUUAACGUAGUCAAUACCCCUUUUCGAGGCAGCUGACCGGGUUAGCUCACCUAUCUGAGGCAGAAGGGUAGAUAAGCAGCCAAGCAUCUUUUUGAUUGAUGUUAUGGGUUCCUUGGCACCCAUGACUGUCUUCAUGGUCAGCACGCUUCCGGUAUACAGUUGCUCUGUUAAUGUGUAAAUCGCCUUCAGCAUCAGGACACAAUCAUUCAUAAGUUUGGCGGCUCUCGGACCUAUAUAAGAGAUAAUGAUGGUCAGUAACUUCUUCAUACUAAGUUAUUUUUUACAAAGUACAAGAUCACGGUUUUGCUUCUUACCAAAGAUAGCAUGUGCCAUGUUGGAGAUAUGUUGCUUUAAACCGGCCAUCUCUUGUUGCACGGCUUCCAAUUUUGCUUCAGCUUUUUCUGCUCGCUUCACCGCGGCGUCUUGAUCAGCUUGAGACUUCUUGUGGGCGGCCUUCAGCUCCUCCAUCUCAGAUAAGAUUACUUGAUAUUUUUCUUCUGAUUGUGCCCGCGCAUCUUGCUGGUCGGCUAAACUUUUCUUGAAGUCGUCAAAUGCCGACUCAGCUUGGGCAAGAGAUUCCUGGCAAAAUAUAUUAUCAAGGGGCAAGUCUCAGAAUUAUUGCAAGCAACAUCUCUGACACUUGGGGGCUAAUGUAUAAUUUUUUAGACAAAAUUAUACAAUAUCAAGACCCGUCUCAUCUUUCAAUAGAUGACCCGACCCUUGGGGGUUACAGGUCGAAAGAUUUUUUUUCAUAUCAAGACCCGGCUCAUCUUUCGAUAGAUGACCCGGCCCUUGGGGGUUACAGGUCGAAAGAUUUUUUCAUAUCAAGACCCGGCUCAUCUUUCAAUAGAUGACCCGGCCCUUGGGGGUUACAGGUCGAAAGAUUUUUCCAUAUCAAGACCCGGCUCAUCUUUCAACAGAUGACCCGGCCCUUGGGGGUUACAGGUCAAAAGAUUUUUUUCAUAUCAAGACCAGGCUCAUCUUUUAACAGAUGACCCCGCCCUUGGGGGUUAAUGAGGAUGGUAUGCGUUAAGGCGUACCUCAUGUCUAUUCUUCAUCAUAAGGAGAAGGCUCUUCUCCAUUUCAUAACUCGCCUCCAGGCGACUUGCAAAGCCGGAACAGAGUUCUUUAAAUUCAAGAUUCUCGUAUUGAGAUAGCUUGGCCUUGGAUAUCUCAUGUUCAAUAGAAGGCCGGGUUGAUGUUGAUACGUGCUUCGAGAAGACUGCCGGAGCCGGCUUAGAGAAGCUAGUACCAGUGAUGAUUACAACAUCUGGAUCCUCUGCUGUUGUCAACGGACUCGGUGGAUUGGGCGCUUCCGUGCCUUCCUUGGGAGAAUUCGGGAGAUCCACUUCGUCAUCAGAUUUAUCCUUUGCCGGGUUAUCAUGAGUCGGCGCUAGUCUUUCAAUAGUCUCUGGAACUGUGAUCGAAGUUGACCCGCCAGUUUUCCUUUUCUUCGCUUGCGCCCUAAAAAGAGAAGAGGAUGCGCUUAAAAAACAGACAUCAUCAUCAUCAGGACAAUGUAAGUAUUCUAAGAAUUUACCCUGGAACACGGAUCAUCGGCGGAAGGGCUGACAUCACUGAGUCGCCUGACGAAGGGGGAGAAUUCUGCAAAAGUAAUACCUCAAGACAUGAGCAAGUUAUAAGUAUGAUCCAAAAGGAAACGAAAGGGGACUCUGUUAAAAGGAUACCUCAUUCUGCCUCUUCUUGGUAGGAGUUUUCGUUGGUAACCCGGACACCAAGUCUCGAGAAUGACUCGAAGUUUUCCGAUUGGAAGCAUAUUGCGUUUUCUUCAAAAGGAAAUUAGGAUCCAAACAAGCAUUUGGGUGAGACAUGGGAACCUGCCCACAAAUCCGCCUGGCCAACUUAGGCGGAGGAGAAGAUGAGUAGGAGGAAACAUAAAUUACCUCUAUGGAGUCUUCUUGGCUUUCGUUGCCCUCAUUCUACACAAGAGAUACAGAGGUGUCAACACAAAAUUAUAGCAAUAAAUGGCAAGACAAAGAAGAUAGAAUUUUACCUCUGAAAGUACAUCGCCGACUUGGGAUUCGUCUGCAUCAGACGGUUCAGUAACGGCGGCUUUGCCUUUGCCCUUGGAUUUCUUCUUUGGGGGCGGCUUGGCUUGCUUCAGGGCCAUCUUUUUCGGCCUCUUUGGACCAGAAUUUGUCACCUUUCUGAAGUGGCAUUUUUAUUAUGAGAAUCAUAAUUCAAGUAAGUCGGAAGGGAUAAAGUAAAGGCGGUUAAGUUAUUUACCUUAGGUGCCGGGUUGAUCUUGCAGAAUGGCUUAAGACCUAUUUGGCCACACUUGGCCAAGGGCUCGCCGGUCAACUUCUUCAUGAUGGACAUGAUGUCAUUUUCUGUCAGUGUUGUACGGAAGUAGCACUGGGGAUGGUCCAAGGUGCCAUCAAACUCACACAUUAAUCCGUCUCGGCGACUUAAGGGGAGGAUGCACCAUUCAACCCAGCAGUGGAUCAAAUCAAUCCCGGUAAGACCGUUGUUUGUCAGAGAUCGUAACUCGGAUAGCGCCGGGAUAAAAUCUGACUCCUCUUCUUCAGUAAGCUUGUCUGGAAGUUUAAAGUUUGUAGGGAGGCGUUCCUCCCUAUAGCCAAGGAGCUUGUUUUCACCCUCAGGAGAAGUUUCUUGGCAAUAAAACCAAGACUCGCCCCAGCCUUUGGGAUGGCUUGGCAUGGUGAGUGAUGGGAAUGAGCUGUCCCUACGGCGUUGAACGUUGACGCCUCCAAGUUCCAAGCUAGGGCCAUUGGAAAAUUCGGUCUGGCGAUUCAAGUGAAAGAAAUACCAGAACAAAGGAACUGAAGGUUCCAUCCGCAAGUAGGCUUCGCAGAACACUUGGAACUGACAUAAGUUGCUAAUCGAGUUAUGUCCUAAGUCUUGGAGGCGGACGUUCAUGAAAGUCAUGGCAUCUCUGAGGAAUUUUGACCCUGGCGACUUAACCCCCGUUCGAGGUGCUCAGCAAAGACAACUAUUUCCCCUUCCUUCGGGUUGGGAAUUUCUUCUCCAAACCCGGAUCGCCAUCCGAUAACCUCUUGCGGAUCGAGAUUUCCCGUCUUCACACAGUCGUUGAGAAAAGCAUCAUCAACUUUGGUCGGGAGCCAAUCGGCUUUGAAAACGGUACCCAUGGCUACAAAGGAAAAGAUUACAGGUAAAUUAACUCGCCGAGCGCUUGCUGAGUGGUUAAAAGAUCAAUUAACUCGCCGAACAUUUGUCAGGUGACUAAGGGAGUCUGCUAACUCGCCAACAAGGGGCCAGGUCAGAAUACAAAGGCGAUUUAGGAAUUUCCUACUACCUAAGAGGGACGACUCAGAGCUUCAGAGAUGUUCGUUAAAAUGGUGAAGUACGGAUCUACAAACAGGUUUUAUACAGCAGGCAGUAACACAUAGAUCUACGGAGCAGGCGAAAGUGAAUGGAAAAAGGCCUGGAUAACGUAAAAACAGCCUAUGGCUAGGGUAAGAACAGUAAAGCUGAUUUGACAGAAGCCUUUUUAGAUCCUCAAGCAGGAGCUAAUCAACUAAGGAUCUCGUCGAUGCUACUAUACCCACUAUUAUCGUUGUGAACUAAUCAGCGAUUAUGGGGCAUUCGAGGUGUUCUAAGAAACCGGCAAGCAAUGAACCUCAGAUCUACCUCUAAUGGCAAAGGGCUGACCUGGCGAUGGUGACCGGAGGUGACCGAGGAAGAUCCGCAGCGAGUGUUGCUCGCUUAGUCAGCCUCGGGAUGCGUCGGACGCGGUAGCCAGAGACGGAGAUCUUCGGGCGGCGAUGGAGUUCUUGGUGCAGUCGCGAGGAAGAAGGGGACGACGAAAUGGGUAGGUGGGAAUGUUCCCUGCCCCCUUCCCCCGACCUAUUUAUUGGGUUGGGUGCUGGAAUCAAGGCGCCUCGCGCGGGAACUGACGACGGGUUAAAGAUUCGCUAUAAUGGCGCCGAAAAUUUUCGGGAUAUCUGUGCCGAAGGAUCCGUUGGUCAUUGCGUCAUCAUCUCUUCCGAGAUUAAAGGGAUAAGAUGAUGUCAACAAGAAGUGGUUCGGCGACUUGGGUAUCUCCAUGAUAGGGUGGCAGAUGAAGCGUAUGAUGCGUAAAAAGGGCAGAGUGAGUCGGCCAUGGCUACGUGAGAGUUGACAUGAACUGAUUCUGGUUGAUCUGGGGCCUAAUGUUGGGGAUAUUAUCUGUUGUGUGACACGCCCUAGUUGGGCCGGGUCACCAAGUGGGCGACUCGUCCUUUGGCGAUUCAAGCUUUGGCCUGUGAGCCUAGGAGCUAGACGGUGGUUCAGGAUCCUCGUGGAGAAUCAGUCAUUGGGAAGGCCUCUAAGUCUUGGAAUGCACGGCGCCUCAAAGGGCUUGACCUGUAUAUAAAGGCGAUUCCCGGGGAAGGAGAGGGCAGGUUAGAAAUCAUCGAGUGCUAGGCCAGGCGAGUUACGCCAUCUUUGUAAUCGAAACACCAUCAACACAACACAAAGCAGGACGUAGGCUUUUACCUCCUCUCGAGGGGCCGAACCUGGGUAAAUCUCUGACUCGCUCCCGUUCAACCCCUUUGAGUCGCCACCAAGGUGCGAUGGCUCCAACACUAAGUCCUUUCACGAGGACAUCUACCGUGACAAAACCACGAUAGUGACCACAACCCUCUUCUAUGUGAUGGUAGUUUAGAUAUCGACUUGUAAUGUGAAGAAAAACUCGCUACUCGCGGUCUUGAGACUUGUAAUGUACUAACUUUGUUCGUUAUUUUGAAUUCGAAGACUAAUAUGAUGAAUUGUAUUUGGAGACUAAUCUUCUAUUGUAUUUGAUAAAUCUGCUAUUUAUAUAUAUGUUUUGUUGUUUAUAUUAUGUGCUAUAAUGUAUAUUUUAAUCUCUAUAAAUACCAAAAAAGAAAAAAAUCCUAAUAUUCAUAGUAGUGGCGCACCAAGUUGAACUCUAGUGGCGCACCAGGAGGUGCGCCAUUAGUAUCUGGGAUAGUAAUGGCGCACCAGGUGGUGCGCCAUUAGUGUCUGGGAUAGUAAUGGGGCACGAGGUGGUGCAUCACUGUUAUGUAUAUUAACAGUGAUGCACCAUGAAUACACAAUUACUAUUUAUUAGUAGUGGUGUGAUAAUAAUGGCGCGCCUAUAGUGUGCCAUUAAUAGACAAAGCAGGUACGCCACUAAUAGCCCUUUUUGUAGUAGUGCCCGGCCGAGACCCGACGACGUCGCGCCCCCGCGCCCUCCUUCCCGACCGAGUCACGCCAUCGCCUCGACCUCGCCGUCGCCUACCUCGCCCGCUAUGAGCUCGCCACCCCUCGAUGUGCGGUGAUUUUUUUCACUAGAUUGUUUCUUUUUCACUAGCUAGUUUUUCGUUCUUCUAUUUUUUAGGUUUUUAUACUUUUAGUGUUGUAGUAUAGAAAAAGUUUGCAUAGGAAAAAGUUGACCAUAUAUUUGUAUAGUAUAGAAAAAAAACUGCAUAGAAAAACGUUGCAUAGGAAACAGUUCACCAUAUGUAUAGUAUAGAAAAAAUUGCAUAGAAAGAAGUUGGAUAGAAAACAAUUGAGGAAUUUUGACCAAGCGUAGAAAAUAAUUGCAUAGAAAAAAGUUGACAAUGUAGUAAACAUAUUUUAAUGUUAAUAUCUUAAUGUUGUAUUUUCAAAAGUUAGUCAUGUAUUUGCAAAAUCAAGUGAACAAGAAUUACAAAAAUCAUAAUCAAGGAUUUAAAAAAUGUUAAAUUUGUAUAGAAACAUUUUUGGCGUCGAAGAUGCCCGGUUCGCAUCCUCGUCGUCGAUUCAGUGGCGAUAACCUUUUUGAGAGGCGCCUUGUCCGGGACUGAACUCCACCGAGCUGGCACUGGGGUGCGCAUCUUGGUGAGGAACCAGGCUCACGUCGUCGACCCGGAGCUUUUGAAUGUACUAAGUACCCAAAUAGAAAUAACCAACGAGAAAUAGUAUUUCCUUACAACUUGAGAUAUUUUAAGGUACUAAAUACCCAACCGGAAAUAGUAUUUCCUUACAACUUCAGGUGAGUGUUACUGUCUUGUACUAUAAAUUCUGUUUUAGUUACUCGAUGUUAAGUGUACAUAGUACUUAAUGAGUUAUGCAUUCCCGCUUAUACAACGUAGGUUCUAGUGGAUAUUGCUAAUCAUUAGGGUUGACGAGGGAAAAGUUGAAGUAGUGGACUCACUAACUAAACACAGUGAAGAGUACAUGAACCUGAAGUUGAUGCUCGGCAGGUAAUUUCAAUCAUUAUCCCACUAUCUCGGCCUCUUUACUUCAUUUCCUGAUAUCAAGUAAUCAAUGAUUCCUUUAUUCUUUUUCUUUACCAGGCAAGGUCUGGGCACGGUUAAUCCACGAGAUUGUCGUCCCAUGGUAAUUAAGUAGUACUAGCUGUGUUCCUGCAUCUCUUUAGUUCUAGUUUCAAUACCAUUAUCAUGCUUGAUUAUUAUCUGACUGAAUUCUAUUCUCGUAAAGUGGUGAAUGAAGCAGGAACAGGAGAUUAACACAUGUACAUACAUUGUUUGCGAGAACAUUUGGAUUAUGACCGAAAGGGGCAGACAUAAAACAAUUCUUGGUGUACGUAGACAAUAUUCACAAUUUUUUUAUCAUGAUCUAAUUUAUACACACAUAAUUAAUAUAUUCAUAUUGAUAUCCUUCUUUAAUUAAAGAUGCUGGAGAAGCCGGGUAGGCUCAUACGAAAGGGCCGGGUACGAGCACUUCACGAUGAAAUGGCGGGGUUUUUGCUUGACGAGGUCAUAGCUCCCAACAGAGAAUACUANCAUAACGUGUAUAAUAUGUAGUAGCGUAAAAUAUGUUUGAAAUGAAAAAGAAUGAAAUAAAAACCAUAAAAUGAAAAGAAAAAGUAAACAAUAAACCGCAAAACCCCAAAGUCUUUAGUCCUGGUUGGUGUCACCAACCGGGACUAAACGUCCCCGCCCCCCGGCUCGCGCAGCCAGCCGCGAGGAAGGGUAUUAGUCCGAGGUCAUGGACAACAGGGACUAAAGGGGGGCUUUAGUCCCGAGUUAUUAGUCCUGGUUGGUGAUGCAGACUAAAGGCCCUUACCAACCGAGACUAAUGCCCGUUUCUCCACUAGUGGUAUAAUCAUGUAUGUUAUUUGGAUCAAUGAACCCAGUGUCAUAGAUUUACCCUUUUUUGCAUCCGAGAAUCUUCAUUCUUCAUAAUAUAGUGGGGAUAAUUAUACAUGCAAUGAACGAGAUGAGCUAGAGACUUAAUUACAGAAAUAAUACUUACAAACAAUAGCAACUCACGGUAGAUUUGUCGAUGGCAUCUUGAUUGUAUAACUGAAAUAAUUCAUCAAAUUCAAUGUUUAUUUCGUAGUUUCUACGGAAGUAAUGCUCAUCUCUAAUUCCCACCACGAGCCAGCUGCUCCCUUCCUAUCAGGCUUGCAUGUACCACUCAUGCAAUUUUCGCAUUUGUGUUGGUAGAAGUCGGACCUCCUCAGGUCUGAUGAGAGGCUUCCCUUGCUGGUAUCUGUAUGGUAAAUCAUACGUGGGGAACUCUAGCGCCUGGCCUAAGUAUUGAGAAAGAGUCAAACCAAUAUCAUGGGCCGCUUUUCCGUAUAGUUGUGCUACCUCCAGAUCAUAAUCGAUAUCGGAAAACACGUUGAGCGGGGGGGGGCACGAUUGGGUUUUUUGUUCUCCGAGCUAGGGAAUUGUUUUCCCCCUUGAACUACUACUUCCCAACCGCCGCACAUGUUCUUUAUGUGACUUCAUAAUAGAUCAUUCAUAGUUUGAUGGUAGCGAAGGCGGUGGUCGCGUAAGGUUUUCCAGAAAUUUUUUGCUUUUAUCGGAUCUAUUUUCUCCUUUGGCUCGGGCCAUUUUGGUGCAAGCUAGAGUUUCACAUCAGCAUCCAUGACCAUCUUGAGGUCAUCUUCAGUCAGUUCAUAUAGUAAUUUGGCAGGAGCCUCUUUAACGCUGUUCCUUGUACCUGUUGAGGGUUUCUUCCGAGUUGUAGUACUAGCCGCUGGAGUGGCGGUUAUCUUCCGCUUAUCCACCCGCAAUUAAGUUGGCGGAAGCCAUAGAGUCAGCUGACGCGACAGAGACAACUGACGCGGCGGAGGCAGUGGAGUCUGCUCACGCGGCGGAGACGGAUGAGGCGAUGGAGAUUGAGCUGGAUUGCUACUCUAAGGAGUGGCUGGCCUUGGCAUCCAAUGUGGAAGCACGAUGUGUUCUUUUUUCCAUAGUAUGGUAAUUUUAUAGCAUCCCAGUCCAGUCUCCCCUUCACCUGUAGGGAAGUAAAGCUUCAGCUACUCAAAUCCCUUGAUAACUUCAUCCACCCUGACAACAACAUAGCCAUCUGGAAUCAGAGAGAAGUGGUAAGUUCCAUUAUGUAGAUGAGGUAAGGCAAAGCGACCGCCACCUUCACGGAUAUGUUCAUGCAUUUCACAUGUAGCUCACAAUCCCCCCCCCCUAUGUGAUAUCAUCCAUGGGGUAGCGAGGAGCCGUGAUAUCAUAUAUGGGACAAACCAGCUCCGUGGAAGCCACGCUGCUUUUCCGCUAAGAUGGUGGGCCGGCAGUAUCGAAUGCAUGAUCUUUGUUUCGCUGAGAUGGGUCAUAGCUUGUUGGCUGGUAAGUGUGUCUAGUUGCUUGUGCUGCCAUGCUAUUUUUAUCUUCUCCAGCCGGUCUGUAUGUUGUUUCUUUUUUCUCCCUUGGCUUGUAUAAGUGUCACUACAGUAGGGAAACCCAAUCUUCCACGGAACGGAGCAGGAUGUGCCUCGUGUUCGUCCACUAUGUUCAACAUUCCCGAGGGCAUGUGUGAGCUCGCCAUUCUUUCUAUCGGGAUUGAAUUCACAUCCUGCACGUCCUUCAUUGCAGCUUUAAGGGCUUUGAUGGGUGUUGCAAGUUGAUCUUUUUGCAAAAAUACACUUCCCUAUUUCUGAGUUCAACUUUCCCCAUGCGCGUAGAACCAAGUCUUUGCCCGUUCGGCCCACUCCAAUGUCUCUUUAUCGAUCCCUUUAUCAAUCAUGUAGUUUUAAGUUUUCUCCCACUUAGGCCUGGCAACCUUUUAGCCACCUGAUCCAUAACAUAGUGAUAUUCCUUCUUUGCAACAUUUUUCUUAUUUCUUCCCGACCUUUUCAUAGCUUCAUCUGAUGUCUUGUACUCCACAAAUGUGUCCUGGUGAUCUUUUAUCUUCUCAUAUGCUCCGGUGAAUGUUGGAGUCUUGUUUUUUAGGAUAUAUUCUCGGUGCAAUCUUUUCUUCCAGGUUCAGAAUUGUGCGGCCAUCUUCUUAAGAGUCCAUGCCUUGACUUUUCGCUCUAUAACAUUGUUAUUUGGAUCCAUCUAUGGCGGUAGGGUGAAAUUUGUCAUGAGCGUAUUACAAAGCAUUUAUUUGUAUCUAUCGUCGACAUAAGUAACUCCAUACGCCUUUGACUUAUUCCAUUCUCGAAUGGUGAUCGGGAUUUUAUCCCUAACAAUAACACCACACUAACUUACAAAUGCUUUUGCGUUCUGCGCGGGACCAAUCGGUUUGCCAUCUUCAGCGACUUAUUCAAUCUUGAACCUUUCAUUAUCGCCCAACCUUUUUUUCGGGCCUCGUUUCUUUAUAGAAGAUUGGCUCGAUCUGAAGGGCUAAAAGAAGAAAGAAGCGUUAAUAUAUGUAUAUACAAAUCAAUUAAUGCACCUAGUGAGCAGAGGCUUAAUUAAUAUAUCUUGUCGGACUUUAUAAUAAUUAAGGUUCCAAACACUAGAGUCGUCAUCUUCUCCCUCCAUUCCCACAUCGGAGUCGUCAUCUUCUCCAUCUAUUCCCUCACUAGAGUUGUUCAGAAACUGUGAGGUGAUAUCAUCUUCGUCGCGGAUUAUUUUCCCAACAUGUCUUCUUGUUCUUCAUCUCUGCCGUGAUCCAUAGUUUCUGCAAAGACUUGCAAGUUAUUUCAACGCUAAUUGCAAAGACUUCAUUACGCAACAUCAAAGUGACCAAAUUAAUACAAGUUCAUCACAUCAAAACCAAAGUAGAGUAGUGGCCAUGCAAAUAUAUAUACAUAAAGUUCAUAGAUAUAUAGUUCUCACACAGCAACAUACAACUAUCUAAAGCAUUUAAAUGGAACAACAAAUGCGAUAAAAAUCACAACUAAGGUAAUAAUUGAUCCAAUAGCAUAAUGAUAAUAAGCCUCUUUAUUAAUGGCAUAUUUGCUAAUCUCUCUAAUCUUCAAGCGCAUCGCAUCCAUCUUGAUCUUGUGAUUAUCUAGGACAUCGACGACAUACAACUCCAAUUUCAUCUUCUCUUCUUUAAUUCUUUUCAAUUUUUCUUUCAAAUAAUCAUUUUAUUUUUCAACUAAAUUUAACUUCUUGACAAGAGGGUCAGUUGUAAUUUCCGGUUCACAUACCUCCUAGAUAAAAAAUAUAUAUAUCAACUUCAUGGGCAUAAUUGUCAUAAACUCGAAAUGAAACAAAUAGUUAUAAAAUAUAAUAUACAAUAUCCUAAUCAUAAACUGAACUAGGGCCGACGGGGACGGAUUUUAAAACCAUGAGACUAUAUAUAUAUAACUAAAAAUCAUACAAGUAAGAAAAUUAUAUAUUUACGCCUUGGUGAGCUCCUAGUGCUCGGAGUCUGGCGCGUCGCCACGCACGCAAGGCAGCUCAGCCUACUUCUGAUGCGAGGCAGCAGCGCUUGGAUCCAGCUGCAGCGGCAGAAGCCUUCAAGAGACGAAUUGGAAAUCUCUGCUACCGAUGUCUUCGCCCAAGACACAAGUAUUUUGAGUGCAGAGACCCAAAGAUUUGCUAUACUUGCAAGCGGCCGGGGCAUUUGGAGAGAAACUGCCCGAAGCGCGUUAUUGAGAAGAACCCCUACCACCGUGUCUCCAAUCCAUCCACAACACCACCGGCCUCCACCGCUCCUUUGCAGCCUCCGGCUGCUCAGAACUCGACUACCCCUCCCUUGGCACCUGUUGUACCGCUGCUUGCGGCAUGGUCCGUCAUGGCCUAUGUGCCGGGGGCGGCUGCGCAACGACCUGCGAACUCCAGCUGCACGGUGGAGAGCACGCCGGCCAUGGAGGAAGAGGCUUUUCGCCUCCGCUCCACUGCCCUGAUCCUCACGGCAGUGGGGAACUGCUCCGGCAUCUCCGCGGACAUGGUGGCCAACGAAGUUGAGAGAAAGUUUCGCUUGCUCUCAUGGGACGUCGUGGUCGCCCCCUUCUUCCCUGACGACUUCCUCCUCACUUUGUACAAGCCGUUCCAAAGGGACAUCGUCCUGGAGAGCAGAAGCAUCAAGGUUGCAGGGGUGCGUUUCAAGUUCAAAUCAUGGCUGCCUCCACCUGGUGGCAGCAGGGUAUGGCGCUACUACUGCCGAGUAGCCAUCGAGCGCAUGCCGCUGACUGCUUGGGACUGGGCAAGUGUCAAAGAGAUCCUUGGAAAGGAUUGCUGGCUCGACCUCAUCGAGCGGCAGUCCACCACCAAGACCAACGUCAAGGCCCUCUUUGCCUGGUGCUGGACCUGGAAUCCAGACAGGACCCUGCGCGCGUCGGACUUCAAUGUCCUCAAUCGCCCCGAUGUCGUUCGCCCAAGGGGAUCCAGACCGGAAUGGAGGAAGGCAAGGAAGGACCUCACUUCCGUGUCCUACUGCACCUUGAUCUGGUGAAGGACUAUGCCCCCAUCCCAGACAGCCCUGAACAUGGUGCGCCUCCAGAGUGGCCGCGGAUAUAUCCGUUUGAUGGAUGGCGGUAUGGCAUCAAAGAUGGUGAAGGGAGAUCACGCCCAAUGGGGGCGAGACCUCCACAUGACAGAGGACGACGCAGCGGAGAUGACGAAGAUGGCGGUGGCAAUGGUCGCCCCAGGGGCAAGAGAGCAGGCGUGCGCAAACGCUUCCUCCAAAGCCUACGUGCACAAGCCCAAUGCAAAGACACUGCCAGCUGUGAACCAGAGCCAAGACGAUAUCGCCGGCGCGACGAGGGCACCACCUCCGGCCAUGCUCCGAUGGAUGUGGACUGCCCUACUGUCGGCGUUCUUAGGAUGAGGGGCCGCUCGCCCAUGCCUCGAACAAGCCAAAGCGGCAGCCAGGUGGUUUCUGCGUUACACCAAACUUGGAAGUGCUCCGUACUAAGGAGAUGAGACAGGCAGAGGAACAGGCAGACACACAUGACGUUGGAGAUGCUGUCAGUGCUGCCAUGAGCACUGCUGCUGAGGGCCAGCAAGUCCAGCAAGAGGCCAUGAGCACUGCUGUCGAGGUCCAGCAAGAGGCCAAUGAUAUGCUGGUGCAACAAGAGAAUCUGCCCCUUGAUGAGUUGGCAGACAAAGAGCAAUCACAUGGUGAUCCCCUUGGCAGACUAGAGCAGUCACAUGGUGAUCCCCUUGGCAGACUGGGCGGCUGUGAUGCGCCUGAUUUUGGCAUGAUGCAGAUUUACUCUCCAGCUCGUGGAAACACUGGGUAUCCGCUCAGCUCCAACACAGUCUGGCAACCUAUGGUUCAACCUGAUCCAACUACUACCACCAUUGCUGGGAUUAGCCCUUUCUUUGGCCAGCCUUCUGAUUGCUAUAAUUUGCCACCGUUGCCAUCCUCCCUUGAUUACUAUCAUGUGCCAUCCUGGGAGAUACCACAAAUGAUGUUUCCACCACCACCACUUCAUGAGGGGUUGUUCAUGCAGAGCCCACUAGGAUGGAUGCAGGCAAAUCCUGGGCCUGAGAUGUUGUUCGGACCUGGAUCUUUUGAUCGACAGCAGCUGUUCGAAUCAGCUACUGAUGGUCUACACGAACCCCCACUGCAGUCCACUGAAGAGCAACGCGCGAGGCGAGCACUGGCAGAGGCCAACCUGAUCGGACCAGGUCUGCUGGCUACGAUCACAGCUAAAGUUACACAGCUCCACAUUGACGAGCAGCGGGCUUUCGUUAGAAAAAUUGCUGCCCUGCUCUCAACCUCUGUUCUGGGUACACCUCCUCCGACACCAGCCAGGAAAUCAAAGAAGCCACUCCCGCAGCGGAUCAUCAGAGUCGUGAAAGCUUCAAGGCAGAGCACAAGACUGGUGCGUCUGCGCUCAAAUAUGUCCUCCUCUAGGCGCACUCAAGCGAGCAUCUGCGUCCAGCUUGGCAUCAUCAACAAGAUAAAAGAUUUCAACGAUGAAGCUCUCCUUGCAUACGUGCAGUUUUUUCGCGAGCCCAUUUCACGGGAGCGUGUGGAAAAAAUCGCGGAGAUCGCUGGACUGGCUUCACCCGCAAGCCUGCAACUACCCGAUGCAGAGCUCCAGGCGAUCUUGGGGGAGCUAGCAGGGAGCGUCCCCUGAACGCCGUCCAUGCGGCUGACCACACUCUAGACUGUUUAAUGCCAUGAUUACUGCACCAAUGUUUGCUUUCCUUUCCUCCUGGUUUGUGCGCCGUAUGGCUGCCCUGCAUGCUCAGGUAGCAGUCUGUAUCAUGCUGCAGGGGAUAUGCGCAACCCCUGCCUAUCUAAGUGUAGUCUCCUUUGUUUUUCCAUGAAUGAACACCUUUCUGUUUUUAAUUCGAAUGUGAGAGGUCUUAAUGAUGCUGCUAGACGCGCGUCGGUCCGCUUGCUUCUUGACACUUUGGCUUGCUCAAUUGUCUGCUUGCAAGAGUCCAAGCUUGACUCGUUCUCUGAUCAUGAUCGUAAUGAGAUUUUUGGCCGGCGUUUCGAUGAACAUGCGGCGCUCAAUGCGGUAGGCACGCGAGGAGGAGUCCUUUUGGGCUGGAGAACUGAUCGCUACGUGGCUUCAGACAUCCAUGUGGGAGAAUUUUUUAUCACCGCGAGGUUCUCACCGGUGGAUAGGGGUCAGCCGUGGUCCUUGACCACGGUAUAUGGCCCACACGAUGAUUCGCGGAAAACAGCCUUUCUCAGCGAACUCGUGAUCAUUCAUAAUAUGAUGCAAGGACCCUGGUGUAUUAUUGGUGAUUUCAACAUGAUUAAUGACCCCAGAGACAAGAACAAUGACAGGAUUUGUCGGCGUUGGAUGAAUCGUUUUCACGAGCACUGAAUAGGUCUGCGCUACACGAGCUGCCCUUGAUAGGACGCAAAUACACAUGGAGUAAUGAGCAGGCUGUUCCUACACUUGUUCGCCUGGACCGAGCUUUCCACAAUGUGGAAUGAGAGAUGCGGUUUCCAACAGCAAAACUGCUGCCGCAAGCGUCAUCUAUCUCUGACCAUUGCCCGCUGUUGUUGAUUGAUGAGAAUGUAAUCCACAUUAACACGCGUUUUCGUUAUGAGAGCUACUGGCAGUACAUUCGUGGAUUCCAAGAGGUGGUUAAACAAGCAUGGAUAGUUUCAACCGGNGUUGGAUGAAUCGUUUUCACGAGCACUGAAUAGGUCUGCGCUACACGAGCUGCCCUUGAUAGGACGCAAAUACACAUGGAGUAAUGAGCAGGCUGUUCCUACACUUGUUCGCCUGGACCGAGCUUUCCACAAUGUGGAAUGAGAGAUGCGGUUUCCAACAGCAAAACUGCUGCCGCAAGCGUCAUCUAUCUCUGACCAUUGCCCGCUGUUGUUGAUUGAUGAGAAUGUUAUCCACAUUAACACGCGUUUUCGAUAUGAGAGCUACUGGCAGUACAUUCGUGGAUUCCAAGAGGUGGUUAAACAAGCAUGGAUAGUUUCAACCGGCGACUCCUCCUCAAUUACUAGGCUUAGCAUCAAGCUAUGGAGGACCAGCAAGGCACUUAGAGUGUGGAGUAAAACCUUUGUGGGUGACGUACAAAAACAAAUGCUAAUAGUCAAUGAGAUGGUGCUGCAGCUUGAUGGGGCCCAGCAUAUUAGAGACCUAUCACUACAAGAAAAGGAGUUGCGUACUAAGCUGAAAUCGAGAACAAUGGGACUGGCUGUUCUGCUCAAAAUCAAGAGACGCCAACGAAGCAGAGUGACAUGGCUCAAGGCUGGAGAUGCGAAUACUAAGUUCUUCCAUAGGAAGGCAAACGCGCGCCGCAGGCGCAACACCAUCCAUGUCCUACAUGAUAGUGCGGGUGCAACAUCUGCAACAUCCACCUGCGCUAUGACUGAGCUGGAAAAACGACACUUCUCGACCAUUUUUGGUACUGCGGAUAAACUGACCUCAGCUAUUAAUUGGGACGAGCUAGGGUUCGAGCAGACGGACCUGACUGACCUUGAGGGAGAAUUCACCUUACAAGAGGUAAAAGCUGCCACUGACGCUAUUCCACAAGAUAAGGCGCCGGGUCCAGAUGGGUUCUCAGGUGGUUUUUACAAGGCCUGCUGGAACAUCAUCAAGUUCGACCUGUUGGCGACACUGAAGCAGCUAUACCACAUGGACAGUACCGGUUUAAACCGGAUUAAUAAGGCCAUCCUUGUCCUCGUCCCAAAGAAGAAUGGCGUUGAUAACCUCCAUGACUUUCGGCCAAUCUCCUUGAUUCAUAGCAUAGUCAGGAUUUUCACCAAGAUCCUUGCAAGUAGGCUCGCCCCUAAGCUGAACUCGCUGGUUGAUCACUGCCAAAGCGCGUUCAUAAAAAAUCGCAGCAUCCAUGAAAAUUAUGUGUAUGUACAAAACACGGCCCGGUAUCUCCAUAAACACAAGAGACCGGCCGUGCUGCUGAAGCUUGACAUAGCCCAAGCAUUUGACUCCGUGUCCUGGGCUUAUAUACUCGAUAUGCUUGAGGCACGCGGUUCUAGUCAAAGGUGGCGCGAAUGGAUAGCAAUGCUUCUCAGAACUUCCACCUCGCAAGUGUUGAUUAACGGCUCAAUAUCUGAUUGCAUCUAGCAUGGAAAAGGACUGCGGCAAGGGGACCCAUUGUCCCCAUUUCUUUUCAUUCUUGCCAUGGACCCCUUACAACGGAUUUUGCGGUUAGCCACAGAGACACAACUCCUAUCAGUAAUUCCAGGCCGCAGGCAGCUGAUGAGAUGUGCAUUCUACGCCGAUGAUGUGGCGCUCUUUAUGCGGCCUUCAUUGUCCGAUGCACAAAUGAUAAAACUGUUCUUGACUUCUUUGGAAAUGUCUCAGGGCUUCGCACAAACAUGGCCAAAAGCUCAGCCUUACCCAUCAACUGUGAAGGGCUAAACCUGGCCGCCAUCUUACGUCCUCUUGGCAUUCCUUUGAAGACAUUUCCAUGUGUGUACCUCGGCAUGCCGCUAUCGCUAAAACGUCUUCGCAAGAUUGAUUGGGACCCAUGGCUACAUAAAUUUGCUAACAAGACUACGGAUUGGAAAGGGAGGUUGAUGGCCAAAAGUGGGCGACUGGUACUGCUUAAUGCAGCCUUGUCAUCUCUGGCCAUUUACAUGAUGACGUCUCGCAAACUACCGGCUUGGGUUCUUAAACGCCUAGUUCAAAUAUGACGAGCCUGGCUAUGGAGUGGAGAGGGCGCGUGCAAUGGAGGCAAAUGCAGAGUUAAUUGGUCUGCCCUAGCACGUCCUAAAACCUUGGGUGGCUUAGGGGUUCUCGACCUGGAAAAAUUUGCAGGGCCCUUCGGAUUAGAUGGUUAUGGAUGGCCUGGAAGGAUCAGACUAGACCAUNNNNNNNNNNNNNNNNNNNNNNNNNNNNNNNNNNNNNNNNNNNNNNNNNNNNNNNNNNNNNNNNNNNNNNNNNNNNNNNNNNNNNNNNNNNNNNNNNNNNNNNNNNNNNNNNNNNNNNNNNNNNNNNNNNNNNNNNNNNNNNNNNNNNNNNNNNNNNNNNNNNNNNNNNNNNNNNNNNNNNNNNNNNNNNNNNNNNNNNNNNNNNNNNNNNNNNNNNNNNNNNNNNNNNNNNNNNNNNNNNNNNNNNNNNNNNNNNNNNNNNNNNNNNNNNNNNNNNNNNNNNNNNNNNNNNNNNNNNNNNNNNNNNNNNNNNNNNNNNNNNNNNNNNNNNNNNNNNNNNNNNNNNNNNNNNNNNNNNNNNNNNNNNNNNNNNNNNNNNNNNNNNNNNNNNNNNNNNNNNNNNNNNNNNNNNNNNNNNNNNNNNNNNNNNNNNNNNNNNNNNNNNNNNNNNNNNNNNNNNNNNNNNNNNNNNNNNNNNNNNNNNNNNNNNNNNNNNNNNNNNNNNNNNNNNNNNNNUUUUUUUCAGGCGUGAGUUUUUUGCUUCUUUUCUCCUUUCUUUCCUUUCCAGCCCCUCUUUUUCGUUUGGUGGCUGGCCCUUCCGGGCCUUCUCUUGUAUUGUCUUGCCCCUUGCUGAUCAAUUGAUUUGGUAGAUCUCCUAUCAACAUUCAAAAAAAAAAAGCAUGUGCUCGUCGAGCACCUCCUCCUCCAUAUUAUUGAUUCCCCUCUCAUCCUCUUCCCACGAUUCGAGAUCCAUGGUCUAGGACGUUGCCAAGGUCGACAGAGACAGGAGAACCGCAAUAUGACGUGCAGGAGGAGCCGUAUAGAAGGACGAUGAGGAUGCGGGAUACGAUUCCACACACCAUCACGGGGUCAUCGGCGUCAUAAUGAACUUACAGUGACGAUCAACCAAACAGUAAGAAAGAUAAAAUAUUAUUUUAUAGUAAGAGUAACCCAAUAGUCCUUGUUGCAUAGAACUAGGUAGUUACAUGUGGGUUGCCACGAAAGCAUAUUUUUUACCUCGGUGACGCUACUGCUAGUCUGCUUCUGAUUUACUUAGAUUUGGUCUGAGUUUUUCAUCUAUGUUCCUUCUUUAUUAUGUACAGUAUACGUAUAAUUUCAGCAAAACAAAAGUAUGUAUAUGUAUAAUAGUUAUAUAUUCCUUUCGUUCUUAAAUCUAAGACCUUUUAGAGAUUGCACUAUGAACUACAUAUGAAUGUACAUAGACAUAUUUUAGAAUAUUGAUCCAUUCAUUUUAUUUCGUAUGUAGUUUUUUUGUGGAAUUUCAAAAAGUCUUAUAUUUAGGAACGGAGGGAGUAUAUAUUGCACAGGGCUGUGAUAUAUGCUGUCCCUAACUUCCAAUCCUGGCGACGUGGAGCCCCAAUAAUCAACCACAACCACCACGAAAUGCAACAGAAAAAAAGCUGAAAAGCCUCCAGGCUUCACAUCAACAAUAACCAACAUGCUUCCAUCUGCAGCAUCUCAAAAUAAGCACACGGACUGCUUCCUGACCACAGACCCUGAAACUAACUUGCAUCAGCCGUUCGCUGGUGAGUGGUGACCUAAAACCCGCUGUACCACGACCACCGUGCGCCAGUGACCUGACACCACUGUACGACGACAGUUGGACGCUCCUACGCGAACGUGUCCGCGCGCAAUCCAUCAGCUCUGAGGGAUGUAUGGCGUCUUCAGGAGAUGAGCCGGAUCAACCAGAUAGCUGCAGCUGAGCUGCCCAACUGACUUCAGGUUCGCUUGCUUUGUAGCCAUAUCUGUUCACGUUAGAGAUUGAAAUGUAUCACCGACCAUACCUGGUGCACUCAUCACGUCUCAAUAUUCCAAGCUAAGUUAACCACACAUGACCAGAUAGACACAAAACAGAAGUAAGUAAACAACCACCGAAAUGCAGGUGAUCUACCACCAGGCCACCAAAGUUUCAGUCAGGCUACUAUAGUGUCUACUGAACGUUACACGCAUGCAUGCAGCAAGCAGUCACCAUUUGGAUUUUGGAGUGCUACAAAUACGGGCCUUCUCCUAUCUCCCAGACAUCACAGCAAGAAGUUGCCUCUCGCUGAUCGGUACACAUAGACAAGAACACCAUGCUGCGCAAGAACACCAUGUCCUCCCUUGUCUUCCUCGUGGCGGUGCUACUCUUGUGCAGCUCCAUCUCCAUGAGCAGCGCAGCACGACACCUAGAGGAGGCUGUUCCCAAGAAGGAGUAUCCACCACAUCCGAUCGUCCCGGAGCUGCCAAAGCCCGAACUCCCGCCGCACCCCGUCAUGCCCGAGCUGCCGAAGCCUGAGCUGCCACACCCUCUCGUCCCCGAAGUGCCACACCCCGUGGUGCCCGAGGUGCCAAAGCACGAACUGCCGCCACACCCUGCUAUGCCCGAGCUCCCGAAGCCUGAACUCCCGCAUCCGGUUGUGCCUGAGGUGGCAAAGGAGCCUGAAGUGCCAGUGCCACACCCCGUGGAGCCGGAGAUGCCAAAGCACGAGCUGCCGCCGCACCUUGCUAUGCCGGAGGUCCCGAAGCCUGAGCUGCCGCAUCCGGUUGCCCAGGUGCCAAAGGAGCAUGAACUACCACACCCCGUCAUGCCGGAGGUGCCAAAGGAGCACGAGCUGCCGCACCCUGCCAUACCAGAGUUGCCGAAGCCUGAAGCCUGAAAUGCCACACCAUGCCGUGCCAGAGGUGCCAAAGGAGCCCCAUGUGCCGCACCCCGAGGUGCCAGAGGUGCCGAAGGAGCACGAGUUGCCGCACCCUGCUGUGCCAGAGGUCCCGAAGCACGAAAUGCCGCCGUUUCCCAAAGCCGAGUUGCCAUUGCCCCCGAAGCCCGUGUUCCGUUUUCCUGAGCCAGAGGCCAAGCCAUGAUCGGAGUAGCUACAACCGCACAGUGUCCGUUAUCUAAGUAUUAUCAAACCCAUACUAUACAUGCGCGCGUGUGUUGUACAUGUCGUUAGAGCCCGCACUACUCUACUUCGUGACGAGAGCAUUAUGUAUGAGUGGUACUGCAUGGUGCAGCUGCUCAAUCUGUUCCUUUUAUGCAUAUUCAUGAUGUAUAUGCAUGAUAUGCACAUGAAUAAGUAUGAUUCUGUUUGGAAUUUUUAUGUUGCAGUUGUGUUUGUAUUUCAUCCGCAAAAAAAAAAAAAGAAUCCGUGUUUGUGUUUACUUAGAAGUACAUCACUAGAGACUUCCCAUGUUUUGCUACAUUAUGGCUAGGCAGCAUGCAAGGGAGUGGAGUCCCAAUAAACACCAACGGCCCAAUUGCAUCCUGCCUAGGUACUCGCAUAGGAUGGUAGAACUACGAUGCAUAAAACAUAGGUGAUAGUAUGAUCAAAGUGACUUGCCUCGUAUUACUUGAUGAAGAUAGUCGCUCUCAAAAUCCUGAUAAUUCUACUCGCCACACUCUGAGCAAUCUAUCGUAAACAAAUAGCAUUCAAUAAACAUUCAUGCCAAAAAGGAAGAACCAAAAGAACAUAAGAACAAAACAUGUCUUUGUGCAAAAUAACAACAUACUAAGGUUUAAUAAAAAAAUAGGUUCUAAGUGUGUUGUAAAGUUAAGGUGCAUGAAUGAGAUCAAAAAGAGGUAAUGGACGAUGAACUAUUGCUAUAUAAGCUCGAAUUGCAUACACUAUGGGAGAUGAUCAAAAAUAUUGGGAGAACAACAUGAAUGUUGUUUGACAAAUAGUAUAAGAUAUAAGAAUUUAUUUGUAGAAAGAAUUUCUUGAAAUGGAGCACUACAACGCAAGUUAUAGCGAAUUGAAGUAUGAAUUGAAUUUGCAUUCAAAAGGUCAAGAGAAGUUGAACUGAAGUACGAUGGUUACGUACAAAAAUAUAUGACAUGAGUGUUUAGGGGUAAAAGGAAUCAAUUGAAAAGGUGGUACGAUUUGCAAGAUAAGAUCAAAUGAAUGUUCGAAUACAAAUUUGAAUCGCUCAAAUUUGUAAGGUUCAAAGGUCGAAACUAAUGAGGCCACUGGAUAUAGGAGAUCAAUAUGAGCGUGUAGAAAAAAGAAUUACUAGGUUUGAAAUAGCGGAUCAAAAUAUACAAAUACUUUAAUAUAACAUUGAAUCGGCUUAGGACGAUGUGAACAAUUUUGGGCACUAAUAGAUAAAUCUGAUUUCAUCAAAAUUAUAAGUUGAAAAGUUAAAACUAAUGAUACAAACGGGAAGAUUACUUUGAUACGAAUCCGACGCAAUUGGAUUCAUCUAAAACGGAGCUACGGAUAAAAAGAUAUGAUCAAAAGAAGUUUGAAUAUGAAUAUGAACAAAUUUCGAAAUUUGAAAAUUUCAAAAAAGUUGAUAUGAUAGGUUCAUCGGAUAGGUGGGAUCAAGACGAAACUCUAGGCGUUGGUUUCAUCUAAUUUGGAUAAACGAGUAAAAAGUUAUGGCUAUUUGAAAAAUCAGGGCCAAGCUGUUUUACGGAAGACUAAAUAUUUUUGACAUGGUCUACGUACAAAAAUAUAUGUAUGAAUUGAAUUGCUGGGAUUAGCCCUUUCUUUGGCCAGCCUUCUGAUUGCUAUAAUUUGCCACCGUUGCCAUCCUCCCUUGAUUACUAUCAUGUGCCAUCCUGGGAGAUACCACAAAUGUUGUUUCCACCACCACCACUUCAUGAGGGGUUGUUCAUGCAGAGCCCACUAGGAUGGAUGCAGGCAAAUCCUGGGCCUGAGAUGUUGUUCGGACCUGGAUCUUUUGAUCGACAGCAGCUGUUCGAAUCAGCUACUGAUGGUCUACACGAACCCCCACUGCAGUCCACUGAAGAGCAACGCGCGAGGCGAGCACUGGCAGAGGCCAACCUGACCGGACCAGGUCUGCUGGCUGCGAUCACAGCUAAAGUUGCACAGCUCCACAUUGACGAGCAGCGGGCUUUCGUUAGAAAAAUUGCUGCCCUGCUCUCAACCUCUGUUCUGGGUACACCUCCUCCGACACCAGCCAGGAAAUCAAAGAAGCCACUCCCGCAGCGGAUCAUCGGAGCCGUGAAAGCUUCAAGGCAGAGCACAAGACUGGUGCGUCUGCGCUCAAAUAUGUCCUCCUCUAGGCGCACUCAAGCGAGCAUCUGCGUCCAGCUUGGCAUCAUCAACAAGAUAAAAGAUUUCAACGAUGAAGCUCUCCUUGCAUACGUGCAGUUUUUUCGCGAGCCCAUUUCACGGGAGCGUGUGGAAAAAAUCGCGGAGAUCGCUGGACUGGCUUCACCCGCAAGCCUGCAACUACCCGAUGCAGAGCUCCAGGCGAUCUUGGGGGAGCUGGCAGGGAGCGUCCCCUGAACGCCGUCCAUGCGGCUGACCACACUCUAGACUGUUUAAUGCCAUGAUUAGUGCACCAAUGUUUGCUUUCCUUUCCUCCUGGUUUGUGCGCCGUAUGGCUGCCCUGCAUGCUCAGGUAGCAGUCUGUAUCAUGCUGCAGGGGAUAUGCGCAACCCCUGCCUAUCUAAGUGUAGUCUCCUUUGUUUUUCCAUGAAUGAACACCUUUCUGUUUUUAAUUCGAAUGUGAGAGGUCUUAAUGAUGCUGCUAGACGCGCGUCGGUCCGCUUGCUUCUUGACACUGUGGUUUGCUCAAUUGUCUGCUUGCAAGAGUCCAAGCUUGACUCGUUCUCUGAUCAUGAUCGUAAUGAGAUUUUUGGCCGGCGUUUCGAUGAACAUGCGGCGCUCAAUGCGGUAGGCACGCGAGGACGAGUCCUUUUGGGCUGGAGAACUGACCGCUACGUGGCUUCAGACAUCCAUGUGGGAGAAUUUUUUAUCACCGCGAGGUUCUCACCGGUGGACAGGGGUCAGCCGUGGUCCUUGACCACGGUAUAUGGCCCACACGAUGAUUCGCGGAAACAAGCCUUUCUCAGCGAACUCGUGAUCAUUCAUAAUAUGAUGCAAGGACCCUGGUGUAUUAUUGGUGAUUUCAACAUGAUUAAUGACCCCAGAGACAAGAACAAUGACAGGAUUUGUCGGUGUUGGAUGAAUCGUUUUCACGAGCACUGGAUAGGUCUGCGCUACACGAGCUGCCCUUGAUAGGACGCAAAUACACAUGGAGUAAUGAGCAGGCUGUUCCUACACUUGUUCGCCUGGACCGAGCUUUCCACAAUGUGGAAUGGGAGAUGCGGUUUCCAACAGCAAAACUGCUGCCGCAAGCGUCAUCUAUCUCUGACCAUUGCCCGCUGUUGUUGAUUGAUGAGAAUGUCAUCCACAUUAACAGGCGUUUUCGCUAUGAGAGCUACUGGCAGUACAUUCGUGGAUUCCAAGAGGUGGUUAAACAAGCAUGGAUAGUUUCAACCGGCGACUCCUCCUCANNNNNNNNNNNNNNNNNNNNNNNNNNNNNNNNNNNNNNNNNNNNNNNNNNNNNNNNNNNNNNNNNNNNNNNNNNNNNNNNNNNNNNNNNNNNNNNNNNNNNNNNNNNNNNNNNNNNNNNNNNNNNNNNNNNNNNNNNNNNNNNNNNNNNNNNNNNNNNNNNNNNNNNNNNNNNNNNNNNNNNNNNNNNNNNNNNNNNNNNNNNNNNNNNNNNNNNNNGUUGGAUGAAUCGUUUUCACGAGCACUGGAUAGGUCUGCGCUACACGAGCUGCCCUUGAUAGGACGCAAAUACACAUGGAGUAAUGAGCAGGCUGUUCCUACACUUGUUCGCCUGGACCGAGCUUUCCACAAUGUGGAAUGGGAGAUGCGGUUUCCAACAGCAAAACUGCUGCCGCAAGCGUCAUCUAUCUCUGACCAUUGCCCGCUGUUGUUGAUUGAUGAGAAUGUUAUCCACAUUAACACGCGUUUUCGAUAUGAGAGCUACUGGCAGUACAUUCGUGGAUUCCAAGAGGUGGUUAAACAAGCAUGGAUAGUUUCAACCGGCGACUCCUCCUCAAUUACUAGGCUUAGCAUCAAGCUAUGGAGGACCAGCAAGGCACUUAGAGCGUGGAGUAAAACCUUUGUGGGUGACGUACAAAAACAAAUGCUAAUAGUCAAUGAGAUGGUGAUGCAGCUUGAUGGGGCCCAGCAGAUUAGAGACCUAUCACUACAAGAAAAGGAGUUGCGUACUAAGCUGAAAUCGAGAACAAUGGGACUGGCUGUUCUGCUCAAAAUCAAGAGACGCCAACGAAGCAGAGUGACAUGGCUCAAGGCUGGAGAUGCGAAUACUAAGUUCUUCCAUAGGAAGGCAAACGCGCGCCGCAGGCGCAACACCAUCCAUAUCCUACAUGAUAGUGCGGGUGCAACAUCUGCAACAUCCACCUGCGCUAUGACUGAGCUGGAAAAACGACACUUCUCGACCAUUUUUGGUACUGCGGAUAAACUGACCUCAGCUAUUAAUUAGGACGAGCUAGGGUUCGAGCAGACGGACCUGACUGACCUUGAGGGAGAAUUCACCUUACAAGAGGUAAAAGCUGCCAUUGACGCUAUUCCACAAGAUAAGGCGCCGGGUCCAGAUGGGUUCUCAGGUGGUUUUUACAAGCCCUGCUGGAACAUCAUCAAGUUCGACCUGUUGGCGGCACUGAAGCAGCUAUACCACAUGGACAGUACCGGUUUAAACGAAUUAAUAAUGCCAUCCUUGUCCUCGUCCCAAAGAAGAAUGGCGUUGAUAACCUCCAUGACUUUCGGCCAAUCUCCUUGAUUCAUAACAUAGUCAGGAUUUUCACCAAGAUCCUUGCAAGUAGGCUCGCCCCUAAGCUGAACUCGCUAGUUGAUCACUUCCAAAGCGCGUUCAUAAAAAAUCGCAGCAUCCAUGAAAAUUAUCUGUAUGUACAAAACACGGCCCGGUAUCUCCAUAAACACAAGAGACCGGCCGUGCUGCUGAAGCUUGACAUAGCCCAAGCAUUUGACUCCGUCUCAAGGGCUUAUAUACUCGAUAUGCUUGAGGCACGCGGUUCUAGUCAAAGGUGGCGCGAGUGGAUAGCAAUGCUUCUCAGAACUUCCACCUCGCAAGUGUUGAUUAACGACUCAGUAUCUGAUUGCAUCUAGCAUGGAAAAGGACUGCGGCAAGGGGACCCAUUAUCCCCAUUUCUUUUCAUUCUUGCCAUGGACCCCUUACAACGGAGUUUGCGGUUAGCAACAAAGACACAACUCCUAUCAGUAAUUCCAGGCCGCAGGCAGCUGAUGAGAUGUGCAUUCUACGCCAAUGAUGUGGCGCUCUUUAUGCGGCCUUCAUUGUCCGAUGCACAAAUGAUAAAACUGUUCUUGACUUCUUUGGAAAUGUCUCAGGGCUUCGCACAAACAUGGCCAAAAGCUCAGCCUUACCCAUCAACUGUGAAGGGCUAAACCUGGCCGCCAUCUUACGUCCUCUUGGCAUUCCUUUGAAGACAUUUCCAUGUGUGUACCUCGGCAUGCCGCUAUCGCUAAAACGUCUUCGCAAGAUUGAUUGGGACCCAUGGCUACAUAAAUUUGCUAACAAGACUGCGGAUUGGAAAGGGAGGUUGAUGGCCAAAAGUGGGUGACUGGUACUGCUUAAUGCAGCCUUGUCAUCUCUGGCCAUUUACAUGAUGACGUCUCGCAAACUACCGGCUUGGGUUCUUAAACGCCUAGUUCAAAUAUGACGAGCCUGGCUAUGGAGUGGAGAGGGCGCGUGCAAUGGAGGCAAAUGCAGAGUUAAUUGGUCUGCCCUAGCACGCCCUAAAACCUUGGGUGGCUUAGGGGUUCUCGACCUGGAAAAAUUUGCAGGGCCCUUCGGAUUAGAUGGUUAUGGAUGGCCUGGAAGGAUCAGACUAGACCAUGGGUUGGUCUAGAACUGCCUUGUGAUGCCUCGGACCGUGCCCUUUUUUCGAUGUCCACGACUAUCACCAUACAAGAUGGCUGCACCGCGCGGUUUUGGCAUGACAGAUGGCUACAAGGCAUGUGUCCAAAAACAAUGGCGCCGGACCUUUACAAGAUCUCAUUUAGGAAAAACCGCACAGUGAAAGAAGCAUUAACUGCUGAAAAAUGGCUGACGGACUUGGCACACGGGCUGACAGAAACGAUGGUACCUCAGCUGGCCUGCCUGGCGGCAUGUCUCGAACAGAUUGAACUCACUCCCGAUAGGCCAGACACUGUAGAAUGGCGUUACAACUCCGAUAAAAGAUAUAGUGCAAAAUCCACCUACCUGCUGCAAUUCAAUGGCUCGACAACCAUGGAAGGAGCAAAAUAUAUCUGGACGGGCUGGGCACCGGGCAAAUGCAGAUUCUUUUUAUGGACAGCCGCAUUAGGGAAAAUACUAACGGCAGACGUGUUGUUGCGGCGAGGACGGGAGAACAAUUAUUUCUGCCCUCUAAGCCAGAGAAAUCUGGAGACCGUUUUCCACCUUCUCGUGGAGUGCUCUUGGACCCGGAAAACCUGGGAUGCAAUCGCAACCUCAGCUGACCUACCAUCACUGAGACCAAUCUCAUGGAUGGGACUGAACAAUAUCAAAGGAUGGAUGCAUAACUGUUGGCAAAAUGCACCCAUAACACGAAGGAAAGGAACUCAGUCGCUCCUACAUCUAAUAUCCUCUGAGAUCUGGCGCGAACGAAACACGCGGCUGUUCGAUCACAAAAGCAUGGACACUGAAACUUUGGUGAGAAGAAUUAGGGAUGAAAUUAGAGUCUGGAACAUGGCAGGAGCAGGGAUUCCGUUUGAUCCUGGCUGAAUUCUGGGUUUUUUUUCAGGCGUGAGUUUUUUGCUUCUUUUCUCCUUUCUUUCCUUUCCAGCCCCUCUUUUUCGUUUGGUGGCUGGCCCUUCCGGGCCUUCUCUUGUAUUGUCUUGCCCCUUGCUGAUCAAUUGAUUUGGUAGAUCUCCUAUCAACAUUCAAAAAAAAAAAGCAUGUGCUCGUCGAGCACCUCCUCCUCCAUAUUAUUGAUUCCCCUCUCAUCCUCUUCCCACGAUUCGAGAUCCAUGGUCUAGGACGUUGCCAAGGUCGACAGAGACAGGAGAACCGCAAUAUGACGUGCAGGAGGAGCCGUAUAGAAGGACGAUGAGGAUGCGGGAUACGAUUCCACACACCACCACGGGGUCAUCGGCGUCAUAAUGAACUUACAGUGACGAUCAACCAAACAGUAAGAAAGAUAAAAUAUUAUUUUAUAGUAAGAGUAACCCAAUAGUCCUUGUUGCAUAGAACUAGGUAGUUACAUGUGGGUUGCCACGAAAGCAUAUUUUUUACCUCGGUGACGCUACUGCUAGUCUGCUUCUGAUUUACUUAGCUUUGGUCUAAGUUUUUCAUCUAUGUUCCUUCUUUAUUAUGUACAGUAUACGUAUAAUUUCAGCAAAACAAAAGUAUGUAUAUGUAUAAUAGUUAUAUAUUCCUUUCGUUCUUAAAUCUAAGACCUUUUAGAGAUUGCACUAUGAACUACAUAUGAAUGUACAUAGACAUAUUUUAGAAUAUUGAUCCAUUUAUUUUAUUUCGUAUGUAGUUUUUUUGUGGAAUUUCAAAAAGUCUUAUAUUUAGGAACGGAGGGAGUAUAUAUUGCACAGGGCUGUGAUAUAUGCUGUCCCUAACUUCCAAUCCUGGCGACGUGGAGCCCCAAUAAUCAACCACAACCACCACGAAAUGCAACAGAAAAAAAGCUGAAAAGCCUCCAGGCUUCACAUCAACAAUAACCAACAUGCUUCCAUCUGCAGCAUCUCAAAAUAAGCACACGGACUGCUUCCUGACCACAGACCCUGAAACUAACUUGCAUCAGCCGUUCGCUGGUGAGUGGUGACCUAAAACCCGCUGUACCACGACCACCGUGCGCCAGUGACCUGACACCACUGUACGACGACAGUUGGACGCUCCUACGCGAACGUGUCCGCGCGCAAUCCAUCAGCUCUGAGGGAUGUAUGGCGUCUUCAGGAGAUGAGCCGGAUCAACCAGAUAGCUGCAGCUGAGCUGCCCAACUGACUUCAGGUUCGCUUGCUUUGUAGCCAUAUCUGUUCACGUUAGAGAUUGAAAUGUAUCACCGACCAUACCUGGUGCACUCAUCACGUCUCAAUAUUCCAAGCUAAGUUAACCACACAUGACCAGAUAGACACAAAACAGAAGUAAGUAAACAACCACCGAAAUGCAGGUGAUCUACCACCAGGCCACCAAAGUUUCAGUCAGGCUACUAUAGUGUCUACUGAACGUUACACGCAUGCAUGCAGCAAGCAGUCACCAUUUGGAUUUUGGAGUGCUACAAAUACGGGCCUUCUCCUAUCUCCCAGACAUCACAGCAAGAAGUUGCCUCUCGCUGAUCGGUACACAUAGACAAGAACACCAUGCUGCGCAAGAACACCAUGUCCUCCCUUGUCUUCCUCGUGGCGGUGCUACUCUUGUGCAGCUCCAUCUCCAUGAGCAGCGCAGCACGACACCUAGAGGAGGCUGUUCCCAAGAAGGAGUAUCCACCACAUCCGAUCGUCCCGGAGCUGCCAAAGCCCGAACUCCCGCCGCACCCCGUCAUGCCCGAGCUGCCGAAGCCUGAGCUGCCACACCCUCUCGUCCCCGAAGUGCCACACCCCGUGGUGCCCGAGGUGCCAAAGCACGAACUGCCGCCACACCCUGCUAUGCCCGAGCUCCCGAAGCCUGAACUGCCGCAUCCGGUUGUGCCUGAGGUGGCAAAGGAGCCUGAAGUGCCAGUGCCACACCCCGUGGUGCCGGAGAUGCCAAAGCACGAGCUGCCACCGCACCCUGCUAUGCCCGAGCUCCCGAAGCCUGAACUGCCGCAUCCGGUUGUGCCUGAGGUGGCAAAGGAGCCUGAAGUGCCAGUGCCACACCCCGUGGUGCCGGAGAUGCCAAAGCACGAGCUGCCACCGCACCUUACUAUGCCGGAGAUACCGAAGCCUGAGCUGCCGCAUCCGGUUGCCCAGGUGCCAAAGGAGCAUGAACUACCACACCCCGUCAUGCCGGAGGUGCCAAAGGAGCACGAGCUGCCGCACCCUGCCAUACCAGAGUUGCCGAAGCCUGAAGCCUGAAAUGCCACACCAUGCCGUGCCAGAGGUGCCAAAGGAGCCCCAUGUGCCGCACCCCGAGGUGCCAGAGGUGCCGAAGGAGCACGAGUUGCCGCACCCUGCUGUGCCAGAGGUCCCGAAGCACGAAAUGCCGCCGUUUCCCAAAGC